rnacentral:lncRNA from 1 species
UUUUUUUUCCUUUUUUGUUCGUAAUACCUCUGAAAACAACGAAAAGGCCAAAAAAUGUGGAAAAUUGCAAAAUUUGUUAGACUAUUAUGUGGGAUAAAUCUAGAGCUUUAUUAGCACCUACAUCAUUAAAAACUUCCAUCUCAAAUAAGUAAAAGAAUACAAGACAUGCUAUAGAAUUACAAAAGGAUAAAAAAAAUACAAAGAUUGAGAAUGGACGUCUGGCUCUCGGCCUCCAUGGAGGCCUUUUUUUGAAAAUAAAUCAAAAUUCAAACUAUUUGGUUUAAUUUUUUUUGAAAAAGUAUGCAAGUAAACAAGAAUGUUAUGUGUAUGUGGGUAAAAUUUCAGGAUGAAAAACGUUGAAAUGCGACCUGUACAAAAAUGACAAAUUCAUGGCCCGGGAGGAUGAAUAGUAUCAUGUGUUAAAAAGCCCUAGAUUUGUCAUUUUUGCACAGGCCUCAUUUCAACGUAUUUUGUCCUGAAAAUUUACACACAUAUGUGUUAUGCCUUCAUGUAUAUCUGUGUUUUUUUAGAAUUUUUUAAAAUGCAGAAAAUAUGAAAUUUGAUGAAAUUCAAAUUUUCCAAAACCGAGCUCCAUGGAGCUCGGCCUCCAAAGACAAUAUUCAACAAAGACUACACUAUAUAACACUACUAAUACUCAGAUCCAAGCACUAAAAUACGCAUGCACGGCAAAAAAUUUGAACAUAUUAGAGUAUUAUAGAUAUUUAUAUAGGACAUAUAUUUAUAUAUUUCAAAAAAAUAAACGGGCCGUGCCGUGCCGGCCCGCGUGCCCAGCCUCCAGGCCCAGGCACGGCCCAUGGCGUGCCGCAUGCCGGGCCUGGCCCGUUUAGCCUGGGUCGUGCCGUGCCAGCGUGCUACCGGGCCGGCACAGUUAGCACGGCCCGUUUGGCCGUGGCAUUUGUCCCAGACUUCGUGCGUUGUGCGUUGGAGUUGGCCCUAGUCUCCGGUUUCCGUUUCCGGUUCCACCCCGAGUUCCGCCUCCGGUCUCUCCUCCGCCGGCGCAGGAUGGCGGCGGCCGCGGGCACAUCGAGGCAGGCGGGCGCGGCGCCCAGGGUGGGGCUGCUGUACGACCAGCGGAUGCUGAAGCACGCGCCUGCCGGGAAGAAAGAACGGGAGACCCCCGAGCGGCUACGCGCCAUCUGGCGCAAGCUCGCCGCCGAGGGCGUCACGUCCAGGUACGCGCCGCCAGCGACUCUCUCAAGCGAGAGCAGCGCCANNNNNNNNNNNNNNNNNNNNNNNNNNNNNNNNNNNNNNNNNNNNNNNNNNNNNNNNNNNNNNNNNNNNNNNNNNNNNNNNNNNNNNNNNNNNNNNNNNNNNNNNNNNNNNNNNNNNNNNNNNNNNNNNNNNNNNNNNNNNNNNNNNNNNNNNNNNNNNNNNNNNNNNNNNNNNNNNNNNNNNNNNNNNNNNNNNNNNNNNNNNNNNNNNNNNNNNNNNNNNNNNNNNNNNNNNNNNNNNNNNNNNNNNNNNNNNNNNNNNNNNNNNNNNNNNNNNNNNNNNNNNNNNNNNNNNNNNNNNNNNNNNNNNNNNNNNNNNNNNNNNNNNNNNNNNNNNNNNNNNNNNNNNNNNNAUGGGAAGUCCUCGCGCGCUCCCGCUGUGCUUGAUCUGUUUCCUGUUACGACUGUAAAUCUGCACGAUUAUGUUUUGGUUAUCUGAUGAAGCGCCCGAAAUGGUGAAGGGCCUGAGAAAGGGGGGAGAGUAUAUAGAUCCUUCAUACAAUAGGUUCAAACAUGUAUGCCAUGUAGCGCUGAAAGGAACAGUCCUGCUAUUUCUGCAAUUUGGGGCACUCCAGUCCUUCCUCGUGUGCAGUAACUUGGACUGUCCAUUGCUUGCAUUACUUUGAUUGAUUAGAUUGAUAAUUGUAUGACUUUUGCAAGGUUCUGUGGCUUUAGUGUGACAUAAGUUUCUUCAGAUAAUAGGUUCAAACAUGUAUGCACAGUAGCGCUGAAAAGGUAUAGAGUCCUGGUAUUUCUGCAGUUCUGGGUACUCAAGCCGUUGCCUGUGCACAGUAACCUGGAUGCUACUAGAGUUAAGUUUGAACAUUGGCAUUAUGGCUUCUGUGCUGCCCACUGUUUGCAUUAUAGGUUCAAACAUUUAUGCACUGCAUAUCUGAAAGGAACAGCGUCCUUCUGGUAUUUCUGCAAUUUGGGGCACUCCAGCCCUUCCUUGUGGUACAGUAUCUCGGAUCCCUGCAGGCGUCGAUUUAAAGAGGAACUGCAGUGGCUCAGGCUCACCUACAGGGCCAAAAGGAAGGAGUAUAGUGGCCUGAUUGAUUGGGUCAAAGCUUUCAGAUGAACUUAGUUCUGCCUUCAUUGUACCUUUUGUAUUUUCUGUUCCUUGUUUGUUUUCACUAGGCCUGUGUAGCUCUUUUAUUUUAUUUCUGAACUUUGUUUUGUACUCCCUCCAUCCCACAAUAUAAGAUCGUUUUUCAAGCUGGACAAGGGAGUAACAUUUAUUUGAAAAACAAUAAAAAUACACAGCAGAGUCCUGCUGUUUCCUUAAGAAAAGGUAACUUGUAUGCCACUAGAGUGAAGUUUGAACAUCGGCAUUGUAGCUUCUGUGCCGUCCAUUGCUUGCAUUACUUUGAUUGAUUAGAUUCAUAAUUGUAUGACUUUGCAAGGUUCUGUGGCUGUAGUGUAACAUAAGUUUCUUGCAGGUGUGUGGGCAUGAGGGCGAAGGAAGCCAAGGAAAAAUAUAUAGCCUCUGUCCAUGGCCCGAAUCACAUAGAUCUGAUAAGGAAUAUCAGCUCGAAGGAUAGUUCCGAGCGAAAAAAUACUGCUGAGAAACUCGAUUCCAUUUACUUCAACAAAGGCUCCUCAGAGUCUGCUUUCCUCGCAGCCGGUUCUGUCAUCGAGGUAAUUUCCGUUUACUUUUCCUACAUUGCAUAUGUAUUCACUAGUCUUAUACAGCAAUUCUGGUUCCGUUGAUCCUGAGUGCUGACAAAAUGACUCGUUUGGCAAGUAGGUUGCUGAGAAGGUUGCAGCUGGUGAGCUGAGUUCUGCGAUCGCUCUAGUCAGGCCUCCAGGCCACCAUGCCGAACAUAGCAAGCCCAUGGGAUUUUGCCUCUUCAACAAUGUGGCAAUUGCAGCUAACUACCUCUUAAAUGAAAGGGUGCGUAUUUGAAACUUCCCUGUUGAAUGUUCUGUUAAGAUCAAUACGUGCUGUUUUUGUUUAUCAUUUCCUCUGUAGGAACAAUCAUAUCAAUUUGCUAUGAUGUGACCUACUGAGAACAUGGAGUCAUUUUCUGAGUUCCCUUUUUCUGUUGCAGCCUGACCUAGGUAUCAGCAAGAUAUUAAUCGUCGAUUGGGAUGUUCAUCAUGGAAAUGGCACGCAGAACAUGUUUUAUAAUGACCCUCGUGUAUUGUUCUUUUCAGUGCACAGGUAUGACACAAUAACUUGGCGUUGCUUUGCUAUUUUUGUUUAGACUUCAGACUUUGCUUCCGCAAACAUGCAAACCACUGUAUGUAUACGCAUUAGAUAUAAAGAAAACAUGCAAACCACUGUAUGUAUACGCAUUAGAUAUAAAGAAGAAGUCUUAGUUGAGACUUUAGACUAGCUUCAUAACCUUCAUGAUAUGAUAUUCGUGAAGCCGUGGUAGUUUUGUUGCCUACAUUUUUAUGGCUUACUGCUUUUUGAAUGGAUGUAGGAUGCUGAGAGCGUUUUCUUACAGUGGAUCUCUGCAGUUCAUAGAAAUUUAGAAACUCCAUUUCUUAUUUACAUGGUAUUAACAAACUCAUUUUUGAUAUUUGUGAGCUCACCUUACUAUAAUGCUCUUGGAUAUUGUACCUGUAAUGAUCGGGAUUAAGUCUCAGUUUUGUUGAUCCAGUUGGGCUGUAUAGCACGACCUAAAUGCUUGAGCCCAGUUUGUGAUUAAUGUGCCAUGGAACCUAUUAACUAUUAAUCCGUUGUCAAUGGAAGAACCUAUUAACUAUUAAUCCUUUUUCUGUUUCAUCAUGGUUUUACCAUUUUACUUCCUAUGUUGACACUACUAGUAUUGAAAUAGCCUGAAUUAUCUGUUCUAAACUUCUAAUCAACAUAGUAUGGUUACUUUAUUUGUCAUUUGAAUUGUCACCUGCCCACCCUUGAUUUUGGUUAUAGUAUAUUAAUCAAUUCAUUGUGUUUACUUUCUAUUGCUAUCUGAGUUUAGUCUCCCAUGCAUCUGCAGGGCUAGAUACUACGGUUCAUGUUUACAUUAGAAAGAGAUGUUUGUAAUGCAACUUCAGUGCUUAUGUUUGAAAACUGAGUUGUACUUGUUAUACAACUCUUGCUCUAAUAUGUUUGAUUUAUCUGCACUGCUAUAGUCUGGAGCAUCCAAAAUACAUGAUGUUGAUAUUUAUUCUUUCUUUCUCCGAUAUAUGUGAAAAGUUCUAGCCUCCCAGAUCCAACGCCGAAACUUCUUCUAACAUUGUUCUAGCUAGUGUCAAAAAACGUCUUACAUUAUGGGACGGAGGGAGUAGUAGGUAGGUACCUGAGGAAAGCUGCUGUUCUAACCGCUUAUCAUUUAAGUUUACAUACAUGUUACCUUGGCUGAUGAAUCUACAGAUUGUGUAACUUGCCAUCUUUGGUAAAGGCCUCUCCUAGAACUACCCAACCAAUUCUGAUCGAAAUCUCAAUUUUUUGCAGUUGUUCCAUUGCAUUCUGUUGAUCCUUCAGUAAUGUGUAAACUAUUAUUCCAAUGUUUGCUCUGUAGAUAUGAUGAUGGAAGCUUCUACCCUUAUGAAGCUGAUGCAUCACACGUUUUCAUUGGGGAUGAAACUGGUCGAGGGUACAACAUUAAUGUGCCCUGGGAGCAUGCGGAAUGCGGUGAUGCAGAUUAUGUUGCUGCAUGGGACCAUGUACUCCUUCCUGUUGCAGAAGCAUUUGAUCCUGAUAUAAUAUUACUGUCUGCUGGGUUUGACGCAGGUAGACAGCUAGAAAAUUCUUAGAAACUAUCUUGUCCCUAAAAUUUAAACAUCUAACUAAUCUAGGCACUUCAAAUGAAGCCUGACUGUUGCUAUAUACCGGCAUUGUAGUUUAUUCUAUGUACUAGAUGUGCACUGUUCGAGUACUACUCCUUAUAUACCUGAUUUCCUUUUUGCGUGACAAAUGAGAUCUUCACUGAAGAUAUUUUGACAACCGCUGUGGCUUUGUUGUAUUAUAUUGCUAUUACAUGCCAAUGGAAUCAAAACUUCUGUGUCUCAUAUGAUCAUGCAUGUUCUUGUUACUCACUGGUUUUGAAUAUUUUCCCUGUUUCUUUUUUGCUAGCACUGGGUGAUGAUAUGGGUAAUUGCUGCAUCACUCCAAAUGGAUAUGCACUGCUACUGACAAAGGUAUGCAUUUGCACGUUUGCAGCAAAAUGACCUUUUAUUAAACUCACUGAACCAUGCGCUCUCCUGGCCUUAAAAACAUUUUUCAUUCUUGACCUUGGAGUUUGGAUGUGAUAGAGUAGCGUUUAUGUUAUUGCCACGGUCAUUCAUUUUUGUUGUCAUGCUUUGGUGUUACCUGUUAGAAAAUUUUCAUUUGAUCCCAUCAAUUUAUUAGUAUCUCCUAUAACUUUUUUGGACUUUCUACUCAGCUGAUCGAUGCUUAUGCCUGUCUACAUUUUACCUGCAGCUGUUAGGUUUUGCAAAAGGAAGGAUUGUGAUGGCCCUUGAAGGAGGUUAUAACCCUGAGUCCAUAGCAAACUCAGUUUGUGCUUGUGCAAAAGUAUUGUUGGGAGAUAAAUUCACACUUACCUCUCCAGAGAUGCAACCAUUCGAAUCUACAUGGAGAGUCAUACAAAUGGUAAUGGUCUGCAGUGUACUAUUUCUGUCUAAUUUUGGUCUCGCUAUGCGUAUCUGUAAUUUAGUUCUCAUUCCCCCUCACACUGACCAGGUACGCGAUGAAUUAAAGACAUACUGGCCUGUUUUGAGCAGUAAGCUUCCGGAGAACGUAUCUUUGAGGAGUACGCCCUCAUAUAUCCAGGUGAGUUUCCUCUUUCUAUUUUCUUCUUCUUGGGGACUUGAGUUGGGGCCUGCUUGGUCUGACCUCUGACUAAUGAAUUGUGCUCUUAUGUCUGAGAUGUGGAUCGCUCUGUUCCAGAUCCGUUUGCUGGGAAACUUGACACCAUCUUCUCUUACUUUUCACCAACAUGUCAUGACCACAGUUGCAGCUUUCAAACCACAUUCUUAAUGGACGAUUUUCUUUUUUUUCCAGGGUUAUAAUGAAGCACCAUAAUGUAGCCCAAUUUCAUAGAUGAAUGCAUGUUCACGAGUGAUGUGGACUGUAUUACACAGCUCAGUUGAUAUGCUAUUUCCAUAUUAUCCGCACUUCCGCAGGCAAUCCAUACUUGAUGAACCUUUUUUUGUUGUUGUGAUCAAUGCUUCAUGUGUAUACUUAUUCUGAGGUGCCUAUCAACUUUUAAACUCUUAACUCUUGCAAAAGAACAUGCAGAGUUAUACAGCUCAACUAUGUUUGUACUGUGCACUUUAAUUAUCUUGUGCCAAUAGUCUCACAUUUGAUUUACUCCCUCCGUCCCAAAAUAAGUGUCUCAACUUUAGUACAACUUUGUACUAAAGCUAGUACAAAGUUGAGACACUUAUUUUGGGAUGGAGGGAGUACCAUUUAUGCAUCUUGAUGCAUGCAGGCUUACUGUAUAGCUGAGACGAUCAAUAGGAAAUAUUAACCUGAUGGUGGAGCCCUUGAAUAAUUUCUCUUUCUUGUUUUCCCCAUUGGGGAAUGAACAGCCAUGCACUUCCUCUGGUUCUGAGUGAUGUUUUGAGUAUGAUAUGCUUGGAGAUCCGCAUUGUCAAAAGUUCAAUAUUUGGUAUGCCAGCUUUGGUUCAAACAUGUGGAAACCAAGAUUCUUGUGCUACAUCGAAGGGGGUAAGGUAAAGUUGAAAUCACAUUGUCUUUUAUAUAUGGCAAGGAACAUUUAGGUUCCUCUAUUUAAAGCUUGUAGCCUGUCGCUGCAUUCAUCACAUCAUUGAUUUCUCGGGGAGAUUUCAGUCGGUGCACCCCUUUCAGUUAAUGUAACUCAAAUCACUUAUGGAGGGUACUUUUGUACCUUCCGCACAAAUCGGGAAUAAAUAUCUGUCCACUUCAUGCAUUAGUCUGUUACGCACCGGUGUAUCAAUUCAAUUGGGGAAGCUACUGCCCGGAACAAUAGCAGCUCACGCUUGCUCCACGAUGUUUGAACAAACCUUAUCUAGUCCAUGGCUCUUCAUGCCUUCCUCGCUGCUCCUCUUAGUUUGUUUGAUCUGGCACUAUGAAUCACAGACGUCGACCUGGGGAUCGGUGUCUAUGAGUGCAAAGCUUCACGAACAUUCGCUAGCAAUGACCAAAGAGAUUGAGGGCCUAUUUGAUUCGCAGGAUUUUCAAAACAAGGGAAUAGGAAAACACAGGAUUGUAAUGUCAUGUUCAUCUCAAUCCUACAGGAUUUUGGGUUGUUUGAUUGCAUCAUAGGAAAGACAAAUUAUUCUUUCAAAGAGGUUUGAGUGGAUGGUAUAAAUCCUAUGGGAAGUAGUACAAAUAAAUCCUUACGAAAAAUUCCUAUAGUAUUCAAUCCUAUGAAUCAAACAAACAACAUCGGAAAAAUUCCUAAGGAUUCUAAUCCUCCAAAAUUCCUAUGAAAAUCCCUUGAAUCAAAGGAGCCCUGAACUGACUGUGGCCCCUUGCUUUAUCCUUCACUCCUGCUUCUAUAAGGGGAGAGGAGGGGGGCAAGCGUGAUGUAAGGAGAUGCGGACGGGCUGAGAUGAGGUUGGGCCUGAAGGUGGGCUGUGUGGGUUGCACCAUGCUCAGUAUCCCUCGUCGAGGUGGAGGGACUAUGGGCUCUGGGCGAAAUCUUUGGCCGGCGGGGGGGCGGUACCGGCGGCGGAGGCAUCCUAGGCAUCUUUAUCCUCCUUGGAGGCGUUGCCGAAGAGUUCAUCCAGACACCAGAUCAUUGUGGCUGGUACUAGGUUCCGGUGGCUAUUGGCGUGGCUGGAUCCCCUCCCACGGGGUUCAGUGGGGUGGUGGUGUGCAGAGCUCUUGGCAAAAGCUUUGUCCCGACGGAGGCGUUAUCGAAGUGCUUCUUCACUCCUACCUCGGGUCGCUUUGGCCCUCGAUCGAUUGGUUUGUGUUUGGUGGUGGUGCCUAGUUUUGCUUGGGGCUGUUUGUACUCUUUGUUGGGGUUUUUGCUCGGUUGUCCCCUAAUCAACCAUGUUGUGUGGUUUCUGGCCUAGUUUUCCCUAUAAACCGGGCCAACUCUCUUCUUAAUGAAAUAGCAGGAGCACCCUGCCCUCUGACGAGGUUCCGUAAAAAAAAGUAUCCAACCACAUGAAAUAGACUACAUCACCCUUUAUGGCGUGGUAAAUGACUCGUUGUAAUCCCCACCAUUUAUCCACAUGAAUAGUUUUCUAAAGGGGUUGUACCAAAGGAAUCCUUUUUGGGGGAUAUUUUGGUCUUCGGGAAGUGUUUUUAGUGCUUUCCGCAAAUGUAAAUUCCGCAACAAGACCUGUGUUGCGGAAAUAAUUCCGCAACAAGACCUGUGUUGCAGUAUGGAGGCGCGUUCGGCCGUGUGAUGCGGUAAUCCGACGGCUCGUGACCCGGCUGAUCUUGACGCGUAGCACACCCCUUAUUCUAACUUACCUUUUCCUUUUCUGAAGUGUUAUGCUUUGUGUGAAAGUUGCUAUUCAUUUUGGUCUGUGGCAGGUUGAUGGUAUGGGUGUAUCAUGUUUUGGUUCACAUGACACAAGCCCACGAAGAGGCACCAUGUGGAAAAUGUGUGUCAUACAUUUUUUUCAGGAGAUCCUCUAUCCCCUGUGGGGUACUGGUGGUGUUGCUUUCCUCAACCCUGAUAUAAACUACAGUGACAAGUCAAUGUCUGCAUGUACAAAAUAAUGUAUGUUAUAUCAUAACCACAUCUACGUUUUAUUGAUCCUUGAAUUAGGUCUGGGUGGAACAUAAUCUCUCGUCAGUGCUCUGAUUUCAUCAUGAAUUUCUCUUUUUUACAGGCUUGAGCAGUUCAAUUACACGUUGUUUCAAGAGAACUGUUUAGUGAAGGAUAUCGGCGAAGAUGGAAAAAUCAAGUCUCCUGGCUCUCCUUUGAUUCGCUUGUCUGAAAGACUCUGCCUCUUCACAAAAAACUCUUCAUCUUGAACCUAUUAAGGUUGGAUUUGCUGGUUUCCACAUCAAGCGCACGCUUAUCCUCCACAUAGAAUUUUCUAUAUGCCUAUAAAUAAAUGAGAGUAGUUAAUAUCACGUCGUUGGAAAAAAAUGCUCUUAAGUGCGACUGUCCUUCUGGCAGCACUUUGAUAAAGGACACUACCAACCUCUUGUGUGGCCAUCACUGGUAGAAUCUAUCAUUCUUACAGAUUAACGUUAAUGCCUGCUGUAAUAGUUGAUCCUUUGGUAAGGAAAUGCCAUGUCCUGCCUCUUUUGUCUGUCGGGUUGGUCUGAAGUUAGAAGUUACCUGGGACUGAUGCUUAGUCCAGAUCGCAGUUUGGAAUGUUACCAUGGAUUUGAAGCUCUUUUGACAUCAUCACAACAGUCGAAAAAGGUCUUGUUUCAGUACAUUACAAACUGAAAAGGAUAAACUAUUUUUCUUCUCAUAAUGCCGCUUCAUCCAUAGCAAUAUAGUUGACACUAGUUGAUUUUCUAAAUAAAUCUGAUGCUAGUUAUAUUUUCAUAUCAAUGGAUCAUUUCUGCAAGUUAUUAUUUUUUAUUUUUCAUGUUUGUUAUGCAAAUUUCCUACAGGAUAUCUGGUACUCCACGUGUAAAACCAACAUACUCUAUCUUGAGAGGAGGAUGACGUCCAAUUUUAACUAUGACGUAAGCUCCAGUCUUCACUUGGUAAAGAAAUUUCUUGUAGAUACUAUCCAAUGCACUACUUGAAGGGAAGCGGUAAGAACACAGAUGAAGAUAUGUUUUUUCGUGGAUGGUGUGAAAUUGUUUGUUUCCCUGCAGAUAGAUGCCCCUCAACAGCUGUUGCACAGGGGGAUCCCCCUCACCUAUGCUGUUCAACAUUGCUGUAGAUGUUUCGCAGGAAUUAAUUCAUAGGGCUAAGAGAGCUGGGUUGAUUUGAGGGGUAGUUCCUUGUCUAGUAGAGGGAGGCAUUAAUAUGUUACAAUAUGUUGAUGGCACAGUACUUUUAUUAAGAGCUGACAAGAAGAGGCCAAAGUGUUAAAGAACAUUUGAUGCUUAGUUAAGCAUCUUUCUGGUCUAAAGAUUAAUUUUAAUAAGAGCGAGCUUUAUUGUUUAUGAGAGGCUAGUGAUCACAUUAAAAUAUGUAGAGAAUUUUUUACUUGUGUAGCUGGUAGCUUCCUUGGGCAUCCCUGUGCAUAGUGUUAAGCUUAUGAAUAGUGAUUGGGAAGGAGUGGAGGACAAGAUGGAAGGGAAACUAGGAGCCUGGCAAGGAAGAAUGAUCUCUUAUGGUCCUAGAUUAAUUUUGCUGAAAUCCUGUUUGAGUAGUAUACCUUACUUUAUGAUGUCUAUGUUUACUAUUCCUAAAGAUCCUCUGCAUAGAGUAGAAUAUUUUAUGAAAAGACUUCUAUGGCAGGAUAGUGGUGAAUCUGACAAGUAGUACAAUUUAGUGAAGUGGGAAAAGGUUUGCCAACCUAUUCAUUGGGGUAGAGGGUCUGGGAGUAGUUGAUUUAGCUGUAAUGAAUAUGUGUCUUUUGAGUAAAUGGUUAUGGAAAAUAGAAAAUGAGGAAGGUAUGUGGCAAGAUAUUAUUAGAAGUAAAUAUUGUAAUAAAGAGUCCUAGUCAGCAUUAAGAGAAAACCUACUCAGUCUCAUUUUAUGAGUGGCAUCUUAGACUAGAAAAGAGUAUUACAAAUUUUGUAGGAAGCGAGUGGGGGAUGGCAAAACUACUAGACUUUUGGGAAGACUCUUGAUUAGGUAAUGUUCCACUGUGUAGUAAGUUCCAUAGAUUGUAUAAUGCUAACACCAGUUUUAAUAUUACUGUAGCAGAGGUGAUUGGGGGUUGGAUAAUGUCAAAUUUAGGAGGAGGUUGGGUGAUUUGGCUGAGCAGCAUUUGCAAUAUCUCUGUGAGGACGUGGUUCAAAGUGAGGAGAGAGAUAAGUGCGUGUGGACUUUAACUACAUGUGGUGAAUUUACCAUUAGAUCAAUGUACCUGAUGAUCAAAGCUUUGCAAGUUAGAUGUCGUUUUAGAAAAUUAUGGUUUAUUAAAGUACCUCUUAAGAUUACAGUUAUCUUGUGGUUGAUGUUUAAGAAUAGUAUAUUAUUGACUAAAGAUAACUUGAGAAAAAAGAGGUUUGGUGGGAGAUGAGAGGUGUCGAUUUUGUGAGGCUAAAGAAUCUGUGGAUCACCUCUUUAUUCACUGUUCUUUGGCAAAAUAUGUAUGGGGAGCAGUUAGUUGUGCUUUGGGGGUAUCCAUGAAUUUAGACACUGCACAAGAUAUUUCUCUGUGGAUCAUGAGAUUUCCUGGUAAGACGAGAGGACUAAUGGCUGCAGGGGUAGCAGCGGUGAUUAGGGGCUUAGGGCAAUUUGGAAGGUAGGAAUAAUGCAUAUAUGCUUUAGAGGUAUUUAUCCGCAUGAUCCGAGCAGCGUUAUUACUCAAGUUUCUCACUGGUUGGAACACUGGGCUGGUUUGCAGAAGCGAGGGGGUCCGAGAAUUACAAGCCAGAGGAGCAAGACUAUUGUUGCAGGUUGCAGCUGAGAUGUACAGCCAAAAGAGAGGGUGGGCGCCAGUGGUGCUGCGAAUAGCUGGAUGAAGGAGUUAUCUGGGAGCUUUUGAUUACUCGGCUGGGUUGUGUGUUUGGUUCUGCUUUUGGCUGUUGUUGCGCAAUCCUGCAAUGCAGCGGUUAGAGCCUAGAAGAAGUGAGCGGUGGUGUGCGGUUUGUUCUACUGGAGCCUUUGAUAGUGCAGGUAUAGUGGUUUUUAGAUUGGGUUUUAUAGUACUGAGUAUAUGUUAUUUUGUUAGAUGGUGCUGUUAUGUAUGAUGGAAUCUGAUCGUUGGUCGAUCCAAGUUACCCUGCUGUAUUGUCAUUGCUGCUUCCCUUCCACGAGUCCCUUGAUCGAUCUGUACUAGGACGCUUCCUAGUUUGAUUCGGAAUUAGGAGAGUAGAGGCCUCGUUGGAUCUGACCGACUAUUUUCGUUUGGAGUUUGCGCUGGUUUGAUCACUGAGAAAGUUCCAUGUAUAUAUUGAGCAGGUUUGAACAUGUCAAUCUCUCAAGUCUCACACAGCACGGACCCAACCCAAAGUGUUGGUCCGUCUUGGACAUUUCAGUGUCGUUCCUCCGUCAUCUUACAGUGCUGUGCACCUAGGGCUCGCGCUGUUGAAGGUACUGUGUCACCCAUGCGGAAGUUUUGAAUGUGUAUGUGUAUGAACAUGAUGUAUGCAAUGAUACGACAGGGGGCUCUCUGCUGGCUGUCCUAUCCCAAGAUUUAUCAUGUCAUGUAUCAUCGGCACGGAACAAUUUUAAGCGACGCACAUCAGGACACUCUCAUCCUAUGCUACUUGUAGACACAUUUUACUGUCAAAGGCGUGCACCGGAGAGGCCACAUGUGCGCAUUGGAGUGACGACAUGGUCACUUAGAUCCACGUAGUCUGCUUGAUCGGUCUAGGCCACAUGCGCGCAUUGGAGAUAAAAUUGAUUAAAACAAAUCGAUAUAGAUGGAAACUAGAUGUUUGGUUAAUGUCNNNNNNNNNNNNNNNNNNNNNNNNNNNNNNNNNNNNNNNNNNNNNNNNNNNNNNNNNNNNNNNNNNNNNNNNNNNNNNNNNNNNNNNNNNNNNNNNNNNNNNNNNNNNNNNNNNNNNNNNNNNNNNNNNNNNNNNNNNNNNNNNNNNNNNNNNNNNNNNNNNNNNNNNNNNNNNNNNNNNNNNNNNNNNNNNNNNNNNNNNNNNNNNNNNNNNNNNNNNNNNNNNNNNNNNNNNNNNNNNNNNNNNNNNNNNNNNNNNNNNNNNNNNNNNNNNNNNNNNNNNNNNNNNNNNNNNNNNNNNNNNNNNNNNNNNNNNNNNNNNNNNNNNNNNNNNNNNNNNNNNNNNNNNNNNNNNNNNNNNNNNNNNCAAAAAGGAAAGAAAAAAAUGAGAGAACCCACUAGAAGGAGGAAAGAAGAAAAAUACUAGUCGUGAAAAUUAAAAGGGGAAGGAAAAAAAUCAGAGAACCCGCUAGGAGGAAAGAAGAAAAAUACUAGUCGCGAAAAUUAAAAGGGGAAGGAAAAAAAAAUCAAAGAACCCGCUAGAAGAAGGAAAGAAGAAAAAAUAAACACAAAAAGGAAAGGAAAAAAAAUAAAAAAUCCGCUAGAAGGAGGGCUCGAACCUCCGACCUUGUGGUUAACAGCCACACGCUCUAGCCAACUGAGCUAUUCCAGCUUGGUGGCAAAGAACAGAACUCUCUCUAGAUAAUCAAUACGUUCCUAAUAGACACAAGGAGCCAGCACCGAAUCACCAUGAGUUAGUGGCCUAGGAAGCAAGCGACGAUAUUUCUCUCUCUUUAAACUAGACGAAUCGUGCAUCAGUAAGAAUAGGAAACCACCUUGACCUGAUCGCGCUUCCAUGUCCAACUCACCGAACAGUUUCGUGUCCAUCACAUGCCAAGGGUAAAGAGCUUGCCCAUAUGUUGCAAAAUUCCUAGUGAUUUACUACAGGACAUGGUAUAUUCUCCUAGGAUUGGUUGGUGUGUCCGUUGAGCUCAGCAUUGGUUUCAACCUGCCGAGACCCUGAGACAGGCCCCCAAUAAAAACAGGUGAUGGGACUACUUGUCCUGGGAUGUGUUACCGGGAGGAGGAGCAGUUGAACUGAUGCAAUCAACACCAGUAGGAUGUCACUCUGGAUUGUAACACUUGACACGUACUAUAAGAUUUGGUGCACCUACAACACAACCUUGAUCUAGCCAACAAUGUAACCACUUCAGCUCACCAAUUCUCAGCUCUGCAUCUACACAACCUUGAGUCUUUAUAGAGAUUUCACUAUGAACUACAUAGUGAGCAAAAUGAGUGAAUCUACACUUUAAAAGGUUUAGGGUUUAGUGGAAUCUCUCCAAAGACUUAUAUUUGGUAACGGGGAGAGGGAGUACAUUCAUACAUCAUCCAAAUGAAGAUUACCUAAGCCACUGAACGUGAAAGAAAGAUGAACGGAGCGUGUAUUUUGGGCACAGCGUCAUCAGGAGGCCAAACCGGCAAACAAAGCAAGCAACGAGUAAAAUUGCAAGGUUUCAACUUCCAACACUGGCAGCGGUACAGAAACAGCAGCAUAAGUCAAAUGCAAGGUUCCAACUUUCCAAACCAAGGUAAGGUACAGAGACAACAGAUACACUCCCAGCAUCAACCGCCCUCACUUUGGGGCAUUCAUGAUGCAUCACAACAGUAUCCCCCGUCUUUCGGGGUUUCCCCGCUGGCGGCGGGCAUACUGCACUACAAAUACAUAAAUAUGAAAAACAUACACAUCACCGAGAUUACGGACAGACGGCACCGACACAGACAGGCUCACAUCUUUAGAGGCCUACUUCUUCCAAGCACCAGGUCCUUUCUGGGGGAAAUGCACCACCAACCAACAGCUUGCGCUUUCAUGGACGACGGACGGAACAGAUCAUUGUGAAAACAUCUUCCACAACUUACAGGGAUGAUAUUUACUAAAAAGAACCACAGAGCAACCACAACCAUGUUCCAAAGCAGAUCAGGCGUCUUCCGUCUUGCACAGGUCCAGCAGUGACAGUGUCUGCAAAAUUGAGAUGAGAAUGUUCAGUCCACCUGUCUUGCUCAAGCAUCUAUUAUCGUGGCAGCUGGAGUAAGGUAUAUAUACCUCUGCUAUGGAGAGCUCGAGGCGGAAUUUAGGACCAUCAUAGUGGUGCAGCACUGGCCUAAAAGCAUCCUCUUCCAAGGCCUUGCAAAGCCUUCUAAUGCGGAUCCUCACCUGAUAUGAUGAUGAAUAUGUCAGAUCAUGAAAAACAAGCCUGAUAAUAAACAUAUGUCAACCUUGGAAAUUAAUUACCUGUGCUGGGAAUCUGGAUUCACCUUUGCACUUCUUAUCUUCCCAAGCGGUGGGAUCAAUGUUUGAUCCUCCAAAACUAGCAGCCUGAGACACAAGAAAAUCUGAUUAGAAUGCUGAAGAACAAGCACUAUAAUUUGUGCUAGAGUUCAACCAAGACGCAUGUGCAUUUGAAAUGGAACUUUGAGAACAGGUACGCUUCUAAUUUCAGCCAGGCAAAACCGGAAGGGCCACAGAAGCACGUUUGGCUAAUAGGAACGUAACAUCAGGAGAAUGUUGGCUUAGAAGCACAGGAAUAAAUUUGGUAACCUACCAUGUUUUAUUACAGCUAGAAGAAAGAAGAACAUGAAAGUUCAAGUUCUUGAUUACAUAUGGUAGAGUAUCUACACCGCCAAAAUGGCAUUUCCUAUUUAAUUCAGUUCCAAGAAAACACUAGCUAAAACUUUUCAUCUAAAAGGAAAUUCAGAAACAGCACACGAAACUAUCCAUGCAAAUGAUAUAAGCAUUUAUGUAUGACAAAUACAACUGUUACAAUGUAUUCAUGAAGAGGCUUGCAGUUCCAUUCAAAUAAGGAGGCUCGUAGUUAUCAGCAAAUGAAACAAUCACACACCUCAAACACCCCAUGUAGCUGAUGGGUCGUGUAGUUGUAGAGGAAAAGAGGUAGACCAGGAGUGAUGGCUCGGACUGAAUCACGAUAUCUUGCUGGCAAGCCUGCAGAACAGAACAAACCAUGAGUAACAGAGUAACUUACAUAUAAUUGUGUGAGAUGGUAUGUGAAAUGAUUUACAAGGAUACAUAGUAGGCAUACCAAAAAGCUGUCUCUUGAGAUCCUCCUGCAUGGUAUCAUUGUUGCAGACAAAGAUGUAUCCACCAAGAACUUCAUUCCUUGGUAGCAUCUCGCUUGUUGGUAAUGUUUUGAAGCGCUUGUCAACAGAGUUGUUGUUGCUGUUGCCUCCAUUGUUGUUGUUACCACCAUUGUGUUUGCCGUUUGCUUCCUUCCCAUUCUGAUUAUUCGGAUAUUUGUUGACCCCGACAUUCAUCUUGAAUGAAUUGACAUUACCGUUGUUUCCCUUGGGGUACAUGGGGUUCAUGUUAUAGGCCAUGUUGCGGAAAGGGUACUUCAUGGCAGCCUCGUUCAUCUUGAGAUCGUUCAUCUUAAGAUCCAGGUUCAUGAGGCCAAGAUUGAGGUGGUCCAUCUUGUUGUCUUCUUGGUGGUAGGAUUGCUUAUCCCAUUGCUUCACAUCAGGGACGGUGUUCAUCCUUGCAUACUCAAAGUCAUUCAUCCUCUCAGCCUUUGACUUUGUGAUCUCAGCCAGCUUUGAUGUCAUGAGAGACCAUUGGCGGUCCUCCACCACCUUUGAUUGCCCACGGAACUCAUCUCCGAGAUGCCACAAGUUGUCCAUAGCUCAGUUCAAGCUCUCUGCACGCAAGAAAGGAUUAACAUAUAUCAGGUGACAAACAACACUUGUAAAAUAUCCUGCUUACGAAAAUAAAUGCACCAUAGGACAUAAUGAUAUUGGAGCAACAUAUCUCCAAUACAACACAAAAAUUACAAAUAACUUCAUGCAUGUUGUAAUUCUAUUCUAAGAAACUAAUUUUUUUCAGAGCUGCUAUCUAACUUUAGAAUCAGACUAGACCGCUACUUCAGGAAACAAAAUGCUGAGCUACAAACCUAUAUUUACACCUCAACGAGCAAUAAAACUGAACCCAACCGAAAUCAGUGAGAGAACUUUUUGACAAUCAAUAAUAGCCCACCAAGAAUAGUGCAUCAAGGCGGGCAAGUUUCGACAGCAACAACAAGCUGCCAGAAUACGCUGUCCCCUUCCGUCCACGCUCUAGCCCUAUAUCCUGUUGUACUUCUCCCAUGAACACAAUCCCUACUCCUCGCUUUCUGAUCCCGCGCUGGUGCGCUUACCAUCGCUCAACUAUGAUCAUACAAACUCUCUACAAAACAAAUGGAAGUAACACCGACCAUUUCAAUUCAUGUUCAUGACAACUUUCAACUUAAACCAAGCUUCAUAAUACCGUAAAUCUAUCUUCCAACCGCACAAAAUUAAAAAUUCUAUAGACCAAUUCGUCACCCAGAAGGACGCCAAAUCACAACUAUCAUCUAGAUCUAUGGGAACUUUGAACCGAAUUUUACGGAACGCUACUCCCCAUGCCCAGAUCUGCCACCCCUUCCCAUCCGUGGCGGGGCAAGGAGGCACCCUGGAGUCCAGGAAGGGGGCUCAGGAGUGCCACUCGCCAGGACGGCGAGGCGCGCGGCGGAGGAUCGAGACCGUGGCCGCAACGGGAGCGCCGCGUGAGGCGAACCGGGCGAGGCCAGGCGGGUGCGGCGGCGCUACCGAACACGCGAGAGGUGAGAAACGGGGAAAGCGGAUGGCGCCGUCGGAUGCUACGAAACGGAACGAAAUACCAAGGCGAAUCUGGCGGAACCACCGGCGCCCCUACCCAACGACCGCGCCAAAAUCGACCGCCGAAACGCCGGCGAGAUCGCAUUUCGGGGCCUUACAAGCAAGGAGAUCGGAGAGGAGCCUCAUACCUGCUCGAUUCGGCGCCGGAUUCCGGCGGGGAGGGCGCUGGAUUUGGGGGCGAAUCGGGAACGAACUGCUGCGAGGAGGAGAGGAGUCGGCUCGGCUGGCUUGGCGUUGGCUCCCACUUCGCUCCGCCCACACGGAGUCCACCGGUCAGAGAGAUUGGAGAGGGUGAGGGAGGUGAGCUGUCCUGCCGGAUUUAUAGGAGAGUGGGGGCGGAAAGAGGCCCCGGGUUGCGGGUUAUUUACCCGGUGUGCCACUGGUGGGGCAGGGGGGCGGUCAUUUGUUUGCUUUGGUUGGUGGUCGGCCUCGAUGGUUGUUGCUCCGGUUGAGCGGAUGCCGUUUGUAGAACCCGUUAGAAAAUGCCAGAAGGUUGUAGCUAGGAGUAGGAGUAUAUUCUGCAAGUGUUUGAUAGAUCAUGCUCAGCUGCUUACAUAUAUGCAGAUUUGUUUUUCUUAUUGCGAAGGAAUCCCUGGAUUUCAAUGGGCCAUAUGAAUAUAUGAUUGACGUGAAGAAGAUUUCGGUCAUUAUGGUGGAUUCGGUUGCGUGUAUGUUUGUGUGUUUUGUGUGUUGUUUAAAAUGUUGUAUGUCCACGGUAGUCGAUGGCCGACAUGGCUAAGGUGGGGAACCAACUCUCGGUGAGGCGGCGAAGAACCAUCUCUCUCUGUGUUACAAGACUCAAAAGCGUAAUUAUUGAUGAGAACCACCACUUUGCGUUUCGUCAAGACUCAAGUCACCCCAUUCUCGCGUUUACCAACACGUGGCGGCUUCGAUAAGAACUCUACGAGAUUCUAGAUUUCUCCAUGGUUGUGGUCAAUUGUAUACGGAAGAUGCUUGUAGCGCACGCUUGCGAUGUCGUGUAGCUCGGUGGCGUGUGUGGGUUGUGUCUUCUAGCAAUGAAAAGCGAAGAUAAGGAAGUAGGUGGUAGGUGCCGCCGUAACGCUUAGUCGGUCGUCUAGAAACGAACGCCAACAUCGCUUGAUGGAUAGAGAUUGAGGAAGUGGAGCUAACGUCGGUUAGAUAGAGAUCCCGAGACCAGGACAUCGUCACGAGAUAGAUAGAGGCACCGCCCUGAGUGAGUAUACACUAGAAAACAAAGAUCACCAAGAGAAGAAAAGGAAAAGAGAUAGACGUGAUCAAGAUAGAUGGAUAGAUAGAUAGGAUUGUCGUAUACCCUUUCAUGACACGUUUGGCCGCAGAGGAUACGGAGGUCUUCUCGAUCUCCACCGACAAUUAUCCUUUUUUAUCACGAUCAUUCUUCAUCAUCUCGCCUUUGAUCCUCUAAGUGCCACAUAUGCCUCAUCCUUCCCUCGUGUGACCUCUUUUCCUCCUGUAGGUCACCACCUUUACACUAGUCACCUUUACCAGGUGGAUGAGGACGAAUCAUGAAAUAAGGUGAAAGGUAGAAACAUGACGAGAAGGAGGGGGGAGUAAGAGUUUCGCCGAAGAGGUGCUGAGCCGCUGACAUUGUAUUUAUCAUCCCUCUUUUGUCUUGGGGCCCAUACCGUAAGCCUCGACUGCUCAGUGGAACUUCAUCACAGAAUGUUCGAGUGUGGCCAUUUAGCAUCCACAAAAUUCCGAGCAUUUUGUAUAGGAUUGGUGUGGAACACUAUAAACAUAGUGUAAUGUUUAAUUAGAAGUAAUGUCAAGAUUUAACCCCUAAGGACAUGCUUUAUGAGGCUUCUCGUAAUUUGGUUGAUUGAUCUUCCAUCUUUACACGCGGAGAGGGCAGUAGUUUCGAAGAAAAAAAAGGUUUACUCCACUCCUUUUUACUUUUCAAAAAAAAUAUUAACUAGUCAGAAGAAAAAACAAAAAAGGAAUUCCAUGAAUUGUAUUUUUAUUGAUCAAUUAGGAUUGACUUCUAGAAUGUAUAAUUGUCUAAAAAGGGCCAAUAUACAAAGUUUCCAAGGAAUUACUGUACUCAUAUUCCCUUUAGGUGUCCGGGAUUACUAUCCUCCUCCUUUUAUCCCGACGUUAAAGCAGGUCUUGUUGAAGUGUAGAGGGUCAUACACCUACCAAUUUACCAAAUAAUUAUUGUAUAAAACUCAAUGUCGUAGCAAAGAGAAGGAGAGGCGGUUUGCCAUCUGGGUCACUGCUGCCAUAACCGUUUAGUCAGUCAUCAAAGGCCAGCAUAACCGGAUAAAUAGAGGCCCCACACACGAGUAAAUGUAGAUUAGAAAACAAAGAUUUUCAAGAGAAGAAAUGAAAAUAGUAGACAUUAUCACAAUAUAUAGUAUUGAAGUAGUGGCUCUAAUCCUACUUAAGGAACCACCCCUAUCCUACAUGGCAUGCCACGUAGAUGAUCAACAAGAGUCAAAUCUAGUUCAUACUCAAUACUAGUCAAGGCAGUCAAUAAUAGUCCAAGCCCCUCCCCCCUCAUGGGUCAAAGCAAGCCCUCCCGGUCAACAAAAGUCCAAGCAAGACUUCUUGGUCAAUAAAUCAGAGGAAGAUGACCUCAUAAAAGAAUAAGUUAAAGCUGAAUGCAAAGAGAACAAAGAAAGCCCAAGGUCAACGUAGACACACUUCUCCAUGGAGUAGGAACUAUCCACUCAACGGGCUAUAACCCACCUCCUAGCCCAAUAAGGGGCACAUGGGCCUAGAUAAUUAGCUAGUUCUAUUGUGCCACCUCCUCACUUCAAGGGUAGCCUUGGUCGUCUAUCAAGCACCCCUGGGCUAUACAAGUCCCCCAUGACCGUGUAACUCACUCAAUCUCACUUGAAUAGACUCAAUAGGAGGGUCACUCACCCUUCCAGGCCCCUUUAGGAGGGUAAAAGAAGAGCAAGACUAAAAAAAUCUGAGGGGACAUAUAAGGCCCUGACUAGUCGGGAGUCAUGGGACUCCGGAAGCACUGGCACUCUAAGUAUUUUUGUGCGCUGAGCACCACUCUCGAUGACCCUUCAAUAGAAUGUAGGUCAUGCUCCCACGAGAUGACUGAACCUAUUUAAAACAAUGUUGUGUCACCUUGUCGAAUGCAUGACAACCUUCACUAUAAGGCUGUCAUACACGCCUCGCCUACUCAUCACUAACCACGUUGCUAUGGAGACCCCUAGCCGACAGUUGAUUCUUGAACAUCAACUAAUAGAUAUGUAAAUAGAUAAGAGUAUCAUACGCCCAUUAGGGCACGUUUGGUUGGAUGGUAUAGUGAAGUCUUCUCAAUCCCCACCAACAAUUGUCCAUUUUAUCAUGAUCCUUCUGCAACAUCUUGCAUUUGUUCAUCUUAAGUGUCACAUAGGCCUCAUCCUUCCUCAUGUUGGUUGCCAUCUUUAUGAUAGUCGCCUUGCCCGAUGCAUGAGGACAAGCUAAGAAUCAGCCGAAACAAUAUGAAAAAUACAAGAAGUGUCAAAUGCUCUGUGCAAGAUUGAGGGCCAAAUCAUGUUGAUAGUAUCGUUGAGUGUUUAGACAUGGUCGUUUAAGAUGCACAAGAGUUUUGUGUAUAAGAAUUGGAGUGAGACACUAUAAACACUAGUAAAUGCGUACGUGCAAUGCACAUUGAUAUUAGGCAGAAAACUAAUUGCACAUUGAUAUUAGAAAAAAAAUUAAUAGCAUGUUAAUAUUAGGUAGGAUAUCAAUUACAUGUUAAUUACCUGGAUAGUCAUAUUUGGUAUGUUAUUAACUACACACUAAACAUGUUGAGUGCUCGCGGUUGGAACAAUAUAGGUUGUUGAAUUAACACUGUUUGAUGGCCGAGAUUUGUUGGAUCUGCCCCUUUUGAUUUUUCUGUAUUGAUAUAGAUAUAGAUUGUUGAAUGUUUAAUUAGAAAUAAUGCAAAAACGAUUACAAUAGUGAUUUGAUGCCAUCAUAUUGCUUGUAUCCAUGAAUGGAUUAGGCAAAGUGUUGCUAAGUUCCAAAGGAAAUACCGUACUCAUCGUUUUAUCCUUGUGCUAAAGCGAGCCUCGUUCAACUGUUGAGGUUCAUACACCGACCAAUUUAGCAAAUAGUUAUUGCAUGCUUUAUGCCACGUGGGUGUGUGGGAUUUCAGAAAAAAUCAAUAAGUUAUAUAUUGAAAUUCCAAAAAAAGUUGACAAAAGCCGACGUUUUACACCUAGGUAUGAUAUGCAUACUCUACCUUCAUUAAUAAAUGUUUUCAUUUGUGUGCUACAUAAAAAUCAAUUUCGCGGGUCUACAAUAGGAAAUGAUAUAUUGUAGAUCAACAUAUAUGUCUUUUUUAUGCAGCCCUACAAAUCAACAUAAUGUUAUAUGAAUAUUCACUAGUACAUAACCAGAGUAUACAUGUACUUGUACAUUUUUAUAAAAAAAAUUAAACUUUAGAAUGUUUUUUAUAGAGGAGUUGAUGAACAUGAGCUCAUUUAGCAAUAUCCGAGUAAGGAACCAAAUGCAAGUAGUAAGAUUAAACUAGGUCAUGUUACUGAAGGAAAUAUGUCCUAGAGGCAAUAAUAAAGUUAUUAUUUAUUUCCUUAUUUCAUGAUAAAUUUUUAUUAUUCAUGCUAGAAUUGUAUUAUCCGGAAACAUAAUACAUGUGUGAAUACAUAGACAAACAGAGUGUCACUAGUAUGCCUCUACUUAAUUAGCUCGUUAAUCAAAGAUGGUUAUGUUUCCUAACCAUAGACAUGAGUUGUCAUUUGAUAAACGGAUUAACUUGACCCAUUCCGUUAGCUUAGCACUUGAUCAUUUUAGUUACUGAUAUUGCUUUCUUCAUGACUUAUACAUGUUCCUAUGGCUAUGAGAUUGUGCAACUCCCGAUUACCGGAGGAACACUUUGUGUGCUACCAAACGUCACAACGUAACUGGGUGAUUAUAAAGGUGCUCUACAGGUGUCUCCGAUGGUACUUGUUGAGUUGGCAUAAAUCGAUAUUAGGAUUUGCCACUUCGAUUGUCGGAGAGGUAUCUCUGGGCCCUCUCGGUAAUGCACAUCACUAUAAGCCUUGCAAGCAAUGCAACUAAUGAGUUAGUUGUGGGAUAGUGCAUUACAGAACGAGUAAAGAGACUUACCGGUAAUGAGAUUGAACUAGGUAUUGAGAUAUCGACGAUCGCAUCUCGGGCAAGUAACAUACCGAUGACAAAGGGAACAACGUAUGUUGUUAUGCGGUUUGACCGAGAAAGAUCUUCGUAGAAUAUGUAGGAACUAAUAUGAACAUCCAGGUUUCGCUAUUGGUUAUUGACCAGAGACGUGUCUCGGUCAUGUCUACAUAGUUCUCGAACCCGUAGGAUCCGCAUGCUUAACGUUCGGUGACGAUCGGUAUUAUGAGUUUAUGUGAUUGGAUGUACCGAAGGUAGUUUGGAGUCCCGGAUGAGAUCGGGGACAUGACAAGGAGUCUCGAAAUGGUCGAGAUGUAAAUAUCGAUAUAUUGGACGACUAUAUUCAGACAUCGAAAAGGUUCCGAGUGAUUCGGGUAUUUUUCAGAGUAAUGGGGAGUUACGGGAAUACGGGGAAGAAGUAUUGGGCCUCAUGGGCCAAGUUGUGGAAGAGAGGAGGCAGGGCGCGCGGCCCCCUAGCCCAAACCGAAUUGGACUAGGGGGGCGACCCCCCUUUCCUCCUUUCCUCCCUCUCCUUCCUUCUCCCCUCCCCCUUCCUUUCCUCCUCCUAGUAGGAGUAGGAAAGGGGAGUCCUACUCCUACUAGGAGGAGGACUCCUCCUCCUGGCGCGCCCUAGGAGGGCCGGCCGGCUCCCCCUUGCUCCUUUAUAUACGGGGGCAGGGGGCACCCUAGGACCCACAAGUUGAUCAUUGAUCCCUUAGCCGUGUGCGGUGCCCCCCCUCCACCAUAAUCCACCUCGAUCAUAUCGUAGCGGUGCUUAGGCGAAGCCCUGCGUCGGUAGCAACAUCAUCACUGUCAUCACGCCAUCGUGCUGACGAAACUCUCCCGUGAAGCUCUGCUGGAUUGGAGUUCGUGGGACGUCGUCGAGCUGAACGUGUGCUGAACUCGGAGGUGCCGUGCGUUCGGUACUUGGAUCGGUCGGAUCGUGAAGACGUUCGACUGCAUCAACCGCGUUCUCAUAACUCUUCCGCUUACGGUCUACGAGGGUACAUGGACGAUACUCUUCCCUCUCGUUGCUAUGCAUCACCAUGAUCUUGUGUGUGCGUAGGAUUUUUUUUGAAAUUACUACGUUCCCCAACAGUUACCUCGUUGAUUACCUGUUGAGCCCACAUUCUUGAUCUUACAUGUCUUUAAGGCCAACUCCAACGUGUCGACGCGAAUGGACGUGGAUUUGGCCUGCCUUUUGUCCAUUUGGAUCGGCUGUAGGGACAGUGUUCCCUCGUCCGCACAAAUCUUGCUAGCACACCCAACCGACUAACCCAUAUGGUCCGCCUCAUCGGUUUUUUGCCAAAUUUUCUCAAUUUAGACAUUCUACGCAUAUACAACCAAAUAAAACAAAACAUUUCACAUAGUUUACAACCAAAUAAGUUACACAACAUUUUCAUCACAAUAAAUAAAAAAACUCAUAGUUUAUUACAACCAAAUGAAUUUAAAAUUGUACCAACUACAUUGUAAAAACAGAGUCGAUACACCUAUUGGUUUCCUACGCGAGUCCACAUAUGCUCAACCAAAUUAUUUUGAAGUUAAAUGAUGAGUUGUCCAACCACGUAUUUCUUGAUGAAAUUGGGUGAAAUGUGCAAACAUUGCCGCUCCAUACUCAGGCUCAACGUUCUCACCCUAGAAACCCCACCCUUGAUCAAAGACGAUGUCAUCAUGCUUGUCCUCUACAAUCAUGUUGUGCAUGAUCACACAAGCAGUCAUCACAUCCCACCUCCUCCGAGGACUCCAUGUUCAGGGUGCCGAACGGGGUUGAUUGGAAUCAAGAGACAAAGGUUUACCCAGGUUCGGCCCCUCGCGGUGGAGGUAAAAGCCUACAUCCUUCUUGAUUGCUAUUUGAUGCCGAUGAUGAUCUCGAUUACAGGGUGCUAUUUCACUACCUCUCAUCUCGAGAGCAUAUACUUUGAUCUUGUCUAAGACUUGUCUGUCUGUCCUGACUUGUCUGUCUAAAAAACCUCCUUCUGAUGACCCACGGACUCCCUUUAUAUAAUAGUUGAGCUCCUGGAUUACAAGAGAUUCCAGGUUAUACCCGUUUUCAGAGUCCUACUCUAAGUCCUCUAAGUCCCCCGUGCCAUCCAAGUCGGGGUUCUCCGUCUUGUAUUUGGACUCCUGGAAACCUAGACUUGUCUCUCCAAGUUGGGACUCAUCCUCAAGCCGGGUCUCGUCUUCAGAGUUGGCUCAUCUCCAUGAGCCGGUUUAUCUCCAGAGCAUGCUUAUCUCCGUGAGGCUUCUUCACUUAGUGAGACCACUUAAUUAACUCCGUGAGACGGCUCGUCCGUGAGCCUGCUUAUCCAUGAGCCGACACAUCUUCACGAGCCUGCUUAUCCAUGAGCCGACUCAUCUCCAUGAGCCCGCUUAACCAUGAGCCAGCUCAUCUCCCUGAGCCUGCUUAUCCAUGAGCCCGCUCAUCUCCAUGAGGCCGCGUCACUCCGUGAGCCUGCUUAGCCAUGAGCACGCUCAUCCAUGAUCCGGCUUAUCUUUAGAGUCAGAAAACUUGUCUUGUAAUCGGUCGGGUCAAGAUUGUAGCCUGCUACUUCUUGAGCUUGCGUUGAUUUUUCCCUUGAAGAGGCAAGAGUGAUGCAGCAAAGUAGAGAUAAGUAUUUCCCUCAGUUAAGAACCAAGGUAUCAAUCUAGUAGGAGGCACAAGCAAGUAUCCAAUCUAUGCACCUCCACAAACUAACAAACACUUGCACUCAACGCGAAAAAGGGGUUGUCAAUCUUGAUACGUCCAUUUUGCAUCAUGUUUUCUUACUGUUAUUUAUAAUAUUUUAUCCAUAAUAAUGUUUUUUGGAGUAAUUCUAAUGCCUUUUCUCUCAUAAUAUGCAAGGUAUACACAAAAAGGGAGAAUUCCGGCAGCUGGAAAUCUGGACCUGUAAAAGCUACGUCAGGCCAUCUAUUCCGCACAACUCCAAAUGAGCUGAAACUUCACGGAGAAUUUUUAUGAUAUAUUUGAGGAAUAUUGGAGCAAAUAUCUACCAGAGGGGUCCCACCAGGGCGCGCCAGGGAGCCCAAGCGCACCCUGGUGGGUUGUGCUCACCCAGGCCCACCUCCGGUGCCCAUCUUUUGGUAUUUAAGUCAUUUUGACCUAGAAAAAAUAAAGACAAGACUUUCGGGAUGGAGCGCCGCCGUCUCGAGGCGGAACUUGGGCAGGAGCACUUUUGCCCUCCGGCGGAGCGAUUCCGCCGGGGGAACUUCCCUCCCGGAGGGGGAAAUCAUCGUCAUCAUCAUCACCAACAACUCUCCCAUCUUGGGGAGGGCAAUCUCCAUCAUCAUCUUCAACAACACCAUCUCCUCUCAAACCCUAAUUCAUCUCUUGUGUUCAAUCUUGUUACCGGAAUUAUAGAUUGGUGCUUGUGGGUGACUACUAGUGUUGAUUACAUCUUGUAGUUGAUUACUAUAUGGUUUAUUUGGUGGAAGAUUAUAUGUUCAGAUCCAAUAUGCUAUUUAAUACCCCUCUGAUCUUGAGCAUUAUUAUCAUUUCUGACUAGUUACUUUUGUUCUUGAGGUCACGGGAGAAAUCAUGUUGCAAGUAAUCAUGUGAACUUGAUAUGGGUUCGAUAUUUGGAUAGUAUGUAUGUUGUGAUUCCCUUAGUGGUGUCAUGUGAACGUUGACUACAUGGCACUUCACCAUAUUUGGGCCUAAGGGAAUGCAUUGUGGAGUAGCGAUUAGAUGGUGGGUUGGGAGAGUGACAGAAGCUUAAACCCCAGUUUGUGCGCUACCCCGUAAGGGACCGAUUGGAUCCAAAAGUUUAAUGUUAUGGUUAGAAUUUAUUCUUAAUACUUUCCUCGUAGUUGUGGAUGCUUGCGGGAGGGUUAAUCAUAAGUAAGAGGUUUGUUCAAGUAAGAACAUCACCUAAGCACCGGUCCACCCACAUAUCAAAUUAUCAAAGUACCAAACACAAAUUAAGCCAACAUGAUGAAAGUGACUAGAUGAAAUUCCCGUAUACCCUCAAGAACGCUUUGCUUAUCAUAAGAGACUGUUUUGGCCCGUCCUUUGCCUCAAAAGGAUUGGGCUACCUUCCACUUUCGUUACCACUAUCGUUGCUUGCUCGUUACAAAAAUAGUAUAAAAAGUUGCCAAAAGUAUGUAAAAGUUGUAGAAUAUUGGCAUGGAACAAUCAAAAAUUACAGAUAUGAUGGAGACAUAUCAAGUAGAAGCACUCAGUUUCAGGCUUGGGUCUAGCUUUAGGCUUCUUCAUGGGAGUGGCAACUUGCUUGUCAUUCUUCUUGAAGUUCCCUUUUCUUUCCCUUGCCCUUUUACUUGAAACUAGUGGUCUUGUCAACCAUCAACAUUUGAUGUUUUUCUUGAUUUCUACCUUCGUCGAUUUCAGCAUCACGAAGAGCUUGGGAAUCGUUUUCGUCAUCCCUUCCAUAUUAUAGUUCAUCACGAAGUUCCAGUAACUUGGUGAUAGUGACUAGAGAACUCUGUCAAUCACUAUCUUAUCUGGAAGAUUAACUCCCACUUGAUUCAAGCGAUUGUAGUACUCAAGCAUUUUGAGCACAUGCUCAUUGGUUGAGCUAUUCUCCUCCAUCUUGUAGGCAAAGUACUUGUCAGAGGUAUCAUACCUCUCGACUCGGGCAUGAGUCUGAAAUACCAAUUUCAGCUCUUGGAACAUCUUAUAUGCUCCAUGGCAUUCAAAAUGUUUUUGAAGUCCCGGUUCUAAGCCGUAAAGCAUGGCGCACUAAACUAUUAAGUAGUCAUCAUACCGAGCUUGCCAAACAUUCAUAACGUCUGCAUCUGCUCUUGCAAUAGGUCCGUCACCUAGCGGUGCAUCAAGGACAUAAUUCUUCUGUGCAGCAAUGAGGAUAAUCCUCAGAUCACAGACCCAGUCUGCAUCAUUGCUACUAUCAUCUUUCAACUUAUUUUUCUCUAGGAACAUAUCAAAAAUAAAACAAGGGAGCUAUAUGCGAGCUAUUGAUCUAUAACAUAGAUAUGCAAAAACUAUCAGGACUAAGUUCAUGAUAAAUUAAAUUUUAAUUAAUCAUAUUACUUAAGAACUCCCACUUAGAUAGACAUCCCUCUAGUCAUCUAAAUGAUCACGUGAUCCAUAUCAGCCAAACCAUGUCCGAUCAUCACGUGAGAUGGAGUAGUUUUCAAUGGUGAACAUCACUAUGUUGAUCAUAUCUACUAUAUGAUUCAUGCUCGACCUUUCGGUCUUAGUGUUCCGAGCCAUAUCUGCAUAUGCUAGGCUCGUCAUCAGGUUUAACCCGAGUAUUCUGCGUGUGCAAAACUGGCUUGCAUCCGUUGUAUGUGAACGUAGAGAUUAUCACACCCGAUCAUCAUGUGGUGUCUCGGCACGACAAACUGUCGCAAUGGUGCAUACUCAGGGAGAACACUUAUACCUUGAAAUUUAGUGAAGGAUCAUCUUAUAAUGCUACCGCCGUACUAAGCAAACUAAGAUGCAUAAAGGAUAAACAUCACAUGCGAUCAAAAUAAGUGAUAUGAUAUGGCCAUCAUCAUCUUUUGCCUUUGAUCUCCAUAUUCAAAGCACCGUCAUGAUCACCAUCGUCAAGGCUUGAUACCUUGAUCUCCAUUGAAGCAUCGUUCUUGUCUCGCCAACUAUUGCUACUACGACUAUCGCUACCGCUUAGUGAUAAAGUAAAGUAAUUACAUGGCGAUUGCAUUUCAUACAAUAAAGCGACAACCAUAUGGCUCCUGCCAGUUGCCGAUAACUGUUACAAAACAUGAUCAUCUCAUACAACAAUUUAUAUAUCAUCACGUCUUGAUCAUAUUGAUAACCCACAAGUAUAGGGGAUCGCAACAGUUUUCGUGGGUAGAGUAUUCAACCCAAAUUUAUUGAUUCGACACAAGGGGGGCCAAAGAAUAUUCUCAAGUAUUAGCAGUUGAGUUGUCAAUUCAACCACACCUGGAAACUUAAUAUCUGUAGCAAAGUAUUUAGUAGCAAAGUAAUAUGAUAGUAGUGGUAACGGUAGCAAAAGUAAUGUUUUUGGUAUUUUGUAGUGAUGAUAGCAAUAGCAACGGAAAAGUAAAUAAGCGAAGAACAAUAUAUGGAAAGCUUGUAGGCAAUGGAUCGGUGAUGGAGAAUUAUGCCGGAUGCGGUUCAUCAUGUAACAAUCAUAACAUAGGGUGUCAUAGAACUAGCUCCAAUUCAUCAAUCUAAUAUAGGCAUGUAUUUCAAAUAUAGUCAUACGUGCUUAUGGAAAAGAACUUGCAUGACAUCUUUUGUCCUACCCUCCCGUGGCAGCGGGGUCCUAAUGAAACUAAGGGAUAUUAAGGCCUCCUUUUAAUAGAGUACCGGACCAAAGCAUUAACACAUAGUGAAUACAUGAACUCCUCAAACUACGGUCAUCACCAGGAGUGGUCCCAAUUAUUGUCACUUCGGGGUUGCCGGAUCACAACACAUAGUAGGUGACUAUAGACUUGCAAGAUAGGAUCAAAAACUCAUAUAUAUUCAUGAAAACAUAAUAAGUUCAGAUCUGAAAUCAUGGCACUCGGGCCCUAGUGACAAGCAUUAAGUAUAGCAAAGUCAUAGCAAAAUCAGUCUCAGAACAUAAUGGAUACUAGUGAUCAAACCCUAACAAAACUAACUCGAUUACAUGAUAGAUCUCAUCCAACCCAUCACCAUCCAGCAAGCCUACGAUGGAAUUACUCACGCACAACGGUGAGCAUCAUGAAAUUGGUGAUGGAGGAUGGUUGAUGAUGACGAUGGCGACGGAUUCCCCUCUCCGGAUCCCCGAACGGACUCCAAAUCAGCCCCCUCGAGAGGUUUUAGGGCUUGGCGGCGGCUCCGUAUCGUAAAACGCGAUGAAUUCUUUGCUCUGAUUUUUUCUCCCCGAAACCAAAUAUAUAGAGUUGGAGUUGAGGUCGGAGGAGCUCCAGGGGGCCCAUGAGGUAGGGGGCGCGCCCCUCACCCUCGUGGACAGGUGGUGGACCCCCUGGUCUUCAUCUUUUGCAAGGAUUUUUUAUUAGUUUCGAAUAGAUGUUCCGUGAAGUUUCAGGUUAUUCCGAGAACUUUUGUUUCUGCACAUAAAUAACACCAUGGUAAUUUUGCUGAAAACAACGUCAGUCCGGGUUAGUUCCAUUCAAAUCAUGCAAGUUAGAGUCCAAAACAAGGGCAAAAGUGUUUGGAAAAGUAGAUACGACGGAGAUGUAUCAACUCCCCCAAGCUUAAACCUUUGCUUGUCCUCAAGCAAUUCAGUUGAUAAACUGAAAGUGAUAAAGAAAAACUUUUACAAACUCUGUUUGCUCUUGUUGUUCUAAAUAUGUAAAGCCAGCAUUCAAGUUUUCAGCAAAGAUUAUGAACUAACCAUAUUCACAAUAACACAUAGGUCUGAAGUUUACUCAUAUCAAUGGUAUAAUCAACUAGCGAGCAAUAAUAAUAAAUCUCGGAUGACAACACUUUCUCGAAACAAUCAUAAUAUAAUACAACAAGAUGGUAUCUCGCUAGCCCUUUCUGAGACCGCAAAACAUAAAUGCAUAGCACCUUUAAAGAUCAAGGACUGACUAGACAUUGUAAUUCAUGGUAAAAGAGAUCCAGUCAAGUCAUACUCAAUGUAAACUAACAGUAAUGAAUGCAAAUGACAGCGGUGCUCUCCAACUGGUGCUUUUUAAUAAUAUGAUGACUCAACAUGAAAGUAAAUAGAUAGGCCCUUCGCAGAGUGAAGCAGGGAUUUGUAGAGGUGCCAGAGCUUGGUUUUGAAAUAGAGAUGAAUAAUAUUUUGAGCGGUAUACUUUCAUUGUCAACAUAACAACCAAGAGAUGGCGAUAUCUUCCAUGCUACACACAUUAUAGGCAGUUCCCAAACAGAAUGGUAAAGUUUAUACUCCCCCUCCACCAACAAGCAUCAAUCCAUGGCUUGCUCGAAACAACGAGUGCCUCCAACUAACAACAGUCCCAGGGGAGUUUUGUUUGCAAUUAUUUUGAUUUAGUUUGCAUAAAGCAUGGGACUGGGCAUCCCGGUGACCAGCCACUUUCUCGUGAGUGAGGAGCGGAGUCCACUCCUCUUGAGAAUAACCCGCCUAACAUGGAAGAUACGGACAACCCUAGUUGAUAUAUGAGCUAUUCAAGCAUACAAAACAUGAUAUUUAUUUGAAGUUUUAGAGUUUGGCACAUACAAAUUUACUUGGAACGACAGGUAGAUACCGUAUAUAGGUAGGUAUGGUGGACUCAUAUGGAAUAACUUUGGGGUUUAUGGAGUUGGAUGCACAAGCAGUAUUCCCGCUUAGUACAGGUGAAGACUAGCAAAAGACUAGGAAGCGACCAGUUAGAGAGCGACAACAGUCAUGAACAUGCAUUAAAAUUAAUUAACACCGAAUGCAAGCAUGAGUAGGAUAUAAUCCACCAUGAACAUAAAUAUCGUGAAGGCUAUGUUGAUUUUGUUUCAACUACAUGCGUGAACAUGUGCCAAGUCAAGUCACUUAAGUCAUUCAGAGGAGGAUACCACCCUAUCAUACCACAUCACAACCAUUUUAAUAGCAUGUUGACACGCAAGGUAAACCAUUAUAAGCUCCUAGCUAAUCAAGCAUGGCACAAGAAACUAUGAUCUCUAGUUGUCAUUGCAAACAUGUUUAUUCAUAAUAGGCAGAAUCAGGAACGAUGAACUAAUCAUAUUUACAAAAACAAGAGAGGUCGAAUUCAUACCAGCUUUUCUCAUCUCAGUCAAUCCAUCAUAUAUCGUCAUAAUUGCCUUUUACUUGCAUGACCGAAUAGUGUGAAUAAUAAUAAUAGUGCACGUGCAUUGGACUAAGCUGGAAUCUGCAAGCAUUCAAUAAACAGGAGAAGACAAGGCAAUAUGGGAUCUUUUGUCAGAUCAACAAUAAUGCAUAUAAGAGCUACUUCAAGAAUUUAAUUAUGGUCUUCUCCUAUCGACCCCCAAAGAAAAGAAAUAAAACUAUUAACACGGGAAAGCUCCCAACAAGUAAAAGAAGAACAAGAAAUAUUUUUGGGUUUUCUUUUUUAAUUACUACUACAAGCAUGGAAAGUAAACUAAUUAAAGGCUACAACUAUUUUUUUCUUAAUGUUUAUUAAACACAUAAGAAGAAAGCAUAAAAAGGAAAAUAAACUAGCAUGGGUGAUACAAUGAAAAAGUAUGAGCACCAACAUCUAGCAAUGAGUGUGUGAACAUGAAUGUAAUGUCGAUGGGAAAUACGUACUCCCCCAAGCUUAGGCUUUUGGCCUAAGUUGGUCUAUGGCCACGGUUGGCCUGGCUGAUAUCCAUAGUAAUAGUUGGGGUGAUACUGUGAUGCAGCGGCUAUCGCCUCCUGAGCUGCAGCGUGGCGAUGAGCGGCCUCUGCCCUCCUCUCGUACUCAUUUGCCUCCUCUCUGGUAAUAACAUAUCUUCCUUUUGCCUGAUAAUCAAAGAAGGCAGGAGCAUAGAGAGUAAUACGGACAUCACGACGUCUGUCAAAGAUUAAACGAUACUGGAGAGGUGAUUCAUUCCUCUCAACAAACUGGUGGUGAACCAUAGCAUUAAAGUCUAGGUAAGCAGGAGGUAAUUCAGUAUCAUCAUUACGUAUAGUUACACCAAGAAAAUCAGCUAAGCGGGUUGCAUAAAUUCCACCAAAGAAAUCUUUAUUAAAUCUAUUCAGAUGCAACCUACGUGCAACAAUGGCUCCCAAAUUAUAAGAUUUAUCUCCCAACACAGCACUCCUAAGAAUACUAAGGUCAGGGACACACAUGUGACAUGCUUCAUCUUUACCGUUAAUGCAUCUACCUAUGAAGAGAGCGAAAUAAUGUAUAGUAGGAAAAUGAAUGCUCCCUGUGGUAGCUUGUGUUAUAUCUCUAGAUUCCCCCACAGUUAUACUAGCAAGAAAAUCUCUAAAUUCAGAUUUGCGAGGUUCCCUGAUACUACCCCAUUGUGGAAGUUUGCAAGCAGUGGUAAAAUCCUCUAAGUCCAUAGUGUAAGAAUUUUCAUAAAGAUCAAACAGGACAGUUGGAGAAUUACGUGAAGAUGAAAAUUCAAACCUCCUCACAAAGGAACUAGUGAGAUAGUGGUACUGACGGUAUUUUUCUUCCUCGAAGCUCACAAGAUUAGCGUUACGCAAAUAUACGUUAAAUUCUUCCUUAAUUCCCGCUCGAUCCAUAAAGUUCUCCGAAGGCCAUUCACAAGGACGCACUGGAGCGUUUCUUGGUGGCUCAUCAUCAGCAUCACGCAUUGCAAGCCUGGGCUCUUGUUUCCUUGAAGAGCCCCCUUGGUACAUUUUCCUAAACAUAUUUCUUCCUCUAAAAAAUUUCUGAAUUUUUUAGUAACUUCAAAAUAAAAGUGAACCAAACUCAAUAAUAUUGAUAGCAACUACUCCUACAAGUUCUUAGAGCCUAUAUCAUGCAUCAAAACUACUUUUAACCAUAUAAAUUUGACAUGCAAGCUCAAGAACAGGGUCACCUAAGCAACACAAAUUUGCAAUGAAUAAAGCACUAGAACAAAAACUAAUUGGACCAAUGGAGGAGUCACCUACCAAGGAACAAUCUCCCCAAGCAGUUUUGUGAGAGGUGCUUUAAGCAAGGAGAUCGAAAAUGGUAGCAAAAUGAGCUUAGACUCGGGUUUGAGUUGGAUAUUCGUGUUUGUGGGAGGAAGAAGGAGUGUGUGGGUGCAGGAAUAAGUGGAGGAGGGCCACCAUGGGCCCACGAGGCAGGGGGCGCGCCUAGGGGGGUAGGGCGCGCCCCUGACCCUCGUGGCCAGGUGCCAGCUCCUCGUGUUGUGUUCUCAGUGCCAAAUAUUCUCAAAUAUUUCAGAAAAAAAAUCAUAUUUAAAUUUCAGGGCAUUUGGAGAACUUUUAUUUUUGGGGUAUUUUUAUAUUGCACGGAUAAAUCAGAUAACAGACAGAAAAAUACUAUUUUUAUUUUAUUUAAUAUAAAUAACAGAAAGUAAGAGGAGGGUACAGAAGGUUGUGCCUUCUAGUUUCAUCCAUCUCAUGAUCAUCAAAAGGAAUCCAUUAACAAGGUUGAUCAAGUGUUGUUAACGAACUCAUUCCGAAUAAUAUGGAACCGGAGAAAUUUCAAAUAACACUAUGUUACCUCAACGGGGAUAUGCACAUCCCCAAUAAUAAGAAUAUCAUAUUUCUUCUUGACAGUAGGAAGAGGAAAUUUAAAACCUCCAAAUAUAAUCGAUGGAAUUUUUCCAAUAGAGUUGAUUCUAUGAACUUGAUGUUGUUUCCUCGGAAAGUGUACCGUAUGCUCAUUACCAUUAACAUGAAAAGUGACAUUGCCUUUAGUGCAAUCAAUAACAGCCCCUGCAGUAUUCAAAAAGGGUCUUCCAAGAAUAAUAGACAUACUAUCGCCCUCGGGAACAUCAAGAAUAACAAAGUCCGUUAAAAUAGUAAUGUUUGCAACUACAACAGGCACAUCCUCACAAAUACCGAUAGGUAUAGCAGUUGAUUUAUCAGCCAUUUGCAAAGAUAUUUCAGUAGGUGUCAACUUAUUUAAAUCGAGUCUACGAUAUAAAGAGACAUGCAUAACACUAACAGCGGCUCCAAGAUCACAUAAAACAGUUUUAACAUAAUUUCUUUUAAUGGAACAUGGUAUAGUGGGUACUACCGGAUCUCCAAGUUUCUUUGGUAUUCCACCCUUAAAAGUAUAAUUAGCAAGCAUGGUGGAAAUUUCAGCUUCCGAUAUCUUUCUUUAAUUUGUAACAAUAUCUUUCAUAUACUUAGCAUAACUAUUCAUUUUGAGCAUAUCAGUUAAUCGCAUACGCAAAAAGAUAAAGGUCUAAUCAUUUCAGCAAAGCACUCAAAAUCCUCAUCAUCCUUUUUCUUUAAUGGUUUGGGAGGAAAAGGCAUGGGUUUCUGAACCCAAGGCUCUCUUUCCCUACAGUGUUUCCUAGCAACAAAGUCUUUCUUAUCAUAACAUUGAUUCUUUGAUUGUGGGUUAUCAAGAUCAACAACAGGUUCAAUUUCUAUAUCAUUAUCAUUGCUAAGUUGAGCAUCAUCAUGAACAUUAUCAUUAACAUUAUCACUAGUUUCAGGUUCAUUACCAGAUUGUGUUUCAGCAUCAGAGAUAGAAAUAUCAUUUGGAUUCUCAGGUGUUUCGGUAAUAGGUUCACUAGAAGCAUGCAAAGUGAUAGAGGCGAGGGUCCCGAUCUUUCGAUGAGACGAUAACUAUCGAUUUGGUGGAGACGACUUUGACGAUCCGACUACAAACGUGCAUGACGUUGCGCCUUAGCAACCGCUAAACCAAUCUCCUGAGGUUACUGACGAUGCUGGAAGCACGGUCAACCUGACCACGAAGGUCUAUUCCUGCAAGCAAUCAAAGAACAAGCAAGAAUAUGAUAAAGCAAUCUGAAUAUUGCGAGUAUAUAUGAAGUAUUGAUAAAGGUGGGGAUCCGUAAGCGGUCUUGGUCUGGUCGUUGGACACAAACGAAGUACACGAAGUUGCUAUGGCUAACUUUUAACUAAACAAAUCCCCAGAAAAAAGCUACUAGAUGAAUCUACUUAUAUAGGAGCAAGGGGUGGCGGCCAAGGAGGUGGGAGGACGUCCCAAGGCAGCCUAAAACUAACCCUAGGUCGUACAAGGCUCAUGGGUCCAAGUGGAGGUGAUGCAACACCUUUGGGCUUGUAAUUUGACUCGGAUUCUGCUGUAAUGUCAGAUUGUUUCGUCCGUAACUCAACGCUUCGGACGAAUUUGAAGGUGAAUCCAAUUGGGUUGGAAAGAGCAUGAAAUCUAGUUUCCAACAAAAAAAGAAUCACCCAAUUCAGAGUCCGUAUGAAAAAGUUGUUGGCGUUUUGAGUCAGGUAUGUCUGUGCAGUCCGAAUCUGAAUCCAGAACGUGAGAGACUUGGACUCUAUCUUCUCUUGGCCCAAAAGUGACGUGAGAGGACUUUUUGAACACAACCUAAACUUCUCCUUUUCCCUUAUCUUCAUAUGUGGAUUGUACAAAUGUCCCAUACACCUGCAAUUAGACAAAACACAAAAGUGUGUGAAGUAUUUUUGUUCUGGAUAACAUAAAUAGAUUAUUGAAUAGUUUGCAUUAAAAUCACCUGACAAAUAUGUAUGUAUGCAAUAUUUUUGGUCGUAUCCAAGGUAGUCAUGUCCUCAUCAUCCUCCCCUUUUUGAAAACAAAGCCGUCCUCGGCGUUGCUUAAUCUGAAAUGUGGUUAACAAAAGAGACAAGGUGUACAUGUUGUAUAUGUAUAUGUCAUCCAGUUUAACUUCCCUUGAUUUUUGCACGUAUGACACAUGUAUACAUGAGUAACUUUCAUAGUUCAUAAAAACUAAAGCCAAAAAAUUAUCACAAGAAGUAGAAGGCAUGAAAAUAUUAGAACUCAGUUUGCACAUAUAAGUGAAGCUCUUAUUCAUUUCAAAAGAUUCGCAAUGUUCAUCAUUAAACCAUCCCAACUUUGGUGAAUAAACCUUACUUGCAUCAAAUUUACAUGCUACAACAUGCUUAAAUAAGCAAACAUGCAAUAAGUCAUUGGACACAGAAUCAUCACCAAGAUUGGAGGCCAUAUCAAAAUGAUUAAACAUUAGUUCUUUUGCAUCAACAGUUAAUUCAGUGGGUGCACUCAAAAUUGUUGAUAUUUCAGUUGUUUGAUCACAUGACGCAUUCAUGACAGUAACAAGAUUCUCUAAAUAGGUGGUGUGCUCAAAUCAACAGGUAACUCAAUACAUGACACAUUCAAGUUAACUAGGCAUGCAUCAUUCUCAUGUGAAGUUAUAUCAUCAAUACCUUUACUGUUACCUUGUGGCAAAGAUGUAGCUGAUGUAGGUACGAACGUUGACAAUGUACCAUACCCUUGAGAUGAUGCCGCGCUCAUAAUCUGAGGUGCAAUGAUGGAGGAACCCACCGGCGGUGGUGAGCAUGAACUGAAAUAGUAGUUGUUGUAGUCACCUAAUGCAUCCUCCUGUAUCUGUCUCUCAAAGGUACAAGCACGGACAUACAUAUCAGUAAUGCAACAAGGAAUAUACUGAAAUCUUGCCUGAAUAUCAUGGUUCAAACCACCAAAAAAUCUAUUCAUUGUAUCAUUCUCAGAUUCUUCUAUGUCACAAUGAUGCAUAUAAGAUUUGAACUCUUGGUAGUAAGCAUGAACAGUGUUGUUGCCUUGUUUAAAUUGUUCAAAUUUGCGAAGCAAUUCACGAUGAUAAUAAGGAGGGAAAAAUUGUUGUCUCAUUACAGCUUUCAAAACUUUCCAAGUUGUGGGUUGGUUAUCAAUGUUUUUCUUACAAUGUACACUCCACCAAACAGAAGCAAAAUCAGUAAAUGCUCUAGUGGCUGCUCGCACUCGCUCAAGUUCAUAAAAGUCAUGGUGACUAAAAGCUUGUUCUACUUCAAGCUCACAAGCUAGAUAAGUAGUAGGAUUAAAUCUGCCCUCAAAUGACGGUAAAAAGAUAACCUGACCAUGUGCUUGUGUGUGUUGUCCCAACUCUCGUGAUGGUGAAGAUGUGUUUGUCGUCUAAGAACUUCUAUCUUCGGAACCUGUCAUGAUUAGUAGAAACAAGAAACAAAAUUCAAGAAUAAUGUUCCUAUGAACUACUAGGGUGUGGUGGUAAAGCGCCCACAGUAAAGCAAAUAUCAAUAUCUUACAAGUUCUUACCAAGCAGCAGAUGGUGACAGGCAACCAGCGGUGUCAAAUAACUCCGAAGAUUGUGUAAAGUGAUUGCCAGGGGAACGUGCGUAUACACGGUUUAGAAAUAUGUGGAGCUGGGUUGGCUAUAUAUGGUAGCAAAAGAUUAGCAAUAAUCAAUUCAGAGAUGCAAUGUUGAAUAAACGCUCAAUGAUGGUACUGUGCUGGUCCUAGGCUAGACCGAACUAGAGACGCGAGCCUAGAACACUAAUGAGGUCACGUCGUAGCACAACUAGCAUCAAUGAAGGAUACUAAGUAGCUCUGGACAGCAAGAUAUAAGUAAAGAUCACAACGGCAGUAAAGAUAAUGAUGUGAAACAACAGCCAAGAAGGAUAUAUCAACAACUUUGUCUCCAACUUUCCUUUAAAAAAGUUUGUGCCGAUUUUUUUGAUUUUUUUUCAAGAAUGGUAUUGACUCAAGCUUUCAAACACAAAAGGAAUCACUCAAUUUCGAGUUGAUAUGAGGAGUUAAAAAAUUCGAAAACUGGCCUGAAAAACUGAAAUAAGCUGUGUUCAAGAACUUCGGAGGGCAAAAAGACCUAUUUAGAAGCCGAUUUUGAGGUGCCAAAUAUUGAACUAGCUUCUUCAACUAUUUAGAUGCGGCUCGUCGCUAGCUUUCGUUUGAGUACUCGCGGAGGCAAAACGGACUUCGUAUGAGGAAGUUAUGUCUGUUUUACUGAACAGUGCACAAAACAGAUUCCAAUCCGAAUUCAACUACGAGAUUGAGCCUAAAAAGAUCCGAAUUUUGUUUUUUUUCUUCUCUUUUUUUUCCUCACACUUUUUUUUCUUUCUCUCCUUUUUUUCUCUGACUUUUUUUCUCUUUUUUUCUCUCAUUUUUUUCUCUCUUUUUUUCUCCCUCUUUCCAAAACAAACUAGAUAAGAUGCAGAUUGGAUCAAGCGAAGAUGUGAACGAGAUCAACUAUUAUUAUGACAAUGAAUGGUGGGUAGCACGUGGUGGAAAUUGAUGGAUGGGUGGUGGACAGCGAAAGAGAUAAUGAUGCAGCGGUGGCGUGACUAAUGUGAACAGAACUCGAAACUCUAAACGAACUAGACACUAAGACCAGCAACUCGACACGAUGAUGUAACCGAUAAUUCAACUAUGCAAGCAAUGAAAAGAAAAUUGCAAAGGCCCAGACUGGCUUGGACCAAGGUUGAAUAGAUCUAACUCUUUUUUGUGCCUUUUCCUUGGACAAUAGGUAAGAAAAAAAAUCUAAUCUAGGAAAACUGGAAAUUCUCACCGAGCAACCUGAAAACUGAUACCACUUGAUAGAGGCGAGGGUCCCGAUCUUUCGAUGAGACGAUAACUAUCGAUUUGGUGGAGACGACUUUGACGAUCCGACUACAAACGUGCAUGACGUUGCGCCUUAGCAACCGCUAAACCAAUCUCCUGAGGUUACUGACGAUGCUGGAAGCACGGUCAACCUGACCACGAAGGUCUAUUCCUGCAAGCAAUCAAAGAACAAGCAAGAAUAUGAUAAAGCAAUCUAAAUAUUGCGAGUAUAUAUGAAGUAUUGAUAAAGGUGGGGAUCCGUAAGCGGUCUUGGUCUGGUCGUUGGACACAAACGAAGUACACGAAGUUGCUAUGGCUAACUUUUAACUAAACAAAUCCCCAGGAAAAAGCUACUAGAUGGAUCUACUUAUAUAGGAGCAAGGGGUGGCGGCCAAGGAGGUGGGAGGACGUCCCAAGGCAGCCUAAAACUAACCCUAGGUCGUACAAGUCUCAUGGGCCCAAGUGGAGGUGAUGCAACACCUUUGGGCUUGUAGUUUGACUCGGAUUCUGCUGUAAUGUCAGAUUGUUUCGUCCGUAACUCAACGCUUCGGAUGAAUUUGAAGGUGAAUCCAAUUGGGUUGGAAAGAGCACGAAAUCUAGUUUCCAAUAAAAAAAGAAUCACCCAAUUCAGAGUCCGUAUGAAAAAGUUGUUGGCGUUUUGAGUCAGGUAUGUCUGUGCAGUCCGAAUCUGAAUCCAGAACGUGAGAGACUUGGACUCUAUCUUCUCUUGGCCCAAAAGUGACGUGAGAGGACUUUUUGAACACAACCUAAACUUCUCCUUUUCCCUUAUCUUCAUAUAUUGAUUGUACAAAUGUCCCAUACACCUGCAAUUAGACAAAACACAAAAGUGUGUGAAGUAUUUUUGUUAUGGAUAACAUAAAUAGAUUAUUGAAUAGUUUGCAUUACAAAUCACCUGACAAAUAUGCAUGCAUGCAAUAUUUUUGGUCGUAUCCAAGGUAGUCAUGUCCUCAUCACAAAGUCCUAUCAUUUUUCUUUUUCUUCCUAUUAGAAGGACUAGGUGCAUCCACAUUAUUUCUAUGAGAAUCUUGCUCAAUUCUCUUAGGGUGGCCUUCAGGAUACAAAGGUUCCUGAGUUAUUCUACCACCUCUAGUCAUAACUCUAACAAUGUUAUCAUUAUUCUUACUAUUCAAUUCAUUGAUCAAAUAAUUUUGAGCUUUAAGUACUUGUUCUACUCGAGUGGUAACCAUAGAAGCAUGUUUACUAAUAAGUUUAAGUUCACCUUUGACAUUAGCCAUAUAAUUACCCAAGUGUUCAAGCAUAUCUGAAUUGUAUUUCAAUUGUCUACCAAAAUAAGCAUAACAAUCUUCUUGCUUAACCAUAAAUUUAUCAAGCUCAUAUAAGCAUGGGCUAGCAAAUUUAGUAAACGGGAUUUCAUCUUUAUCAUGUCUAUAGAGAGAAUUUACCUUUACUACCUGUGUCGGGUUAUCAAGACCAUGAGUUUCUUCAAUAGGAGAUGUAUUAAGGUCAUAUGUUUCUUCAACACGCGGUAAAUUAAGAUCGUGUAUUUCUUCAAUAGGAUGUAAAUUCUUAACAUCUUCGGCUUUAAUACCUUUUUCUUUCAUAGAUUUCUUUGCCUCUUGCAUAUCUUCAUGACUGAGAAAUAGAACACCUAUCUUCUUCGGAGUUGGUUUAGGAAUAGGCUCAGGAAGUGUCCAAUUAUUUUCAUUUGUCAACAUAUUAUUCAAUAGAAUUUCAGCUUCAUCCUGUGUUCUUUCCCUGAAAACAGAACCAGCACAACUAUCCAGGUAAUCUCUAGAGGCAUCGGUUAGUCCAUUAUAAGAGAUAUCAAGUAUUUCAUUUUUCUUAAGAGGAUGACCAGGCAAAUCAUUAAGUAAUUGGAGAAGCCUCCCCCAAGCUUGUGGGAGACUCUCUUCUUCAAUUUGCACAAAAUUAUAUAUAUCCCUUAAAGCAGCUUGUUUCUUAUGAGCAGGGAAAUAUUUAGCAGAGAAGUAAUAAAUCAUAUCCUGGGGACUAUGCACACAACCAGGAUCAAGAGAAUUAAACCAUAUCUUAGCAUCACCCUUUAAUGAGAACAGAAAUAUUUUAAGGAUAUAAAAGUAACGAGUUCUCUCAUCAUUAGUUAAUAGGGUGGCUAUAUCAUUUAAUUUAGUAAGAUGUGCCACAACAGUUUCAGAUUCAUAGCCAUGAAAAGGAUCAGAUUCAACCAAAGUAAUUAUAUCAGGAUCAACAGAGAAUUCAUAAUCCUUAUCAGUAACAAAGAUAAGUGAAGUAGCAAAAGUAGGGUCAGGUUUCAUCCUAGCAUUUAGAGAUUGCUUAUUCCAUUUAACUAAUAACCUCUUAAGUUCAUAACUAUCUUUGCAAGCUAAAAUAGCUAAAGAAGCUUCUUUAUCAAAAACAUAACCCUUAGGAAUAACGGGCAAGUCUUCAUCAUCACUUUCAUCAAUAUUAUCAGAUUCAAUAUUUUCAUUCUCUCUAACCCUAGCAAGUUGUUCAUCAAGAAAUUCACGAAGUGGCACAGUAGUAUCAAGCAUAGAAGUAGUUUCAUCAUAAGUAUCAUGCAUAGCAGAAGUGGCAUCAUCAAUAACAUGUGACAUAUCAGAACGAAUAGUAGAAGCGGGUUUAGGUGUCGCAAGCUUACUCAAAACAGAAGGUGAAUCAAGUGCAGAGCUAGAUGGCAGUUCCUUACCUCCCCUCGUAGUUGAGGGAUAAAUCUUGGUUUUUGGAUCUCUCAAGUUCUUCAUAAUGAUAAGCAGAUAUAAAUCCCAAGUGACUCAAAGAAUAGAGCUAUGCUCCCCAGCAACGGUGCCAGAAAAUAGUCUGGAUAACCCACAAGUAUAGGGGAUCACAACAGUUUUCGAGGGUAGAGUAUUCAACCCAAAUUUAUUGAUUCGACACAAGGGGAGCCAAAGAAUAUUCUCAAGUAUUAGCAGUUGAGUUGUCAAUUCAACCACACCUAGAAACUUAAUAUCUGCAGCAAAGUAUUUAGUAGCAAAGUAAUAUGAUAGUAGUGGUAACGGUAGCAAAAGGUAACGGUAGCAAAAGUAAUGUUUUUUGGUAUUUUGUAGUGAUGAUAGCAAUAGCAACGGAAAAGUAAAUAAGCGAAGAACAAUAUAUGGAAAGCUUGUAGGCAAUGGAUCGGUGAUGGAGAAUUAUGCCGGAUGCGGUUCAUCAUGUAACAAUCAUAACAUAGGGUGACACAGAACUAGCUCCAAUUCAUCAAUCCAAUGUAGGCAUGUAUUUCGAAUAUAGUCAUACGUGCUUAUGGAAAAGAACUUGCAUGACAUCUUUUGUCCUACCCUCCCGUGGCAGCGGGGUCCUAAUGGAAACUAAGGGAUAUUAAGGCCUCCUUUUAACAGAGUACCGGACCAAAGCAUUAACACAUAGUGAAUACAUGAACUCCUCAAACUACGGUCAUCACCGGGAGUGGUCCCGAUUAUUGUCACUUCGGGGUUGUCGGAUCAUAACACAUAGUAGGUGACUAUAUACUUGCAAGAUAGGAUCAAGAACUCACAUAUAUUCAUGAAAACAUAAUAGGUUCAGACCUGAAAUCAUGGCACUCGGGCCCUAGUGACAAGCAUUAAGCAUAGCAAAGUCAUAGCAACAUCAAUCUCAGAACAUAAUGGAUACUAGGGAUCAAACCCUAACAAAAUUAACUCGAUUACAUGAUAGAUCUCAUCCAACCCAUCACCGUCUAGCAAGCCUACGAUGGAAUUACUCACGCACGGCGAUGAGCAUCAUGAAAUUGGUGAUGGAGGAGGGUUCAUGAUGACGAUGGCGAUAGAUUCCCCUCUCCGAAGCCCCGAACGGACUCCAGAUUAGCCCUCCCAAGAGGUUUUAGGGUUUGGCGGCGGCUCCGUAUCGUAAAACGCGAUGAAUUCUGUAACAUCCCAAAAUUCUAAAUUUUGGAAUGUUAUAAUAAAUAGAUAGAUUGAUUGUUUGUUUGAUUGUUGUGUGAUUGAUUUAGUGAAAUUCGAAACCUUUUGAAAGUUAAAUGAGAGGGAAUAAAAGGACUUUCCCAAACUUUCAUUUUUGCAUUUAUGAUCUCCGGGAAUUCAAAUUCUUUUCACCACAAAACCCUGGAGAGAAGAUGACAUGACUUCUUCCAUUUAUUCAAAUGAAAAAGGGUUUUGAAAAGAUUUGAAUUUUAUUUGGAAAUAUUUCCAAUUCUGAAACUUUAUGCAACUCAAUGAUUUUCACGAGCGAAGAUAAAAUGACUUCUUCAAAACAUAUGAAAUAUGAGUUGGGAUUUUCAAAGGAUUCAAAGUCCUUUUGGAAAUUAUUUUUAAUUUGGAGUUAUUUGGUUUUAUUCAAAUUAUUUUUCUCCAAAAAUAAAAUACAUGGAAAAUAGGGUAACAUGAUUCCCUACAAUAGAAAAUUGAAGAGAAAUAAAUUUGAAUUCAUUUUGGUUUUUAAAAAAUGAUUUUUGUUGGAUUUUAUUAGACAAGUAGCACUCUUUGAAUUAUCUAAAUUUGUGUGAAUUUUAUUUAAUGCUAGGAAAAUGUUCACGCUGUAGACAAUAUUUUUCUGAAAUUUUUGAUAUAUUAUAUGCCUAUAGUUUAUUUUUUUGUGGUUAUUCGUAUUUUUGCUGUCAGUAAAAAAUGUUUUAAGAAAACCUUUCUCUUCGGGCCGACCAAACUGGGCCGCGCCCAGCCCAGCCGGCCCAGCGCACCGUCACCCUCGUGUACCCGAGCAGGACUACCGCCGGAGUCCGGCACCGACCUCGCCGCCUUUGCGCCUCGCCCAUGCAUCGCCCGCCCCCUCCCCUCCUUAAAAAGCGGCCCCGGGCCCUGCCUCUCUCCCUGCCGUGCCGCGCCGCCCCUCCCGCGUCGCGUCGCCGUCCCGCGCUGCAGAUCGCCACUCACCGCCGGCGAGAUCCGCCGCGCCGCCGCCGCAGCCGUCUCCUUGCUGCGCCGCUGCCCGCUAGNNNNNNNNNNNNNNNNNNNNNNNNNNNNNNNNNNNNNNNNNNNNNNNNNNNNNNNNNNNNNNNNNNNNNNNNNNNNNNNNNNNNNNNNNNNNNNNNNNNNNNNNNNNNNNNNNNNNNNNNNNNNNNNNNNNNNNNNNNNNNNNNNNNNNNNNNNNNNNNNNNNNNNNNNNNNNNNNNNNNNNNNNNNNNNNNNNNNNNNNNNNNNNNNNNNNNNNNNNNNNNNNNNNNNNNNNNNNNNNNNNNNNNNNNNNNNNNNNNNNNNNNNNNNNNNNNNNNNNNNNNNNNNNNNNNNNNNNNNNNNNNNNNNNNNNNNNNNNNNNNNNNNNNNNNNNNNNNNNNNNNNNNNNNNNNNNNNNNNNNNNNNNNNNNNNNNNNNNNNNNNNNNNNNNNNNNNNNNNNNNNNNNNNNNNNNNNNNNNNNNNNNNNNNNNNNNNNNNNNNNNNNNNNNNNNNNNNNNNNNNNNNNNNNNNNNGGAGCCGCCGUCUCGCCUCGCCCCGUUCGCCGGAGCCGCCGCACCAUCGUCCCGUCUCGCCGGAGUAACCACCCCAUCGCCGGUUUUGUCUUCGUGAACCGGUAUAAACCGUAAACCCGUUCGGUUUCUUUUCUUUAGCUCGGUUUAUUUCUUUUGAUCGGUUUUUCUUUUAGUUAGAUCUAAAUAGUGAAUGUUCGCUAGAUUAGGUCCUCACAGUGAAAGGAUUCGUCUGUUAGCGUUCUGCAACAAAUAUUCGGUAUUUAAGUUUUUCUUUUUCUGUUUUAAUUCCAGCCAGGGACCUAUCUGUGAAUUCUUUUCUUACAAAUUAGUCCCUCUGCUUCAAACGAUCACUACUUUUUACGCGUUUAUCCAAAUCCAACGAAACCAACGCCCACUUCUUCGUUCUGAUCCCCUCUAUCCAGUAAAACAACUUGAACAUAUUUUUGAAAGUUUUAAAAUUUGAAUUCAAACAGUUUUGUAUUUGAACUUUGUUUGAUCAUAACUUGAGUUUUAUAACUCCAUUUGAGUUGAUACUUUUUGCAAAUCGAAGCUCUUGACCUACACUUUCUGAUAAAGCCAAAUUCACAUAAUUUUGGUACUGUUAGAAAUUGUUUUAUGUUGCAAGAGUUAUUUGCUUGGUUUAGAAGUUUUCCGAAUCGUCUUCUUCGAUCUUUCUGAUCUGUUGAGUGAUUGCUUAUGUGUGGUUCUAUUGCUUGCGUACGAUAGAUUGACCGGAGUGUGACGAGUAGAUCUAUCAAGAGUUAUGAGUGCGAAUCAUGUUCAUCAACAUUGCAGGCAAGUUCACACUUUGAUCAUAUCCCUUUCAUACCCAGUUUUUAUGCAUUAGUUUCACCCUCAAACAUUGCAUGGUUAGGACUUGAUAACAUGUGGGUAUUGGGAAGUAGUUGAUGAGGUAGGAACCUAUUGCCCUGUUACUAUCAAACCCCUGGGAGUUACUAUUACGUUAUGCUUAUGCUGCUAUGCUAUGCUCGUAGACGUGGUUUGGGUGAGUGAAAUCCAUGACAGAUGUGAGGUUGUUAAUAAUGGUUUACUUAAGGUGGCAACUUUAACACAUAUCUGGGUGGAUUGAGGCACCUGGGUAUUCCAACGAUUGCCUGUUUUUCUUUAUGGACCGCCACCCAGGCUCAAAGGGAUCAUGAGAUUAUUCAUGCUAGAAACUUCCGUGUGCAGCCACAAGCUACUAUGGGCUCUAGCAUAGUUGAUUAAGUCGCGCGAACUCUUAUAGUGGUAGACUAGCAGAUGUAGGGGAAAGUAGGUGUAACGGUGUACCCGAUCGUAAGGUGCUAGCGCUUCUGAAAGACUAUGUCUCGGUCAUCCGUUUCUCAAACACCAUGUAGUGCAAGAAUCCCAACGGAGGAGAUCGAGUCUUGUGGGGAAAAGUGCGCAAACUCUGCAGAGUGUACAAACUAAUCAUGGUUAGCCGUGUCCCCGGUUAUGGACAAUCUUGAGUCUCUGGUACUUGGAUUAUAAUAUUGAUCUCAUCACGUUACUUAAAUAAUUUGUUGGGUUAUUGAUGUUAAUUUGGGAUUGAGUUGGAGGAACCUUCUCAAUAUUUUCAACCAACUUUGUAGUUAAAUAAAAUAUAUUCCUUGCAGUAGGAAAAAAUUGGCUUUUCGCAAAAACAUUAUAACCAUAGAGAUUUUCCACGAGCCAAAUAUGCAUGUAGUGAUAGUUAUUAUUCAUCAUUAUCCUAUGGUGUGAAUUUGCCAGUACAUUGAAUGUACUGACCCUCUGUGGCUGCAACGUCUCAUGUUGCAGGAUUUUUUACGACGAGUAAGUGAUACGUUAGGGUUACGAUUUCUACACUCAACUUUGCCGUUGGUGUUGAUGGGAAUCCACAACCUUGUUGUUACUUCCGUUAUUGGAUUGAGGUAAUAGUAUUUACGUUAUUUUAUACAUGUGAUUUACCUCUGUUAUAAAUCCUCGAGUACUGUGCGUGUCAGCAUACCGAUCCAGGGAUGACACUUAAGCACAAAGACUUGACCGUCUAAGGUCGGGUCGCUACAAGAUGGUAUCAGAGCACAUGUUGACUGUAGGACGUGACCCAAGAAAUUGGCAAGCCCAUAGGAAAGAUUUUCUCUACAACUUCAUUUUCAAAAGAUCUUUUACCUCUCUUCUCUUCUGAGCUUAUUCAAAUAUUCCCUUUUAGUGAGACCAUACCCUUUUUUCCCUUUUGACCACACGAAGAUUCAGCUGAUGAGAUCACUCCAAGAAGUACAAGAUAUUGGAUAGCUAGGACCACUUUGGAAUGAAGAGGAUUUUUCUAUGCUUUAUAAAAUGGAAACUACAACAGUUAAAGACUCCGAAGACUAGGAGAAUUUGAAGGCUCUAAAGAAUUCCCAGAUUUGUAAGACCUAGGAAGGCUACCCUUAUUGAACUUGGCAGACUAAGGAAGCUGUCAAUACCCGUGAUCAAGGUGUAUCGGAGAAAGACCGGAACAUGGAGCAACCCAAAGUUUUUGUCAAGAAAACCCGAAGACAGGAGAUAUCAAUUAUGGAAUGAAAGCUCAUGGCAGUAACAUGGGCAGAAACAUGGCUAUCCAUGAUGUUAUCACCCACUUAUGCUAUUAUCACCAUGCUGAGUUAAGCAUGCUUAUGCAUGGAAGGAUUGGAUGGUAGAAGGCUGAUGGAGCACCUAUUAGCAAAAGAUGAAGUUUUAACCUUAGCUGGUGUAUCGCCAGAAUCUGGAGUAAUACAUCAAGAAGUUUAAGAUGGACUUGUAGGAAGUCAUAUUUGACAAGGAGGCCAUUCGUGAAGAACUCAGGAACCAAAAACUGAAAGUAGCCAAGCUGGAGGAGCUACAACCUCGAGAUACCGAAGAUUUGUCAGGAACUGAGGGACAGUAGGACCAUGGCUCAUGCCAAGGAUGUUGAAACCCAGAAGUUUGGAACACAACUCUAGAAAUAUUGAAGGACGUCAUGAGAGACUUCGUGUCAACAGACAUGAUCUGGCAAAAGAACUUGAGAAGGACAAGCACAAUCGAAAGAAGCCAUUAGAGACAUGAACAAGACUCGUAGAGCUUGAUGACUUUGAAGAUUUAUUGACCUUUAGAAGACCCAACCCCUGUUAUAUGCCUAUGUUAGAUGCGACGAUUGUGAGCUGUCAUUUGUUUGAUGUUUUUCGACAGCCACAACAAAAAUCUGUCUUUUCAAAACUGUUGUUUGUAUUGUGUGUAUCCCUCUCCCUCCCUCUCAUCUCACCCCAAACCCAUGGACCCAAUAGAGGACGAAUGGAGAUGAACUCAUGUUUCCCUGGACCGAUAAGUCAAUUGGAGAUGGACCAAUGGAUUCAGAACAUGGAGGAUCAUAUGAAGAAUAACCCUAUAGUUGGAAAGGAUAUGACCCAGCAUGCUCUUCAGUGCUUUGAAAGAGGUGCUGCUACUUGGUGGAGGAUGUACCAAACCAUCAAUGGGUGGCAAGGAGUAACCACUUGGAAAGAAUUUAAGUUGACUUUGCCAAAGUCUCGGUUUGUGUCCUAGAAGUUGAAGCCUUAUGGAAAGGAUAUGAAGAAACCUUGUGCAUGCAAGAUUUGUGGAGAAAUAGGACACACCCAUAAAGAACACAAGGAUGAAUGUCCUAAUUGUGAAGGAAGUCACCCAGUUGAAGAAUGCCCAACUAGGCAGAUUACUUGUUUCUUGUGUGAAGGUACUACCCACUAUCCUGCUCAGUGUCACAUUUACCCCAUGGUACAACAAACCAUCCAGCAGAAGAAAGAAGUAAUGAAAGGAUCCCUCAUGGAAAUUUUAGAAGAAACUAUGAUGAAGGAAGAGGUGGAGGACACACCUAAAGAAGACCCGAGUAAACCCUGCACUAAGUCUUGCUAUUCAUGUGGAGAAGAAGGACACAUCUCCCAGAAUUGUAUGAAUGGGGAUCUAGUAGAAUUCCGUACGGAGGAACUAUAAUAUGACCCACAAGAAAUAGAAGCCAUGAUUGGCAUGGAAAGGUCCAGGAAGAGAAGAAGAUUGGAUUCCAGGAAGGACCUGAGUCAUAUCACCUGUUACAGGUGCAAGGAGUCAGGGCACUACCUCAGCAGUUGCCCAAAAAGGAAACCUCGAGACUUGUCAGAAAUAGUAUGUUUUCGUUGUAAGGGAGCAGGGCACUUUGCCAGAGAAUGCCCCAAGGAGAAGGAGACUUUUUCUAGAUAGUUGAGUUUGCAACAGAAGAAAUGGAGUAGUAGAAGUGAGAACAUUUUCUUUUAUUUCGAGGUGUUGAGUUGAGAUUGUAAUCAAUUGAGAGUGAAUAAACUUAGCAUUGUUGGUACUGAUAUGGAUUUUAUGAGUUGUUACUCUAUGAAGAAAGAUUUUGACCAUUUUUGAGGAUAUAAGAAAUAUGGUCUAUGGAAGAUUUAUGCAUUUUAAGGGUGGUAGUACCCUGUAAGAACCCUUGACCCCUGGAAAAGAUAAGGAUACUCCACUGAGUGGAUUUCGGACAAAAUGACUACGAGUUUGUCUCGAUAUGUGUGAUACCCCAAGAGCAUGUGGGAUGAAGUUGGAGACCAUCAGUUGUUUGGACCAAAUGUGAUCAAGGAGUCAGGAGAUAAUGUUAAGUUGAUUCGAGAUAGACUGAAGGUAGGCCAGUCCAGGCAGAAGAGUUAUGCAGACUCAAAAACUCAAGGAGGUAGUCUAUGAGAUUGGAGACAGAGCAUGUCUUCGUCCCCUCUACGAGGAGUUAAACAAUUUGUAGUUAAGGGAAAGUUAGCCCCGAGAUUUGUAGGACCAUACCGAGUUUUGGAGCGUAUGGAAGAAGUGGCCAACAAGUUGGAGUCACCCGAAGGACUGUCAGGAGCUCAUGAUAUGUUUCACGUUACACAGUUGAAGAAGUGUCAUGCAGAGAUGGCCAAUAUUCCCCUGUAAGGAUGUUUGACCCCUGGAAGGGAUAAUGAUAUUCCACGGAGUGGACUUCAGACAAAAUAAGUAUAAGUUUUUAUCUCGGUAUGUGGGAUAACCCACGAGGAUGAAGAGAUGAAUUACUAUUGGAUAUAAAGGAGGUAUGAUGUUGGUAUUAUGGAACGAUAAUAACUCCAUGAUGAGUCUGAGUAAUCACGUCUUAGUUUGGAACCAAUAGAAAGAAGAAGGAUCGUACAAUUGGAUGGAUUUAAGCAUGCUAGAAAGCUGGAUGUUGGAAUAAUGACUAGUUGCCCCGAGGAUGAGUUCAAGGACUACAAGUGACGAGAUGGGCCAUAACCCACAGGCCCCAGGACCUGCCAAGAGGCAAGCACACUCUUGCUGAAGGAAAAACCGUGGAAGGAGUUACGACUUUAUCAACCGACGAUUUUAUAGGAAUUUACGCAAAACCUGAGAGUUGUGAAGGAACGAUAGAUGUUUCUUUGGCUUGCAGAAUUGAUAGAUUUAUCCGAACCUUGGUUCAUCGACAAGAGAAAUUCUGCAAUGCUUGUGAGGAUGACCAAGUGUUAGAGUGCGAGAUUCACUAAACCGUAUACCGGGUAAUGAUUUGGGUGCGGGAUGGAUUGAUCACCAUACCGACUUACUCUUAUUAUCCGCCUUGCUAUAUGGGAGGGUAAAUCUGAGAGACUUACCUAUAGUAGAGAGACGACGAUCAAACCUUGUUUAAACCCUAGAAUGGUAUAAGAAUUUUUUUCCUUGUACACUGCAGCCUUUCCCAACCGUGGGUUAUACGGUGAGGAUCAACCCAGACCCAUUUCCUGCAGGAGAAACCAUAAAUUGUUGACCACCAUGAGAUAUUGAUAGUUGUUUAGUAUUGGCGCCAGACCCGUCAGCACAGAAGACCCAGUCUCGGAAUAACCCUACCAAGAAGAAAGGAUGCAGAAGAAUUGAGGAAAAGGUUAUGCCACUACCGGAAGAGUCAGGGAAGGAAUUAUACUGAAGAUCUGAGAAGACCGGCCCUGUCAAGAAUAAGGAUGGUGUAUAUGAGUGUUGAUGGGACCGUAACGAUGUUUCUAAGGGUGGUAGCACCCCAAACCCCGGUGAUGAUUGAUGGAUUUUGAGGAGACCCCCAAACCCUAACCUUUUCUUGCUAGCCUCUCCGAAUCUCGAGGACGAGAUUCAUUUUAAGGGUGGUAGGUUUGUAACAUCCCAAAAUUCUAAAUUUUGGAAUGUUAUAAUAAAUAGAUAGAUAGAUUGUUUGUUUGAUUGUGGUGUGAUUGAUUGAGUGAAAUUCGAAACCUUUUGAAAGUUAAAUGAGAGGGAAUAAAAGGACUUUCCCAAACUUUCAUUUUUGCAUUUAUGAUCUCCGUGAAUUCAAAUUCUUUUCACCACAAAACCCUGGAGAGAAGAUGACAUGACUUCUUCCAUUUAUUCAAAUGAAAAAGGGUUUUGAAAAGAUUUGAAUUUUAUUUGGAAAUAUUUCCAAUUCUGAAACUUUAUGCAACUCAAUGAUUUUCACGAGCGAAGAUAAAAUGACUUCUUCAAAACAUAUGAAAUAUGAGUUGGGAGUUUCAAAUGAUCAAAUUCAAAGUCCUUUUGGAAAUUAUUUUUAAUUUGGAGUUAUUUGGGUUUUAUUCAAAUUAUUUUUCUCCAAAAAUAAAAUACAUGGAAAAUAGGGUAACAUGAUUCCCUACAAUAGAAAAUUGGAGAGAAAUAAAUUUGAAUUCAUUUUGUUUUUUUAAAUGAUUUUUGUUGGAUUUUAUUAGACCAGUAGCACUCUUUGAAAUAUCUAAAUUUGUGUGAAUUUUAUUUAAUGCUAGGAAACUGUUCAUGCUGUAGACAAUAUUUUUAUGAAUUUUUUUGUCACACCCUAGCUAGUUCAUGCAUUAGAGUGUUGCAUCAUGUCUAUCCUUUCAUCAGAAACUUGAAAUGGGGAUGUCAGAACCCCCAGCCCCCUCUGAAACCAACCAGGGUUUACUAAAAACUUUUUCAAUGAACCUGAAAUGCCCUUCUAAAAUGUCCAUCAUUUUUGUCUUGGUUCAGAACCUCUGCCAAAAGUGUUGCACAAUUUUCUAGGUCAUUUUAGGGUCUUUGAAUUAAAUGAUAAGUAUUUGAAUUUGGGCAUUUAAAAUUAUAUAAAAUAUUUCAAAUGCUCAAAUAUUCCUAAACUGAAAUGUUUCAUGUUGGAAAUAUUCUAACUUUGGACCAGGAGCAGUUUGGUGAUUUUAGGAGUUGCCUAGGUAUUUUUUAUAAUUCAACAAAGUUGCAGAAAAAUAGAAAAAAAAAGAGACAGAAAGGAAGGACUUACCUGGCGCCUGCAACCCGGCCCACCUGCCGGCCCAGCCCAGCGCCGCGCCAGCGAGCUGCUUGCCGGCCAGCCAGGCAGGCAGGUGCUCGAUGGCGAGCACCGCAUGGGUGCCACGCACCUGCUCGCCGCCUCGCCGCUCCACUCGGCCGGCUAACGACGUGGAUCGCUCCCCCUCGCUCUCCCGAACCCUCCAGACACCUCCUCUCCUCUCCAGCUCCUCCCCCUCGCGCUCCCCAGCCAUGGCCGACGCCACCGCCGCCGCUCCAUCAUCGUAGCCGCGCUCCCCGCCGCCCGUGCUCCGUCUCGUGGUGUCCAGGAGCUCCGCCGCCGUCCACUUCGUCGAGCUAACCGAGCCCCGCGUGCUCGUGAGGCCCGAGUCCACCGCACCGACCCCGCCUGAGUUCGCCGUCGCCGGAGAUCCCCUUCAACGCCGUCACCGCAUCAGCUCGUCCCCGACCCCGCUGGUGGCCUCUACGGGUGCUCUGUGAGCCUAGCUACCCCUCCUACCCUUCCUCUCUCACCCCCGAGCCGUGUAGCCACCGCACGAAGAUCACCCGCACGCACCGCCGCGGAUCUCGUCGCCGACGUGCUCCCGGUCAUCCUCCGGCCAACUCACGGUGUCCAACGCACUCACCACGUUGCGUUGAGUCCAAUCGUGCACUUCCCGCACCUCACCGCACACCCUAGCCCCGAGUUCACCUUCACCCGAACUCCGGUGAUCGCCUAGGUCGUCGCCGGCGCCAACUCCGGUCACCCCGACCUCAACUCGCUCCACCAAGAGCUGCGGUUCGUCCCCAGCUCCACGUAGAUGCAUUCCGCGCCCCAUUUGGUGGCCGGAACGGCCAAAACCACUUCCGCCGCCGCGUCGGGCUCGCCGGCGGCUAAACACCGGUGCAGCCGUUUUGACUUUGACCACGGGUGGGCCCUGGUUGACUCUGUUGAGUCAGUGACAGGUGGGGCCCCCUUCUGCUAAUCAUCCAGAUUAGUUUAAACUAAAUUAAAUUAGUUAAUUAUCCACUGACACCCUGGACCCACGCGUCAGGUUUGACCUGGACCGGGUCUGUUGACUUGCUGAGGUCAGCAUGACCUCAUGCUGACGCAGUAAACCUUUUCUGAGUUUAAAAUAAAUCUAAAAUGAUUUAUAAAUUCCAGAAAUUGUUGCAAACUUCAAAAAUCCAUAUAAAUUCAACCGUAGCUCCAAAUCAAACAAAUUAUAUAUGAAAAAUGAUCAGAAAAAUCCAAUCUAUCCAUCUGUACUAGUUUCAUGCAUGUUUAAACAAACUAACUUGAGGUCUAGUGCAGAACAAGAUAAAACACUUUAAAGGGCCAUUUAUGAGUUUGAAAUUUGAAUCUUUGGUUCAAAUUGAUUCAAACCCAUCUGGUUUUAGUUGCAUUAGCCCAACACAAUCAUAUUGCCAUGUUUCAUGCAUGCAUCAUAUUGUCGCACAUUGUUUGGUGAUGGUUGUGUAUCGGUGUUCUUUGCGGCAGGUUCUGCCUCCGAGGAGUACCGUGAUUACCCUAGCGAAGAACCGUAUCCGUGCAUCGAUCCAUCAGGCAAGCAACCAACCAUUUGAUCAUAUCGAUACAAUCCCAUGUUCUCGCUCUUGCUCUCUUUUACUGCAUUAAGACAACGCGUUUUAAACUGCUGUGUGCUACGGUAGUUGAACCCAUUUCCUCUGCAUGACCUGUCAUUGCCACAGUAAUUAGAUGAAACCCACUAGCAUGUGUAGGAAUUGAUUGAGCCAUAUGUUUGUGUUGUUCCUACCUUGCUAUGCCUGCUAUGCUUAGAGUCGUGUCAGGUCUGGUUCAUCUGGGUGAUGGCUAGAGUGAAAUGAUCAUGUCGGUAAUGAGAGUGAUGUGGUGAACACGAUUUGGUAAAGGUAUCGAUGAGAGGCCAUGUAGGAGUACAUGGUGGGUUGUUUCAUUGAAGCCGACCUUAAGAACUGAGAUCUGUAUGCCUGAUUUAAGAUUCAGCUACUACCAUGCAUUGGGCCCUGAAAUAUGACCCCGCUCGACUUCUUAUUCACCCUAGUCCUCUGUCUAGGAGUUGCAAGUAGUUUCUGGUGUUUGUAGCUUACUGGAGGCCGUGGACAGCACUGACCCGCGGGAUGGGCUGUGAUGCGGUAGGUACGUGGCACGGUGUAUCGAAUACCCGUUAGGUAUCUUGGGAACCCUGUACACAUCGUUCGGGGACGUAUGGGAAACCUCGGCCGGACUCCCUGCGGAUGGAACCUGGAUAGGCGAUAAACCUGGACUAGAUACUUAGGUGUUUAGGUAGGUCGUGGUCUACACCCACGCCGGCUUUCGCUUGAAGUCUGCCGAGCACAUGUCGUGUGCAGACGCUAAGUGGUGGAAACAUGUAUGAAGAAGUACACCCCUGCAGGGUUAACAUGAUCUAUUCGAAUAGCCGCGUCCGCGGUAAAGUACUACUUGGUUGCUUAUACAGUUCAUAGACAAGUGAAUGGAUACUACUAAAAAUCUCAAGAUAAGCGUGAGUGCCGAGGAUGGCCCUUCCGUAGGAUGACGGAGGUGGAUCCUCGGUGGUGUAUUGAAGUGGUGAGUAGUGGACUCGUGUGCGCAAAACCAUUUCAAGUUGGAGUCUCGUAGGAUAGUUUAGCCAAGAGUCAAAGCUGGCUUGCUGCAAUAACCCCACCAACCCUUCUUGAUAAUGUGCAUGUAUGUAGGAUCUGACGUAAGUCUUGCUGGGUACCUUUGUACUCAUGUUGCUAUAAUUUACAUUUUACAGAAGGCGCUGCAACCCCUUCUGAUGGGUUCUUCGUAGACGUUGACAUCGACGAGUAGACUAAGGCCCAGGUGGUAAUCCUGAGCUUGUGAAGGUCCACGUAGUAUAGCUAGGCUUUCCAAGCCUCUUUUAUUUUACUAGUUGUCUGUACUCAGACAAGUUACUUCCGCUGCUGGUUUGUAUGAUGGUAUGACUUGAAUGUGGGUCGUGUGACCCGUACUUGUAUGUAUGUUAUGUAUGGCUCUCUGAGCCUUUAGAUAAAGUACUUGUGUCGUAGAGUCAUGUUGUGAUGCCUUGUUGUAUUUGCACAUAUCGAGCAUAUUGUGUGUAUGAUUGAAAUGCUUGGUAUGUGUGGGAUCUGACUAUCUAGUUGUUUAUCUUUAGUAGCCUCUCUUACCGGGAAAUGCUCCUAGUGUUUCCAUUGAGCCAUGGUAGCUUGCUACUGCUCCGGAACACUUAGGCUGGCCGGCAUGUGUCCUUCUUCGUUCCUGUGUCUGUCCCUUCGGGGAAAUGUCACGCAUUGAGUACCGGAGCCCUGUUAGCCCGCUACAGCCCGGUUUACCGGAGUCCUGCUAGCCCAAUGCUACAGCCCGGACCCACUUGCUGAUGACCGACACGUUCGAUGCUGGGUCAUGGAUGCCUGUCCCUGUAAGUCUGUGCCACUUUGGGUUUACGACUAGUCAUGUCAGCCCGGGCUCCUUAUCAUAUGGAUGCUAGCGACAUCAUCAUAUACGUGAGCCAAAAGGCGCAAACAGUCCCGGGCAAAGGUAAGGUGACGCCCGUGGGAAUACCGUGCAUGAGGCCGCAAAGUGAUAUGAGGUGUUACAGGCUAGAUCGAUGUGACAUUGAGUCGGGGUCCUGACAACGUUGGCAUCAGAGCCGGACUGCCUGUAGGUUUUCCAAGCCAAACUGGUCGAUGUUGAGUCUAGAAAUGCUUUAGUUAUAUGUAGGGGAAUUGAUUGUGGGAUGGUACGUAAGGCUCUUUUUACUUCUUUACUUCAUGGCAUUCUGAUCUGAGUCAGUCCAUUCUUCUACCGGGGAUUAAGGAUUAGGAUCUUCUCUCUCUAUCAGGUUCACGUGUUACGAAUCAGUAGUACCUUAUAGGUUUGAUGACUACAAGCCUAGUUCAGUUCUACUACCUUGUUAUGCUGAUAAGUGAACCCAGAACCUUGAUAUGAUAUUGUUGAGUGUCUAUGCAAUUUUUUGAUAAAUUUCUCAAACCCUUCUUGAGCAUUUACAGCCGUUAUGCUGUCGAAAUAUUGCUAGAAAUUCUAAUGCCUUUGCAUUAUGGUUGUGCUUUCAGAUGGCCACUCGCGACCAAAAUCAAGUGGUUCGCCUGACCCGAUGCAUUGGUGUGACCGGUCAUACGGCCAUGUUAGUCCGAGUGAUGAUCGAGACGGGUUACCGUUGGUAUCCCGAAUACACGGUCGAAGAGCAGUUUCGAGAUUUUAACCAAAGCCAGUAUCUUUGCACCGUCCGGAUAUUUCCCUCUUAUCCUGGUUCUACCGAGGCUCUUCACUGUUCCUAUGGGCUCGGUGUUACUAUUGAGAUGGCUAUGCAAGAUGCGGCUUAUUCUAUGAUGACCAUCAUGCGAGUCAGGACUGGCCUGCUUCGCAACACCGACUUCCGGUAUAUGCCGGCUUCACUUCCUGGAGCGCACGGUUAUCUCCGGGCUAUCUAUGCUGACCCCAGUCAGGAGGACUCACUAACUCGCACCACUGCUGAGUUGCUCGAGGAUAAGGACCGAGAGAAUCGGGCCUUGAGAAUGGAGCUUUUCAACACCUGCGCCGAUCAUUGGGCCACCUUGACUCGGUUUGCACCGGCUGUGCAAGCUGGAUGCAUGGAUAUGAGAGAUCUGUAUCCUGUUAGGUCUGCUCUGCCGGACAUGAUGGAUUGGCGUGAUGUGGGAGGCAUCACCCCACCUCGUGGUCCUCGCAGGCCACCGUUUGUUGGUCCAAGACCUCACCCUAGCCCUUUUGGUCCACAGGCUCCUCAGGACCAUUUGUUUCCGGAUGCUCACGUUGAACUUCCAGGCUAUGGAGGAGACUUCUAUGAGAACUACUACGGAGAUGACUGAGAUAGUAGUAGAUCCACUAGGUAUUGUAAUAGUUGUAUUUCCACCGUCCUGCGUGACUUGUGGAAUAUGACUUAGCGGGUAGUAAUUCCGGGGGUGUAGGAAAAAUAAUGUAUAGGAGCUUGGGAUGCCUCCGAUGAUAUGUAAUCCUCCUCUCACCAUAGUAGUACUUGUUUGUCUUGUACUAAACCUCGUAUGGUGUGUAUGACAAUGGAAUAAAAGAAGUAGUUUCUGUAUCUACCAUGUCAUACGGAUGAUCAUCUUGCAUUCUGAGUUGUCCAUUACAUUCUACAUUCUAUGUCGGAAUCUUGUCAUGUUGGACUAAACCAUUGUCUUGUUUUUCCUAGGAUGGUCAACACCCGCAACAACCCUGCUCCCCCAGAGCAGGCCGAAGGCAGCAGAGUUGGGGAUACAAAUCUGCCUCACCCUCCCUCUCUGGCAGAAGUUAUGCUAGAGGCUGAGAGAAACAAGCGGGAGACCAACCGUUUGUUGGAGCAUAUUGAACAGAACACAGCACACCAUCAGAGGACUAACUUGGUGUCACUCAGUGAUUUCAUCAAGUUACAUCCACCCACGUUCCACCACUCCGUCGAGCCUCUCGACGCUGAUGACUGGCUUUGCAGUAUUUCUCACAAACUGCGUUCUGCGCUAGUAGCUGAGGCUGACAAGGUCACCUUUGCUGCAUAUCAUCUUGAAGGCCCCGCCAGUCUCUGGUGGGAGAAUUAUGAAGCUAUGCGCCCAGCAGGCCACGUCACUACUUGGGCUGAAUUCAGCGAGGCUUUCCGUGAACAUCACAUUCCGGAGGGUCUCAUGGACCGUAAACGUGAGGAGUUCUGUAGUUUCACUCAAGGUCGACUCUCUGUUGACGCUUACAGCAGGGAGUUUGGUAACCUUGCCCGUUAUGCAACGGAGGAAGUUUCUACUGAUGCCAAGAAGCAGGCAAGGUUCCGUAAGGGGCUUAGUUCUGAGCUUCGCCGCGACCUCCGUCUGCAUGAGUGCACAUCUUUUCAGAAGCUUGUUAACAAAGCCAUCAGUGCUGAGACUGGUCAGACUGAUUAUGAAGCAACUUGGGAAAGGGAGGAUCGUCUUCGACUCGAGUAUCCCGCCUUCUUCCCGGAGGAACCCAAAUCUCGGGACGAGAUUCUUUUGAGCGGGGGUGAGUUGUCACACCCUAGCUAGUUCAUGCAUUAGAGUGUUGCAUCAUGUCUAUCCUUUCAUCAGAAACUUGAAAUGGGGAUGUCAGAACCCCCAGCCCCCUCUGAAACCAACCAGGGUUUACUAAAAACUUUUUCAAUGAACCUGAAAUGCCCUUCUAAAAUGUCCAUCAUUUUUGUCUUGGUUCAGAACCUCUGCCAAAAGUGUUGCACAAUUUUCUAGGUCAUUUUAGGGUCUUUGAAUUAAAUGAUAAGUAUUUGAAUUUGGGCAUUUAAAAUUAUAUAAAAUAUUUCAAAUGCUCAAAUAUUCCUAAACUGAAAUGUUUCAUGUUGGAAAUAUUCCAACUUUGGACCAGGAGCAGCUUGGUGAUUUUAGGAGUUGCCUAGGUAUUUUUUAUAAUUCAACAAAGUUGCAGAAAAAUAGAAAAAAAAGACAGAAAGGAAGGACUUACCUGGCGCCUGCAACCCGGCCCACCUGCCGGCCCAGCCCAGCGCCGCGCCAGCGAGCUGCUUGCCGUCCAGGCAGGCAGGCAGGUGCUCGACGGCGAGCACCGCAUGGGUGCCACGCACCUGCUCGCCGCCUCGCCGCUCCACUCGCCCGGCUAACGACGUGGAUCGCUCCCCCUCGCUCUCCCGAACCCCCCAGACACCUCCUCUCCUCUCCAGCUCCUCCCCAUCGCGCUCCCCAGCCAUGGCCGACGCCACCGCCGCCGCUCCAUCGUCGUAGCCGCGCUCCCCGCCGCCCGUGCUCCAUCUCGUGGUGUCCAGGAGCUCCGCCGCCGUCCACUUCGUCGAGCUAACCGAGCCCCGCGUGCUCGUGAGGCCCGAGUCCACCGCACCGACCUCGCCCGAGUUCGCCGUCGCCGGAGAUCCCCUUCAACGCCGUCACCGCAUCAGCUCGUCCCCGACCCCGCCGGUGGCCUCUACGGGUGCUCUGUGAGCCUAGCUACCCCUCCUACCCUUCCUCUCUCACCCCCGAGCCGUGUAGCCACCACACGAAGAUCACCCGCACGCACCACCGCGGAUCUCGUCGCCGACGUGCUUCCGGCCAUCCUCCGGCCAACUCACGGUGUCCAACGCACUCACCAUGUUGCGUUGAGUCCAACCGUACACUUCCCGCACCUCACCGCACACCCUAGCCCCGAGUUCGCCUUCACCCGAACUCCGGUGACCGCCUAGGUCGUCGCCGGCGCCAACUCCGGCCACCCCGACCUCAACUCGCUCCACCAAGAGCUGCGGUUCGUCCCCAGCUCCACGUAGAUGCCUUCCGCACCCCAUUUGGUGGCCGGAACGGCCAAAACCACUUCCGCCGCCACGUCGGGCUCGCCGGCGGCUAAACACCGGUGCAGCCGUUUUGACUUUGACCACGGGUGGGCCCUGGUUGACUCUGUUGAGUCAAUGACAGGUGGGGCCCCCUUCUGCUAAUCAUCCAGAUUAGUUUAAACUAAAUUAAAUUAGUUAAUUAUCCACUGACACCCUGGACCCACGCGUCAGGUUUGACCUGGACCGGGUCUGUUGACUUGCUGAGGUCAGCAUGACCUCAUGCUGACGCAGUAAACCUUUUCUGAAUUUAAAAUAAAUCUAAAAUGAUUUAUAAAUUCCAGAAAUUGUUGCAAACUUCAAAAAUUCAUAUAAAUUCAACCGUAGCUCCAAAUCAAACAAAUUAUAUAUGAAAAAUGAUCAGAAAAAUCCAAUCUAUCCAUCUGUACAAGUUUCAUGCAUGUUUCAACAAAGUAACUUGAGGUUUAGUGCAGAACAAGAUAAAACACUUUAAAGGGCCAUUUAUGAGUUUGAAAUUUGAAUCUUUGGUUCAAAUUGAUUCAAACCCAUCUGGUUUUAGUUGCAUUAGCCCAACACACUCAUAUUGCCAUGUUUCAUGCAUGCAUCAUAUUGUCGCACAUUGUUUGGUGAUGGUUGUGUAUCGGUGUUCUUUGAGGCAGGUUCUGCCUCCGAGGAGUACCAUGAUUACCCUAGCGAAGAACCGUAUCCGUGCAUCGAUCCAUCAGGCAAGCAACCAACCAUUUGAUCAUAUCGAUACAAUCCCAUGUUCUCGCUCUUGCUCUCUUUUACUGCAUUAAGACAACGCGUUUUAAACUGCUGUGUGCUACGGUAGUUGAACCCAUUUCCUCUGCAUGACCUGUCAUUGCCACAGUAAUUAGAUGAAACCCACUAGCAUGUGUAGGAAUUGAUUGAGCCAUAUGUUUGUGUUGUUCCUACCUUGCUAUGCCUGCUAUGCUUAGAGUCGUGUCAGGUCUGGUUCAUCUGGGUGAUGGGCUAGAGUGAAAUGAUCAUGUCGGUAAUGAGAGUGAUGUGGUGAACACGAUUUGGUAAAGGUAUCGAUGAGAGGCCAUGUAGGAGUACAUGGUGGGUUGUUUCAUUGAAGCCGACCUUAAGAACUGAGAUCUGUAUGCGUGAUUUAAGAUUCAGCUACUACCAUGCAUUGGGCCCUGAAAUAUGACCCCGCUCGACUUCUUAUUCACCCUAGUCCUCUGUCCAGGAGUUGCACGUAGUUUCUGGUGUUUGUAGCUUACUGGAGGCCGUGGACAGCGCUGACCCGCGGGGUGGGCUGUGAUGCGGUAGGUACGUGGCACGGUGUAUCAAAUACCCGUUAGGUAUCUUGGGAACCCUGUACACAUCGUUAGGGGCCGUAUGGGAAACCUCGGCCGGACUCCCUGCGGAUGGAACCUGGAUAGGCGAUAAACCUGGACUAGAGACUUAGGUGUUUAGGUAGGUCGUGGUCUACACCCACGCCGGCUUUCGCUUGAAGUCUGCCGAGCACAUGUCGUGUGCAGACGCUAAGUGGUGGAAACAUGUAUGAAGAAGUACACCCCUGCAGGGUUAACAUGAUCUAUUCGAAUAGCCGCGCCCGCGGUAAAGUACUACUUGGUUGCUUAUACAGUUCAUAGACAAGUGAAUGGAUACUACUAAAAAUCUCAAGAUAAGCGUGAGUGCCGAGGAUGGCCCUUCCGUAGGAUGACGGAGGUGGAUCCUCGGUGGUGUAUUGAAGUGGUGAGUAGUGGACUCGUGUGCGCAAAACCAUUUCAAGUUGGAGUCUUGUAGGAUAGUUUAGCCAAGAGUCAAAGCUGGCUUGCUGCAAUAACCCCACCAACCCUUCUUGAUAAUGUGCAUGUAUGUAGGAUCUGACGUAAGUCUUGUUGGGUACCUUUGUACUCAUGUUGCUAUAAUUUACAUUUUACAGAAGGCGCUGCAACCCCUUCUGAUGGGUUCUUCGUAGACGUUGACAUCGACGAGUAGACUAAGGCCCAGGUGGUAAUCCUGAGCUUGUGAAGGUCCACGUAGUAUAGCUAGGCUUUCCAAGCCUCUUUAAUUUUACUAGUUGUCUGUACUCAGACAAGUUACUUCCGCUGCUGGUUUGUAUGACUGUAUGACUUGAAUGUGGGUUGUGUGACCCGUACUUGUAUGUAUGUUAUGUAUGGCUCUCUGAGCCUUUAGAUAAAGUACUUGUGUCGUAGAGUCAUGUUGUGAUGCCUUGUUGUAUUUGCACAUAUCGAGCAUAUUGUGUGUAUGAUUGAAAUGCUUGGUAUGUGUGGGAUCUGACUAUCUAGUUGUUUAUCUUUAGUAGCCUCUCUUACCGGGAAAUGUCUCCUAGUGUUUCCAUUGAGCCAUGGUAGCUUGCUACUGCUCCGGAACACUUAGGCUGGCCGGCAUGUGUCCUUCUUCGUUCCUGUGUCUGUCCCUUCGGGGAAAUGUCACGCAUUGAGUACCGGAGCCCUGUUAGCCCGCUACAGCCCGGUUUACUGGAGUCCUGCUAGCCCAGUGCUACAGCCCGGACCCACUUGCUGAUGACCGACACGUUCGAUGCUGGGUCAUGGAUGCCUGUCCCUGUAAGUCUGUGCCACUUUGGGUUUACGACUAGUCAUGUCAGCCCGGGCUCCUUAUCAUAUGGAUGCUAGCGACAUCAUCAUAUACGUGAGCCAAAAGGCGCAAACGGUCCCGGGCAAAGGUAAGGCGACGCCCGUGGGAAUACCGUGCGUGAGGCCGCAAAGUGAUAUGAGGUGUUACAGGCUAGAUCGAUGUGACAUUGAGUCGGGGUCCUGACAUUUUUGAUAUAUUAUAUGCCUAUAGUUUAUUUUUUUGUGGUUAUUCGUAUUUUUGCUGUUAGUAAAAAAUGUUUAAAAAAACCUUUCUCUUCGGGCCGACUAAACUGGGCCGCACCCCGCCUAGCCGGCCCAGCGCACCGUCUCCCUCGCGUACCCGAGCGGGACUCCCGCCGGAGUCCGGCACCGACCUCGCCGCCUUUGCCCCUCGCCCACGCAUCGCCUGCCCCCUCCCCUCCUUAAAAGGCGGUCCCGGUCCCCACCUCUCUCCUUGCCGUGCCGCGCCGCCCCACCCGCAUCGCGCCACCGCCCCGCGCUGCAGAUCGCCACUCACCGCCGGCGAGAUCCGCCGCUCCGCCGCUGCAGCCGCCUCCUUGCUGCGCCGCCGCCUGCCAGUAAACCGGAGUAACCACCCCAUCGCUGGUUUUGUCUUCGUGAACCGGUAUAAACCGUAAACCCGUUCGAUUUCUUUUCUUUAGCUCGGUUUAUUUCUUUUGAUCGGUUUUUCUUUUAGUUAGAUCUAAAUAGUGAAUGUUCGCUAGAUUAGGUCCUCACAGUGAAAGGAUUCGUCUGUUAGCGUUCUGCAACGAACGUUCGGUAUUUAAGUCUUUCUUUUUCUAUUUUAAUUCCACCAGGGACCUAUCCAUGAAUUCUUUUCUUACAGAUUAGUCCCUCUGCUUCAAACGAUAACUACUUUUUACCCGUUUAUCCAAAUCCAACGAAACCAACGCCCACUUCUUCGUUAUGAUCCCCUCUAUCCAGUAAAACAACUUGAACAUAUUUUUGAAAGUUUUAAAAUUUGAAUUCAAACAGUUUUGUAUUUGAACUUUGUUUGAUCAUAACUUGAGUUUUAUAACUCCGUUUGAGUUGAUUCUUUUUGCAAAUCGAAGCUCUUGACCUACACUUUCUGAUAAGGCCAAAUUCACAUAAUUUUGGUACUGUUAGAAAUUAUUUUAUGUUGCAAGUGUUAUUUGCUUGGUUUAGAAGUUUUCCGAAUCGUCUUCUUCGAUCUUUCUGAUCUGUUGAGUGAUUGCUUAUGUGUGGUUCUAUUGCUUGCGUACGAUAGAUUGACCGGAGUGUGACGAGUAGAUCUAUCAAGAGUUAUGAGUGCGAAUCAUCUUCAUCAACAUUGCAGGCAAGUUCACACUUUGAUCAUAUCUCUUUCAUACCUAGUUUUUAUGCAUUAGUUUCACCCUCAAACAUUGCAUGGUUAGGACUUGAUAACAUGUGGGUAUUGGGAAGUAGUUGAUGAGGUAGGAACCUAUUGCCCUGUUACUAUCAAACCCCUGGGAGUUACUAUUACGUUAUGCUUAUGCUGCUAUGCUAUGCUCGUAGACGUGGUUUGGGUGAGUGAAAUCCAUGACAGAUGUGAGGUUGUUAAUAAUGGUUUACUUAAGGUGGCAACUUUAACACACAUCUGGGUGGAUUGAGGCACCUGGGUAUUCCAACGAUUGCUUGUUUUUCUUUAUGGACCGCCACCCAGGCUCAAAGGGAUCAUGAGAUUAUUCAUGCUAGAAACUUCCGUGUGCAGCCACAAGCUACUAUGGGCUCUAACAUAGUUGAUUAAGUCAUGCGAACUCUUACAGUGGUAGACUAGCAGAUGUAGGGGAAAGUAGGUGUAACGGUCUACCCAAUCGUAAGGUGCUAGCGCUUCUGAAAGACUAUGUCUCAGUCAUCCGUUUCUCAAACAUCAUGUAGUGCGAGAAUCCCAACGGAGGAGAUCGAGUCUUAUGGGGAAAAGUGUGCAAACCUCUGCAGAGUGUACAAACUAAUCAUGGUUAGCCGUGUCCUCGGUUAUGGACAAUCUUGAGUCUCUGGUACUUGGAUUAUCAUAUUGAUAUCAUCACGUUACUUAAAUAAUUUGUUGGAUUAUUGAUGUUAAUUUGGGAUUGAGUUGGAGGAACCUUCUCAAUAUUUUCAACCAACUUUGUAGUUAAAUAAAAUAUAUUCCUUGCAGUAGGGAAAAAUUGGCUUUUCGCAAAAACAUUAUAACCAUAGAGCUUUUCCACGAGCCAAAUAUGCAUGUAGUGAUAGUUAUUAUUCAUCAUUAUCCUAUGGUGUGAAUUUGCCAGUGCAUUGAAUGUACCGACCCUCUGUGGCUGCAACGUCUCAUGUUGCAGGAUUUUUUACGACGAGUAAGUGAUACGUUAGGGUUACAAUUUCUACACUCAACUUUGUCGUUGGUGUUGAUGGGAAUCCACAACCUUGUUAUUACUUCCGCUAUUGGAUUGAGGUAAUAGUAUUUACAUUAUUUUAUACAUGUGAUUUACCUCUGUUAUAAAUCCUCGAGUACCAUGUGUGUCAGCAUACCGAUCACGGGAUGACACUUAAGCACAGAGACUUGACCGUCUAAGGUCGGGUCGCUACAAAUUCAUCUAUCUGAUUUUUUCUCCCCGAAACCAAAUAUAUAGAGUUGGAGUUGAGGUCGGAGGAGCUCCAAGGGGCCCACGAGGUAGGGGGCGCGCCCUAGGGGGGCAGGCGUGCCCCACCCUCGUGGACAGGUGGUGGGCCCCCUGGUCUUCAUCUUUUGCAAGGAUUUAUUAUUAUUUCUGAAUAGAUGUUCCGUGAAGUUUCAGGUCAUUCCGAGAACUUUUGUUUCUGCACAUAAAUAACACCAUGGUAAUUCUGCUGAAAACUGCGUCAGUCCGGGUUAGUUCCAUUCAAAUCAUGCAAGUUAGAGUCCAAAACAAGGGCAAAAGUGUUUGGAAAAGUAGAUACGACAGAGACGUAUCACAUAUCACAUCACAGCAAGCCCUUUAAAAACAAGUUAGAUGUCCUGUACUUUGUUGUUGCAAGUUUUACGUGGCUGCUACGGGCUUCUAGCAAGAACCAUUCUUACCUACGCAUCAAAACCACAACAAUUUUUCGUCAAGUGUGUUGUUUUAACCUUAAACAAGGACCAGGCGUAGCCAAACUCGACUCAACUAAAGUUGGAGAAAUAGACACCCUCCAACCACCUGUGUGCGAAGCACGUCGGUAGAACCAGUCUCAUGAACGCGGUCAUGUAAUGUCGGUCCGGGCUGCUUCAUCCAACAAUACCGCCAAAUCAAAGUAAGACGUUGCUGGUAAGCAGUAUGACUAUUAUUGCCCACAACUCAUUGUGUUCUACUCAUGCAUAUAACAUGUAACGCCCUCGAUGCGGCUAUAGCUCCCACGUGUCGAGGCACGACUUAGAGGCAUAACCGCAUUGAAAGCAAUGUUGCAAGUCAGGCAGUCAUUACAACAUCCCAUGUAAUAUAUAAUAAAAGGGGAAGAUAACAUAGUUGGCUUACACUCGCCACGUCACAUCAGAGUACAUAAAUAACAUCCAUCAAACAAGCACUCAUGGCCCGACUACGGCGCCAAAAUAGAAAAGAACCCAACAUGCGACAAGGUCCUGAAUCGACAACCCCAACUAGGCACCACUACUGAUCAUCCGGAAAAGACACAUAGUAACGCUAAGAGUCCUCAUCGAACUCCCACUGAAGCUCGUAAUCGUCAACUGGAGCAGAAACACCUGGACCUGCACCUGGAGUUGUAAUAUCUGUGAGCCACAGGGACUCAGCAAUCUCACACCCACGCGAUCAAAACUAUUUAAGCUCAUGGGAAUGGAUAAGGCGAAUAUAGGUGGAGCUGCAGCAGGCGACUAGCAUAUAUGGUGGCUAACUUAUACGCAAAAGAGAGCGAGAAGAGAAGGCGAAGCACGAUCGAUAAAAGUAUGAUCAAGAAGUGAUCCUGGACUACCUACGUCAAGCAUAACUCCAACAACCGUGUUCACUUCCCGGGCCCCGCCGGAAAGAGACCAUCACGGUUACACACGCGGUUGACGUAUUUUAAACAAGGUCAACUUCGGGUUUUCUACAACCGGACGUUAACAAAUUCCCAUCUGCCCAUAACCGCGGGCACGGCUUUCGAAAGUUCAAUCCCUGCAGGGGAGUCCCAACUUAGCCCAUGACAAGCUCUCACGGUCAACGAAGGAAUAGACCUCCACCCGAGACAUUCCGAUCAGACUCGGUAUCCCGGUACAACAAGACAUUUCGAUAGGGUAAAACUAAACCAGCAACACCGCCCGAAUGUGCCGACAAAUCCCGAUAGGAGCUGCACAUAUCUCUUUCUCAGGGCACACUCAGAUUGUCCUAGGUACGGGUAGGCCAGCCCAGAGUUGCCCCUGGUAGCCAUCGGUAGCUGACAGGUGGACCAACACUCAGAGGAGCACUGGCCCGGGGGGGUAAAAUAAGAUGACCCUUGAGUCUGCAGAACCCAAGGGAAAGAAAAGGCUAGGUGGCAAAUGGUAAAACCAAUGUUGGGCAUUGCUGGAAGAGCUUUACUUAAGACGAACUGUCAAGGGGUUCCCAUAAUAGCCCAACCGUGUAAGGAACGCAAAAUCCGGGAACAUAACACCGAUAUGACGUAAACUAGGGCGGCAAGAGUGGAACAAAACACCAGGCAUAAGGCCGAGCCUUCCACCCUUUACCAAGUAUAUAGAUGCAUUAAUUAAGUAAGAUAUAUUGUGAUAUCCCAACAAGUAAAUAAAAGUUCCAACAAGGAACGGCUCCAAUCUUCACCUGCAACUAACAACGCUAUAAGAAGGGCUGAGCAAAGCGGUAACAUAGCCAAUCAACGGUUUGCUAGGACAAUGGUGGGUUAGGGGAUCAACAUGGCAAUUGGGAGGCUGACAAGCAAAAAGGUAGGCAUCGUAGCAGUGGCAAAGCAAAAGAGCGAGCAAACUAGCAUAGCAAAGAUAGUAGUGAUUUCGAGGGUAUGAUCAUCUUGCCUGCACAGUUGUCCGAGUUGACUGGAUCCUCACAAGCAAACUCAACGGGCUCCUCGGUAGCGAACUCGUCUCCCGGCUCUACCCAACAAGACAAACAAGCAACAAGUACCCAAUCAAUCACGGGCAAGACCAAGCAAUAUGAUGAAAUGACGAUAUGCUAUGCGGGAUGCGAUGCGGGAUGCAAAAUGCAAGAUAUGACAGGAAAUGCAUGAACCUGGCAUAAACUUGGAAAACCAAGUGUGCCACUGGAUAGAGGGGAUGAAAUCGCUUGAAAACGAUAUGAAGAUCAAAGGAAUCGGAGCUACGGUUUAGAAAUGGCAAGCGUUUUAAGAUAUGACACCGGUCUGUGAUUUGCAGCAAGUAGGCAUCUAAAUGCAACGAAAAGAACAUGCUACAGCCACCAAACAUGAAAACAAAAUACAUGGCAGUGAUGUACACAAGAUGGUUGACAAAACACUAGCACUGAGCCAUAGGCAAAUUCAUCCAUUAAGAGGUUCAAACAAGCAUGGCUAAAACGCAAAUGCAAAACAGAUUUCAGACUUAGUGAAAUUAACACUAGUCUGAAAUUUCAGAUCACGAUGCUCUCUUCGGAGCAGCAAAACAACAUGAUAGAAAACCUGAACAUGACAAGUAAGAACAUGGCAUGGAGCUAUUCAACAAGCUUAAUAAAACACCCAAAGUGACCUGGGGCCAAAAGGGUUCACAAAAUACCCUACCGAGCUCACGAACAUCGCUCGAACACAAUCAGUUUUCAGACUUAGUGAAAACUGAGACAUGCUGAAAUUUAACUCACGAAGGCAUGUAAACGAGCUCGAUGCACUCACUACGGUGCAAGUCAUGGCAAGGAAAUCAUAUAACCAGCAAGAAGGCACAAAGUGCUAGCUACACAUGGCAAGAACGAAGGCAUAGCAUGUAUGGAACACUAACGGUAGCAUCGGCUAAAUCGCAAACGAGUUGACGAUCUGCCCAGAUUAACAACGAAGCAAAAGUUGAGCUCGAAUGAGUCAACCUAGAGCACUCCACAAAUGCAAACAAAGACAAGGAUGGAUAGAGCAUGACAUAAAUAUCAAAACUCCCUUACUGAUCAUCCUCAAAAGAGGCACGGAUCACUAGGAAACAAGCUGGACAUAUAGCAUCAUGAACUAAAAUAUCCCAGACUUAGUGAAAAACACUAAGUCCCUGAAAUCUGCAAUCUCAGGUACCUCUCUUCGCAAGCUUGCACAAGACAACACACACAUCCUAAAAAUGCAUGGGUGGCACCUCUGGAAAGAAGACAAAAUGCUUCACAAUACAUCCCAAAGGGGCACAGGCAUAUCAUGCACGAAUUAAACAUGGCAAAAAUGACAAAAGUGCAUGAUGAACUAACGGAUCUGCAAUUUAACUCACGAAGCCUCCUUCUAACAGCAUUUUGGGUAUCAAGAUGACCUCAAAUGCAAAUGAUGCAAUGGAANNNNNNNNNNNNNNNNNNNNNNNNNNNNNNNNNNNNNNNNNNNNNNNNNNNNNNNNNNNNNNNNNNNNNNNNNNNNNNNNNNNNNNNNNNNNNNNNNNNNNNNNNNNNNNNNNNNNNNNNNNNNNNNNNNNNNNNNNNNNNNNNNNNNNNNNNNNNNNNNNNNNNNNNNNNNNNNNNNNNNNNNNNNNNNNNNNNNNNNNNNNNNNNNNNNNNNNNNNNNNNNNNNNNNNNNNNNNNNNNNNNNNNNNNNNNNNNNNNNNNNNNNNNNNNNNNNNNNNNNNNNNNNNNNNNNNNNNNNNNNNNNNNNNNNNNNNNNNNNNNNNNNNNNNNNNNNNNNNNNNNNNNNNNNNNNNNNNNNNNNNNNNNNNNNNNNNNNNNNNNNNNNNNNNNNNNNNNNNNNNNNNNNNNNNNNNNNNNNNNNNNNNNNNNNNNNNNNNNNNNNNNNNNNNNNNNNNNNNNNNNNNNNNNNNNNNNNNNNNNNNNNNNNNNNNNNNNNNNNNNNNNNNNNNNNNNNNNNNNNNNNNNNNNNNNNNNNNNNNNNNNNNNNNNNNNNNNNNNNNNNNNNNNNNNNNNNNNNNNNNNNNNNNNNNNNNNNNNNNNNNNNNNNNNNNNNNNNNNNNNNNNNNNNNNNNNNNNNNNNNNNNNNNNNNNNNNNNNNNNNNNNNNNNNNNNNNNNNNNNNNNNNNNNNNNNNNNNNNNNNNNNNNNNNNNNNNNNNNNNNNNNNNNNNNNNNNNNNNNNNNNNNNNNNNNNNNNNNNNNNNNNNNNNNNNNNNNNNNNNNNNNNNNNNNNNNNNNNNNNNNNNNNNNNNNNNNNNNNNNNNNNNNNNNNNNNNNNNNNNNNNNNNNNNNNNNNNNNNNNNNNNNNNNNNNNNNNNNNNNNNNNNNNNNNNNNNNNNNNNNNNNNNNNNNNAGUCUUGAAGCACUUUCGAAGCUGAGAGACAUGGAACACAUCAUGAACAUUUGCAAAGUUUGAAGGAAGCUCGAGUUGAUAGGCGAGGUCGCCUCUCUUGCUGACAAUCUUGAAAGGUCCCACGUAUCUAGGGGCAAGCUUCCCUUUGAUACCGAAGCGACGAGUACCUUUCAUGGGAGAGACGCGGAGGUAAACAUGAUCUCCGAUCUCGAAAACCAGAUCACGGUGCUUACUAUCAUAGUAGCACUUCUGGCGGGAUUGAGCUGCUUUGAGGUUAUCACGAAUGACUUUGCACAUUUCUUCUGCUUCUGUGAUUAAGUCAUUACCCAGCAGCUGACGUUCACCGGUUUCAGACCAGUUGAGAGGGGUACGGCACUUCCUGCCAUAUAGAAUUUCAAAGGGGGCCUUGCCCGAACUUGCUUGAAAGCUGUUGUUGUAAGAGAAUUCAGCAUAAGGAAGACAAUCUUCCCACUUCAUGCCGAAAGAAAUCACACAAGCCCUGAGCAUAUCUUCAAGAAUCUGAUUGACACGCUCGACUUGACCGCUCGUUUGAGGAUGGAAAGCUGUGCUGAAGCGGAUGUUGGUGCCCAUGGCCUUCUGAAAAGAAUCCCAAAACUUGGAGGUAAAGAUGCUGCCACGGUCUGAAGAUAUCACUUGAGGAAUACCGUGCAGAGAGACAAUGCGAGAGGUAUAGAGUUCCGCCAAUUGAGCUGCAGUGAUCGACUCUUUGAUAGGCAGAAAGUGAGCCACUUUGGUGAGCUUGUCGACGGCAACAAAUAUAGCAUCAUUGCCACGCUUGGACUUUGGAAACCCAGUCACGAAGUCCAUUUCAAUGUGGUCAAACUUCCAUUCUGGAAUGGCAAGAGGUUGGAGGAGACCUGCUGGCCUUUGGUGUUCUGCCUUCACUCUUCUGCAGACAUCACACUCGUUCACGAAUUGAGCGAUCUCGCGCUUCAUUCGAGUCCACCAAUAAGUUUGCUUGAGGUCCUGAUACAUCUUCGUACUACCAGGGUGGAUGGAGAGGAGAGAGUUGUGAGCCUCGUUCAUGAUCACCUUACGAAGUUCACCUUUGGGCACAACAAUUCGAUCCUCGAAGAAGAGAGUGUCCUUGUCAUCAAGUCGGUAGCACUUGUACUUGGACUAACUCUUUGCAACAUCAAUCUUCACCUUCUUCACCAUAGCAUCAAGAAGUUGGGCUUGGUGAAUCUUGUCUUCUAAGGUAGGAGAGACUUGAAGGUUGGCGAGGAAACCUUGAGGAACAACUUGCAGAUUAAGUUUGCGGAAAGCUUCACAAAGCUCGGGUUGAUAAGGCUUGAGAAUCAGACUGUUGCAAUAUGCUUUUCUGCUCAAAGCGUCAGCAAUCACAUUAGCCUUGCCUGGAGUAUACUCGAUACUCGGAUUGUACUCUUGAAUCAUUUCGACCCAUCGAGUCUGCCUGAGGUUGAGAUUAGGCUGAGUGAAGAUGUACUUGAGACUCUUGUGAUCAGUGAAAAUAUCCACUUUCCUUCCCAAUAGAAGAUGUCUUCAAGUCAACAAAGCAUGCACAACUGCCGCCAACUCGAGAUCAUGAGUGGGGUAGUUCUUCUCAUUAGGUUUCAACUGGCGAGAGGUAUAAGCAACAACUUUCUUCUCUUGCAUCAGUACAGCACCGAGACCUUGGAGAGAGGCAUCACAAAAGACCUCGUACGGUUUGGUUUCAUCAGGCGGAGUCAGAACUGGAGCAGUGAUCAAUUUCUCUUUCAAAGUGUUGAAAGCCAUAUCACACUCCGGAGACCAAACGUACUUGACGUGCUUCUGAAGAAGAUUUGAGAGAGGCUUGGCGAUCUUAGAAAAGUUUUCAACGAAUCUUCUGCAAUAGCUUGCGAGACCGAGGAAACUGCGAAGUUGCUUCACGUUCUGAGGAGGUUCCCAAUUCACAAUUGCAGACACCUUCUCAGGAUUCACGGAAAUACCCUUGGCAGAGAUGAUAUGACCAAGAUAAAGAACCUCAUCGAGCCAAAAUUCACACUUGGAGAACUUGGCGUAGAACUGAUGUUCUCUGAGCUUGUCAAGAACCAAACGCAAGUGCUUGGCAUGAUCUUCCUUGUUCUUCGAGAAAACCAGAAUGUCGUCGAGAUAGACCAAAACGAAUUCAUUGGUGUAGGGGUUGAAGAUGAAGUUCAUCAUGCGAGAGAAUGUCGGAGGAGCGUUGGCGAGGCCAAAAGACAUGACGGUGUAUUCAUAUGAACCAAAGCUUGUUCUGAACGCCGUCUUGGGAAUAUCUUGCUCACGAAUACGAAUCUGAUGAUAACCCAUACGGAGAUCAAGCUUGGAGAAUACUUGAGCACCCUUGAGUUGUUCGAACAGCUCAUUGAUGUUGGGAAGUGGGUAUUUGUUCUUUAUGGUCUUCUUGUUUACUGGACGGUAAUCAACACAAAGUCGACUCGAUCCAUCCUUCUUCUUCACAAAAAGAACACCACAACCCCACGGAGAAGUACUAGGCCGAAUGAGACCCAAUCUUUCUUGCUCAUCGAGUUGUUUCUUCAGCUCCUUCAACUCUUCAGGUCCGAGCUUGUAAGGACGUUUGCACACAGGUUCCGUGCCAGGCUCAAGUUCAAUAACGAAUUCAACUGGCCGGUGCGGAGGCAUUCCUGGGAGCUCUUCUGGAAAGACGUCUUGAUACUCACAAACAACCGGAAUCUGCGAAAUAGCAUCCAAUUCACCCUUCUCAUUGAGAGAAAACAACCGGAUGGUAUUAUCCCGAGCGGCAAAGACAAUAACAUCCUCAGACGAAUGAGUCAGUUGAAUCUGCCUGGCUGCACAAUCAAGCUGAGCUCUAUGCUUAGAGAGCCAGUCCAUCCCGAGAAUAAGAUCGAUAUCCGAGUUGCCAAGAACCGUAGGAGAAGCCAAGAACUUGUAGUCACCGAAAGUGAUAGAAACAUCCGGAACGAUGGAGUUAGCCUGCAUGCGCUUACCGGGAGAGACAACUUCUAAAGGACUAGAUAAAACUUGUGAGACCAAUUCAUGCCUAUUUGUAAACGGUCUCGAGAUGAAGCAAUGUGAUGCACCAGUGUCAAAAAGAACUUUUGCAGGAAUAUCAUUAACAGGAAGGUUACCCAUGAUCACAUCUGACGAGUCCUCUGCCUGAGCUGCAUUCAUCAAGUUGACCUUGGCGGACUUGGGGUUAUGCUUGACCACAGCUGUACUUGCCGAUCUGACAGGAGGAGGAGGAGGAAGACGCCUCUGGUUGGUACACUUGUUGGCAUAGUGACCCUUCUGUUGGCACUUGUUGCACGUGACCUCUGAAAGCCGGGCGGUGAUACGGAGCACUCGAUCUUGGCGCUUGAGACGAAGAUUUGUUCUGAAAGCCUGGGUUGGGUGGGUGGGAGAAACCACUGCCACCUUUGCUCUUCUGCUGAUACGGCUGACGGAACGGAGGAGGAGGAAGCCAAUACUUCUGCUGCUUGACCACUUGGGUAGAGGAAGACGGAGUAACAUCUCUGGCACGCUUCCUCGAAGCAUCACACCUCAUCUGAGCAGCCUGUUGCUUCAGUGCCAUGUUGUAGAACUCAUCGUAUCUCAACGGCUCAAAGAGGACAAGAGCGAGCUGAAUUUCCUCAUGAAGACCACCCCUGAACUGAUAGAUCAUGCUCUUCUCAUCAGGAACAUCCUGCUUGGCAAAACGGGCGAGCUUCUGGAACAACUUGUUGUAGUCAUAGACAGACAAAGAGCCUUGCUUCAGAUUGCGGAAUUCCUGACGCUUACUCUCAACCACACUUUGAGGGAUGUGAUGAGCGCGGAAAUCUUGACGGAAAUCGUUCCAAGUGAUAACACGUCCACCUCUGGAAUCCUUGUACUGCUGGAACCACUCUGCAGCCUGAUCUUUGAGCUGGAAAGAAGCGAACUUGACGAAAUCUUCAGGCCUGACGUUGCUGCAUUCAAAAUGCUUGCCCAGAUCCACUAGCCAAUCGUCAGCAUCUGUAGCCUCAACACAACCGCUGAACGUCUUUGGGCCAUUAGCAAGGAACUGGUUCAGAGUAGCAAAGUGGUGUUGAUUAUGGCCUUGAUUCCCUUGACUGCCUUGAUUGCGCUCUUGAAGGAUUUGCAUGAUCAACUGUGUGUUUGCAUUAGUAGCGGCCAUCACAGCUUGCCAUGCUUCCGGAGGAGGCGGAGGUGGAGGCGGAUUAGGAUUCGGAAUCGUGCGCGUUGGAGGAGCCAUCCUGAAGAGGUUGACCACCAUUAGCACAUUGAUAGACAACAAUAUAGAAGCUGAAUCCAACGGAAUGAAAAAUUGCAACAUAUAGUCUUCACAUCCGAACAGAAUGAACGAAUGAAUUUCUCUUGAAAUGGUCACAUAUCCAUAAAUUGAGAAGCCACGAAGAAUUUAAGGUAGAGAAAUAAUACAACAAGGUACGAUCAAGAACGAAUAAUCGGUAAGAAAUCCCAAUCUCAAACCAAUAUCCGUGGAAGAAGAACUAGAGCUACUAGAAUUCCCACCUAUGAAAUUCCCGAACCUUUCCGGUUAUGCAAUCAGGUGUUGGGGAUACAGGGGAAGCACAAUAUCUCACCCAAACUAGCAAAUCCUACAUCCAGCUGUAUCCAUCCUUCAACACAUAACCAGGAAAACUUCGGAAACCAUCUACCUCAACCUUCGAAAAGCAUCCGUUAUACAAGUUAUGGCGAUACUCCCGAACUCCCGCCCCAGUUCUGGGUGGCGUCGAGGUUAUCUCACCAACGAACUGCAUAAAAGAGAUUUUCGAUGUCGGCGAACAUAUCUCAAGUAUACCAGAAUUGCAACGAUAAAAUUGUGACGACAACACCUCGGAGCUCAACUCCCCGGGACACUGCCACAACCCCUAAAGAUAGGAGGCACCAAGAACAAUGUUCUCGUCACAAAACCAUCGGAACAAAACCAAGAUACUCGCGUGAACCUAAAAAAUUUUUUUUAGUGAAAUUUUAGAAGAGAAGAGUCAAAACUCUACGCCAGGAUGCCUUACCAGAGCGAUGAGGAGACUGGGAAGUAAAAAGAAUUCCUAAGCUCUCCGAUAUAUAAUUCCUAAGGACUCAAAACAUUUUUCUAGACACAACUCGGCUGCUAAAACGAUCAAGCAAUGGGGCUCCUAAGGUCGGGGAUGGCUCUGAUUACCAACUUGUAACGCCCUCGAUGCGGCUAUAGCUCCCACGUGUCGAGGCACGACUUAGAGGCAUAACCGCAUUGAAAGCAAUGUCGCAAGUCAGGCAGUCAUUACAACAUCCCAUGUAAUAUAUAAUAAAAGGGGAAGAUAACAUAGUUGGCUUACACUCGCCACGUCACAUCAGAGUACAUAAAUAACAUCCAUCAAACAAGCACUCAUGGCCCGACUACGGCGCCAAAAUAGAAAAGAACCCAACAUGCGACAAGGUCCUGAAUCGACAACCCCAACUAGGCACCACUACUGAUCAUCCGGAAAAGACACAUAGUAACGCUGAGAGUCCUCAUCGAACUCCCACUGAAGCUCGUAAUCGUCAACUGGAGCAGAAACACCUGGACCUGCACCUGGAGUUGUAAUAUCUGUGAGCCACAGGGACUCAGCAAUCUCACACCCACGCGAUCAAAACUAUUUAAGCUCAUGGGAAUGGAUAAGGCGAAUAUAGGUGGAGCUGCAGCAGGCGACUAGCAUAUAUGGUGGCUAACUUAUACGCAAAAGAGAGCGAGAAGAGAAGGCGAAGCACGAUCGAUAAAAGUAUGAUCAAGAAGUGAUCCUGGACUACCUACGUCAAGCAUAACUCCAACAACCGUGUUCACUUCCCGGGCCCCGCCGGAAAGAGACCAUCACGGUUACACACGCGGUUGACGUAUUUUAAACAAGGUCAACUUCGGGUUUUCUACAACCGGACGUUAACAAAUUCCCAUCUGCCCAUAACCGCGGGCACGGCUUUCGAAAGUUCAAUCCCUGCAGGGGAGUCCCAACUUAGCCCAUGACAAGCUCUCACGGUCAACGAAGGAAUAGACCUCCACCCGAGACAUUCCGAUCAGACUCGGUAUCCCGGUACAACAAGACAUUUCGAUAGGGUAAAACUAAACCAGCAACACCGCCCGAAUGUGCCGACAAAUCCCGAUAGGAGCUGCACAUAUCUCUUUCUCAGGGCACACUCAGAUUGUCCUAGGUACGGGUAGGCCAGCCCAGAGUUGCCCCUGGUAGCCAUCGGUAGCUGACAGGUGGACCAACACUCAGAGGAGCACUGGCCCGGGGGGGUAAAAUAAGAUGACCCUUGAGUCUGCAGAACCCAAGGGAAAGAAAAGGCUAGGUGGCAAAUGGUAAAACCAAUGUUGGGCAUUGCUGGAAGAGCUUUACUUAAGACGAACUGUCAAGGGGUUCCCAUAAUAGCCCAACCGUGUAAGGAACGCAAAAUCCGGGAACAUAACACCGAUAUGACGUAAACUAGGGCGGCAAGAGUGGAACAAAACACCAGGCAUAAGGCCGAGCCUUCCACCCUUUACCAAGUAUAUAGAUGCAUUAAUUAAGUAAGAUAUAUUGUGAUAUCCCAACAAGUAAAUAAAAGUUCCAACAAGGAACGGCUCCAAUCUUCACCUGCAACUAACAACGCUAUAAGAAGGGCUGAGCAAAGCGGUAACAUAGCCAAUCAACGGUUUGCUAGGACAAUGGUGGGUUAGGGGAUCAACAUGGCAAUUGGGAGGCUGACAAGCAAAAAGGUAGGCAUCGUAGCAGUGGCAAAGCAAAAGAGCGAGCAAACUAGCAUAGCAAAGAUAGUAGUGAUUUCGAGGGUAUGAUCAUCUUGCCUGCACAGUUGUCCGAGUUGACUGGAUCCUCACAAGCAAACUCAACGGGCUCCUCGGUAGCGAACUCGUCUCCCGGCUCUACCCAACAAGACAAACAAGCAACAAGUACCCAAUCAAUCACGGGCAAGACCAAGCAAUAUGAUGAAAUGACGAUAUGCUAUGCGGGAUGCGAUGCGGGAUGCAAAAUGCAAGAUAUGACAGGAAAUGCAUGAACCUGGCAUAAACUUGGAAAACCAAGUGUGCCACUGGAUAGAGGGGAUGAAAUCGCUUGAAAACGAUAUGAAGAUCAAAGGAAUCGGAGCUACGGUUUAGAAAUGGCAAGCGUUUUAAGAUAUGACACCGGUCUGUGAUUUGCAGCAAGUAGGCAUCUAAAUGCAACGAAAAGAACAUGCUACAGCCACCAAACAUGAAAACAAAAUACAUGGCAGUGAUGUACACAAGAUGGUUGACAAAACACUAGCACUGAGCCAUAGGCAAAUUCAUCCAUUAAGAGGUUCAAACAAGCAUGGCUAAAACGCAAAUGCAAAACAGAUUUCAGACUUAGUGAAAUUAACACUAGUCUGAAAUUUCAGAUCACGAUGCUCUCUUCGGAGCAGCAAAACAACAUGAUAGAAAACCUGAACAUGACAAGUAAGAACAUGGCAUGGAGCUAUUCAACAAGCUUAAUAAAACACCCAAAGUGACCUGGGGCCAAAAGGGUUCACAAAAUACCCUACCGAGCUCACGAACAUCGCUCGAACACAAUCAGUUUUCAGACUUAGUGAAAACUGAGACAUGCUGAAAUUUAACUCACGAAGGCAUGUAAACGAGCUCGAUGCACUCACUACGGUGCAAGUCAUGGCAAGGAAAUCAUAUAACCAGCAAGAAGGCACAAAGUGCUAGCUACACAUGGCAAGAACGAAGGCAUAGCAUGUAUGGAACACUAACGGUAGCAUCGGCUAAAUCGCAAACGAGUUGACGAUCUGCCCAGAUUAACAACGAAGCAAAAGUUGAGCUCGAAUGAGUCAACCUAGAGCACUCCACAAAUGCAAACAAAGACAAGGAUGGAUAGAGCAUGACAUAAAUAUCAAAACUCCCUUACUGAUCAUCCUCAAAAGAGGCACGGAUCACUAGGAAACAAGCUGGACAUAUAGCAUCAUGAACUAAAAUAUCCCAGACUUAGUGAAAAACACUAAGUCCCUGAAAUCUGCAAUCUCAGGUACCUCUCUUCGCAAGCUUGCACAAGACAACACACACAUCCUAAAAAUGCAUGGGUGGCACCUCUGGAAAGAAGACAAAAUGCUUCACAAUACAUCCCAAAGGGGCACAGGCAUAUCAUGCACGAAUUAAACAUGGCAAAAAUGACAAAAGUGCAUGAUGAACUAACGGAUCUGCAAUUUAACUCACGAAGCCUCCUUCUAACAGCAUUUUGGGUAUCAAGAUGACCUCAAAUGCAAAUGAUGCAAUGGAAUGAAAUGAUGUACAUGUCGAGACGAAGAUUUUGAUAUAUCAUACGCCUAAAACGGAUCUACGAUUGCGGAGAUACGAGCAGUCAAACAUCGCAUAAAAACUAGGGUUUCUGGACAAAAGUCAACAGGGGGGGGGGUUGGAUCUGAGAUCUGGAACCUCACGGAAACCGAGGCGGCGCCGGAACACUGUAGCAACGGGGCGUCGCCGGAGCUCGUCGCGGCUCGCCGGAGGAAGAGGGACGGCGGCGUCGGGCGCCGGGGCGACGAGGGGCGNNNNNNNNNNNNNNNNNNNNNNNNNNNNNNNNNNNNNNNNNNNNNNNNNNNNNNNNNNNNNNNNNNNNNNNNNNNNNNNNNNNNNNNNNNNNNNNNNNNNNNNNNNNNNNNNNNNNNNNNNNNNNNNNNNNNNNNNNNNNNNNNNNNNNNNNNNNNNNNNNNNNNNNNNNNNNNNNNNNNNNNNNNNNNNNNNNNNNNNNNNNNNNNNNNNNNNNNNNNNNNNNNNNNNNNNNNNNNNNNNNNNNNNNNNNNNNNNNNNNNNNNNNNNNNNNNNNNNNNNNNNNNNNNNNNNNNNNNNNNNNNNNNNNNNNNNNNNNNNNNNNNNNNNNNNNNNNNNNNNNNNNNNNNNNNNNNNNNNNNNNNNNNNNNNNNNNNNNNNNNNNNNNNNNNNNNNNNNNNNNNNNNNNNNNNNNNNNNNNNNNNNNNNNNNNNNNNNNNNNNNNNNNNNNNNNNNNNNNNNNNNNNNNNNNNNNNNNNNNNNNNNNNNNNNNNNNNNNNNNNNNNNNNNNNNNNNNNNNNNNNNNNNNNNNNNNNNNNNNNNNNNNNNNNNNNNNNNNNNNNNNNNNNNNNNNNNNNNNNNNNNNNNNNNNNNNNNNNNNNNNNNNNNNNNNNNNNNNNNNNNNNNNNNNNNNNNNNNNNNNNNNNNNNNNNNNNNNNNNNNNNNNNNNNNNNNNNNNNNNNNNNNNNNNNNNNNNNNNNNNNNNNNNNNNNNNNNNNNNNNNNNNNNNNNNNNNNNNNNNNNNNNNNNNNNNNNNNNNNNNNNNNNNNNNNNNNNNNNNNNNNNNNNNNNNNNNNNNNNNNNNNNNNNNNNNNNNNNNNNNNNNNNNNNNNNNNNNNNNNNNNNNNNNNNNNNNNNNNNNNNNNNNNNNNNNNNNNNNNNNNNNNNNNNNNNNNNNNNNNNNNNNNNNNNNNNNNNNNNNNNNNNNNNNNNNNNGGAGCUAGGAGAGUCCAAAUGAGGUGCGGUUUUCGCCCACACGAUCGUGAUCGAACGCUCUAGGACAUGGAGCAGAGUUUGGUGGGUUUUGGGCCAAAUUUGGGGGGUGUUGGGCUGCAACACAAACGAGGCCUUUUCGGUCCCUCGGUUAACCGUUGGAGUAUCAAACGAAGUCCAAAUGACCCGAAACUUGACAGGCGGUCUACCGGUAGUAAACCAAGGCCGCUUGGCAAGACUCGGUCCAAUCCGGAAAUGUUUAAACCCCACACAAGAAAGAAAGGUAGAAAUGACCACCGGAGGAGAACGAAGCGCCGGAAUGCAAAACGGACAACGGGGAAAAUGAUCGAAUGCAUGAGAUGAACAUGUAUGCAAAUGCAAUGCCCGUGAUGACAUGGUAUGAGAUGCAUGAAAACGAAAACAACACACGGAGACAAGGACCCGAACCCGAGAAAUAAAUAUAACUUGACACCGGAAACGGCAAGAGUUGGAUACAAAUAUGGAAAGUUACAUCUGGGGCGUUACAUAACAUCUAGGUAUAGACCUGGCUCGGAUGCCACUGUUGGGGAACGCAGUAUUUCAAAAUUUUACCUACGAUCAUGCAAGAUCUAUCUAGGAGAUGCAUAGCAACGAGAGGGGAGAGUGUGUCCAUGUACCCUCGUAGACCGAAAGCGGAAGCGUUUAGUAACGCGGUUGAUGUAGUUGAACGUCUUCACGAUCCAACCGAUCCAAGUACCGAAUGCACGACACCUCCACGAUCAGCACACAUUCAGCUCGGUGACGUCCCUCAUACUCUUGAUCUAGCUGAGGCCGAGGGUGAGUUCCGUCAACACGCCAGCGUGGUGACAGUGAUGAUGAAGUUACCGACGCAGGGCUUCACCUAAGCACUACAACAAUAUGUCCGAGGUGUGUAACUAUGGAGGGGGCACCGCACACGGCUAAAAGAUUAACUUGUGUGUCUUUGGGGUGCCCCCUGCCUCCGUAUAUAAAGGGGGAGAGGGAGAGGUGGCUUCACACUACGGGCCAACUCAUUUGGCCAUCUGGAGCAGAUCGAUAGCUAUGCCCCUGGCCAUCAGGUCAAAUUUGGGAGCUUGAACUACGUCACGGACAUCCAUGGAGAUUUGAUCUUCGCUGGAUUCGAGACCGCGACGAUCGCUCUUGGUCACCUUGAUGAGCAUGACCUAAAUCUGUCAUCGGGCCACAUUCAGGAGAUAGCUCACGUAACUGCUCUGGCCUUAGAUCUGGAGCUUACGGCGACAUCUAAGGACUGGAGGUUCAACCCCACCACGGAGGCCACAGAUUCCCCAGCGUUGGAGCCGCACAUGGACUUAAACUUACACAAUAUUUGUGUCACCGGAACCCCGGACUCGUCUCUGGGUGUAAGUUUUGAACCAUGUGAGUCCACGGAUGCCGAACUUGAUCAUUUAUCGAUCUUCGAGUUCAGCGCCGCAGACAUCUUCCAGCACUCACCCUUGGGUGAUGUGCUAAGCUCAUUAAAAAACCUAUCCUUGGUAGGGGACUCAUAGCCGAACUAUGUACGGUUUGAACUAGGGGCUGAUGAUGGAGAAUCUUGCUUCCCACCUGCCACCCACUUCAUAGCCACAACCGAGGAUUUAACCGACACGCUCGAUUACGACUCCGAAGACAUCGGCGAUAUUGACGACGAUGCUGAUGAGGAGCAAAAUCAAAGUCCGCCAUUCACUGGACGCUGGACGGCCACCUCUUCGUACGAUGCGUACAUGGUGGACACAUCCAAAACAACCAACAACGAUGACAAAGAAAAUCCAGUUGAGAAUAAACCUCUCGAGACACAGCAAAAACACCAGCGUCCUCGGCACCGCUCUAAGUCACAUCGUUCAAAGGAUAGUAACACUGGCACCGGGGAAAAAUAGUACUCUGGACGAACCCGAAGAUAAUAAAGACCCUGUUGAGGUAACCUCCGAACAGGAGGAACGAGAAAAUGGGCAAGUUAGCCCUGAUGAACAGGCCAUACAUGACGAUUUGGAGGACGAUAAUUAUCUUCCGCUCUCCGAAGAUGAGGUAAGCCUCGACGACGAGGAUUUCAUCGUGCCCGAGGAACCUCUCGAGCAGGAGCGCUUCAAGCGCAGGCUAAUAGCCACUGCAAGGAGCCUAAAAAAGAAACAACAACAGCUUCAAGCGGACCAAGAUUUGCUCAACGACAGAUGGACUAAUGUCUUGGCAACCAAAGAAUACGGCCUCAAGCUCCGAGCUAGGAGUUACCCGAAGCGCAAACUACUACCCCAGUUUGAUGAGUAGGCGCUAGAGCUCAUACCUCACUCGCGCAACGCGGCCAACCGACUACAGCGCGGUCGGGACAAUGCGACAGGUCGACCACAACUUGGCCAGGAUAAAGCGGCAAUUCAAGACGAACAGCAACCCGCCCCACCGCCACGUAAAAACAGAAACAACAGCUCGGGGUGAUACACACGACCUUCGGCAGGACCUGGACAGUAAAAGCAGGAUACACCAGAUCGAUCUACAGAUCGCAAGGACGUACCGCGACACGCGACGAUGGCUAUCUAUUCGGAUGCAAGAAACCUAGCCACGCCCGGGCCGAAAACUACAGGCGGACUCCAUCGGAGCUACGUCGUGAUGCGGCCCAAUAUAGAGGCGUCGCACACCCUCUUUGCUUCACUGAUGGAGUAAUGGGUCACGAGUUCCCAGAAGGGUUUAAACCCGUAAAUAUUGAAUCAUACAACGGGACAACAGAUCUCACGGCAUGGAUUGAGGAUUUCCUUCUACAUAUCCACAUGGCCCGCGGAGACGACCUUCAUGCCAUCAAAUACCUCCCGUUAAAACUCAAAGUACCAGCUCGGCACUGGUUAAGCAGUCUGCCUGAAAACUCAAGUGGCAGCUGGGAGGAGUUGGAAGAUGCCUUCCGCGAUAACUUUCAAGGUACAUAUGUCCGGCCACCGGAUGCCGAUGACCUAAGUCACAUUGUCCAGCAGCCCGGAGAGUCCGCCAGAAAGCUCUGGACUAGGUUUCUAGUUAAAAAGAACCAAAUUGUUGACUGUCCGGACGCGGAAGCCCUCGCGGCCUUCAAACACAGCGUCUAGGACGAGUGGCUUGCCCGCCACCUCGAUCAGGAAAAACCAAAGUCUAUGUUAGCCCUUACCUCUCUGAUGACCCGCUUUUGCGUGGGAGAAGACAGCUGGCUCGCCCGUAGAAGCAAUAGCGCCAGCGAUCCGGGCACCUCCGAAGUGCGGGACGGUAAUGGAAAACCACGACGCAAUAAAAACAAAUGUCGCAAUAAUAAUGAGGGCACAUAGGACACAACGGUCAACGCUGGAUUCAGCGGCCCCAAACCCGGCCAACGGAAAAAGCCAUUUACGACAAACAAAGACGGACCAUCCAAUUUAGAUAAAAUAUUGGAUAGGCCCUGCCAGAUCCAUGGCCACCCCAAUAAACCAGCUAAUCACAUCAACAGAAGCUGUUGGGUCUUCAAACAGGCCGGCAAGUUAAAUGCCGAACACAAGGGGAAGAGGCCGCCCGGUGAUAGCGACGACGAACAGGCUCACCAACUGAACAACGGGGGUCAGAGCAGUUUCCCCCGACGCAAAAACAGUAAACAUGGUAUACGUGACACACACACACCUAGAGGUGAGCGCACGGAACACUCUCUCUGCAUAGGAGAUCAUACUACAGCUACCUCAGCCGAACUACGCAGCGGCCUUAUCACGCCGCAUACCAUGACGGCCAUCAUACCGCUGGUCUCCAUUCAACAUGACCGAUCAAUGUCCAUAUUGGACUAGCAAUUCGGCUUCCGCCGUUCGCCUAAUAUGCCUUCGAAGUGGGUACCGUGCAUACAUAAUUAUGCACUUGAAAUACCCUGGGCAUCGGUGGAAGCACAAUGAGGGUGGGCCUGCAAACCCCACUACUUUUCUAACUGCCCUUUUCCUUUUUAUUAUUCCCUCUACAGGUAGCUCAAGGGCCGGUCACCCCGAGGACUCUACCAGAGUUCGGGUUCAUACAAUCACCCAAGGGUUAUUCCUAUCAAGGAAUCCCUUAAUCGAGGACACGCGGCGCAGACGUGCGACAGGAGGUCCAAAAUAACUUUUUGUAGACUGCGCUCUCUAUUCCGAGCCUGUAAAGUGCCUUUUUCCUCAGCCUUCGACCCCUGGCAUGUCAAAUAGCCAGAGUCGCGGCUUUGUUAUCUAUAUAAUAAUUGGCAUAUCACCCAGCUCCCAGUAAAAGUAACGAGUGUCCAAUAUUGACUUUUUCCUAAUCGACCCGAAUUUUUGCUCCUGUAGUUCUUUUACACACACACCUCGGCAUAACCCGCCAGGGGCUCGGUAUGGGAACAAAUGAGUUGCCGGCAAGUCCGAACAGCUUUAUAGCGUACUUCAGCAUCGCGAGUUUGGCCUUAUAUGCAUCAGCUCCGAAUCAUGUCUUGGGUCAAUAGUUGGGUUGCCCGGCUCCUGUGCUUGCUACCCUAUGAUACGUCUCCAACGUAUCUAUAAUUUUUGAUUGCUCCAUGCUAUAUUAUCUACUGUUUUGGACAUUAUUGGGCUUUAUUAUGCACUUUUAUAUUAUUUUUGGAACUAACCUAUUAACCGGAGGCCCAGCCCAGAAUUGCUGUUUUUUGCCUGUUUUAGGGUUUAGAAGAAAAGGAAUACCAAACGGAGUCCAAACGGAAUGAAACCUUCGGGAACGUGAUUUUCUCAUCUAAUAAGACCCAGGAGACUUGGACCCUACGUCAAGGCACGAAACAGGAGGCCACGAGGUAGGGGGCGCGCCUGACAUACUCCUUCCUCCUAUAUAUAUUCACGUACCCCCAAACGAUCAGAUACGGAGCCAAAACCCUAAUUCCACCACCGUAACUUUCUGUAUCCAUGAGAUCCCAUCUUGGGGCCUGUUCUGGAGCUCCGCCGGAGGGGGCAUCGAUCACGGAGGGCUUCUACAUCAACACCAUAGCCUCUCCGAUGAAGUGUGAGUAGUUUACCUCAGACCUACAGGUCCAUAGUUAGUAGCUAGAUGGCUUCUUCUCUCUUUUUGGAUCUCAAUACAAUGUUCUCCCCCUCUCUUGUGGAGAACCAUUUGAUGUAAUCUUCUUUUUGCGGUGUGUUUGUUGAGAUCGAUGAAUUGUGGGUUUAUGAUCAAGUCUAUCUAUGAAUAAUAUUUGAAUCUUCUCUGAAUUCUUUUAUGUAUGAUUGGUUAUCUUUGCAAGUCUCUUCGAAAUAUCAGUUUGGUUUGGCCUACUAGAUUGAUCUUUCUUGCAAUGGGAGAAGUGCUUAGCUUUGGGUUCAAUCUUGUGGUGUCCUUUCCCGGUGAUAGUAAGGGCAGCAAGGCACGUAUUGUAUUGUUGCCAUCGAGGAUAACAAGAUGGGGUUUUCUUCAUAUUGCAUGAGUCUAGCUAUCCCUCUACAUCAUGUCAUCUUGCUUAAGGCGUUACUCUGUUCUUAACUUAAUACUCUAGAUGCAUGCUGGAUAGCGGUCGAUGAGUGGAGUAAUAGUAGUAGAUGCAGGCAGGAGUCGGUCUACUUGUCUCAGACAUGAUGCCUAUAUACAUGAUCAUGCCUAGAUAUUCUCAUAACUAUGCUCAAUUCUGUCAAUUGCUCAACAGUAAUUUGUUCACCCACCGAAGAAUACUUAUGCUCUCGAGAGAAGCCACUUGUGAAACCUAUGGCCCCCGGGUCUAUCUUUAUCAUAUUGUCCUCCUACUACUUUGCUAUUUACUUUGCCUUUAUUUUACUUUGCAUCUUUAUCAUAAAAAUACCAAAAAUAUUAUCUUUAUCAUAUCUAUCAGAUCUCACUCUCGUAAGUGGCCCUAUAGGGAUUGACAACCCCUAUUUGCGUUGGUUGCGAGGAUUUAUUUGUUUUGUGCGGGUACGAGGGACUCGCGCGUAUACGUAGCCUCCUACUGGAUUGAUACCUUGGUUCUCAAAAACUGAGGGAAAUACUUACGCUACUUUGCUGCAUCAUCCCUUCCUCUUUGGGGAAAACCAACGCAGUGCUCAAGAGGCAGCACCCUACGUUCCACUCUAUCGGCUAGGGUAGUAAAGGGAGAACUACUGUGAUUGUGCUUAUAGUUCAUCUGGUCAAGCACCUCAGUAGAGAAAGCCAAAAACUGGCUGUCAUGAUGCAGCGAGAGCUGGUCAACCACUCGACGACUUAUCGGAAUCUUUAGCGAUUCUCUCCGUGUCAUACGAAGGAUCUUUUUCAGAUCAUUUUUUGCAACGCAUCUUAUUAAAAAUAGGCCGCGUAUGUCCAGGGGCUAUAUCGUAGACCCACCAUAAAACUCCUAUGGCUAAGCGAAAGUGUUAACACCCUAUAGUCUGAUUGCCUGGUUCGCCGCAUUGUCACCUCCUUCAUGGACCAAGAUGUUGGGUCAAGAGUGAUCAAAUGCUUUUCCGAACACCCCCGUACUUCCUACAAGGGGGCUAAAGCCGACGACUGGAAAACUUUCAGAUUAUAUAAAAAUGACCGCACAGAAGGAACAAAAGCUUUCAAGCAAAACUUAAAAAUAGAUUAAAUAUAAAAUUGUCUUUUACAAUUCCCAUACACCUCACUCGAAUAUUAUGUCUUCUGAGCAUUGGCCCUCUAUCAAGCGGGCAGCCUCUAAGAUGUCCUCAAAAUAAUGCUCCGGUGCGUGAUGGUCCUUGCCCUUGGGUUGACUCUUCGCUGCAACAUCGAUGGCCUUCAUCUUCCCCCAGUAUGUCUUCAUACGGGCAAAGGCCAUUCGUGCACCCUCAAUGCAUGCCGACCGCUUAACAUCGUCGAUACGUGGCGCCGCAUCAACAAGCCACCACACCAAGCCGAAGUAGCUAUUCGGAAUAGGCCCAGUCGUCCACAGCCGGAUUAUGACGUUCUUCAUGGCAGCGCCGGAUAUCCUAUGAAGCUCGGCCCAUUGGGGCAUCUGUUCAUUCGGCAGCAGAGGGUGUUUUGAUGCACUAAACUGCGACCAGAAAAGCUUCUCCAUUGCAUAUCCCUCUUGCGCCUGGUAAAACUGCACCGCAUCAGAAGAACUCUUUGGCAGGUCCAAAAACGCGUCUGGAGAGCUCCACACUUGGUUAAGCUGAGCAUAAUUCGUAUCGUCGAACUUAGUCUGUAAUAAAAAGGGCUUACCAGCCGCAAUCUCCCCAGCUUGCCGGAUCUCCUCACGGGCCGCUCUAGAUUCUGACCGCGCUUCUUACGCCUCCCGCAAGGCCUUGUCAAGAUCGGCCGUUUUGGCUUUAUUCGCCUUCUCAAAGAAUUCACAGCAGCUAGUAGCAUUCUUUAGUUCGAGCGCCAUCGUGGAUAUUUUCUCCAUGUCUUGGUGCCGAGCAGCUCGUUCGGCCUUUAACUCGGGUGAUGCCUUUUCGGCAGCCCCAUUACUAAACCGGGCCUGCUCCUUGGCUUGGGCCAGCUCCGCCCGAAGAAUCUCAACGGCGGCGGCACCAUCUGCAGCCAUAUAUAUCCCAGUAUGCAAUUUUCAGCGUCAUGCUUAUAUUACAGACACGUAUGUAUAAGGACUGCUCCGAAUACAUACCUUGUGACUCGUCAAGACGCCUAUUGAUUAACGCAAUGUCAUCCCCUGCCACAUCAAGCUUCCGCUGCAGCUCGACAAUAUCCGUAGUCCGGGCAGUCAUCAGGGGAGAAACAACCUGUGUUCCAAUUAAUCAGGUCAGUCCCUGGGCAUUUCUUUUGAUCCUCUGAUUACCUCCCUCGGGAAGCCAAUCAGAGUCUCAGGGGCUACUAUCUAUACAUAGGUGCAUUUCGUGAAUAAAACACAAUUGAACAUAUUACAGUACAAACCUCGAAACCUCUUAGUAGGCCCACAAAUGCCUCAUUCAAUCCGCGCUUCACGGACAGGACCUUUUCAACCACCGUGCCCAUCAAGGUACGAUGUUCCUCUGAGACGGACGCCUGCUGCAGCAUGUUAGUCAGUAUAUCCGGCGCCUCUGGAUCUCCGGAGGCUGCUGUAGGAGUACGGCCACCCUUUGGAGGGAUCCAUUUAUUCAUAUCCAGCUAUAGACCAGAUUGUUCGGGGCCUACAUUACUGGUCCUCGGACCCUGGGCCACCGAAGUAUCACCUUCGGGUAAUAUCUUCAUCGUCCCUCGCACCACCUGUUGGUCGGGGGAGACCCUCCGCGACGACACCUCGAAGUCGUACGCCCUAUGGGGUGGAGAGGCCGGUGGAGGCGUCUCGCUUUCCAUCAUCUUUGGGAGAAGGUCCCUAGAGGAAGAGGAUUGUUGAAGAAGACUGCGUGCCGAACUACAAAAAAUAUAUAUUCUAGGCAUCACAAUAAAGAGAACGAGACAUGUCUAAAACAUCCUUGUUUACUUACGAUUUGGCCUGAGGCUUGUCCUCAUCAUGAGACUGCGCGUCGACGUCCUCCAAGCCUGAGCCGCCCGACAGAGGCAUCUUGCCUUUCUUAGGAGCCUUUUCCUCCCAAUCUCCGAAGGCGGCCUUUUUUCCAUGGGGGGAAGAGGCGUUGACCUCCCCCUCAUUUUUGUCUUCGGACGAUGGGAUCUUGAUUCCUCCGGACACAAUGUCGGAUGCACCUUCGGGAUGGAGGCCAUCUUUGGUCCUCUCCGCCUUGCCCCCCUUCGCAGGCAUCUGGUAUGGUACCAGGGCCAGCAUCCUUGAUAAAAACAGGAUUCACUGGGCCUUCGGGCAAGGGGGCCAAACACAUGAUUAGUUCCGCUUUCUUUAUCCAGCCUUGGAAGAAGAUAGUUUGCUCAGUACCAUAUUACGGUAUGCGUAACUACAAAGUGUUCGGAAGACAAGUGCUUACUCGGGUAUCCAGACGGUGGUAGUCAAGGCUAGCGUCCUCAGUAGUGUCCGGCCAAUGUUUUCGCUUCCCGAAAAACAACUUCGACAUCCCUUCGUGCGUAGUGCCGAAGAAGUGUUGGAGGGUUCGUGGUCCUUCUGGAUUAAGCUCCCACAUGCGGCGAGACCUGCGCUGGCAUGGAAGGAUUUGGCGAACUGGCAUCACUUGAAUCAUGUUGACAAGAUCGAUGUCUCUCUCAAGGAGGGUUCGGAUGCGGCUCUAUAGAGUUUGCACUUCAUCAACUAAUCCCCAGUGCAGCCCCUUGUUAAUCCAUGAUGCAAGCUGUGGCGGAGGGCCGGAACAGAACGCAGGUAUAGCUGCCCACUUGGUGCUACGGGGUUCCGUGACAUAAAACCACUCUCGCUGCCAUUGGUUGGAGGUUUCGGUGAAAGAGCCUUUUGGCUAGAAGGUGUUGGUAAGCUUGCUCACUAUAGCACCACCACACUCUGCCUGUUCCCCGUCGACCACCUUCGGCUUCACAUUGAAAGUCUUGAGCCAUAAGCCAAAGUGUGGGGGGAUUCGGAGGAAGGCCUCGCAUGUAAUAAUAAACGCCGAGACGUGGAGGAAAGAGUCUGAAGAUAUAUCAUGAAAAUUUAGUCCGUAAUAAAACAUUAGCCCCUGGACGAAGGGGUGAAGAGCAAACCCUAGCCCUCAGAGGAAGUGGGAGAUGAAUACGACCUUCUCGCCAGAUCUGGGGGUUGGAAUAACCUGUCCUUGAGCCGGAAGCCUAUGGUGGAUAUCCGCGGUCAAGUAUCCGACCGCCCUAAGCUUCACAAUAUCCUCCUCUGUAAUGGAGGAAGCCACCCACCGGCCUUGAGGGCUGGGUCCUAACAUGAUGGGGAGGCUUGAAGCAAUGAAGUCGGACCUUGGGCGCUAGAACUCGAGGUUGGGAAGGCCGAGGAGAGGUUUGGCAUUAAAAACACAGCCCUUGGUUCCUUUAUAAAGGCAGUGGGUAUUGAACGCCUCCUCCUAAGCCUAAGAACCUGCAUAUUCCUAAGGAAUCUUUCCCACAGGACGGUUGGGUUACCCACGCUCGUAUUGAUGAGAAUUCCGCGAUAAGGGGGCACGAUCUCUGCUUCGACAGGACAUGCCAACAAAAACCACGCCCCGAAAGUGGAACGGCGGGACGGGAACCGGUUUGAAAUAAUAACCGGGCAAGCGUGACGUCACGUUACUAAAGUGGUCAACAGAUUGGAUUCGUGAAAUAUUAUACUCUCUACGGCUGUGUGUUGCAGAUCCGGACACGUUUGUAUUGUCCGAAGACUAUCUUGGAGUUCGGAAGGAGGAACCCGCCUUGCAAUGACGAAGACAGAUCUACGCGCCGGAUACCUUGUCAUUGAAGCCAGGUUCAGGGGCUACUGAGGGAGUCCUAGACUAAGGGGUCCUCGGGCGUCCGGCCUGUUAGCCAUGGGUCGGACUGAUGGGCCGUGAAGAACACGAAGACCGAAGACUACACCCGUGUUCGUAUGGGACUCUCCUUGGCAUGGAAGGCAAGCUUGGCGACCAAAUAUGUAGAUUCCUUUCUUGUAACCGACCUUGUGUAACCCUAGAUCGUCCCGGUGUCUAUAUAAACCAGACGACUUAGUCCGAAGGAGAGGGAUAGAGAUUCAUCAUCAUAGCCAUACAAGCUAGACCUCUAGGGUUUAGCCAUUACGAUCUCGUGGUAGAUCAACUCUUGUAAUACUCAUAUUCAUCAAGAUCAAUCAAGCAGGACGUAGGGUAUUACCUCCAUAGAGAGGGCCUGAACCUGGGUAAAUAUCGUGUCCCCUGUCUCCUGUUACCAUCGACCAUAGACGCACAGUUCGGGACCCCCUACCCGAGAUCCGCCGGUUUUGACACCGACAUCGGCCCCCUUCUCCUAGUCCUAAUCGGCCUCCUGCCCAAGGGGGGGCGCACCAGCCCCUUGUGAGCUGGUGUGCUUCCCUCUUAUGGCCCAUAACUUCUCCCCGGGGGGGGGGGGUUCCGGUAACCUCCCGGUACUCUGGAAAAAUGUCCGAACCACUCGGAAUCAUUCCGAUGUCCAAAUGCAACCUUCCAAUAUAUGAAUCUUCACCUCUCGACCAUUUCGAGACUCCUUAUCAUGUCUGUGAUCUCAUCCGGGACUCCAAACAAGCUUCGGUCAUCAAAUCACAUAACUCAUAAUAUAAAUCGUCAUCGAAUGUUAAGCAUGCGAACCCUACAUGUUCGAGAACUAUGUAGACAUGAUCGAGACACAUCUCCGGUCAAUAACCAAUAGCGGAACCUGGAGGCUCAUAUUGGCUCCUACAUAUUCUACGAAGAUCUUUAUCGGUCAAACGGCAUGACAACAUACGUUGUUCCCUUUGUCAUCGGUAUGUUACUUGCCCGAGAUUCGAUCGUCGGUGUCAUCAUACCUAGUUCAAUCUCAUUACCGGCAAGUCUCUUUACUCGUUCCAUAAUGCAUCAUCCCGUGACUAACUCAUUCAUCACAUUGCUUGGAAGGCUUAUAGUGAUGUGCAUUACAGAGAGGGCCCAGAGAUACCUCUCCGAUACACGGAGUGACAAAUCCUAAUCUCGAUCUAUGCCAACUUAACAAACACCUUCGGAUACACCUGUAGAUCAUCUUUAUAAUCACCAGUUACGUUGUGACGUUUGAUAGCACACAAGGUGUUCCUCCGGUAUUCGGGAGUUGCAUAAUAUCAUAGUCAGAGGAACAUGUAUAAGUCAUGAAGAAAGCAAUAGCAAUAAAACUAAACGAUCAUAAUGCUAAGCUAAGGGAUGGGUCUUGUCCAUCAUAUCAUUCUAUAAUGAUGUGAUCCCGUUCAUCAAAUGACAACACAUAUCUAUGGUCAGGAAACAUAACCAUCUUUGAUAAACAAGCUAAUCAAGUAGAGGCAUACUAGGGACACUCUGUUUGUCUAUGUAUUCACACAUGUACUAAGUUUCCGGUUAAUACAAUUCUAGCAUGAAUAAUAAACAUUUAUCAUGAUAUAAGGAAAUAUAAUAGCUUUAUUAUUGCCUCUAGGGCAUAUUUCCUUCACCUACGGGUUCGAGAACUAUGUAGACAUGACCGAGACGCCUCUCCGGUAAAUAACCAAUAGCGGAACCUGGAUGCUCAUAUUGGCUCCUACAUAUUAUACGAAGAUCUUUAUCGGUCGAACCAUUAUGACAACAUAUGUUAUUCCCUUUGUCAUCGGUAUGUUACUUGCCCGAGAUUCGAGCGUCGGUAUCCACAUACCUAGUUCAAUCUCUUUACCGGCAAGUCUCUUUACUCGUUUCGUAAUACAUCAUCUUGUAAUUAACUCAUUAGUCACUUUGCUUGUAAGGCUUCUUAUGAUGUGCAUUACCGAGAGGGCCCAGAGAUACCUCUCCGAUACUCGGAGUAACAAAUCCUAAUCUUGAUCUAUGCCAACCCAACAAACACCUCCAGAGAUACCUGUAGAGCAUCUUUAUAAUCACCCACUUACGUUUUGACGUUUCAUAGCACACAAGGUAUUCCUCCGGUAUCCGGGAGUUGCAUAAUCUCAUAGUCGAAGGAAGCAAUAGCAAUAAAACUGAACGAUCAAUAUGCUAAGCUAAUGGAUGGGUCUUGUCCAUCACAUCAUUCUCCUAAUGAUGUGAUCCCGCUAUCAAAUGACAACUCAUGUCCAUGGUUAGAAAACCUUAACCAUCUUUGAUCAACUAGUUAGUCAAGUAGAGGCUCACUAGGGACACAGUGUUUGUCUAUGUAUUCACACAUGUAUUUGGGUUUCUGAUCAAUACAAUUCUAGCAUGAAUAAUAAACAUUUAUCAUGAAUAAGGAAAUAUAAAAUAAGAACUUUAUUAUUGUCUCUAGGGCAUAUUUCCUUCAGUACUCCGGGCCAAACACUGCAAGCACAACUUUGCAGAACUUGUACAAUGACGCUAGGCAUAUGGAAUCACUCAUGCAAACAUACUCAUCCACAAGAUCACCGAAAAUUCCGUAUGCAAGCAUCCGAAUAGGUGUAGUACAUUUCUGAUAAGAAGAGAAGCCAACCUUUUUCAUGGCAUUAUGCUUGCAUUUGAAGUAAUCGUCAUACGCCACCACUCCUCUCGAAUAUGGUUGAACACAUGUGUCGCCAUCCGGAAGUCGUCGUCGGAAAAGCUUGGGAGGGAAUAGUGGGUCAAUGAACUUGAAAUAAUCGUUGUAGAGUAGGAAAUGGCUGCACUCUCUGUUAUGAUUCAACCCCAGAGCAAUGGCCCAUGACCGAUCCCCUAAAACUAGGCCGCUGACUAUCAAUGUGCUUGUUAACAACCAAAAUAGCAACCACAAAAUCCUCAUUGUUGGAUUCAUCGAUGAACAUAUGAACUUGUUGUAAAAUAAUUCAUUCGAGCUGUCCACCAUGGUACCUUGUGGGCAAACGCCCGAACACCUUGAGGGGAACAACGGAGGCGGGCGGGUCGAGUCGCGGCCGGUGAAGGGAAACACCAUCUCCCUGUACAUGCAGCAGGCCUGUUGAAGCACACGCCCUCCAGUGUUGACCGUGGAGCGGUAGAGGCAGAGGCGGUGCCAGCGACCUGGGUAGGCCACAAAUGCCGACAAAAGUCGGCGACGGUGGAUGCGGUGGCGAUGGGGCGGUGACGAAGCGGGCAAAACUAGGUGGCGGCGGUGAGGGUGAUGAGGCCAGGGUGGUGUGUGUGUGUGUGAAAUGGAGNNNNNNNNNNNNNNNNNNNNNNNNNNNNNNNNNNNNNNNNNNNNNNNNNNNNNNNNNNNNNNNNNNNNNNNNNNNNNNNNNNNNNNNNNNNNNNNNNNNNNNNNNNNNNNNNNNNNNNNNNNNNNNNNNNNNNNNNNNNNNNNNNNNNNNNNNNNNNNNNNNNNNNNNNNNNNNNNNNNNNNNNNNNNNNNNNNNNNNNNNNNNNNNNNNNNNNNNNNNNNNNNNNNNNNNNNNNNNNNNNNNNNNNNNNNNNNNNNNNNNNNNNNNNNNNNNNNNNNNNNNNNNNNNNNNNNNNNNNNNNNNNNNNNNNNNNNNNNNNNNNNNNNNNNNNNNNNNNNNNNNNNNNNNNNNNNNNNNNNNNNNNNNNGUUGUGCCACAGACUGAAGGGCCAGGGGGAGGACAUGGGAGGACGUUGUGGGCAUCCGCGCGGACGCAAACCCGACCCAAAUUUGGGCCAAAAUGAGUCCAAACAGAAAAGAAAACAGACAUCCAUGUGUGUGCGUUGGUCGCGUUUUGUGUCCGUUUGGACUCAAACGGAUGCGGGCAGACAAAUGGGUCGUGCACGUUCGAGUUGGCCUAAAAUUACUCAGGAAAAAAAGUGUGUAACGUUUUCUUUUCUUUGAGAAUCAAAUGUGUGUAAAGUUGGUGAGACAUGCAUGGCUCGUAACUACUCCAGGUCAGCACCCAGUCCAGUGGGUUAGCAAAGAAACGCAUGAAAGGCAAGUUCGUCAUUCGUGCAUAUCCAUCCAUCCACCUCCCAACCACACUGCCCCGGGCUUCCCGGCAGCACAUAUCCCUUAACUUUGCGCUUUUGUUGCAACGCACUCUAGCCACACACACACAAGUGUCACUAAAGGGCGAGCACCUUCUCGCCGUCCUCAAAUUCAACGACAGCAUAUGUGCAUGCAUGCAUAUAAAACUACUUACACUAGUGGCUGGCUCCCAAGUAGUAGGCCAGUACUGACAAGCUAUAUUUCGAAUUUGAAUGAAAACAGCAGUACAAACUUGUGAAAAUAUUAUACACGUACGUACUACGCCAGCUCACGGUCUCACGGGGAUCCAAGACCAAGAGGCCGGUUUCUCUCUCCAGCUACCGUCCACACCGAGCUCCUAUGCCCAGCGCAUGUGCGUGGUCUCGCGCGAUGCGCCGUGUUCGGGGGGCAGCGAUGGUGAUGAGCUAGGCUUGUUGUACCUCUACGAGCUCGCAUGGAGCAACGGGAAGGUGGCAGUGGGGCGGCAAGGCGCCGCACGCACGGCCACGGCCGCUCGCAUAUUCCGUCUGUCAGCGGGUGGUGACAAAUCGGCACAUGGAGCUGUUCUCCCCCCCUCCCCUCCCCCUGUGUGCCAAUAGAACCGGUACUACUACUACUACUACUACUACUAAAAUGUUUAUUUUAUUUUUAUUGUUUGGAUUUUGAAUUUUGAAUCGAGCCUGGCAUCGUGCCAACCUCACAAGAUUCCCCAGACAUGGCCGGCUUGAUCGAUCAGCAGAGCAAAUGGAUUAUCAUCAGCAGAGAAUACGUAUAUUGCAAAGAUCUGCAGAAUAUCCUUCCACUGAUAAUAACUAUUAAUCGCAGCCUCCCUCCCUGCUUUCGAAAAGGAAAAAUAAAAUAAAAGGGAAACUGAGAGAUGGUCACAGGGGUUCAUUUUCGCCACCACUUGAGCUGCAAGUGGCAAUCCAUGUCGACCGCCAAUAUUGUAACCUUCUUCAACAUCUCUCUUAAUUCGAUGGCUAGAUUAGGUGGGUUAGAGUACCGAUCGCAUCCACUAAACUAAAGCCGGUGGCCAUGUGCUCCAUCCAGCUUACCAAGUCCAGUCAGUGGGUGGCAUGCCAUGCCUUCACAUGAGGAGCAAAGCAAACCGGCCGGCCUCCAAUUAAGCACGGCGUCGGCAUUGACCAUCACUGGCUCCAAGGACUAUUCAUUCAUUCAUGCGCAGAGGCCGGCCGGCCGGUGGUUGCGCGCGCGACGCAUGAACCAACAUGUGAAGUGCGUAAUUAGCGCAUUAACUACCCAAUUUACUCGAGCUGCAAGUACAGUUUAAUGGACUCUGCAAGGACACGAUCACACGAGGAAACAUGUAUGCAGGGAGCAUCCGAUGCAGGCUCUCCUGGAGGAGGAUAUUUUGUGAUCGCCAUCACUGUAUCUAUACUGAUUCAAUGAAGGAGAUAGGUAUUUCACGCCGUGGCUCAGUUCGAAACCUUGGGCCGUUUCAUUCAGCUGAAAAUAUCGUAAGGCGCUGGAGAUAUUUUAUGUCCAAGGGAAAAUGAAACAGAGACAGAAAUACGGCUGCUGUAUUGUAUGUAAUGGCUGCCACGAGGCCGCGACGCGAGGGCGACCUCUGUGCUGUGUGUGUGGCUUCGUGCUCCAGCUUUGGUGACAGCUACGGUGAAACGUCCUUCUUUGUGCAGCUGCCACGUAGUUUUCCAUCUCUGUUUUUCGCCUCUUUUAUUUCUCUCGAUGAAGUCUGUCUUUUUCUGCUGACCGUGCAUGAGAAAAAUGGGUAGAAAAACCAGCAGCAGCAACAGCAGAAAUAUCUAUCGCUCAUUUUUUCGGGUGAAAUGUCAAUUUUGACGAGUUCACACUUUUUUUUGAGACAAAGAUACCUAUCGCUCAUGGCCGGGCCAGUUUAACUCCUGGCUCCCGGCCUCAAAGCAAAGCCCAGAACUAGCUGGGCCAUCUUGAUGUUUUCGGCAGCGCAGGCCUCCGUCUGUCAGGCCCAACCACCGCUCCACCUCAUCCCCCUCGUCGGCGACGCGGCCCCGCCGGCAGAAGACCGCGGCGCAGCUUCCGUCCGCUCGCCGCUCGCCGCUCGCCGCCCGAGUAGUGGCAGGCACCGCGAGCGCGAGGUAUUUGUCCUGUCCACGUCGCUACUUUACGGAACGGCUCCGCUACGUACGCAUUCUCUCCCUCCCGGGCGGCACGGCGUCGUGUGUCCGGUGGCAAACUAAUUGUGGCCGUGCCCGUGCGCGGCCGCUCGCCGGCGCCGCCGUGGCUGUACUUAUUCCUUGCUUCUUCACGGGCCGGGCAGGUGCGCUCAGAUUUCUCCCGCUGUGCUGCACUACACUGUACUGUACUGUACUGUACUGUACUGACGGUGCUGGUAUAUAUGGGUUUGGCAUCAGGAGAAAGCAGUACUAGCUGGUUGCGGUGCCAACUUAACUGGCGUGGAAAGUGGAAACCAGACAUUGCCUGCAGUAGUUCCUGAGUACUGCUUGUCAUAGUCCAUUGCUUUGGACUGCAAUACGGCCGCCGAUUUACUUGGAUGGCGCGGUUAGUUUCUGCUUUAUUCUCGAGCUGCACAUCUGAAGAGCCACACAUUUUUUAGGUAGGGAGUAUUGUUUAUCUCCAGCUGCUUUAUUCUUAAAUACUAGACUAGAAAGGCUAAUAUUUGGGUCCGUUUAUGGUUGCAUAUCCGUUGAUUAUGUAUUGUUAACAAUAAAACCAAACAAAUACUGUUUCUAUGAGAAGUGGGGAAAAUUUUGUACCACAAUUACCAUUUUUGGUUUUUGCAAUCAAAGAAAUAAAUUAAACAUUGUUUGGUAUGUUGUGACUGUAAUGGUUCAUACACCAUUUCAUCUAAUUUUUUACCAAGUCAGAUGUGCAGCCGUUUGACGCUAGUUCUAUCUUAAUCUUAGUCUUCUUCAUGCAACUAAAAGCGUUAAAGUAAAUGCCGCUGACCACAGUUUAGUGAGUUUGCCAUCAAUCACUGGCUCAGUUUUCGCACCAGCCAGGAUAUCUUGCUGCUGAAAAGUUGGUUAUGCCUAAUCGAAGAACUCAAGUCAAUCUCAUUCAAGAACGUCAUAUGCUGUUACAUCCUUCCUAUAUGUGCUGUACAUUACAGACAGAGAUAUCAUACAAGGCCUGCGGCGCCUCCAUCUGCACCCCUACAAACUUUGCUGGCUUGAUUCACCAUCUGUUCGUCUCACAAGCCAUUUUAGCUAUCCUCUACUUGUUUUCCCUCAAACUUUUCUUUGACCUCUUCAGGUUCGCUUAGGCUAAUUCCUCUGUCGAAAUCGGGAACUGUUAUAGGUAGAGGCUCAAUGUCAUCUGGAGGGUCAUAGUUUGGAUCAGCAAGAAAUGUAAGGGCCGUCACCACAUCACUGAUUAGUGGACGACUGCUUGCUUCUUCUUGUAGGCACAUUGAUGAAAUUGCAAGUGCCUGGUAUAGACCUUUUAGGGGGUACUUGCUGUCAAGUUUUGGAUCAGCCAUCUUGGUAAACUUCUUCUUAUCCUUGAAGAGUGGCGCUGCCUGCAGAUAUAGCAGCAUCUUAAUCCCAAACCGUAUGGGCAAUCUGUAUAUCUCAAGCAUGAGCUGUUUUACUUGGUUAUCACAAUUCAAUAUGACUACCAAGUGAAAAUUUCAAGGCUAUAGUAUUUCUUGGUCAAUUAGAUGUAAGUCUUACCCAGUGGACAAGAAUUUGCUCGCGAGUUGGUUUCGUGGUGUCGAUUGCUCGCCUCCCAGUGAUGAGCUCCAAGAGAACUACACCAAAGCAAUAUAUGUCUGACAUCUUUGUUAACUUGCCACUCAUGGCGUACUCGGGAGCGCAGUAUCCGUACGUGCCCAUCACCCUUGUGGUGACAUGAGUUUUGUCGCCGACUGGGCCAAGCUUUGCAAGGCCAAAAUCGGCCAACUUUGCACUGAAGUUCCCGUCCAAGAGAAUAUUUGAUGCCUUGAGAUCACGGUAUACCACCGGUGGAUUGGCUACCUCAUGCAAGUACUCGAGGCCUCUGGCAGCAUCAACUGCAAUCUUCAUCCGUGUAUUCCAGGACAGCGGCUGGGAUUUUGGAGUGAGAUCUGCAGAAUUCAAGUACCAAAUCAGCGUCGAUACAAAUGCGCGAUCAUAAUUUCUGAUCUUUCAAUUCUGCGGAAUAUUUUUGAGGACCACAACAUUGUUGUUCUGUAUUACCUAGGAGAUGAUCUUGCAAAGAACCGAGUGGCAUAUACUCAUACACUAGAAUCUUUUGGUCACAUUCGGUGCAGUACCCGAGCAAGGUGACAAGGUGUGGGUGAUGAAGGAGGCUAAGCAUCAGCACCUCGACAAGGAACUCACGAUUUCCUUGCAACCCAUCCUUGUCCAGCUGCUUAACCGCUAUGACCUACGUACGCACAUAAUUUACAUCAGAAACGUGUUGCUGCUGUAUGUAGCAUAGCAUCUUGAGGUGCCAACUUAAUGAAACAUAGAACAGGAAGCUGGGAGAAGGAAUGCUUAUUACUUCCAUGGUCUCUGAAAUGUAUCCUUUGUACACCCUUCCAAAGCCACCUUCUCCCAGGAGAUUCUCCUGGCUGAAAGAAUUGGUCGCGUCUGACAGUUGACUGUACGCAAACACUCUGCUAGGAAUGUUGUGGUUGCCAAUCCGUAGUAUUUCCCCUGCCGCAGCCCUGGCCUUGGGACUAUCUGCAUUUUAAGAUUUCUUCUCAAUCAGAAAUGCUUACUUAAUCGCCCAAACAUGAAUUACUAAUCCAGGAUUACAAAUUUCAGGGUGAAAGCAGGUCCAAGAAGAGGGGAAUGCAUAUACAACUUUCCUGAACAUCACUAACUGUUGUUGCAAUGUAUCUGAACUAAAAAUUCUUACCACCAGAUUUCCUAUGUAAGUACCUAAAUGCUCGUCACAUAUCUGUGUUGGGCAAAUAUUCAUUGAUAAACUUGAUAUUGACAUGCAUUGCUGAAUUUAGUUUCUCUGCAAAGAUGGAUAAUAAGAUGAUGGAGGGCAUUACUUGGGAGUGAAAUCUCUUUCACAAGCGUUGCCAACUGUUUGUUCUUGGCCUUCUUCUUUCUCCAAAUCUUGUUCUUGAACCACCUUUUCUUGUCCGGCUCAGAGCUCGAUGCCCCGUUCUUCCUCUUCUUCUUUGUCUCUGAUGUCAAUGGCUCCUCCGCUUCAUGUGACGUCCAGCCACAGAAACUGCGCCCCCACUUCCUCUUUGUUUUCUUUGUCUCUGAUGUCGAUGCCUCUUGCCCAGCCUCCCUCUUCUUCUUUGUCUCUGAUGUCAAUGGCUCCUCCGCUUCAUGUGACGUCCAGCCACAGAAAUUGCGCCUCCACUUCCUCUUUGUUUUCUUUGUCUCUGGUGUCGAUGUCUCUUUCCCAGCCUCCCUCUUCUUCCUGCCGCACAGGCCACGGAUCCAUGAACAGCAGCAAGCACAGCUACCACGAACCCACGAGCAGCAGCACCCGAGGCGUAUGCUGCUGCAUUUCACGGUGCGAAUACCACGAAUCCACGAGCAGCAGCACCCCAUCGAAUUGCUGGAUCGACGCGAGAGUGGGCGAGCACUCUCAUGCCGAUCAUUACGAUCACCGGAUAAGAAUUUUCACCGGCGGUAAGAAGGAGCGGCAGGAGGCACAGGUGAGCUCACAAUUGUUCUCUCGUAUCCCUAGUCUGCACCCGAAGAAUGCGGCGGUUUCCCUUUCCCUUGGAGGCUUGCUUGGAUGAUGAUAGGUCUCAAACCAAGAAGCCAUUUUUGGUCUGUUCUUUUUUCCUUCUAAGUGUUGAUAGUUUUAGCCAGGGAUAUUGCCACACCCUCUUUCUUCGCAUGCAAAAUAUAGGAGUCUGUUCGCAUUCAGUGGCUGACAAUGAGCUGAGACAUGCACAUACUAUAUAGCACCAGUUUUGUUCUUUUUUUAGCCCAAAAAGCUUUUCAUUUUGCAUCAUUACUGGGCUUUACAUUAGUUACAUGAAAAACUUGAACACACGCCACAUUUAUUGUAUAGCUAAGGUGCAUGCAUGCCUAAGCACCAAGCGAGCUGCAGAGAGUUCUAUCACUGGCUGGCCAACAAUGCGUCGCCGCCCUCUAGCCGGCACAUUGCCGGCAGCUGUGCCGCGAGCUGCUGUGCCUUUGCCACCUUUAGGCUGGCCGCAUGGUGCUCCGCGCUAACAUGGUAUGGGCUGUCGUAGCCUUGUUGCCCUUGUCCUGACUGCUGCGGAGAAGUUGGGUAGUAUCCUUGUUGCCCUUGUCCUAAUUGUUGCCCUUGUCCUGACUGCUGCGGAGAAGUUGGGUAGUAUCCUUGUUGCCCUUGUCUUGGUUGCAGCCAUUGUCUUGGCUGUUGCCCUUGUCCUAACUGCUGCGGAGAAGUUAGGUAGUACCCUGAUUGCAGCCAUUGUCCUGGUUGCAGCCAUUGNNNNNNNNNNNNNNNNNNNNNNNNNNNNNNNNNNNNNNNNNNNNNNNNNNNNNNNNNNNNNNNNNNNNNNNNNNNNNNNNNNNNNNNNNNNNNNNNNNNNNNNNNNNNNNNNNNNNNNNNNNNNNNNNNNNNNNNNNNNNNNNNNNNNNNNNNNNNNNNNNNNNNNNNNNNNNNNNNNNNNNNNNNNNNNNNNNNNNNNNNNNNNNNNNNNNNNNNNNNNNNNNNNNNNNNNNNNNNNNNNNNNNNNNNNNNNNNNNNNNNNNNNNNNNNNNNNNNNNNNNNNNNNNNNNNNNNNNNNNNNNNNNNNNNNNNNNNNNNNNNNNNNNNNNNNNNNNNNNNNNNNNNNNNNNNNNNNNNNNNNNNNNNNNNNNNNNNNNNNNNNNNNNNNNNNNNNNNNNNNNNNNNNNNNNNNNNNNNNNNNNNNNNNNNNNNNNNNNNNNNNNNNNNNNNNNNNNNNNNNNNNNNNNNNNNNNNNNNNNNNNNNNNNNNNNNNNNNNNNNNNNNNNNNNNNNNNNNNNNNNNNNNNNNNNNNNNNNNNNNNNNNNNNNNNNNNNNNNNNNNNNNNNNNNNNNNNNNNNNNNNNNNNNNNNNNNNNNNNNNNNNNNNNNNNNNNNNNNNNNNNNNNNNNNNNNNNNNNNNNNNNNNNNNNNNNNNNNNNNNNNNNNNNNNNNNNNNNNNNNNNNNNNNNNNNNNNNNNNNNNNNNNNNNNNNNNNNNNNNNNNNNNNNNNNNNNNNNNNNNNNNNNNNNNNNNNNNNNNNNNNNNNNNNNNNNNNNNNNNNNNNNNNNNNNNNNNNNNNNNNNNNNNNNNNNNNNNNNNNNNNNNNNNNNNNNNNNNNNNNNNNNNNNNNNNNNNNNNNNNNNNNNNNNNNNNNNNNNNNNNNNNNNNNNNNNNNNNNNNNNNNNNNNNNNNNNNNNNNNNNNNNNNNNNNNNNNNNNNNNNNNNNNNNNNNNNNNNNNNNNNNNNNNNNNNNNNNNNNNNNNNNNNNNNNNNNNNNNNNNNNNNNNNNNNNNNNNNNNNNNNNNNNNNNNNNNNNNNNNNNNNNNNNNNNNNNNNNNNNNNNNNNNNNNNNNNNNNNNNNNNNNGUUGCGGAGAAAUUGGGUAGUACCCUUGUUGUCCUUGUCCUGAUUGUUGCUUUUGUCCUGGCUGCUGACCUUGUUGCCCUUGUUCUAGUUGUUGCCCUUGUCCUGACUGUUGGCCUUGUUGCCCUCGUUCUGGUUGCUGCCCUUGUUGGCCUUGUGUUAGUUGUUGCAAUUGUCCUGGCUGCUGCGAAGAAGUUGGAUAGUAUCUUGGUUGCCCUUGUCCUGACUGCUGACCUUGUUGUCCUUGUCUUAGUUGCUGCCCUUGUCCUGGUUGCUGUCUUUGUUGCUCUUGUGUUGGUUGUUGCAAUUGUUCUGGCUGCCAUGGAGAAGUUGGAUAGUACCCUGGUUGCUCUUGUCCUGACUGCUGCGGAGAAGUUGGGUAGUACCCUGAUUGCCCUUGUCCCGGUUGUUGCCAUUGUCCUGACUGUUGCGGAGAAGUUAGGUAGUAUUCUUGUUGUCCUUGUCCUGGCUGCUGACCUUGUCCUGGCCGUUGCGAAGAAGCUUGGCCUGGAUAGUAUGAAACCCGUUGCGGAGAAGUUACACUUAGGUAAUACCUUCUUAGUAGUGCAGGUAUUCCCCAAAGUAUACUUUGUUGGAGUUGCUGUGGUGGCGUGGUCUCGCCGGGGUAGAAAGAUCCACCCUUGGGCGGCACCACGACUUGCUGCUCAUAUUGUCUCGCGACCGGGCCGCCGCCGACGGGUUGGCACUCGGGGCUAACGUCUCGGAGCUGCUGGUCUACGACCUGUCGGCAUGCCUUAAGCGAGUGCUCCUGGAGCUCGCGCUCACACUGUAGUUGCCCAGAGGCCUCACCUUCAGCAGCGGUGAGAGCCACAAGGGCGACGACUACCGCCGCAAAAAGAACCAACCGCUUAGUCAUCUCGGUGGACUGUCGGUGAAUUGAUCUCUAGUUUGUGAUGCUCGGUGUUGUGGGUGAUGAAGAGAUUGUGAAGGUUGGCUAGGCUUUUAUAGGGACGAGGUGAAGAUUCAGGACCAUGGCUGCGUGCACGGUAAGGUUUGUUUAGCCUAAGAAGAAAGUGUGAGAAGAACAAAAUCGGUUGAAAAAGUGUAGUUUGCCAACACAAAAAAAGCUGGAUAAGCAAGGAGCAAUUGGAGCUUUGUAAAACAGAUUUUUGGACGGUCUGCUAAAGCCACGUAAUCGGCUUAAUCCUAGUUCUGGUGUAUUGUUUCCAGAAGUGUGGAUGUUUGUAUAUUGGUCUGUUCCUUUUUAUCUAAGAGAAGUGAUUAUCCUUCUUGGGGUUUGGCAGAAUAUGUGUCCGUUAGCCAUUGCUUUUGCAAAUCUGCGGCCACUCAAUGCUUCUAAGCAUGUCGAGUAGUGGAAGGUAGCCUGCAUGAAACAAGUAAAUGGAUAACUCCUAAAGGCCAUUUCAGGUUUUGUUGAUUGUCAUGUUAGUUGGAUUUCCCGGCAACACAAAUCCAUCCUAUGACUCACAAUAUCUAUCCAGUGACUCACAACAUCUAUCUAUGCUAUGACGCGCCGUACAAAAAAGUUGGUAGAAUUUUGGACUUAUGGAAACACCUUUCCGUGACAAAUGAACUAACCAAACCAUGUCUAAAAUUAAUAUAUGAUCUUCAGAGAAAAUCCGCGUCAAAUAGUUUGAUUUACACAGAAUAAAGAAUUUGUUUACUUCCCAAAUGAGUUCAAUUAAUGCAGAUUUAAUUGUCCAUUAUAUCCUCCUCCUAUGUUUAACCUCUUAUCUUCUUUUAUGAUCUCCAAGUGUUUCUUCCCCGCCCUUGCCUCUCUGCAUGUCCAUUGUCUUUCCCUAGCCUCCGUAGACGAUACACUUCUUCUCUCCUUGGCCUUAUCGCUUGCUCACGCCAUCACUAAUAUUCCCUUGUAACUAGAUAUACCCCACAAGUUGUUGCUGGAAUGUUUUAUAUAUUUGAAUGAGAUUUGGUUGUAUGAAACAUGUAUAUUUGGAUAUGAGAACUAAAACUAAAAACACAUAUAAUUUAUUGUGUUUGAUUAUUGUAUAUUUGUGAAAUAUUUAUCAAAUAUAAUUAGCCAAGUAAAAAGUAAAUUAUGUUGCAUGUUUGCAUGCUGAGUUGCGAAAGUGCCUUUAUACACCCAGGAGCAAAUGCUCCUGGUGUGAACAGUAAAAUAAAAAUAAUAAAAAAUCAAAUUUUUUUGUGACAUUAACAAAUGUUUAUCGUGCACGCAAAAAUUCAUCGCAAAAUCACGUUGGUGGAAGUCGUGCCAAAAAAAACAAAAUCGAAACUCCAAAAUGCUUUUGUAAGUAACAUUUUUAGAGCAUCGAUUUUGUUUUUUUAUCACGCCUUUCACCAAUGUGAUUUUGUGAUGAAAUUUUGCAUGUACAACAAACAUUUGUGAAAGUAUGCCACAAAUAAAUUUCAGAUUUUUUUGAACUUUUUUUGUUUUUUUUGUUUUUACUAAGCAUUUGUGCUCAUGGGUGUAGAAACUCCACAUCCGCUGAGCUGAGCUUUCUUCUAUGCAUGGUUGCAUAUUGAGGUAGGCAUUUUCUUAUGUGACAUGCUUGCAUGUCGAGAGAAAUGUGUUAGUGGAGGCUAGUUAUUUAGACUAGAAGGGUUGGGCACGCUUUGCUGCUUUGUUGGUGUUGUUGGGGUAAAAAAACUACUCCCCCUGUUUCAAAAUAUAAGGUGUAUUAGUUUUCCGAAAAGUUAAACCUUUUAAAGUUUGAUCAAAUUUGUAAAGAAAUAUAUCAAUAUCCAUAAUAUCAAGUCGAUAUCACUGGAUUAAGCAUGAAACAAAUUUUCAUAUUUUAUUUAUUUAGUAUUAUGGAUGUUGAUGUUUUUGGUUGUGAACUUGGUCAAAGAAACAGAUGGAGUAUUUGGCUUGGCGAGCGAGGGAGAUGAUGAAGUGUAUUUUCUUUUUAUUUAUAAUAAUGCGGGUUUCGAUGAGCCUUUCACGGUGUGAUUAUGAGUUUUUUAUUAAUCAACCAUACUUAUGCAGGGACGUUUUCUAUGUCGGUGGCUACAUGUAAUGUAUUGAUGCUACAAUAUCAUAUAUUGACGUUUCUUUUUUCUCGGUGGUGAGAGGAUGUGCGGGAUUGAUACCAUCGACCCGGUCAAAAUUAUGAACCAAAUCUAAAAUUGAAUAUUUCAAUCGGAUGGGAGAGCUCCAAAAUUAGGGAGCAUAAUGAAUUAAAAGAAUUGAAUGAGAGUGCUCCUUCAGAGGGAAAAAAACUAUUGUUGGCUCGGUCAAAAUCCGAUGAUUCAAUUUCAAAUUGGAGACCUCAAUUGACUUUCAGAAUUCACAAAUUAGGGAGAAUAAGGAAUUAAAUAAGAGAGCUUCACAAUUAGCCACCACCUUGCCAUCAUUAUCUGGAGUUCAGCAAAGGCAAACUGAACAUUACAGAAAACCUUGCCGCUGAAGAAAAUGAUGGCAUCCGAAUUAGUUAUCUGGAAUUAGAUUUACAAUAUCAUCAAGAAAAAAUUGACUUAAUACAAAGAAAAAACAAUAUUGUCAAGAACAACAUGAGGGGUCAGCUGUAACUUGGUUAAGAAAGAAGAUCAUGUGUCAAACCAUUGACACCCGCAUACAACUCAUGAGGGAGUGUUCUUUCCCGAUCAGCUAUGCAGUUACGGGCCAACUUGCACCUUGCAGCCCCAUAAUCGUUGCCUCUGGUCUUGCCGGUCACUAUGAAUAUCUCUUUUACAACAAAUACCAGAACACCAGUGUAAAUGAUUGGCCAUUAUCUCGAGACAAAAGUAUAUUCGCUAGACAAAAGAAGCAACUUUUCAUAUCUUAUUCAAGAAGCUACUUUACUAUCGCGUCAUGCAAGGAGAUACCAGCAGACCUUGCACAUAUCCUAAGAUAGUUUACAAUGUAUUUGGCUAAAUUCUUCAGAGAUGUUGUUUGUAGUAGUCUCAUGUGUGUUUACACAAAGGCUUAAAUUCCGUUUGGCAGAAGAAGAAACUGACAAUGCAUACGACUUUUUUAGUAGCACUUAAUUUACAACACAUGUUGAAUUCAAGCAAGGGCACAUCAACAGUUGCAUACAUUUUAUUUCCAGGGAUGUGUUGUGAAUAUGUGAUGCAAACUUUGACAACCAAACUGGUUUGACAAGUAUGAAAACAACUUCCGUUUAUUAAUUUGUUAUUUUUAGGAGGAUAUCAUCUAUAAGAGGCCGAAAUAAGACCAAACACACCUUCAGCUCACCUCCUCAAUAUCCAUAAUUCAUAUUGGCAAUGGCAAGUGACUCUAGAUAAGAGUCUUCACCCACUUCUUCCAAAAUUACUUCAAAAAAAUUCUCUCUAUUUGAUGCAUCACGUAACUUUAUCAUCGGCCUACAAUAGUGAUAAUAAUUACCAAUCAAAUGAUUAGCAACCAAUAGGCAACAAUUCAGUGAUCCCAACCCAAUGCAUGAGAGAUGAAAUUACAGUUACUACCUGUGGGUGAACCGCCUAAUGAAAGCCUUAUCUAGGUCAACCCCAGUCAACUUGUGGCACUACUACAAAUUAUCAAUUCAAGCAUGAUAGACAUGCACCGCAUAUUUCUCUAUAGUGCUAAUCGCAUCAAUUCAAGCAUGCGAACAAAUUACUUUCAAUCUCUAUAUCCUAGCUCUUUUUCCUCUCGAACUAGCCCUCUAUCAGCAAGAUGCUCUUCGCUUCCCCGAACAUAAAUGUUCACUUCAGUUUUCUACAAGCUGUGGUAGUCUAUUUCAGCACGAAUCAACUCUGACAUUGAAGUAAAUGGAAAGAAAGUUCCCAUUUCAGGAGGCAUGGUUGGUUCUUUGGUUAAAGGUAUGAACAGAACAACCAAAGCCUGCAAUCUUCUAAAGAUAUACAGAAGCACAAAUUAACAUACACAAAAUUUGUUGUCUUGCUUGUCCAUUUAGAAUAGUAAAUCUGUGCUAGAAGGGCCAUUGUCUGUUGAUGUCGCUGCUUUGAGAAACCAAGAAACUGAUGAUAAUUAAACAUCACUCGUACAUGAAUUUCCAAUCAUCGGCUUGCACAAAACUAGGGGUAAUAUAAGAUAUCAGUUACAGGAAGCAAUUACAUAUCAAAUUAGAUCCUGAACAGUUUUGAAACUGAAAUCAGUACCAGCAGACCACAUUCGCCUCUAAUAAAAAGAGAGUAUUGCUUGAUAUCACCUAACCGAACUUUGUUCAAAAUCAUAUCAUCCCAUAUAUAUCUAGUCAAGAUGGUACUGUAAACAAAUUUCUCCUAGGCUACAUCUAAAUGAUGAGGUCUCCACCUGUAGCAUUCGGAUCAAAACAUUUGCAGGGAAUGGAUGAACACCAGCACCAAUCCAUACAAAUUCUUUGUAGAAAAUAAUGGACAAAACAAGCAGGUCACCAACAAUCUUGAAAAAAGUUGUCUUCCACUUGGAUCAAAGAAAUAACACAAAUCCUUUCACCAAAUAAAUAACCCUGGUGGAGGAGGUCAUGGAGUGUUCGGCGGAUGAAGUAGUACAUCCAUCCCUGAUUAAGGCUCGGAGAGGCACCAAUUCUAGUGCCGCUCACCUCUGAACCCCGAUGUGCCACACGAUAGGAUUGCAUGACCCAGCGUCUUGUAGUUCUUUCCCUCGAGCAGCAGGGGCAGCUCGAUGUUGGCCAGCUUCGCCUUGUACACCCCGCAACAAGGUCACCGUCUCCACUACCUGCCCCAGGUGUGCCCCAACCUGAAACAAACACACAACUUCCCUACAAAUCCUCCAUCUUCAUCUCCCUCAUAAAGACCACUGUUAAGAGCGAGGUGAUGGUACUAGGUUAUUCCGCGGAGGACUCCCUUCGCAUAGCCAACCGGCUUAACUAUUGAUUAGGAUCAUUCCCAACUACCUAUCUCGGCUUGCCGAUUAGUGACUCCCAGCUCCAGGAGAAAGAUCUCUGUCCCACGGUGGCUAAGGUUCAGUACCAUGUCGAGCCGUGGCAGGGGCGUUGGCUCUCCAAAGCGGCGCGGGUAGUUUUGAUGAAGUACUCAUUGAUUAGCCUAUUGAUGUACAUGAUGGGAUUCUAUAGCCUGCAUGAAUCCCUUCACCAGGAAAUCGCCAAAUACUUGUCCAGAUUCUUUUGGGCAGGUCAGGGCAAUAGGCAGAAAUACCACAUGGUGAAAUGGUCUGAGAUAUGCAAAAACCAAAGGACCAAGGCGAUCUAGGGGUCAUUUCAUCCAAGUGGAUGAACAUUGCCUUGUUGUCCAAAUGGUUAUGGCGCAUUGAGGUUGGUGAAGGCAGGUUGUGGCUUCAGAUUAUCCGUGCAAAAUACUUGCAUGGGAAAGCCCUAGCUUUUGCACCCAAAACGGGUGGAUCCUAGUUCUGGUAAUCUAUCAUUCAGCUGAUGCCAGUUCUUCGGAUAGGAUCUUCGAUCGCAGUGGGGAUGGGUACCAACACUCUGUUUUGGCUAGAUCGGUGGUCGGGCGAUAGACCGUUCGCCGAAGAGUUCUAUGCACUAUUUAGUAUUUGUGCUCGCCCACAACUCACGGUGAGUGCGGCCCUAAAGGACCUGGGGUGCAUCGCCUUCCGCCGCACCUUUGGCCUGCUUGAGCAGGACCAGUGGGAGGAGCUGCUUCAAUGCAUAGCCCUCCAUUCUCCCACCCUUGAGGAGGAUGCGAUUUCCUGGUCACUUGAACCAGGUGGGAGGUUUUCCACAAAAUCCCUAUAUGCACUUAUGGCCACCUUGGGCUCGACCGAGCUGACUCCUCUAUGGGAGAUUAAGCUGCCACUGAAGAUUCGCAUCUUCCUCUGGCAACGGGUGCAUGGCCGCCUUCCUUCGGGUACAGAGGUCCUUAAAAGUAACGGCCCCGGGGACAGGCUAUGCCCAUUAUGCGGAGUGCCGGAAGACUCUAACCAUAUAUUCUUUCGUUGUCCGGCGGCGAUCUUCCUUUGGAGUUGCCUUCAAGUUACUGUUGGUGGCAACUGGUGCCACGACAAUCUUCCUGAUUUGUUCCAAGAGAUCCUAAGUCUGGAUUGUAGGAUGCGCCCCGCCCUUUGGGUAGUGAUGGGCUCGCUUGCCUAGACAUUAUGGAAUGUGCGCAAUAAACUAGUGAUUGAGCAUGUGAUUCCUUCUUGUGCGACUGACGCGAUAUAUAAACUGUGUGGUUUCUUACAGCUCUGGAGACCGCUUAGCAAGCGAUACGAUCGGGACAACAUCGACAUGAUCAUUGUGGGACUUCGCUCCACUGCCGGAUCCAUUGCGCCACUGCCCCCUCCACUGCCAGAGCCGGAUUAGCUAGUUCAUUGCUUCUUUUAUAGGGGUUUGUUGUGCUGUGUCCCCAGCUGAACCUAUUUGCAUUCUUCGACUUUGCUUUUGCUUUUGUUUCUGCUUGAAUCUUGAGCUCGAUGUUGUUGGUGCGGUUGCUUUAUAAUCUAAAGCGGGGGGAAACCCUUUUCCAUCAAAGACCACCGUGAACCUGUGAUCUUCUUCCUCUUGAAUCACUGCCAGAUGUGCGAGAUUUGUGGAGGAGAGAUGAUGAAAAAAGCGGCAACGACAGUAGCCGGCAUCACGAGAAUGGAGAGCAUCGGGAUCCGAGGGAGACAUGGAGCGGGGGUGGCGGCCGACUAUGCAGGUCGAGCUCUGGUGCGGCGGCGCUCUCCUUCGGCUGGGUAUCCUAAUGAACAAAGAGAAAUUGUGAGGUGUCCAGCAAGAGAGAUGGGCUGAGCGAGGGAGGGACCACCACACAAUCAGUUGUCUGGCUCUGUCAGCCUUACAAUUGGAAGUAUUUUUUGACAAAUCUAGCCCCUUUGAGCAACUUCAGGCAUGUCUAGCCUCCAGGCAAAACUAUUUCGGAAUCUGGCCCCUGGGAUCAGCGCCGCACAACAUGGCGCCGAACAUGUACACAUCGGCGCCAAACUAAGUGGCGCUUGCGCCGAGGUGUACAUGUUCGGCGCCGUGUUUUCCGGAUGACGAACUUACAUAUAUCGAUUCCAGUAUGAAAUGUGACUGCCUUUCCGUUUGUGGUUUAUUUGUUGUGUGGUGAGAUGUUGAAGAGAUUGAGAUUGAAACAUGUUUUCCGGAUGAUGUUGGAUGAGCUGGAAAGUUGCUUUUACUGCCAACACUCUUUAUCGUGUAGUAUGGAUGUCCUUAGCAUGUUAACGUCUUUUGCACUAGUCAUGAGUCACGAUGAUGAGGAUCAUGUAUCGACUUUAUCCAUAAUAAUAAUAAUUCCUUGAGAAGUGUCACGUAUGAUAAUCUUGUUUGUACUUUGUACAUUUCACAAAUGAAUUUUGAAGGUUUUCUAAUCUGACACAGGAACAAUGCAAGGGUGAAUCGAUCAGCUUUAGUUGUACUUUUCCUCUCGAGUUUGGUUUUGAGUGGUAUUUCUGAUUCUCUUUUCCAAACGAAAAACUUAACUGAUAAGACGAGAAUAUAUGUCGAUACUACUCCGGUCCACUUCGGUGAGGUGCCGCUACGUCGUCCGACCACUGCCUUAUUUCAACUUCGGUUGGAUGGGAGCCCUCGCCGACGGCUUCCCGCAACAGGUGAGGGAAUAUUUAGGCACGAGAUCAUGUGGGAAUCUCACAAUGGGUUUACUUCCGUACUUGGAAAGGAGAACCAGGAGCAACCACGUUGCCGGAUAUACAACACAAGUUGCUAUGAGUGUUGUUUUUUCACUAUUUGUGGCGAGAAUGUGUUGUUUCAGCGUUAGGAGCAACCGGAUCGCCCGAUCGGCCGCCUUGCCAGCCGAGCGAUAACCUCACCGCCACAUUGUCCCGUUCGCCCCUCCUACCAUGCACAUGGCGAGAAAAAAAACCACAUCUCACUUGGCAGCAUGAAAAAACUUGCCAAGCUUGCAAUUGUUGCCCGUCGACAUGCAACAGUGGUGGUGAGUUCGACCUAUCGCUACCACCGCCCACAACACCGCCGAGGCGAACAUGCAACAUUAUUGUUGCCGCUCCGGGAAUCUUUGACCCGGACAUGGAGCAUUGUCGGGAAACCUUGUAGCGUGGUUGGCUUCAGCUCUAGCAUCGUCGUGUGACCUUGCAGCUCACGAUUCCUAGCUUCCAUCGUCGGCGACCGCCACCUACAACAUCAUGCGUCACCCGCUUUGCAGAAAUAGUGGAUGAAUAACAACAAGGCGUGUCCCGCUUGUAGCAGGUUGCAUGACCGGUCCUUGUGGUGACCCCGACAAGUAGGAGGAGAGUGCACCAGACGAGCGGCGUGGGAAGACCAUGGAGUUGGGCGCACACGUGGAGGCCAGGAGCUGCCCCGCAAUGGGGAGAGAAGGGAAUGACAUGGCGGAUCUUGGGAUUUCGGGGCCCCGUGAAACUUAGAACCGAGGCCCCAUAAUAUAAACAUCAAUAGUGAUAAUUAGUAUGUGUAUACAAGAGAUGUAACUAAUAAACCCUUAGAAUAUGUACUCACUUCAUUUUGUUUGUCUUUUUACGAAAUUUGACCUAAGAUUUUAUCCAAUUUAUUACUAGAUUAAAUGUAUUUGCAUUAAAAAUGCUAUCAAGACAGGCGACCGGGAUUCAAAGAAAUAUUUAAUCAUAUAAUGUAUACUCCCUCUGUUCUAAAAUAAUUGAAGUUAUGGGUUUGUCCUAAGUCAAACUUCAUUAAGUUUGACCAAGUUUAUAUAAAAAUAUAUUAACAUCUACGACACCAAAUUUGCUUCAUUAGAUUCAUUAUGAAAUAUAUUGUCAUAUUAUAUAUAUUAGACAUUGUGGAUAUUAGCAUUCUUUCUAUAGCUUGGUCCAAUUUGAAGAGGUUUGACUUAGGACAAUUCUGGAACUUCAAUUAUUUUGCAACAGAAGGAGUACAUCACACUACUACUUCUUGAGCUUGCGUCAUUUUUUUCCAUGAAAAGGAAAGGGUGAGACAGCAAAGUAGAGAUGAGUAUUUCCCUCAGUUAGAGAACCAAGGUAUCAAUCCAGUAGGAGGUACAAGCAAGUCUCCAAUCUAUGUACCUGCACAAACAAUCAAACACUCGCACCCAAUGCGAUAAAGGGGUUGUCAAUUCCUUCAAGGUCAAUUGCGAAGGUGAUACUUGAUAGAGAUAGGUAUAAAAGAUUGCUAAGACGUAAAACAAAAUAAAAGUAAAUAAAUUGCAGCAAUAUAUUUUUGGUAUUUUUGAUUUAUAGAUCUGAAAAUAUAUAACGGAAAUAGACCCGGGGGCCAUAGGUUUCACUAGAGGCUUCUCUCUUGAAGGCAAAUAAUAUGGUGGGUGAACAAAUCACUGUCGAGCAAUUGAUAGAAAAGCGCAAAGUUAUGUCGAUAUCCAAGGCAAUAAUUAUGCAUAUAGGCAUCAUGUUCGUGUCAAGUAGACCGAAACGAUUCUGCUCUACUACUAUUACGUCACACAUCGACCACUAUCCAGCAUGGAUCUAGAGUAUUAAGUUCGUAAAGUACGGAGUAAUGCCUUAAGUAAGACGAGAUGAUGUAGAUGGAUAAACUCAAGCAAUAUGAUGAAAACCCCGUCUUUUUAUCCUUAAUGGCAACAAUGCAAUACGUGUUUCGCUACCCCUACUUUGUCACUGGGUGAAAUCGUGCAAGAUUGAACCCAAAACUAAGCACCUUUCCCAUUGCAAGAAAUACCAAUCUAGUUGGCCAAACCAAACCAAUAAUUCAAAGGGAAAUACAUAGAUAUCAAAUCAUGCAUAUAAGAAUUCAGAGAAGAUUCAAAUAAUAUUCAUAGAUAAGUUGAUCAUAAAUCCACAAUUCAUCGGAUCUUGACAAACACACCACAAAAGAAGAUUACAUCGAAUAGAUCUCCAAGAACAUGUAGCGAUCCGAUCUCAAACGAUCAAAUCUCUGUGCAUAAGUGUCAUCCCUGGAUCGGUAAUGCUGACACACACAGUACUUGAAGGAUUUAUAACAGAGUUUCAAUCACACACUUAAUACAUCGAUAGUCUCAAAAGAGAACUUAUUACAAUAAUAUGGCUUAAGCCCAUCUAAAUAAGAUAACAACGGAAGGCUUCGAAGCUAAAGUGAGUCCAUCAACUCCAACGGCAUAGCUGGGUGCACGACAAUGACCUAGCGCACCUUAAUCUUCGCCUGAAAAGUCUGCAACAUAAUACAACACAUGGAAUAUGCUGGCAAAAUAACACUGUAGAGCAAUGAACAUGAAACAAUUAUAACUACAUGCAUAUUUGGCUGGUGGAGGCUCUACGGUUUUCAUGUUUUUGCGAAAAGCCAUUUUUCCUACAAAAAAGGAAUAUAUUUUGUUUAACUAUCAUGGUAGUUGAUAAACAUUGAGAAUGGUAACCCCAUCUCAAUCCCAAUUAAAGUAAUCAUUAACCCAACAAGUUAAUUCAUUAUUGUGAUGAGAUCAACAUAAUAAUUCAAGCACCAGAUACUCAAGAUGUCCAUAACCGGGGACACAGCUAAUCAUGAUUAGUUUGUACACUCUGCAGAGGUUUGCGCACUUUUCCCCAUAAGACUCGAUCUCCUCCGUUGAAUUUCUCGCACUACAUGAUGUUUGAGAAACGGAUGACCGAGACACAGUCUUUCAGAAGCAUUAGCCCUUUCGACGGGUAAAUCGUACCACCUACAUCCCCUACAUCUGCUAGUUUACCACUGAAAGAGGUCACGCAACAUACUCAACUAUGCCAGAGCCCAUAAUGGCUUGUGGUUGCACACAGAAGUUUCCAGCAUGAAUAACAAUAUGAUCCCUUUGAGCCUGGGUGGCGGACCAUAGGAUGAUCACACGGAUUCCCCGAGAUCUCCUUGGACAGCACUGGAUUGACCCAGGUGCCCACAAACAAUCCACCCAGAUGUGUGUUAACGUAGCCACCUUAAAUAAACCCUUAGUUUAUAAUAAUACUCACAACUGUCAUGAAUCACUCAACCCAAACCACGUCUACGAGCAUAGCAUAGCAGUAUAAGCAUAACGUAGAAGUAACUCCCAGGGUUUGAAUGAAAAGGGCAAUAGGUACUACCUCAACUACUACUUCCCAAUACCCACAUGUUAUCAAGUCCUAACCAUUCAAUGUUUGAGGGUUUAAACUAAUGUAUAAAAACUGGGUAAUAAAGGGUAUGAUCAAAGUGUUACUUGCCUUGCUGACGAUCUGAAAACCCUAGUGACUCGUAGUAGCACGCUUCGCACUCCGGAAACUCUAUCGCAAACAAGCAAUAACAUACAUAAGCACUCAAGCAAUAGAUGCAAUGGUAAAACUCAAGAGAAAAUAUCCAAAUCGAAAGUUCAACUGAAGUGCUUCAAUUUGCAAAAAGAAUCAAUUGAAUCAGAGCUACGAAACUCAAACUGCGGUCAAAAGAAGUUCGAAUUCAAAUCUGCUUGCAACCAAAUUUUAAUUUGUCAAAAUCAUGUUCAAGUUGGUUAACUAGAAAGAGGGGUUCGAGGCGAAGAUUUUGGCGUUGGUUUCACUAGAUUUGGACGAACGGUUGAAAAACUGUGAGGGUUUGAAGGUCAGCGGCUAAUCUACUAUAAAAAUAAUCGCAAAUAGGUCCCUGGCCGAAAAUAAAAUAAAAAGAAAAGACUAACGAACUAACGUUCGUUAAUAGAGACAAACGAACGAACGUGUUCGUAAACAGAGGCUUACGGGCGAACGACGAAACCAAAGAAAACCGGGAAAACUGAUCUAUAAAAAACCUAGUGGGAUCUAGGGUUUACCGAAUAAAUCGAUGAAAAACCGAGAAAAACCGGUCGGCGGUGUGGUCAACGGCGAGGCGGCGGGGCUAGGGGGGCUCCGGCGGCGGCGACGUGCGGCGGCGCAGCAGCAAUAGUAGCGGCGGGCGGCGGCGCGGGCUGCAGCGACGGCAGCGGUGGCGGUGGGCGGCUGCGGCGGCUCCGGAUGGGGUGGAGAGGGGCGGCGGCGGCUACUUAUAGGAGGGGGGGCUCGGCUUGUGGGAGGGGGCAUGGGCAGCGGUGUCCGGGUGGGACACGGCGGCGUGCGGCGGCGCGGCUCGGGACUCUGUCCCGAGUCGGAGAGGGGAGGUGGCGGCGCGAUGGGCGUGGCCCGGCUUGGCUCGGGCCGUCUGAGGGAGUCCUGGAUUAGGGGGUAUCCGGACAGCCGGACUAUAUCCUUUGGCCGGACUGUUGGACUAUGAAGAUACAAGAUUGAAGACUUCGUCCCAUGUCCGGAUGGGACUCUACUUGGCGUGGAAGGCAAGCUAGGCAAUACGGAUAUGUAUAUCUCCUCCUUUGUAACCGACCUUGUGUAACCCUAGCCCCCUCCGGUGUCUAUAUAAACCAGAGGGUUUUAGUCCAUAGGACAACAUACAAUCAUACCAUAGGCUAGCUUCUAGGGUUUAGCGUCUUUGAUCUCGUGGUAGAUCAACUCUUGUACUACUCAUAUCAUCAAGAACAAUCAAGCAGGAUGUAGGGUUUUACCUCCAUCAAGAGGGCCCGAACCUGGGUAAACAUCGUGUCCCCUGCCUCAUGUUACCAUCCGCCUUAGACGCAUAGUUCGGGAUCCCCUACCCGAGAUCCGCCGGUUUUGACACCGACAUUGGUGCUUUCAUUGAGAGUUCCACUGUGUCGUCAUCAUAAGGAGGAUGGCUCGCCUCGUUGUCAAGGACAACAUCAUCCCUGGGGGAGCCCUGGCUAUAGGCCAAACUCUCCGACUAGGCGGCUUCGUCAUGACCGCCCACUCGGCCACUGCGCCGACGAUGACCUCUCGGGUCAUCGAAAAAAGCCUCCACAUCUGCUCGAAAUUUGCCGAGCAGAUGGAUCAAAUGGAGCUCUCCUCUUUGAACGAGCUCUUGGAUCGCAUUGCCGCUCUGGGAGUCACUACGGACUACGACCGGAUCGGGCUUAAACCCGACCAAAGGGAGAUUAACUCUCUGCCGGUCACCCAUCAGAUAGCGGUGGUGGAGGAGCAAUGCGGCGAUUCUCCUUCUAUCCCGAGGACGAACUAUGUCCGUAUUCCCGAGCUCUCCGAAUAGGAUACUCUCUCACGGGAGGACACCGCCCUAACCCUGAAUCCAGAAUCAGGCUGCAUACCGAACCCACAGGGCAACAUCUCGGAGCCUGAACUUCCAAGAUCGGAAACUCCCCUACCCCGGGAUCAUAGAUUGGGUCAAGGUCUGGACUUAAAUCCACCCACCCACCUAGAUACAAAUGAUCUUUCCCACAUUAGGCAAGCGCCCCAAGAGACAGUACAUCACUAUUGGGCCAGAUUCCUCCUUGUAAUGAACAAGGUCAAGGACUGUCGCGAGGAAGAUGCAAUUUCAUUCUUUUGCAACAAUUGCACGGACAAGGGAGUCCUCAACGCCAUAAGUCGCCGUGACGUAGCACACUUCGCUGACCUGGCGGCCAUAGUAUGAAAAUACUGUGCGAUGAAAGGUUCCUGGAAAACCCAAACGCAAUUUUGGGAUAAUCCGGCUCUGACAAAACCCCCAGUACGAACUAAAAGGGUGCACUCUCAUAAGUCGCCUGACUCAAUUACAAAGAAGCAAACACCCACUACAGGGCGUGGAACCGUAUUAGAGGGAUGGCUUAACGGGCCCUGCAAAAUCCAUAGUACACCGGAUACCAUAUCAACACACAUCCUUAGAGCAUGUUGGGUACUCCGGCAGGUGGCCAAAAGCGGUGAUGAUCUUCUCACCCAAAAUACCUCAGAGCAUCUUCCCACGGAUAACAAUACAGUAUUAACGGUCUUCGAGACCUUCGCCUCAAAUAAUAGGCGCAAACGAGCACUCCGCAGCCUUGCCGAAGUCUGCCACGUGGCAGCAAUAAAUCCAUGGAGCGACACGGCUAUCACCUUCAAUGCCAGUGACGAACCUAAAUUCCGAACAGCCUGAGCACCAGCCGCUUUGGUCCUCAGUCCAAUUGUGGACGGCUUUCGGCUCACUAAGGUGCUCAUGGACGGCGGCAGCGGAUUAAACCUCAUUUAUGAGGAGACUCUCCAAAAAAUGGAAAUAGGCAGCAACCGUAUUGAGCAAAGCAGUACGACCUUCCGAGGAAUCAUCCCUAGUUGGGAGGUACGUUGCGCUGGGAAAAUCACACUGAUGUGGUAUUCGGCACUCCGGAGAAUUACAGGUCCGAAGAAAUUACAUUCCAAGUGGCCCCAUUCAGUAGCGGAUACCACGCCCUUCUAGGGCGGGAGGCAUUCACGAUUUUUAAAGCCAUACCCCAUUACGGGUACAUGAAGCUCAAAAUGCCCGGACCCAAGGGAAUUAUCACUCUAGCUAGUGAUCCGUACAUAGCACUCCGCGCCGAGAACAAAACAGCUGCACUAGCCCUCGAGGCAUUAUCCGAAGUCCUUGUGGCGGAGGAGUUAACUGCGCUGCGCUCCACGGUAGACAGGGACGACGUGAUACUAGACAAAAGAUCCAAGUCCACCUCCUUUAAGCCAGCGGACGAAAUAGUUAAAUUCCAAGUCCAUCCAAUGGACCCUACAAAAACAGCAUCCAUCGGGGCACAGUUAGACCCCACGGUAGACGCUGCACUACGGGAGUUUCUGCGCGAGAAUUGGGAUAUAUUCGCCUGGCAUCCUUCAGACAUGCCAGGAAUCCCACGCAGAUUGGCCGAGCAUAGCCUUAAUAUUCUAAAAGGAUUCAAGACGGUCAAGCAGACUCUUUGGCGUUUCUCUGAACCUAAGCGACAAGCCAUGGGAGAGGAGCUGGCCAAGCUACUGGAAGCCGGAUUCAUUAAAGAAAUAAAACAUCCGGAUUGGCUAGCAAACCUGGUGAUGGUACCAAAGAAGAACAAAUCCUGGCGCCUAUGUGUCGACUUCAAAGACCUUAAUAAGGCUUGCCCAAAGGAUCCCUUCCCACUCCCUCGCAUCGAUCAAAUCAUCGAUGCUACCGCAGGACACGAAUCAUUGUGCUUCCUCGAUGCAUACUCCGGUUACCCCAAGAUUAAGAUGGCAGAGUCUGAUCAAGCCGCAACGACAUUCAUCACGCCAUACGACCCCUUAUGUUUUAACACAAUGCCCUUCGGGCUAAAAAACGCCGGCGCAACAUAUCAGCGCAUGAUCCAGACAUGUCUGGAAAAGCAGACCGGUAAUACUGUGGAGGCAUAUGUAGACGAUGUGGUCAUUAAAACCAGACACGUCGACUCUUUAAUAGACGACUUGAGGCUCAUGUUCACCAAUCUCCGAACAUAUGACAUUAAGCUUAAUCCAGAAAAAUGCGUUUUCGGUGUUCCCACCGGAAAGCUCAUGGGCUUCAUCGUCUCCAGUAGAGGAAUUGAAGCAAAUCCGGCUAAAAUCCGAGCUCUGUCGCAGUUGGCUAUCCCAACUGACCUCAAGCAAAUCCAGAAAUUGACUGGAUGUGUGGCGGCUUUAAGCCGCUUUAUCUCCUGAUUAGGAGAAAAGGCACUCCCCCUUUAUCGCCUUCUUCGGCGCACCGAACACUUCGAGUGGACGGACGCAACCACGGCCGGACUGGAAGAAAUAAAAGCCAUCCUGGCCACCAACCCAAUCCUGGCCACGCCAACUGUUGGCGAACCAAUGCUAUUAUAUAUAGCGACAACUCACCAAGUUGUAAGCGCAGUGCUCAUCGUCGAACGAGAGAUGGACGGACAUAAAUUCCCACUUCAAAAGCCGGUAUAUUAUGUAUCCACCGUCCUCACUCCAUGCAAAUCACGGUACCCACAUUACCGAAAGAUAGCAUACGCGGUAUUUAUGGCAUCCCGGAAAUUACGACACUACUUUCAAGGGUGUUCGAUUAUGGUGGCCUCCGAAGUACCACUCAAUGACAUAAUAAACAACCGCGAUGCCAUGGGCCGGAUUGCCAAAUGGGCCAUCGAGCUCCUCCCGUUCGACAUAACACAUAAACCACGACGAGCCAUUAAGUCGCAAGUACUGGCUGAUUUCGUAGCCGAAUGGACAGAAGCCGAACUCCCUAAAGAGUACAACGCAUACUCCAAUUGGAUCAUGCACUUUGACGGCUCUAAAAUGCUGGCUGGUCUGGGGGCUGGCAUCGUCUUGACGUCCCCCACUGGAGAUACGGUGCAAUACGUGCUCCAAAUACUAUAUACAGACUCCAAUAACACAACCGAAUACGAGGCCCUAUUACAUGGUGUCCGGAUGGCAAUAUCCAUGGGCAUCCAACGCCUAGAGGUGCGUGGGGACUCGAACCUCGCAAUAUCCCAAAUAAAUGGAGACUUCGAUGCCAAGGAUCUGAAAAUGGCGGCAUAUUGCAACGCCGUCCUCAAAGUGUCAGCUCGGUUCGAGGGGCUCGAAUUCCACCACGUGGCUCGGGAAAACAACCAGGCGACGGACAUCCUAGCCCGUAUUGGCGCUAAACGCGACCCUGUCCCACCGAACAUCUUCCUAGAAAGACUGUUUAAACCAUCGGUGGUAUGGGAAGGGGACACCGACAAAAAUAGUCCGGACCCGGCCUCAACCCCAGAUACCGAAUACUCUGACACAAUCGGAGGCUCUGCCACCGAAAUAACACCUUCAGCCCACGAGAUAAUGGCCGUGAUCGCCCCGUGGACAGAACCAUUCCUGGCCUACCUAACUAGACAAGAAUUACCCGAGGACCAAAAUGAAGCCCGCUGCAUAGUGCGGUGAUCUAAAGCCUACAAGGUCCAUGAGGGAGAGCUUUAUAAGAAAAGCACAACCGGAGUCCUUCAAAGGUGCAUCUCCGAAGAGGAAGGGCGGAAGCUUUUGGCAGAAAUCCAUGCCGGACUCGGCGGCCACCAUGCCGCAGCCCGGGCCCUUGUAAGCAAGGCCUUCUGUAUAUGUUUUUAUUGGCCGACGGCCCGGGCAGAUGCACAACAUCCGGUACAACAUUGUGUCGGUUGCCAGCUUUUUGCAAACCAAAGCCACAUGCCACCUAUCGCCCUCCAAACAAUCCCCAUUACUUGGCCCUUUGCGGUCUGGGGGCUCGAUAUGGUCGGACCCCUCAAAGGGGGAACCCAUAAGAAAAAAUACUUACUGGUCAUGGUGGAUAAAUUCACCAAAUGGAUAGAAGCCAAACCUGUCAAAACGGCCAAAUCCAGACCGGUGAUAGACUUCAUAUCCGGGGUUGUACACCGUUAUGGCGUCCCCCACAGCAUCAUCAUUGACAACGGCACGAACUUUACAACCGACGAGGUGAAACUUUGGUGCAGCAACAUGGGCAUCAAACUCGAUUAUGCUUCCGUCUAUCAUCCACAAACUAACGGUCAAGUCGAAUGAGCGAAUGGUCUUAUCAUGAGCGGCAUUAAACCCAUAUUAGUCCGGUCUUUAAAGGAAUCAGACACUCAUUGGGUAGAGGAGCUCGACUCCGUACUUUGGGGUCUGCGGACCACGCCGAAUCGCACUACUGGAUACACACCGUUUUUAUGGUGUACGGCGCCAAGGCGGUGCUGCCUUGUGACAUAAUUCAUGACUCACCUUGAGUGUGCAUGUUCGAAGAAAGAGAGGCCGAGCUUGAUCGGCAUGACAGUUUGGAUGCCCUGGAGGAGGAGCGCGACAUGGCAAAAGCCCGUUCCGCAUUCUAUCAGCAACAGGCUCGAAGGUAUCAAAGCAGAGAAGUGCGGGCCAAAACCUAUAAUGUUGGCGAACUAGUUCUAUGCCUACUGGAGAAGAAAAAGAACAAGCUCAAGCCCAAAUGGGAAGGUCCCUUCAUUAUCGACCAGGUUCUGACCGGUGGAGCGUACCGACUGCGGGAUGCAUCGAAUAAUUGACUCGAGCCAAACCCAUGGAACGUAGCCAGACUCCGAAGAUUCUAUGCCUAGCGCCGGACUCUAUGUUCGUCUCCUUACCUCCAUGAAUUUUUUGCACAUCUGUUUUCUCUCUCUUUCUUUCUCUCUUUUCUCUUCAAGGCCCUAAAGAGCUACACUUGUGUCUUGGUUACACAAUCUUGACGCGCUAACCGCGCUCAAUAUACCUGGGGGCUUCCUAUACAGAAGCUUAAUUUAAUUACCUUUCCGGGCUUUAUGCCCCGCACAUGUGUUAUUCUUCUGCAUGUACGUUUUUUCGCCAUUAUAUGCAUCAAUAUGACUUAAGUUUUGUCCAAGCUGGGUUGCCUGGCUCAUGUAUUUAUGCCCUACAUUCCAGCUAAUUCGGCUAGGGCAUAAGGGGAGCACCUCUGCGAUUGUUACUGUCGGGUCAGCCGGAUGUGUACCUCAGACUGGGUGAAGCCGAAAGCUAGCGUUCUUAAGGGAAUAUUCGGUCGGUGAAUAAAAGAUGACUUUCAUUUCAAUUACUACACGCCCCCAGAUGUUUUUUGCUUGCAUCUCGCAGUUCGGACAUGCACAUUAGGGCAUGCGUACCCAGGGAAAGGAACCCUUAACGAAACUAUUCUCCCUGGAAGAUGUUUCUUACUAUCCACGUAAUAUAACAUAGCUAGUUGGGUACUUGUCUGUUCAAGCACUUAUGACCCCUACGCCUGGUUUCCAUGCAUACCCCGGUUUUUAUAUAACCAAGUGGGUAUUCGGAUACACUCCGGACUAUCGGGUCCAGAGGUUGUGACGCCCGGAUAUUUAAGCUACAGUAAUUCUUUGCUAAUGAUGCCACGUCACUUCGACUACUGUCGCUAAUCUCGUGUUAGUUCGGAACCGAUUCAAAUUCUAAUUCAAAAUCAAGCAAACAAUAGAUGUUUUCAAAUAUUAAAACUAAAAUGUUCGGAGUGAACCAAAUAUUGCAUAGAUAAUUAUGGUGGAGAAACCACACCUUUAUAAAAUGUUUAAAUAAUAUGAGAUGAAUAAAACAGCAGCAAAGCAAUUAUUCAAAUGCUUUAAAAUAAUAAACGAUUUAAAACUAUUUUUAUUUGAGUGCUAAACGGUUUGUGGCAGUGGCAUGAAUUGUAACACUAUUUUAGAUGCCACUUUUGUAUUUUUGGAAACUAAAAUAAAACAAAUAAGAACUAAAAGAAUAAAUAAAAUAAAAUAGAAAAUAAACAACAAAAAAAUAAAAGAGACAAAGACCCCCCCUCCCGAGCUGGGCCUCGGCCCAGCAGGCUACAUGGCCGCCAGGCCGGCCCAACCGCGCCCGCUACUAAUCCCCUCGGGCGCCAGAAACCCUAGCCCCUCUCCCCCCACUACCCCACGACCCCCACUCCUCUUCCCCUCUCCCGAUCCGAUCUGGGGGCGGGAUCGAACCCCCNNNNNNNNNNNNNNNNNNNNNNNNNNNNNNNNNNNNNNNNNNNNNNNNNNNNNNNNNNNNNNNNNNNNNNNNNNNNNNNNNNNNNNNNNNNNNNNNNNNNNNNNNNNNNNNNNNNNNNNNNNNNNNNNNNNNNNNNNNNNNNNNNNNNNNNNNNNNNNNNNNNNNNNNNNNNNNNNNNNNNNNNNNNNNNNNNNNNNNNNNNNNNNNNNNNNNNNNNNNNNNNNNNNNNNNNNNNNNNNNNNNNNNNNNNNNNNNNNNNNNNNNNNNNNNNNNNNNNNNNNNNNNNNNNNNNNNNNNNNNNNNNNNNNNNNNNNNNNNNNNNNNNNNNNNNNNNNNNNNNNNNNNNNNNNNNNNNNNNNNNNNNNNNNNNNNNNNNNNNNNNNNNNNNNNNNNNNNNNNNNNNNNNNNNNNNNNNNNNNNNNNNNNCCUCCUCGACCCCCACUGCCCAGACCCUGCUCCGCGCCGUGAGCCCCCCUUCUCCUUCCCUCCCCUGCUUGAUGCGCCACCGCGCGAGCUCGUGCGCCCCAGCACCCACGCUCACCAUGGCCCCCGCGCCCGCUGGCCGCGUCAGGCGCCCCCCAGCGCCUCGCGUCCCGGUCCUCCUCCUCCCCGUGCCCGCGCGCCGCGCUCGCCAGCGGCUCUGCUGCAUCUGCUUCUGCCGCCGCACGAGUUCCCGCUCACGGCCACCAUGGCCCUUGCCGCCCCCACCGCGCCUGUACCCCUCCUCGACGCCGUUCAAGCCGCCCCAGUCACCGCCGUCGCGCGCCUGGCCCCAGGCCGCGCCGCGCCUGUGCCCCCUGCUGGCCUCUCCGAGGCCACGACCUUGCACCAUCGUGCCGGGCUACGGCCUCGCCGACGCCCCUGUUGCCCCGUGCCCUCGCAUGGGCGCACGCCCGUUAACCGCGCCCGAUAGGCCCCCUGGGCCUAUGACAACGGGCCCCGCCCCAGAACAAAAAAAAUGAUGAAUAAUAAUAAUAAUAAUAAUAAAUAAUUAAAAUAAUUAAUUAAUUAAUUAAUUAAUUAAGUUAAUUAAUCCUGUUAAUUAAUCUAAUCAAUUAGUUAGGUUAAUUAAACCCUAAUUAACAUAAACAGUGUAUGACAGGUGGGUCCCACUGGACCCACUGGUCAGGUUGACCAAGUCAACUCUGUUGACUGCUGAUGUCAGCAUGACAUCAUGCUGAUGUCAUUAAUCUGUUUUCCGAAUUAAUUUAAAUAAUUAAUUAAAUUCCAGAAAUUAAUAAAAUCUUUAGAAAAUCAUAUCUUAUAAUCCGUAACUCGGAUUAAAAUAUUUUCAACAUAAAAGUUGCUCAGAAUGUAGAGACGAUUCCGGAUACGCAAACCGUUCGUUCGCCACACCUCCCUAACCUAUCGAACUCGCAACUUUCCCCCUCUAGCUCCUCUGCCCGAAAACGCGAAACACCGGGGAUACUUUCCCAGAUGUUUCCCCCCUUCACCGGUACCACCUCGUACCGCGUUAGGGCACACCUAGCACCACACUUUGUCAUGUCAUGCAUCGUCAUGCAUUUGUUUGCAUUAUAUUUAUUGUUUUUCCCCCUCUUCUCUCGCUAGACACCGAGACCGACGCCGCUGCUACCCAGUACGACUAUGGUGUUGACGACCCCUCUCCCUUGCCAGAGCAACCAGGCAAGCCCCCCCUUUGAUCACCAGAUAUCACCUACUCUUCUCUAUACUGCUUGCAUUAGAGUAGUGUAGCAUGUUACUGCUUUCCGUUAAUCCUAUACUGAUGCAUAGCCUGUCCUUGCUACUACUGUUAUUACCAUUACCUGCUAUCCUACUGCUUACUAUAGGAUGCUAGUGUUCCAUCAGUGGCCCUACACUCUUGUCCGUCUGCCAUGCUAUACUACUGGGCCGUGAUCACUUCGGGAGGUGAUCACGGGCAUAUACAAUAUACUUUACACAGUUACAUUACCUGUGAUACUGAUCGGAGAUGUGGGCUGAAGGGGCAGGUGGCUCCAUCCAGGUAGUGGUGGGCCUGGGUUCCCGACGGCCCCCAAUUGUUACUUUGUGGCGGAGCGACAGGGCAGGUUGAGACCACCUAGGAGAGAGGUGGGCCUGGCCCUGGUCGGCGUUCGCAGAUACUUAACACGCUUAACGAGAUCUGGGUAUUUGAUCUGAGUCUGGCCAUUUGGUCUAUACGCACUAACCAUCUACGCGGGAGUAGUUAUGGGUAUCCCGGCGUCGUGGUAUCAGCCGAAGCCUUCGUGACGUCAGCGACUGAGUGGCGCGCGCCGGAUUGGACCGUAAGCCUGCUCUUGUAUUAAGGGGGCUAGUUCUGCUUCCGGUCGCGUUCGCAACGUGCAGGUGUGCAAAGGGCGAUGGGCCCAGACCCCUGCGCCAUAGGGUUUAGACCGGCGUGCUGACCUCUCUGUUGUGCCUAGAUAGGGCUGCGAUGUGUUGAUCUUCCGAGGCCGGGCAUGACCCAGAAAAGUGUGUCCGGCCAAAUGGGAUCGAUCGUGUUGGGGAAUGUGGUGCACCCCUGCAGGGAAGUUAAUCUAUUCGAAUAGCCGUGAUCUUCGGUAACAGGACGACUUGGAGUUGUACCUUGACCUUAUGACAACUAGAACCGGAUACUUAAUAAAACACACCCUUCCAAGUGCCAGAUACAACCGGUGAUCGCUCUCUCACAGGGCGACGAGGGGAGGAUCAUCGGUUAGGGUUAUGCUAUGCGAUGCUACUUGGAGGACUUCAGUCUACUCUUUUCUACAUGUUGCAUGAUGGAGGUGGCCAGAAGCAUAGUCUUUGACAGGGUUAGCUAUCCCCCUCUUAUUCUGGCUUUCUGCAGUACAGUCCACCGAUAUGGCCCUUUACACAUUUACGCAUGCAUAUGUAGUGUAGCUCCUUGCUUGCGAGUACUUUGGAUGAGUACUCACGGUUGCUUUCUCCCUCUUUUCCCCCUAUCCCUUCUACCUGGUUGUCGCAACCAGAUGUUCGAGCCCAGGAUCCAGACGCCACCGUCGACGACGACUCCUACUACACCGGAGGUGCCUACUACUACGUGCUGCCCGCUGAUGACGACCAGGAGUAGUUAGGAGGAUCCCAGGCAGGAGGCGUGCGCCUCUUUCGAUCUGUAUCCCAGUUUGUGCUAGCCUUCUUAAGGCAAACUUGUUUAACUUAUGUCUGUCCUCAGAUAUUGUUGCUUCCGCUGACUCGUCUAUGAUCGAGCUCUUGUAUUCGAGCCCUCGAGGCCCCUGGCUUGUAAUAUGAUGCUUGUAUGACUUAUUUUAUUUGUAGAGUUGUGUUGUGAUAUCUUCCCAUGAGUCCUUGAUCUUGAUCGUACACAUUUGCGUGCAUGAUUAGUGUACGGUCAAAUCGGGGGCGUCACAAGUUGGUAUCAGAGCCGACUGCCUGUAGGAAUCCCCCUUCCACACUCCUUGGCCGAAGUCGAGUCUAGACAUUGCAAAAAGUUUUACUAACAUGGCUGUGCGGCCCCUGGGCCCAUGUCGCCAUCGGGUGUUACUAGGAUCUUUUGCUCCUCGACCCUUACUCUGGGACUCUAACCUCUCUUCUAUUCGGGUUAAAUGAAUUUUGAUAAAUCUAACAUUAGGAUCUCGUUAUCACUUCAACCUGGAGAGCCCCUUAUUACUGAUGAUCGUCUGCUGCACGUGAAGACCCUGAAGAUACUCUCCGCUGUUAACCCGAGGACUUGUAUUCAUCGCGUUUGCAAUUCCCCUUCCACCGUCAACCCUUAUGGAUAACUACUUUCAGUUGUUAAUCUUACAAUCAUUCCCAGUUGGUCUUGUUAUUACAGGAUACCCCGAAAUACUCGUCGUAGUUUCAAUAAUCCUUUGAGCUUACUGCCUUGAUGUUCUUUGUCACCUGAAUACCCCUAUGGAUAAUUCUCGCGCUUAUCGAGUAUCUGCUCAUCCCCCAGUUGUCCAUGUGUUUCGCAAUGGUCUUCGAAAUACUAUUCGAUCCUCCAAAAAUCCUUAGUAGCUUAUUGCUCUGCAAUACUUGUCUGCUUGCAUUAUGGAUGCUUUCCAUAUGUCUGGCAAUAUUCGUUAGUAUCGUUAGACACCAUCAUUUUGAUCCUAUUGAUUCAACAUGAGUGCGAAUGCACGCAAUCAUCAGUUGAUCCUUUUAAAUCAUCUUUCCGGCUCAGACAUCAUUUUAAGCAUGAGCUGGUUCUCGACCAAUCAGAUUGCCAUCGAUUGUACCCCUAAGUCUAUCCAACUUGUCCGUCCUUGAUCGGAGCGUUUGCUCCUGAUCCCUUGAUUUGAAAAUCAUAAUUCCUUUGUUAUUUAAACGUUGAAUUAUUCAGAUGUUCUGUAAAACGAUGCAUUUGCAUUCUUUAUUCCUCUGAUUGGGUAUCGAUACUCACAUCAGCUCCAUUGUGGAUCACCAUAUCCACUGUUGGAUUAUUAUCCGACGAUGUCCUUCAUAAUUAAUGACCUUGUGAGUUCUGUCUCCGAUACAUAAUGCCUUUGGUAAUUUGUAUCCUCUCCUUUUGCCAACCAUGCUCUGCUUUCGAGCUGGUAAUAUUUACUCUCAAAGCUUGUGGUAUAUGUUUCCACGAUACCCUGACGGGUUGAACCUAUGCCUUCCUUAAUUUGUGUGACCUCGAAAUUUAUGCGGGUUAUACCCUGCUGACGCUUCGUCAGAUAACUUUUCAACACUACAACUUCGAAAAGGGGAGGUAAAUGUAAGGUUAUGCAUUGAAGAAGUGGGAGUCAACCUUGAACUUUGUGUUCAUGCCCAUGGACACGAUGUAGAUCUUAUCAUUAAAGCUUCUCUUAGAUUAAAUUAUUCCUUUGGUAUAAGUUCAUCUUAUAUCUGGGAUCUGACCUUUUUCAAUCGUGGUUCCGACCAUGUUCUCCUUUAAAUACCAUUUCGCGUGCAAGUUUAAGCGCUUGUCUUCUGUAGAGCAAUACCCCAGUCCAACCUCUACUUUGAUCUGUCAUCAAGUAUUACCCCCCCUGGUAUCUCGAGGAUACCACGGGAUACAUAACUUCUUAUGAGUUCUUCAUCAACUAAUAUUCUUGCUGAUUCCAUUUUUCCAACGGGUUCUCAGUUGUUAGAACCCCUCAAGGACACCGACAACUGAAUUGAGUCCGCACUAUGAUUCAACAACUCUUGGUAACCUUCAUUACUUACGAGUCUGAACUCGAUCACGUCAUUCCGAGCCUACUCGGCUAUAUCAUUAUCGUGCCAAAUUUUAACUGUGCUACCUGGUCCUUCUUUCCGGAGCACAAUUUCGACGAUGGGCUAAGCUUACAUCGAUCUUCCUUGUCUUAUUGUUUCACCUCAAACAACAAACUUGAUUUCAAGUUUGUGUCGCACCCAUGGUUCCAAUAACCUUUCGCUUCAUCAUUCGUUUGACUUGAUGUCAUCGCCGACCGAUUACAUCUCCAUGAAACCUCUCGACAGAAAUUGUCAUGAUCAUCAUCAACAUUUCGAGCUCCUCAAGGAUAUCAAUUGAAUUCCUGAUGAGAAAUACCAUCCUUGCCCUCGAUGAUUUGUGUUAUCAUCGACCACUCGAUUGCCUUCCGUUCAACACAAACUUGUUCGUGUUUGGUGUUAUACCUUGAGAUCCUUGCUAUCCAGCAUUUGUUCUCCUUUACCUUGGAGUAUUACCAUCUUUUAUGUCAAGAAUGUUGUGAGAAUUUCACCACCUCUUAAGGAUUCUUGGUAUUGUGAUACUUCUCACCAUCACCAUUCUUUCUUGGUCCUCGUGUUGAUUCCAACCGGGGUACCAACAAGUGAACAGUGUUGUUUGGAUUCUGCACUUCUAGCAACCCUAUUGCUUUGAAGUUAAUGGUCGGCCGUUCAUUCUUAGACUAUUGAUUAUUGAAUCACCAUUCUGACAUUGGUCGUGCAACCCAACCCAUAUUUUGGGCGCACCUUUCAACCAAUGUUUAAUUGUGUAUGUUUUCCGUGAGCAUACUUCCUUAUAUCAUUUGAUCUGACAAAUGUUAUCUCCUUGUUCACUUAAUUGUGGAAAUCCAUGUUUUGUUAAUCUCAAUGAAUUGUCGCUGAUUCCCUUAGCCACCUCCUCAUUAUAUCCUUGAUUUAAUAAUGAACUCAUGAUUCAGAACUUGCUUCCAUAGUUCAAUUCCCGAGGAUCUUACAAUGUCGUCUCGUCAAUUUGUCUUGCACCUUUUCUUCUCAGGAAUCUUGAGUCCGAGGUUUCCUAACACCGAUCAGAUCUGAAUCUCGGUCAUAUAUGAUGGUUGGAACAUACUUUCAAGAGUUAUAACAUUGAUCCUCAUAUGACCUGGUAAGGUGAUGUCAUGCCAGCACACCUGGCCGGAGGACCUACUGUUAUAGUUUUCUUAUUAGCAAGGUUAGCCAUUCUUCCACGAGGAAACUAUAAGACUUAUUCUAUAAGUUGUUCCUGAUGGAUCCUUUGCAUAUCCAAAGUCCGAUCUUUGCUUGAAGACCAUGUCGAUGCUAUCUCGAAGCAUGUCUGUGGUACUUCGAUUUUCAAUAAAAACAUUUGAAGCAUAAUGCUAAAUGUUACCUGCUCAAUUAUCCAAACACCAUUGCAUGGGUAAUGUCAUGAAAUUUCUUUCCCCUUUCCUAAAGAGUUUUUAUUAUAUCCUGCCAAGGAUAUCAUGCUCUGCUUGUCCUUGGGGAGGAUAUACCCCUGAUAUAUGUAUUUAAACGCAUUUUCCUUUCCAUUAAUUGGUUUAACCUUUCUUGUGAUCUAUAUGAUCUAAGCAGUAAUAUUCUCCUGCUUAUGUAUAUACCUUGGUGUACAAUUCUGUCACCAAGACCCUGUUACUGUUGUUGAUGACAUUUCGGUAGCCACCGAUGGAUGGGAACCUUGCCUAUUGGCCCGCCUCGUUCAACGAGCAGGAAAAUGGUUCUCUUCGUCCCUCGCCCUUGGUACCAACGUUGUUGCCGACAUAGCUGACAUGGUACUCCCUGACAUGCCUUGCUAUCAUGACCGUGCAAGAUGUCACUGCUCCUAUAAAAAAAAAGAACAACAUGGUGGGCCCAUAACCCACAGUUUCAUAGGAUCGAAACCUGACACUCCUGUACACCACCUGUUCCCAAGGUUGUUCCUCGCACUUGACUUCGUAUGUAAUUCACGGACCACCUGUCUAAUGAUCUAUUCUGGUAUGUGGCACAAUACCUAUUCUCGUUGCCCUGAAACCCUUUCACCUUCUGAUUAGGCAUCGAAUGAUUGCCUAUCCGUUUGAAACUUCUCAUGGUACCUUCUUACUUUGCUCUCGAUAUCUUCUUAAGUUUCAAUUCGAGAGAUACUUAUGCUUCUUCCCUGAGUUAACCGUCUGAUGCUCGAUCUUGUUAGAAUCCAUCCAUAUAGAGUUUUCCCUUCUUACCCUUUUGUAAGUACGAUGGAGUUCCCGAAGAAAGGACGACAACUUCAUCAUGAUGCAUUGAUGCAUAGGAAUGAAGACAUCGACGCUAUGGAUCGACCUGUUCGAGAAGAGCAACCAAGACCGAGAAGAUCCGUUAGGUUUUUCGUAACCCAAUCCCUCCCCCUUACUCCCUCCUAAAUCUCGGGACGAGAUUUCUUGUAGUGGAGGAGAAUUGUGACGCCCGAAUAUUUAAGCUACAGUAAUUCUUUGCUAAUGAUGCCACGUCACUUCGAUUACUGUCGCUAAUCUCGUGUUAGUUCGGAACCGAUUCAAAUUCUAAUUCAAAAUCAAGCAAACAAUAGACGUUUUCAAAUACUAAAACUAAAAUGUUCGGAGUGAACCAAAUAUUGCAUAGAUAAUUAUGGUGGAGAAACCACACCUUUAUAAAAUGUUUAAAUAAUAUGAGAUGAAUAAAACAGCAGCAAAGCAAUUAUUCAAAUGCUUUAAAAUAAUAAACGAUUUAAAACUAUUUUUAUUUGAGUGCUAAACGGUUUGUGGCAGUGGCAUGAAUUGUAACACUAUUUUAGGUGCCACUUUUGUAUUUUUGGAAACUAAAAUAAAACAAAUAAGAACUAAAAGAAUAAAUAAAAGAAAAGAGAAAAUAAACAACAAANNNNNNNNNNNNNNNNNNNNNNNNNNNNNNNNNNNNNNNNNNNNNNNNNNNNNNNNNNNNNNNNNNNNNNNNNNNNNNNNNNNNNNNNNNNNNNNNNNNNNNNNNNNNNNNNNNNNNNNNNNNNNNNNNNNNNNNNNNNNNNNNNNNNNNNNNNNNNNNNNNNNNNNNNNNNNNNNNNNNNNNNNNNNNNNNNNNNNNNNNNNNNNNNNNNNNNNNNNNNNNNNNNNNNNNNNNNNNNNNNNNNNNNNNNNNNNNNNNNNNNNNNNNNNNNNNNNCUCGUCGCCUCCCCGACACCGUCGCUGGUGCCGUCCCAGGCCGCCGUCACCGCUCGCCGGAACCACCGCGCGCCACGACUCCGUCGCCGCCCGUCAUCCCCGACCCCCACUGCCCCAGACCCUGCUCCGCGCCAUGAGCCCCCCUUCUCCUUCCCUCCCCUGCUCGACGCGCGACCGCGCGAGCUCGUGCGCCCCAGCACCCACGCUCAACAUGGCCCCUGCGCCCGCUGGCCGCGUCAGGCGCCCCCCCAGCGCCUCGCGUCCCGGUCCUCCUCCUUCCCGUGUCCGCGUGCCGCGCUCGCCCGCGGCUCUGCUGCAUCUGCUUCUGCCGCCGCACGAGCUCCCGCUCACGGUCACCAUGGCCCUUGCCGCCCCCAGCCGCGCCUGUACCCCUCCUCGACGCCGUUCAAGCCGCCUCGGUCACCGCCGUCGACCGCCGUCGCGCGCCUGGCCCCAGGCCGCGCCGCGCCCGUGCCCCCUGCUGGCCUCUCCGAGGCCACGGCCUUGCACCACCGUGCCGGGUUAUGGCCUCGCCGACGCCCCUGUUGCCCCGUGCCCUCGCACGGGCGCACGCCCGUUAACCGCGCCCAAUAGGCCCCCUGGGCCUAUGACAACGGGCCCCGCCCCAGAAAAAUAAAUGAUGAAUAAUAAAAAAAAAAAUUUAAAAUAAUUAAUUAAUUAAUUAAUUAAGUUAAUUAAUCCUGUUAAUUAAUCUAAUCAAUUAGUUAGGUUAAUUAAACGCUAAUUAACAUAAACAAUGUAUGACAGGUGGGUCCCACUGGACCCACUGGUCAGGUUGACCAAGUCAACUCUGUUGACUGCUGAUGUCAGCAUGACAUCAUGCUGAUGUCAUUAAUCUGUUUUCUGAAUUAAUUUAAAUAAUUAAUUAAAUUCCAGAAAUUAAUAAAAUCUUUAGAAAAUCAUAUCUUAUAAUCCGUAACUCGGAUUAAAAUAUUUUCAACAUGAAAGUUGCUCAGAAUGUCGAGACGAUUCUGGAUACGCAAACCGUUCGUCCGCCACACCUCCCUAACCUAUCGAACUCGCAACUUCCCCCCUCUGGCUCCUCUGCCCGAAAACGCGAAACACCGGGGAUACUUUCCCGGAUGUUUCCCCCCUUCACCGGUACCACCUCGUACCGCGUUAGGGCACACCUAGCACGACGCUUUGUCAUGUCAUGCAUCGUCAUGCAUUUGUUUGCAUUAUAUUUAUUGUUUCUUCCCCCUCUUCUCUUGCUAGACACCGAGACCGACGCCGCUGCUACCCAGUACGACUACGGUGUUGACGACCCCUCUCUCUUGCCAGAGCAACCAGGCAAGCCCCCCCUUUGAUCACCAGAUAUCGCCUACUCUUCUCUAUACUACUUGCAUUAGAGUAGUGUAGCAUGUUACUGCUUUCCGUUAAUCCUAUACUGAUGCAUAGCCUAUCCUUGCUACUACUGUUGUUACCAUUACCUGCUAUCCUACUGCUUAGUAUAGGAUGCUAGUGUUCCAUCAGUGGCCCUACACUCUUGUCCGUCUGCCAUGCUAUACUACUGGGCCGUGAUCACUUCGGGAGGUGAUCACGGGCAUAUACAAUAUACUUUACACAGUUACAUUACCUGUGAUACUGAUCGGAGAUGGGGGCUGAAGGGGCAGGUGGCUCCAUCCAGGUAGUGGUGGGCCUGGGUUCCCGACGGCCCCCGACUGUUACUUUGUGGUGGAGCGACAGGGCAGGUUGAGACCACCUAGGAGAGAGGUGGGCCUGGCCCUGGUCGGCAUUCGCAGAUACUUAACACGCUUAACGAGAUCUGGGUAUUUGAUCUAAGUCUGGCCAUUUGGUCUAUACGCACUAACCAUCUACGCGGGAGUAGUUAUGGGUAUCCCGGCGUCGUGGUAUCAGCCGAAGCCUUCGUGACGUCAGCGACUGAGUGGCGCGCGCUGGAUUGGACCGUAAGCCUGCUCUUGUAUUAAGGGGGCUAGUUCUGCUUCCGGCCGCGUUCGCAAUGUGCAGGUGUGCAAAGGGCGAUGGGCCCAGACCCCUGCGCCAUAGGAUUUAGACCGGUGUGCUGACCUCUCUGUUGUGCCUAGGUAGGGCUGCGACGUGUUGAUCUUCCGAGGCCGGGCAUGACCCAGAAAAGUGUGUCCGGCCAAAUGGGAUCGAGCGUGUUGGGGAAUGUGGUGCACCCCUGCAGGGAAGUUAAUCUAUUCGAAUAGCCGUGAUCUUCGGUAACAGGACGACUUGGAGUUGUACCUUGACCUUAUGACAACUAGAACCGGAUACUUAAUAAAACACACCCUUCCAAGUGCCAGAUACAACCGGUGAUCGCUCUCUCACAGGGCGACGAGGGGAGGAUCAUCGGUUAGGGUUAUGCUAUGCGAUGCUACUUGGAGGACUUCAGUCUACUCUUUUCUACAUGUUGCAUGAUGGAGGUGGCCAGAAGCGUAGUCUUCGACAGGAUUAGCUAUCCCCCUCUUAUUCUGGCUUUCUGCAGUUCAGUCCACCGAUAUGGCCCUUUACACAUUUACCCAUGCAUAUGUAGUGUAGCUCCUUGCUUGCGAGUACUUUGGAUGAGUACUCACGGUUGCUUUCUCCCUCUUUUCCCCCUAUCCCUUCUACCUGGUUGUUGCAACCAGAUGUUGGAGCCCAGGAUCCAGACGCCACCGUCGACGACGACUCCUACUACACCGGAGGUGCCUACUACUAUGUGCUGCCCGCUGAUGACGACCAGGAGUAGUUAGGAGGAUCCCAGGCAGGAGGCCUGCGCCUCUUUCGAUCUGUAUCCCAGUUUGUGCUAGCCUUCUUAAGGCAAACUUGUUUAACUUACAUCUGUCCUCAGAUAUUGUUGCUUCCGCUGACUCGUCUAUGAUCGAGCUCUUGUAUUCGAGCCCUUGAGGCCUCUGGCUUGUAAUAUGAUGCUUGUAUGACUUAUUUUAUUUGUAGAGUUGUGUUGUGAUAUCUUCCCGUGAGUCCUUGAUCUUGAUCGUACACAUUUGCGUGCAUGAUUAGUGUACGGUCAAAUCAGGGACGUCACAGAGGUUGAAGCGAAAAGGUCUGCCAUGACAAAUGAUUUACAAUCCGGCUAGGGACAUUAGAUAUGUCACUUGAAGUACACAGUCACUAAGACUGAUUAAAUUCUUCUUCUAUACCAUCCAACAGGCUGUCUAGCCUACAAUCCUGUUGGGAAUACUUUGUGGAUAAUUCUACUUGAUCAUACACUAAACUAACGGGGAUCUCUUUCCCAUUGGACCCCACAGGUCUGACCUCGGCCAUAUGGUUUGGGUUAGCCUUGGUAUAUCGUGUCUUCACCAUAGCCUAGGCUUCCCUCGCACCUUGUCGGCAGGCUGAUAUCUUCCAUAAUCGGAAGUGCCGUCGCGCUCCCUUGAGCUUCUCUAUAAGCUCCCCCAUGCCUCCUGGCGGGGACGCGGAUGGCCACAAGGCUUGAGCAAUACUCUGCAUCACCUACCGAACUUGUUCGUACAGUUUUGAGAGCUCAGGUAGAAGAUCACCCGAAGACCCGGGCAUCUCCUCCGCGGGACGACCCAUCAGCAUACCUGCAGACAUAACGCUGUUAGCAGGCUUCUUUGCCGAACUCCUUUAAAAAGUUCGUUCAAGCACUUACUAAAAAUGCCGCGCCAAAGCCGUUUAUUCUCCUUCACGGAGUCCGCAAGCUGGGCCCAGACAUCCUUCAGUUCCAUGCCCAGCCGAAUAUUGGCAUCUUGGAGAUCACUUUUCUCCUGCCUGACUCGCGUCAGCACGCGCUCGCCAACAUUUAGCUGUCGAUCAUCACAUGCCGUAUUCGCCUCCAUGGCCUCCGGAUUCACUCCGGGGCCACCUGCAACAUCUAUUGUUAGGUGUGCAUACAUGCCGCAUACUACCUGGUACCGAUAUUCUUUGCAAUAGACAAAAAGUUACCAGGGGGGCCCUUUUUGGACUCCUUCAAUGCGGCAACAAUGGCUUCCAGCUGGGCCUUGCACUCCUCCAGCUCUUGAGACAGUUGGGAAUUCUUCUCCGUAAGAACCUGCACAAAUAAUGAUCCUUAAAUCAGUUGCGUCAACUGUUUCAAGUCUCAGGGGCUACUGAUACAUAUAAUCGUCAGAUUUGCUUACCCGUAUAUCCCUUACAUACUAGUCCGUGGCUCUGGCUACACCAUUUUGAGCAACACGGAGGUACGCGUCUCUAGAAUUGAAGGCAUCAAAUGCCUCUGGUGAGAAGCAAGCAUCACGGAGUACCGCCCGGCGACGCCUAUGAUUCAUGGCGCUCUCCACUUCUGAAUUUGUAGCGUAUAGUCUAUCCGCAUCCUCUGUAGGAGGAGCAUCCAGCGUCCCCCCAUGUUGGCUUCCGCCUCUAUGUCCGGCCCUGGAGCCCGACUGGUGGAGGCGUGAUCGGCAGCCUCUCCCGAUAUACUCCGGCGAGUGUUUUUUAUUAAAGAAGCAUGGAUGUCAUUGCAUUUUGAGAAAGACGACAACCACGAGCGAGGUUUUGUGUCAUACCUCUGCUCCGGCGUCUCCGUCCUAAUCGCCUUCCUUUUUGGCCUACCCGGCUUUGGUGCCUCUUGUUGGCGAGUUGUUGCGGGUUUGGCAUGGCGUCCCAAAUGCCUUCCCUGUAAAACACCAUAUGUGUAUGGUAGGUGAAGUGUAUAAAAGGAGAUCCUAUUUUUGGAGUUGGGAUUUUGUUUUUUCUUACGUGCGACGCAGGGAGCAGCCCGGGAUAGUCGGCCGUUAUGGCCACCAUGGCGUCAUCGCAGCUCAAUUGAUAGAAUUGCCUAUCUAUCAGCUCCACGAAUAUGUUCGGAUUCUCUUCGAGUCUGGGACCGAGGGCCCGGCCAGGGUCCUCUGGUUGUGGAGAUGGGCUGUUGACCUCCCUUACAGCUUUUUGCAGUUCUUGCCGUAAAAUGGCAAGGUGAGUACCUACGACGAAGAAUGCGGGAAGAAUGAGAGUAAAGAGGUAUAACUCACCCAGCUUGGAGGGUUGUACAUGGAGAAUCCAUCCCGUGGCUUGAUACUGAUGAACUCCUCUUCCUCUCCCUUGAACAACUCGAACAAAAUUUUUGCGAAAGCAGCAGCGGAGUCCGGUCCCUUACGCCCGCAACGGGUGGCAUCAUCUUCCCCGUUAAAACACCACAGGGGGUGCCCUCGAUAUUGAAGUGGCUGCACUCCCCGCAUUAUGCAUAUUGACAUAACCUCGAUUAUUGUCAAUCCUGAUUGAGCCAGUGCUUUAAUCCGGUUCAUCAGGUAAAGGACUUCUCCGUUGUCUUCCUCCUAGGGGCUCCGUGGGCGCCAGCUUCGGCAUUUCUUCAGAGGAGCAUUGUUGAACUCAGGAAGACCCCGCCGAAUAGGGUCUGGAAGGGGGACGUCCUCCAUAUAAAACCACUACGAAGGCCAGUCUUCGGAUGUCUUCUUCGGAGUACCAAAUAGGUAUCCGGUUUCGGCGAUGCGCCAUAUUUCGGCUCCGCCCACUUGAUAAAGUGACCCCUUCUGUGUGCGGGGCACAAGGCAAAAUAACCUUUUCCACAGCUCGAAAUGAGCCUCGCAGCCCAGAAAUAGCUCACAAAGGGCAACGUAGCCGGUGAUGUGUAAUAUGGAAGCAGGGGUGAAAUUAUGCAGUUGGAGGCCGGAAAACUCCAGGAGCCCGCGGAGGAACGGAUGAAUUGGGAAUCCGAGUCCCCUUAGUAAGUAAGGAACAAGGCACACCCGCUCCCCCUUAGAGGGGCCGGGGAAGCUCUCCGCUUGCUCCCCGCCAUUAUAGGUGGCGAGCCCGACUCGGACGGGGACCAUAUACGCUGGAGGGAGAAAUCCUUGAGCCUGCAGCUCUACUAAUUGACUGUGUGGGACGGAACACGUCUCCCAAUCACCGGGCUUAGGGCUACGGGGGCGGGAGGAGGAGCUGCGAUGGUCGGCCAUGUUGAAGUGGAUUUUUCCGAAGCGCGCUCCGAUGGAUUCUCGCCGUGGGAGGAUGGUAUGGAUUGGAUCUAAGAAUCCCCAUCCCUUUAAUAGACAAUUUAUUUACCUAGCUAGGGGGGCGAAUGUAAAAAUGCCCUGGCUCCUCGUAUUUGUUCGAUGCGUGGAAGAUAACCCUUAUUGAGCACAGAAGCCAAGAAGUCCAGCAUUUAUGGGCCGGAAACUACUUAACAGACAUUCAAGAUUUGGAGAAGAACCCGCCUUGCAAUGUCGAAGACAAUACUGCGCGCCGGACUCAACAUCAUUGAAGCCUGGUUCGGGGGCUACUGAGGGAGUCCUAGAUUAGGGGUUCUCUGGACAGCCGAACUAUAUCCUUUGGCCGGACUAUUGGACUAUGAAGAUACAAGAUUGAAGACUUCGUCCCGUGUCCGGAUGGGACUCUACUUGGUGUGGAAGGCCUAGGCAAUACGGAUAUGUAUAUCUCCUCCUUUGUAACCGACCUUGUGUAACCCUAGCCCCCUCCGGUGUCUAUAUCAACCGGAGGUUUUAGUCCGUAGGACAACAUACAAUCAUACCAUAGGCUAGCUUCUAGGGUUUAGCCUCUUUGAUCUCAUGGUAGAUCAACUCUUGUACUUCUCAUAUCAUCAAGAACAAUCAAGCAGGAUGUAGGGUUUUACCUCCAUCAAGAGGGCCCGAACCUGGGUAAACAUCGUGUCCCCUGCCUCCUAUUACCAUCCGCCUUAGAUGCACAGUUCGGGACCCCCUACCCGAGAUCCGCCGGUUUUGACACCGACACCGUCCCUGAACUUUUUUUAUAAAUAGGUUCCGCCAAAAAAUCCUAGAUAAAUAUAAAAAAAUCUAAAAAUGCCAAAAACAAUUUUUACUGUCUAAAUAAAAUAUUUAGAACAAAGUGAACAUUUUUCCGGCCUAAAAAUGCAAUUUUUGAAAAAUGCAUAUUUUUCUAAUUCAAAUAAAAUCUCGAAUAAAAUCCAAAUAAAAUAUUAAUUUGAUUUUAAAAUCUUUCCUCCAAUAUUCCCCUCUGAUUUGGAGAAGUCAUAUUAUCUCCUCUCAUUUAUUUUAAUAUUGGAAAUAUUUUGGAGAGAAAAAUUAUUAAAAUUAGAAUGACCCUCUUUUCAAAUUUGAGAAAAUUCAAAUAUGAAAAUAAAUGAAAUCUCCAACUCUCUCCUUGGGUCCUUGAGUUGCUUAAGAUUUAUAGGAUCACAACCAAAAUGCAAAUAAAAUAUGAUAUGCAUAUGAUGACCUAUGUUUAACAUCCAAAUUGAAAAUUUGGGAUGCUACAGAACAUUGAGGAGUACAUGGUAUUGAGAAUCAUAGAAAGAGAAGAAGCCAUCUAGCUACUAGCUAUGGACCGGAAGGUUUGUGGUAAACUACUCACGCUACAUUGGAAGGGCAAUAGGGUUGCUGUAGAAGCCCUCCAUGGUCGAAUUCCCCUCCGAUAGAGUACCAGAAAAGGCCUCCAGAUGGGAUCUCACAAGGUCAUAGACCUGCGGCGGUGGAAAAGUAUUUUCAUGGGUGCUUCUGAGGGUUUUGGAAUAUAUAUGAAUUUAUAGGACGAAGAAGUAGGUCGGUGGACUCCCGAGGGGGCCACAAGGCAGGGGCGCCCCCUAGGGCGCGGCCUGCACCCUUGCCGCUGCCUCGGAACUCUUCUGACUUGGUUCUCGAGUCCUACGGGUAUCUAGUCUAAGAAAAAUCGUCGUAAAUUUUUAUUCCAUUUGGACUCCAUUCGAUAUUCUUUUUCUGCAAAACUCAAAAACAAGGAAAAAAUAGAAACUGGCACUGGGCUCUAUGUUAAUAGGUUAGUCCCAAAAAAAUAUAAAAUAGCAUAUUAAUGCAUAUAAAACAUCCAAAACAGAUAAUAUAAUUGCAUGGAACAAUACAAAAUUAUAUAUAUGUUGGAGACGUAUCAAGCAUACCCAAGCUCAAUUCCUGCUCGUCCUCGAGUAGGUAAAUGAUAAAAACAAUUUUUUUGAUGUGGAAUGAUACCUAACAUAUUUAUCAACGCAAACUCUUUUAUUUGGCAUGAAUAUUCAGAUCCGUAUGAUUCAAAACAAAAGUUCAUUGACACAAAGACAAUAGUACUUCAAGCACACUAAAAAGCAAAUCAUUAAGCUUAAAAAAUAACAUGGCUAAAGAAAGUUAUCCCUACAAAAUCAUAUAGUAUUGUUAUGCUCUCUCUUCUUAACACAAAGUAUAAAUCAUGCCCACCCUGGUGUCAGCCAAGCAAUUGUUUGAUACUUUUUAACACGCUUCAGCUUUUUCAACUCUUCACGCAAUACAUGAGCGUGAGCCAUGGACAUAGCACCAUGGGUGGAGUAGAAGGUGGUAAUAGACAAAAUAAGGGAGAAAGUGUCACAUUAACUAGGAAAAUCAAUGGACUAUGGAGAUGUCCAUCAAUUGAUAUCAAUUGAGUGAGUAGGGAUUGCCAUGUAACAGAUGCACUAGAGCUAUAAGUGUAUGAAAGCUCAAAAUAAAACUAGUGGUUGUGCAUCAACUUGCUUGAUCAUGAAGACCUAGGGCAUUUGAGGAAGCCCAUCGUUGGAAUAUACAAGCCGAUUUCUAUAAUGAAAAGUUCUAUCAUGAAGAACAUGGUGCUACUUUGAAGCACAAGUGUAGAAAAUGAUAGUAACAUUGUCCCUUCUCUUUUUUUCCUUUCUAUUCUUUUUUAUUUGGCUCUUUUUGGCCUCUUUUUUUAUAACCUCACAUGCGACAAUGUUCUAAUAAUGAUGAUCAUCACACUUUUAUUUACUCACAACUCAAAAUUACAACUCGAUACUAGAACAAAGAUAUGACUCUAUAUGGAUGCCUCCGGUGGUGUACCGGGAUGUGCAAUGAUAAAGAGUAAGGUGGCCAAGCCACAAAUACUACACAACCUACAUGAUCAUGCAAAGCAAUAUGUCAAUGAUGGUAUAUGUCAUAAUAAACGGAACGGUGUUAUACAUCCAUUUUGCAUCAUGUUUUCUUACUGUUAUUUAUAAUGUUUUUAUCCAUAACAAUGCUAUUUGGAGUAAUUCUAAGCCUUUUCUCUCAUAAUUUGCAAGGUAUACACCAAGAGGGAGAAUUUUGGUAGCUGGAAAUCUGGACCUGGAAAAGCUACGCCAGGCCACCUAUUCUGCACAAAUCCAAACAAGCUGAAACUUCACGGAGAUUUUUAUGGAUUAUUUAAGAAUUAUUGGAGCAAAUAACUACCAGAUGGGGCCCACCAGGUGGGCAAGCCCACCUGGGCGUGCCAGGGAGCCCAGGCGCGCCCUGGUGGGUUGUGCCCUCCUCGGCCCACCUCCGGUGCCCAUCUUUUGGUAUAUAAGUCAUUUUGACCUAGAAAAAAAAUAAGGAGAGGACUUUCGGGAUGGAGCGCCGCCGUCUCGAGGCGGAACUUGGGAGGAGCACUUUUGCCCUCCGGCGGAGCGAUUCCGCCGGGGGUACUUCCCUCCCGGAGGGGGAAAUCAUCGUCAUCAUCAUCACCAACAACUCUCCCAUCUUGGGGAGGGCAAUCUCCGUCAACAUCUUCAACAACACCAUCUCCUAUCAAACCCUAGUUCAUCUCUUGUGUUCAAUCUUGUUACCGGAACUAUAGAUUGGUACUUGUGGGUGACUGGUAGUGUUGAUUACAUCUUGUAGUUGAUUACUAUAUGGUUUAUUUGGUUCAAGAUUAUAUGUUCAGAUCCAAUAUGCUAUUUAAUACCCCUAUGAUCAUGAGAAUGUUUAUCAUUUGUGAGUAGUUACCUUUGUUCUUGAGGUCACAGGAGAAAUCAUGUUGCAAGUAAUCAUGUGAAUUUGAAAUGCGUUCGAUGUUUUGAUAGUAUGUAUGUUGUGAUUCCCUUAGUGGUGUCAUGUGAACGUCGACUACAUGACACUUCACCAUAUUUGGGCCUAAGGGAAUGCAUUGUGGAGUAGAAAUUAGAUGAUGGGUUGCAAGAGCGAUAGAAACUUAAACCCCAGUUUAUGCGCUAUCCCGUAAGGGACCGAUUGGAUACAAAAGUUUAAUGCUAUGGUUAGAAUUUAUUCUUAAUACUUUUAUCGUAGUUGCAGAUGCUUGCGGGAGGGUUAAUCAUACGUAGGAGGUUUGUUCAAGUAAGAACAACACCUAAGCACCGGUCAGCCCACAUAUCAAAUUAUCAAAGUAGCAAACACGAAUUAAACCACCAUGAUGAAAGUGACUAGAUGAAAUUCCCGUGUACCUCAAGAACAUUUUACUUAUUAUAAGAGACCGUUUUGGCCUGUCCUUUGCCUCAAAAGGAUUGGGUUACCUUGCUGCACUUUUGUUACUACUAUCAUUACUUGCUUGUUAUAAAUUAUCUUGCUAUCGAACUACUCUGGUACUUACAAUUUCAGCACUUGCAGACAUUACCUUACUAAAAACUACUGGCCAUUUCCUUCUGCUCCUCAUUGGGUUUGACACUCUUACUUAUCGAAAAGACCUACAAUUGAUCCCCUAUACUUGUGGGUCAUCAUGGUGGAGUUACAUGACGAUGUAUCUCGGAAUGGCUAUGAAAAUGACAUAGUAGAUAGGUAUGGUGGCUGUUUUGAGGAAGGGUAUAAGGUGGGUUUAAUGCACUGGCGAAAUUUGCGCGGUACAAGAGUGGCUAGCAAAGGUGAAAGGGUAAGAGUGCGUAUAAUCCAUGGACUCAACAUUAGUCAUAAAGAACUCACAUACUUAUUGCAAAAAAUCUAUUAGCCCUCGAAGCAAAGUACUACUCGCAUGCUCCUAGGGGAGAGGUUGGUAGGAGUUAACCAUCAUGCGCUCCCGACUUUCAUGCAAAGGAAGACAAUCAAGAAUAAAUUGCGCUCCAACUUCAUCACAUAACUAGAAGACUAUAUGUGCAUGCUACGAGAAUCACAAACCUUAACACAAUUAUUUCUUUGACUCCACAAUUUACUACUAGCAUGACUCUAAUAUCACCAUCUUCGUAUCUCAAAACAAAUGCAAGGAAUAAAACUUCUCAUGUAUUCAAUACUCUAUAUGAAAGUUUUUAUUAUAUUUCCCUUGGAUGCCCAUCAUAUUAGGACUACAUUCACAACUAAGCAAAUUACCAUGCUGACUCUCAAAAUAAUAUAAGUGAAGCAUGAGAGUUUAUUAAUUUCUAUAAAAUAAAACCAUCGCCGUGCUCUAAAAAGAUAUAAGUGAAGUACUAGAAAUGCUACAACAGAGAUAGCUAUUCUGCACAACUCCUAAUGACCUGAAAAAUUAUGGAGAAUUAUUAUUGAAUAUAUAAAAAAUAUUGGAGGAAGAAAUACUAGGAGGGGGCCAUGAUGUCUACUACGCAACCUUUUUCUUGUAGACGUUGUUGGGCCUCCAAGUGCAGAGGUCUGUAGGACAGUAGCAAAUUUCCCUCGAGUGGAUGACCUAAGGUUUAUCAAUCCGUGGGAGGCAUAGGAUGAAUAUGGUCUCUCUCAAACAACCCUACAACCAAAUAACAAAGAGUCUCUUGUGUCCCCAACACACCCAAUACAAUGGUAAAUUGUAUAGGUGCACUAGUUCGGCGAAGAGAUGGUGAUACAAGUGCAAUAUGGAUGGUAGAUAUGGAUUUUUGUAAUCUAAAAAUAUAAAAACAGUAAGGUAGCAAGUAAAAAAAGUGAGCGAAAAUGGUAUUGCAAUGCUUGGAAACAAGGCAUAGGGUUCAUACUUUCACUAGUGCAAGUUCUCUCAACAAUGAUAACAUAAUUAGAUCAUAUAACAAUCCCUCAACAUGCAACAAAGAGUCACUCCAAAGUCACUAAUAGCGGAGAACAAACAAAGAGAUUAUUGAGGGUACGAAACCACCUCAAAGUUAUUCUUUCUGAUCGAUCUAUUAGGCUAUUCCUAUAAGUGUCACAAACAACCCUAGAGUUCGUACUAAAAUAACACCUUACCAAAUCCCUAAUGUCAUUUAGAUACUCCAAUGUCACCACAAGUAUCCGCGGGUUUGAUUAUACGAUAUGCAUCACACAAUCUCAGAUUCAUCUAUUCAAACCAACACAAAGAACUUCAAAGAGUGCCCCAAAGUUUCUAUAGGAGAGUCAAGACGAAAACGUGCGCCAACACCUAUGCAUAAGUUCACAAGGUCAUAGAACCCGCAAGUUGAUCACCAAAACAUACAUCAAGUAGAUCACGUGAAUAUCCCAUUGCCACCACAGAUAAACACAUGCAAGACAUACAUCAAGUGUUCUCAAAUCCUUGAAGAAUCAAUCCGAUAAGAUAACUUUAAAGGGAAAACUCAAUCCAUUACAAGAAGGUAGAGGGGAAAAACACCAUAUGAUUCAACUAUACUAGCAAAGCUCGCGGUACAUCAAGAUCGUGCCAUAUCAAGAACACAAGAGAGAGAGAGAGAGAUCAAACACAUAGCUACUGGUACAUACCCUAAGCCCCGAGGGUGAACUACUCCCUCCUCGUCAUGGAGACUGCUGGGAUGAUGAAGAGGGCCCCGAUUGGUUUUUGGUGGCUAUAGAGGCUUGCGGCGGUGGAACUCCCGAUCUAGGUUCUGUUCUGGAGGUUUGGGGAUAUAUAAGAGGUGUUGGCGUCGAGAACAAGUCAGGGGAGUCCAUGAGGGGACCACAAGAUCGGAGGGCGUGCACUCCACCCUUGUGGAGGCCUCAUGGCUCUUCUGGCCCAACUCUUUUUCUUUGGGGGCUUCUUCUAGUCCAAAAACAAUCAUCGUGAAGUUUCAGGUCAAUUGGACUUCGUUUGAUAUUCCUUUCCUGCGAAACUCAAAAACAAGAAAAAAACAGAAACUGACACUAGGCUCUAGGUUAGUCCCAAAAAUUAUAUAAAAUAGCAUAUAAAUGCAUAUAAAACAUCCAAGAUAGAUAAUAUAAUAGCAUGGAACAAUCAAAAAUUAUAGAUAUGUUGGAGACGUAUCAAGCAUCCCCAAGCUUAAUUCCCGCUCAUCUUCGAGUAGGUAAAUGAUAAAAACAGAAUUUUUGGUGGAAUGCUACCUAACAUAUUUAUCCAUGUAAUUCUCUUUAUUGUGGAAUGAAUGUUUAGAUCCGUAAGAUUCAAAACAAAAUUUUAAUAUUGACAUAAAAACAAUAAUACUUCAAGCAUAGUAACAAAAUAAUUAUGUCUUCUCAAAAUAACAUGGCCAAAGAAAGCUUAUCCUUACAAAAUCAUAUAGUCUGGCUAUGCUCCAUCUUCAUCACACAAAACAUUUAAAUCAUGCACAACCCUGAUGACAAUCCAAGCAAUUGUUUCAUACUUUUGAUGUUCUCAAACCUUUUCAACUUUCACGCAAUACAUGAGCGUGCAUGGACAUAGCACUAUAGGUGGAGUAGACGAUGGUUGUGGAGAAGACAAAAAGAGGGAGAUAGUCUCACAUCAACUAGGCGUAUCAACGGGCUAUGAAGAUGCCCAUCAAUAGAUAUCAAUGUGAGUGAGUAGGGACUGCCAUGCAACAGAUGCACUAGAGCUAUAAGUUUAUGAAAGCUCAAAUGAAAAACUAAGUGGGUGUGCAUCGAACUUGCUUGCUCACGAAGACCUAGGGCAUUUUGAGGAAGCCCAUCGUUGGAAUAUACAAGCCAAGUUCUAUAAUGAAAAUUCACACUAGUAUAUAAAAGUGACAACAUAGGAGACUCUCUAUCAUGAAGAUCAUGGUGCUACUUUGAAGCACAAGUGUGGGAAAAAGGAUAGUAACAUUGUCCCUUCUCUCUUUUCUCUCUCUUUUUUUGGGCCUUCUUUUUUUAUUUGGACUUCAUUUUUCUUUUUUAUUUCCUCACAUGGGACAAUGCUCUAAUAAUGAAGAUCAUCACACUUCUGUUUACUUACAACUCAAAAAUACAACUCGAUACUUAGAACAAAAUAUGACUCUAUAUGAAUGCCUCUGGCGGUGUACCGGGAUGUGCAAUGAAUCAAGAGCGACAUGUAUGAAAAAUGAUGAACGGUGACUUUGCCACAAAUACGAUGUCAACUACAUGAUCAUGCAAGGCAAUAUGUCAAUGAUGAUGCGUGUCAUAAUAAACGGAACGGUGGAAAGUUGCAUGGCAGUAUAUCUCGGAAUGGCUAUGGAAAUGCCAUAAUAGGUAGGUAUGGUGGCUGUUUUGAGGAAUGUAUAUGGUGGGUUUAUGGUAUCGGCGAAAGUUGCAUGGUACAAGAGAGGCUAGCAAUGGCGGAAAGGUGUGAGUGCGCAUAAUCCAUGGACUCAACAUUAGUCAUAAAGAACUCACAUACUUAUAGCAAAAAUCUAUUAGUCAUCGAAACAAAUUACUACGUGUAUGCUCCUAGGGGGAUAUAUUGGUAGGAAAAGACCAUUGCUCGUCCCCGACUGCCACUCAUAAGGAAGACAAUCAAAAAAUAUCUCAUGCUCCAACUUCGUUACAUAACGGUGCACCAUACGUGCAUGUUACGAGACUCACAAACCUUAACACAAGUAUUUCUCAAAUUCAUGAUUACUCACUCACUACAAGAAUCAUGCACUUUGUCGUCUACCAUGGCUGGCGGCAAAGGCACGCCUGGCGGACGGCAAAGGCACGCCUAGCAGACGGCAACAAGUCCGGCUGAAUAGGCUACGGUUAAGGGCUCUUUGCCGUUUGCUGGCGGAUGGCAAAGAUGAAAUGGUCUUUGCCAUCCGCCAGCAGACGACAAAGGACCUAGACGGCACACGUGACAACUUAUGGCUGUUAGGUGGUUAACAACACGCUUUGCCGUCUGCUGGCAGACAUCAAAGAAACCAUAUAGGCCCCCAGGUUGCAUAGGUAGCUGCCACGUGGCAACUUUGCCGUCAGCUGGCUUAUGGCAAAGCUCUUUGUCGUCUGCCAGCUGACGGCAAAGUGCCUUUAUAGCCCCUGUUUUUUCUUUAAUCAUUCAAUUUGACAGAAUUUCACAAAUACACACACACACACACAUUUCAAAAGAAUUUCAACAAGCAUACCAACAAUAAGUUUCCAACAACAUAAGAAACAUACAAGUUUCCAACAACAUAUCCAACAUAUAUACAAUGAUUUCCAACAAGAAGUUUCCAACAACAUAUCCAUAUAUACAUACAUAUCCAAAAGAAGUUACCAACAACAUGCCCAUAUAUACAUUCAUAUCCAAAAGAAGUUUCAAACAAGUUUCCAUAAACAAAAAGGAAGCACAGGGAGAAGAGUACACUCCAUCAAUGCAAGCUUCCUCAUCUAAAGCAAAUCUGCAAAUUGGGAAAGAUGAAAGUUAGAAGAAGAAGAACAAGAACAAGAAGAAGACUAGCUAGAAGAAAAAUAAGAAAAGGAAGAAGAAAAAGAAGAAGAAGAAUUUAUCUUCUAUUUCUUUUUCUCCUCUCCUCUUCUUUAUCUUCUUCUUCUUCUUCUUCUAAGUAAGCUAGGUAAAAAUGCUAAUUGUGUAGGUCAUUUUAGAGCUAAGCUAGGUAAAUAGGUAAUUUUGGAGCUAACCUAGGCAAAAUGUAUCAUAUUGGAGCUAACCUAGGUAAACUUGGUCAUUUGGGAGCUAACCUAGGUAAACUUAUGCCAUUUUUGAGUUAACUAAGCAUAUUAUGCCAUUUUUGAUAGAAAUAAGCUAAGUGAUGACCCACAAGUAUAGGGGAUCUAUCUAGUCCUUUCGAUAAGCAAGAGUGUCGAACCCAAUGAGGAGCAGAAGGAAAUGACAAGCAGUUUUUAGUAAGGUAUUCUCUGCAAGCAUUGAAAUUAUUGGUAAGAGAGAGUUUUGUGAUAAGGUAAUUUGUAACGAGUAACAAGUAACAAAAGUAAACAAGGUGCAGCAAGGUGUCCCAAUCCUUUUUGUAGAAAAGGACAAGCCUGGACAAACUUUUAUAUAAAGGAAAGCGCUCCCGAGGACACAUGGGAAUUAUCGUCAAGCUAGUUUUCAUCAUGCUCAUAUGAUUCGCGUUCGUUACUUUGAUAAUUUGAUAUGUGGGUGGACCGAUGCUUGGGUACUGCCCUUCCUUGGACAAGCAUCCCACUUAUGAUUAACCCCCUUCGCAAGCAUCCGCAACUACGAAAGAAGAAUUAAGGUAAACCUAACCAUAGCAUGAAACAUAUGGAUCCAAAUCAGCCCCUUACGAAGGAACACAUAAACUAGGGUUUAAGCUUCUAUCACUCUAGCAAGCCAUCAUCUACUUAUUACUUCCCAAUUCCUUCCCCUAGGCCCAAACAAUGGUGAAGUGUCAUGUAGUCGAGGUUCACAUAACACUACUAGAGGAAAGACAACAUACAUCUCAUCAAAAUAUCGAACGAAUACCAAAUUCACAUGACUACUUAUAGAAAGACUUCUCCCAUGUCCUCAGGAACAAAUGUAACUACUCACAAAUAAUAUUCAUGUUCAUAAUCAGAGGGGUAUUAAUAUUCAUAAAGGAUCUGAACAUAUAAUCUUCCACCGGAUAAACCAACUAGCAUCAACUACAAGGAGUAAUCAACACUACUAGCAACCCACAGGUACCAAUCUGAGGUUUUGAGACAAAAAUCGGAUACAAGAGAUGAGAUAGGGUUUGAGAGGAGAUGGUGCCGGUGAAGAUGUUGAUGGAUAUUGACCCCGUCCCGAUGAGAGGAUCGAUGGUGAUGAUGAUGGUGACGAUUUCCCCCUCCCGGAGGGAUGUUUCCCCAGCAGAACAGCUCCACCGGAGCCCUAGAUUGGUUCCGCCAAGGUUCCGCCUCGAGAUGGCGGCGCUUCGACCCGAAAGCUUCCUUCUGAUUUUUUCCAGGGCGAAAGACACCUUAUACCAGAAGAUGGGCAUCGAGGGACUUCCAGGUGGCCCACGAGGCAGGGGGCGCGCCCUCCACCCUCGUGGACAGUGGGUGGCCCCCUCUGGUGCUUCCUUCGCCCAAUAUUUUAUAUAUAUUCCAAAACUGACUUUCGUGGAGUUUCAGGACUUUUGAAGUUGUGCAGAAUAGGUCUAUAAUAUUUGCUCCUUUUCCAGCCUAGAAUUCCAGCUGCCGGCAUUCUCCCUCUUCAUGUAAACCUUGUAAAAUAAGAGAGAAAAGGCAUAAGUAUUGUGACAUAAUGUGUGAUAACAGCCCAUAAUGCAAUAAAUAUCGAUAUAAAAGCAUGAUGCAAAAUGGACGUAUCAACUCCCCCAAGCUUAGACGUCGCUUGUCCUCAAGCGGAAGCCGAUAUCAAAAAAUAUGUCCACAUGUUUAGAGAUAGAGGUGUCGAUAAAAUAAAAUACAGACAUGAGGGCAUCAUGAUCAUUCUUAGAAUAGCAACACAUAUAUAUAUAUAUAUAUAUAGUCAUAUGGUUUCUUAUGCUAACAUAACAAUCCAUUCACAAUGUAAAGUAUGAAUCAGAAACUUCAUUGAAAACUAGCAAACUAUAAUCUCUGUCAUUGAGGCAAUUGCAAUUUAUCAUAACAUCAGAAAGAGUCAAAAUAAGAGCUUUUCAGCAAGUCCACACACUCAACUAUCAUUUAGUCUUUCACAAUUGCUAACACUCAUGCAAUACUUAUGGGUAUGAAGUUUUAAUCGGACAUAGAGAAAGAUAGGGGCUUAUAGUGUUGCCUCCCGACCUUUUACCUCAAGGGUAAUGUCAACAAUAAUGCUUUAUGAAAACCGACAUCCAAUUAGCUAUAUAUAUCAGGAUCUUAUCACUUAUGAUUAACCUCUAUUGCAAGCAUCCGCACCUACAACAAAAGUAUUAAGGUAAACCUAACCAUAGCAUGAAACAUAUGGAUCCAAAUCAGCCCCUUACGAAGCAACACAUAAACUAGGGUUGAAGCUUCUGUCACUCUAGCAACCCAUCAUCUACUUAUUACUUCCCAAUGCCUUCCUCUAGGACAAAAUAAUGGUGAAGUGUCAUGUAGUCGACGUUCACAUAACACCACUAGAGGAGAGACAACAUACAUCUCAUCAAAAUAUCGAACGAAUACCAAAUUAACAUGACUACUAAUAGCAAGACUUCUCCCAUGUCCUCAGGAACAAACGUAACUACUCACAAAGCAUAUUCAUGUUCAUAAUCAGAGGGGUAUUAAUAUGCAUAUAGGAUCUGAACAUAUGAUCUUCCACCAAAUAAACCAACUAGCAUCAACUACAAGGAGUAAUCAACACUACUAGCAACCUACAGGUACCAAUCCCAGACAUAGAGACAAGAAUUGGAUACAAGAGAUGAACUAGGGUUUGAGAGGAGAUGGUGCUGGUGAAGAUGUUGAUGGAGAUUGGCCCCCUCCCGAUGAGAGGAGCGUUGGUGAUGACAAUGGUGAUGAUUUCCCCCUCCCGGAGGGAAGUUUCCCCGGCAGAACAGCUCCGCCAGAGCCCUAGAUUGGUUUUGCCAAGGUUCCGCCUCGUGGCGGCGGAGUCUCGUCCCGAAAGCUUGCUGAUGAUUGUUUCCUCAAUGAAAGACUCCAUAUAGCAGAAGAUGGGCAUCGGAGGGCCACCAGGGGGGCCACGAGGCAGGGGCGCGCCCCCACCCUCGUGGCUGGUGAGUGGCCCCCCUCUGGUACUUCUUGCACUCAGUAUUUUUUAUAUAUUCUGAAAAUUACUUCCGUGAAGUUUCAGGACUUUUGGAGCUGUGCAGAAUAGGUCUCUAAUAUUUGCUCCUUUUCCAGCCCAGAAUCCCAGCUGCCGGCAUUCUCCCUCUUUAUGUAAACCUUGUAAAAUAAGAGAGAAUAGUCAUAAGUAUUGUGACAUAAUGUGUAAUAACAUCCCAUAAUGCAAUAAAUAUUGAUAUGAAAGCAUGAUGCAAAAUGGACGUAUCAACUCCCCCAAGCUUAGACCUCGCUUGUCCUCAAGUGAAAGCCGAAAUCGAAAAAUAUGUCCACAUGUUUAGAGAUAGAGGUGUCGAUAAAAAUAAAAUACAGACAUGAGGGCAUCAUGAUCAUUCUUAGAACAACAACUUAUAUAUAUAUAUAUUGUCAUAUGAUCUCUUAUGCUAAAGUAACAAUUCAAUCACAAUUUCAAGUAUGAAUCAUAAACUUCAUUGAAAACUAACAAACUAUAAUCUCAGUCAUUGAAUCAAUUGCAAUUUAUCAUAACACAGGAAAGAGUCAAUAUAAGACCUUUUCAGCAAGUCCACAUACUCAACUAUCAUAUAGUCUUUCACAAUUGCUAACACUCAUGCAAUACUUAUGGGUAUGGAGUUUUAAUCAGACACAGAGAAAGAUAGGGGCUUAUAGUUUUGCCUCCCAACAUUUUACCUCAAGGGUAAUGUCAACAAUAAUGCUUUAUGAAAACCCACAUCCAACUAGGUAUAUAUAUCAGGAUCUUUCCAACACAUAGUGCUUGCCAAAGGAUAAAAUGUAAAAAGGAAAGGUGAAGAUCACUGAUACGUCUCCAAUGUAUCUACAAUUUUUGAUUGUUCCAUGCUAUUAUAUUAUCUGUUUCGGAUGUUUAAUGGGCUUUAAUAUACCUUUUUAUAUUAUUUUUGGGACUAACCUACUAACCAAAGGCCCAGUGCAAAUUGCUGUUUUUUUGCCUAUUUCAGUGUUUCGCAGAAAAGGAAUAUCAAAUGGAAUCCAAACGGAAUGAAACCUUCGAGAGAGUUAUUUUUGGAAUAAACGCAAUCUAGGAGACUUGAAGUGGACGUCAAGGAAGAAACGAGGCAGCCACGAGGUAGGAGGGCGCGCCCAGGGGGUAGGCGCGCCCCACCCUCGUGGGCCCCUCGUGGCUCCGCCGACCUACUUCUUUCGCAUAUAUAUACCCAUAUACCGCAAAAACAUCUGAGAGCACCACGAAACCCUAUUUCCACCGCAGCAACCUUUUGUACCCAUGAGAUCCCAUCUUGGGGCCUUUUUCGGCACUCCGCCAAAGGGGGAAUCGAUCACGGAGGGCUUCUACAUCAACACCAUAGCCUCUCCGAUGAUGUGUGAGUAGUUUACCACAGAUCUUCAGGUCCAUAGUUAUUAGCUAGAUGGCUUCUUCUCUCUCUUUGGAUCUCAAUACAAAGUUCUCCUCGAUUCUCUUAGAGAUCUAUUCAAUGUAAUUCUUUUUUGCGGUGUGUUUGUCGAGAUCCGAUGAAUUGUGGGUUUAUGAUCAAGAUUAUCUAUGAAUAAUAUUUGAUUCUUCUCUGAAUUCUUUUAUGCAUGAUUUAAUAUCUUUGCAAGUCUCUUUGAAUUAUCAGUUUGGUUUGGCCUACUAGAUUGAUCUUUCUUGCAAUGGGAGAAGUGCUUAGCUUUGGGUUCAAUCUUGCGGUGUCCUGAUAACCCACAAGUAUAGGGGAUCAAUUGUAGCCUCUUUCGAUAAGUAAGAGUGUCGAACCCAACGAGGAGCUAAAGGUAGAACAAAUAUUCCCUCAAGUUCUAUCGACCACCGAUACAACUCUACGCACGCUUAAUGUUCGCUUUACCUAGAACAAGUAUGAAACUAGAAGUACUUUGUAGGUGUUGUUGGAUAGGUUUGCAAGAUAAUAAAGAGCGUGUAAACAAAAAGUAGGGGCUGUUUAGAUAAAGAAACAAUAAAGUUAGUAUAGCGAGUGUGGAAAAGUGGUGGUAGGAGUUGCCAAAUUGUCCCUAAGCAAUUGACUACUUUACUAGACUGGUAGCAAGUUUUAUGUGGGAGAGGCCACUGCUAGCAUGUCAUCCCUGACUUGGAAUUCUAUGUACUUAUGAUUGGAACUAUUAGCAAGCAUCCGCAACUACUAACGUUCAUUAAGGUAAAACCCAACCAUAACAUUAAGAUAUAUUGGUCCCCCUUCAAUCCCGUAUGCAUCAAUUUCUAUGCUAGGUUGAAGCUUCUGUCACUCUUUCCCUCCAAUACAUAGUCUUAUCAACAUACAACUAACCCUAUGGUGUGAUCCACGCACGCGCUCAUAUGAUGGGCACCAAAGGACAUCAACAUAACCACAGGCAAAUUAAACCAAUCAUAGCAAUUCACCAAUGUCGGAUCACGGGUUCCGGCAAAACCCUUAAGGUUCGAACACUGGGGUGCGCGGGAAGAUCUCCCCUCCUACCGAUCCGCGCCCUAACUUAGCCUAGAUCCCACGAACUAACUCGACAAACUCGCAACACAAAGGACACAAGAUUUAUACUAGUUUGGUCCACCGUUGUGGUGUAAUACCCUACUCCAGUGUGGUGGUGGUGGAUUGCCUCUUGGGCUGAAGACGAACAGUACAAGGGGAAGAACAGCCUCCUGAGGUUGAGGUGUUCUUGUGCUUGGUGAACUUGUGUGGCUGAGGAUGAUCUUGAUGAUCCGUACCCGCCUAUGGUGGUGGCUAGUCCUAUUUAUAGAGGCCCUGGUCCUCUCCCCAAAUAUUGAGCGGGAGGGAGCCAACAACGGCCAAUUUGAAAGGGGACAACUAGUACAAGCUAUCCUGACAAAAGGUGGUCUUCGCCUGCCAAAGGUUCUGGCGGUGGCGCCGUCUUGGGCUCCAUGGUGACCUCCAUCUUACCGUCCUUCUGGUCUUGGUCUCAUUGCACCAAUAUGGAAACCUUUGCUUGAUGCCUCGGUACUCCGCGCUUGCGCUUGUCCCCCUUAGGACUAAAGAGGAAACAAGGAUGCUGCGCGCGCUGGUGCCUGCCUGGCGCCCGCCUGGUCUCGAUCGUCAUGGCUUAUGUCACGAGAACCUCACGAGGCUUGCCCGGCCUUGAACUCUCCACCCCUCACGAGCCAGCCUGGUGAGGCCGCUCCUGAGGAGGUCUUGUGACGUUCUCCUCACGAGGCUUGGCCCCUCGCAAGGGUAUUGAUUCCUUGUUGAUGAAGAUGGGCAUACAUGCCUGCCAGCAAAGCCACGCCAUGGGCCACAGGCAGGCAAGUCUGGGACCCCCAUUCCCAGAACACCGAUAGUAGCCCCUGGGCCCAAGGUGCGCUUGGGCUUGGCUUCGAGGCAAAGCCAAGGGUCAAGUGUGGAGCGCUGCGGGCCCCAAUAGCCUGCGGCCUCGGUCGAUGCGUGGCGGUUGAUUGGACGUGGGCGUCUCUACUUCCCCAUGCUGCCUCGGCAACUGCCCAACAUGACAAGUCCCUGCGACAUGCAAUGAAGACCAUCAUUACAUGUGAUCGUGGGGGUGCUGGUUGGCCUUCUCCUGGUAUAAAUGGGAUGUGGGCGGAGCCCCUAUCACCCAUCCUUCUUCUGCCUCUCCCGCUUCCUCUUCUUCCUUGCUCCGCUCCUCACUCAUGCAGACAUGGCGCCGAUCCGGAGGUUCUCGGCCGCAGAGAAGGGCAAGACCCCCCUCAACGUGCCUGAGCUGCUCCCUCCGAAGAAAAGGAGGUCUCAUCUUCGCGAGGUGGUCAUGAGGCCGGUGGUGUCGCGGCCUGAUACGUCUCCAACGUAUCUAUAAUUUUUGAUUGCUCCAUGCUAUUAUGUUAUCUAUUUUGGAUGUUAAUAGGCUUUAUUUUACACUUUUAUAUCAUUUUUGGGACUAACCUACUAACUGGAGGCCUAGCCCAAAUUGUUGUUUUUUUGCCUAUUUUAGGGUUUCGAAGAAAAGGAAUAUCAAACGGAGUCCAAACGAAAUGAAACCUUCGGGAACGUGAUUUUCUCAACAAACGUGAUCCAGGAGACUUGGAGUGGGCGUCAAGAAACAAUCGAGGAGGCCACGAGGCAGGGGGCGUUCCUACCCCCCUGGCCGCGCCCUCCACCCUCGUGGGCCCCUCGUUGCUCCACUGACCUACUUCUUCCUCCUAUAUAAGUCCAUGGACCCCCCAACCAUCCAGGAGCACCACGAAAACGUAAUUCGACCGCCGCAACCUUCUGUACCCGAGAGAUCCCAUCUUGGGGCCUUUUCAGGAGCUCCGCCGAAGGGGGCAUUGAUUAUGGAGGGCCUCUACAUCAACUCCAUGGCCUCUCCGGUGAUGUAUGAGUAGUCUACUUUAGACCUUCGGGUCCAUAGUUAUUAGCUAGAUGGCUUCUUCUCUCUCUUUGGAUCUCAAUACAAAGUUCUCCUCAAUCUUCUUGGAGAUCUAUUCGAUGUAAUCUUCUUUUGCGGUGUGUUUGUCAAGAUCCAAUGAAUUGUGGGUUUAUGAUCAAGUUUAUCUAUGAACAAUAUUUGAAUCUCCUCUGAAUUCCUUUAUGUAUAAUUGGUUUAUCUUUGCAAGUCUCUUCAAAUUAUCAGUUUGGUUUGGCCUACUAGAUUGAUCUUUCUUGCAAUGGGAGAAGUGCUUAGCUUUGGGUUUAAUCUUGCGGUGUCCUUUCCCAGUGACAGUAGGGGCAGCAAGGCACGUAUUGUAUUGUUGCCUUCGAGGAUAAAAAGUUGGGGUUUAUAUCAUAUUGCAUGAGUUUAUCCCUCUACAUCAUGUCAUCUUACUUAAAGCAUUACUCUAUUCUUAUGAACUUAAUACUCUAGAUGCAUGCUGGAUAGCGGUCGAUGUGUGGAGUAAUAGUAGUAGAUGCAGAAUCAUUUCGGUCUACUUGUCGCGGACGUGAUGCCUAUAUACAUGAUCAUGCCUAGAUAUUCUCAUAACUAUGCUCAAUUCUAUCAAUUGCUCGAGAGUAAUUCGUUUACCCACCGUAAUACUUAUGCUCUUGAGAGAAGCCACCAGUGAAACCUAUGGCCCCCGGGUCUAUCUUCCAUCAUAUUAGUCUUCCAACACUUAGUUAUUUCUAUUGCUGUUUAUUUUACUUUGCAUCUUUAUUUCUCUUUAUCAUAAAAAUACCAAAAAUAUUAUCUUAUCAUAUCUAUCAGAUCUCACUCUCGUAAGUGACCGUGAAGGGAUUGACAACCCCUUUAUCGCGUUGGUUGUGAGGUUCUUAUUUGUUUGUGUAGGUGCGUGGGACUCGAGCGUGAUCUCCUACUGGAUUGAUACCUUGGUUCUCAAAAACCGAGGGAAAUACUUACGCUACUUUACUGCAUCACCCUUUCCUCUUCAAGGGAAAACCAACACAGUGCUCAAGAGGUAGCAAGAAGGAUUUCUGGCGCUGUUGCCGGGGAGAUUCACGCCAAGUCAAGUCAAGAUUUGACUCUUGACAACGAGCCAUUUGUGGCACUGUUGUCGGAGUCUACGCACAAGUCAAGACAUACCAAGUACCCAUCACAAACUCUUAUCCCUCACAUUACAUUAUUUACCAUUUGCCUCUCAUUUUCCUCUCCCCCAAUUUAUCCUUGUCGUUUUAUUCGCCCUCUUUUCCUCUUGCCCUCUCUUUCUGUUCGCCUCUUUUUCGCUUGCUUCUAGUUUGAUCAUGUGUUGGAUUGCUUGCUUGUCACGAUGGCUCAAGAUAAUACUAAACUGUGUGACUUUGCCAAUACCAACAACAAUGAUUUUCUUAGCACUCCGAUUGCUCUCUUACCGAUGCUGAAUCUUGUGAAAUUAAUGCUGCUUUGUUGAUUCUUGUCAUGAAAGAUCCGUUUUCCGGCCUUCCUAUUGAAGAUGCCGCUACCCAUCUAAAUAGCUUUGUUGAUUUGUGUGAUAUGCAAAAGAAGAAAGAUGUGGACAAUGAUAUUGUUAAAUUGAAGCUAUUUCUGUUUUCGCUUAGAGAUCGUGCUAAAGCUUGGUUUUCGUCUUUGCCUAAAAAUAGUAUUGAUUCAUGGAAUAAGUGCAAAGAUGCUUUUAUCUCUAAGUAUUUUCCUCCCGCUAAAAUCAUCUCUCUUAGAAACGAUAUUAUGAAUUUUAAGCAACUUUAUCAUGAACAUGUUGCACAAGCUUGGGAGAGGAUGAACUUAAUGAUACGUAAUUGCCCUACACAUGGUUUGAAUCUUUGGAUGAUUAUACAAAUUUUUUAUGCCGGAUUGAAUUUUGCUUCUAGAAAUCUUUAGAUUCGGCCAUAGGAGGAACUUUUAUGGAAAUCACUUUAGGAGAAGCUACUAAACUCCUAGAUAAUAUUAUGGUAAUUAUUCUCAAUGGCACACCGAAAGAUCUACUAGUAAAAAAGUGCAUGCAAUUGAAGGGAUUAAUGUUUUGAGUGGAAAGAUGGAUGAACUUAUGAAAUUGUUUGCUAAUAAGAGUGCUCCUACUUAUGCUAAUGAUAGGCCUUUGCCUACUUUGAUUAAGAAUAAUAAUGAAUCUAUGGAUGUGAAUUUUGUUGGUAGGAACAAUUUUGGUAAUAAUGCGUAUAGAGGUAAUUUUAAUUCUAGUCCGUUUCCUAGUAAUUACUCUAAUAAUUAUGGUAAUUCCUACAACAAUUCUUAUGGAAAUUUUAAUAAGAUGCCCUCUGAAUUUGAGACUAGUGUUAAGGAGUUUAUGAAUUCGCAAAAGAAUUUCAAUGCUUUGCUUGAAGAAAAAUUGCUUAAGGUUGAUGAAUUGGCUAGGAACGUUGAUAGAACUUAUCUUGAUGUUGAUUCUUUGAAUCUUAGAUCUAUUCCACCUAAGCAUGAUAUCAAUGUGUCUCUCAAAGCCAUGAGAAUUUCCAUUGAUGAGUACAAAGAAAGAACCGCUAGGAUGCUUGCUAAGAAAGAUUGCUUUGUGAAAGCGUGUUCUUCUAGUUUCUAUGAAAAUAAAGAUGAAGAUAUAAAAUUUAUUUAUGUGUCUCCUAUUAAAUCUUUGUUUUGCAAUAUGAAUCUUGAUAAUGAUGGGACUGAAUAUGAGCCACCUUUACCUAGAAGGCGUUCCAGAAAUUCGGAGUUUUUAGAUCUUGAUGCAAAAAUUGGUAAAAGUGGGAUUGAAGAGGUUAAAAAUUUAGAUAUCAAUGAACCCACUAUCUUGGAUUUCAAGGAAUUUAAUUAUGAUAAUUGCUCUUUGAUAGAUUGUAUUUCCUUGUUGAAAUCCAUGCUAAAUUCUCCUCAUGCUUAUAGUCAAAAUAAAGCUUUUACUAAACAUAUCAUUGAUGCUUUGAUGCAAUCUUAUGAAGAAAAACUUGAGUUGGAAGUUUAUAUCCCUAGAAAACUUUAUGAUGAGUGGGAACCUACAAUAAAAAUUAAAAUUAAAUAUCAUGAGUGUUAUGCUUUGUGUGAUUUGGGUGCUAGUGUUCCCACGAUUCCAAAAACUUUGUGUGAUUUGCUAGGUUUCCGUGAUUUUGAUGAUUGUUCUUUAAACUUGCACCUUGCAGAUUCCACUAUUAAGAAACCUAUGGGAAGAAUUAAUGAUGUUCUUAUUGUUGCAAAUAGGAACUAUGUGCCCUUAGAUUUCAUUGUUCUUUAUAUAGAUUGCAAUCCUUCAUGUCCUAUUAUUCUUGGUAGACCUUUCCCUAGAACGAUUGUUGCAAUUAUUGAUAUGAAGGAAGGGAAUAUUAUAUUCCAAUUUCCGUUAAGGAAAGGCAUGGAACACUUCCCUAGAAAGAAAAUUAAAUUACCAUAUGAAUCUAUUAUGAGAGCCAUUUAUGGAUUGCCUACCAACGAUGGCAAUACCUAGAUCUAUCCUUGCUUUUAUGCCUAGCUAGGGGCGUUAAACGAUAGCGCUUGUUGGGAGACAACCCAAUUUUAUUUUUAUUCCUUGCUUUUUGAUCCUGUUUAGUAAUAAAUAAUUUAUCUAGACUUUGUUUUUGUUGUGGUUUUGUGUUUAGUUAGUGUUUGUGCCAAGUAGAACCGUUGGGAAGACUUGGGGAAAGUCCUUUUGAUCUUGCUGUAAAAAAUAGAAACUUUAGCGCUCACGAGAAUUGCUGCCAUUUUUAUUUGGAGAGUGAUAUUUAGUUAAUUCUUUUUGAAGAUGAUUAAUAGAUAUAUUCCUCAUCCAGAAAUUUAUUUUAGAAUUUUUGGGGUUCCAGAAGUUGCGUUAGCUACAGAUUACUACAAACUGUUCUGUUUUUGGCAGAUUCUGUUUUUCGUGUGUUGUUUGCUUAUUUUGAUGAAUCUAUGGCUAGUAAAAGAGUUUAUAAACCAUAGGGAAGUUGGAAUACAGUAGGUUUAACACCAAUAUAAAUAAAGAAUGAGUUCGUUACAGUACCUUGAAGUGGUGUUUUGUUUUUCUUUCGCUAACGGAGCUCACGAGAUUUUCUAUUUUGAGUUUUGUGUUGUGAAGUUUUCAAGUUUUGGGUAAAGAUUUGAUGGAUUAUGGAACAAAGAGUGGCAAGAGCCUAAGCUUGGGGAUGCCCAUGGCACCCAAGGUAAAAUUUAAGGAGACCAAAAUGCCUAAGCUUGGGGAUGCCCCGGAAGGCAUCCCCUCUUUCGUCUUCGUCUAUCGGUAACUUUACUUGGAGCUAUAUUUUUAUUCACCACAUGAUAUGUGUUUUGCUUGGAGCGUCUUGUAUGAUUUGAGUCUUUAAUUUUUAGUUUACCACAAUCAUCCUUUCUGUACACACCUUUUGAGAGAGACUCACAUGAUUUGAAAUUUAUUAGAAUACUCUAUGUGCUUCACUUAUAUCUUUUGAGCUAUAUAGUUUUUGCUCUAGUGCUUCACUUAUAUCUUUUAGAGCACGGCAGUGGUUUUAUUUUAUAGAAAUAAUUGAUCUCUCAUGCUUCACUUAUAUUAUUUUGAGAGUCCUUUAGAACAACAUAGAAAUUUGCUUUAAUAUAAAAACUUUCAUAGAAGUGCAUUCAAUACUAUGAGAAGUUUGAUACUUGAUAAUUGUUUUGACAUAUGGAGAUGGUGAUAUUAGAGUCAUGCUAGUUGAGUAGUUGUGAAUUUGAGAAAUACUUGUGUUGAAGUUUGUGAUUCCCGUAGCAUGCACGUAUGGUGAACCAUUAUGUGCUGAAGUCAGAGCAUGAUUUAUUUAUUGAUUGUCUUCCUUAUGAGUGGCGGUCGGGGACGAGCGAUGGUCUUUUCCUACCAAUCUAACCCCCUAGGAGGAUGCGCGUAAUACAUUGUUUCGAUAACUAAUAGAUUUUUUCAAUAAGUAUGUGAGUUCUUUAUGACUAAUGUUGAGUUCAUGGAUUAUACGCACUCUCACCCUUCCACCAUUGCUAGCCUCUCUAGUAUCGCGCAACUUUCGCCGGUACCUUAAACCCACCAUAUACCUUCCUCAAAACAGCCACCAUACCUACCUAUUAUGGCAUUUCCACCGUUUCGUUAUUAUGGCACGCUUCAUCGCUGUCAUAUUGCUUGCAUGAUCAUGUAGUUGACAUUGUAUUUGUGGCAAAGCCACCGUUCAUAAUUCUUCAUACAUGUCACUCAUGCAUCAUUGCACAUCCCGGUACACCGCCGAAGGCAUUCACAUAGGGUCAUAUUUUGUUCUAAGUAUCAAGUUGUAAUUCUUGAGUUGUAAGAAAAUAAAAUGUGAUGAUCAUCAUUAUUAGAGCAUUGUCCCAAGUGAGGAAAGGAUGAUGCAGACUAUGAUUCCCCCACAAGUCGGGAUGAGACUCUGGACGAAAAAGAGGCAAAAAAAAAGAAAAAGAAAAGAAAAAAAGGCCCAAAUAAAAAAAUGAGAGAAAAAGAGAGAAGGGACAAUGCUACUAUCCUUUUUCCACACUUGUGCUUCAAAGUAGCACCAUGAUCUUCAUGAUAGGGAGUCUCCUAUGAUAUCACUUUCAUAUACUAGUGGGAAUUUUUCAUUAUAGAACUUGGCUUGUAUAUUCCAAUGAUGGGCUUCCUCAAAAUGCCCUAGGUCUUCAUGAGCAAGCAAGUUGGAUGCACACCCACUUAGUUGUCACAUCCCUAGUUCUGGUAUGACAUAGGCUAGCCUUCUUGUGAGCAUCAUGUUUAAAUUUAAUUUAAGUUUGAAAUGGGGAUUUGUGAAACCCUCAGAAAUCGUUUGUGGAAAUGACCCAGAUAAAAAUUGCUCCAAAAAGGUCCAAGAAAAUGUUCAUGUUGCUCUCUGAAAAUAUUGGUCAGAGGCAAAAUUCAAACCAAUAUUAUCAGGAGCUCAUAAAUAUUUAUUUUGGCCAUUUGGAAUUAAUGCGAUAAUUAUUUGCGUUGGAUAUAUAUAUGUUAUAUAUUUUAUAUAUGUCCAAAAAGUCUGAAAUUUGGUGAUGGGCUUUGGAAUAAUCCCUUAGGUCCAUGCAAAAAUUGUCAGAAGAAAAUAAAAUGAUUUAGUAUUGCUAUUAAAUCAGAAAACAAAUGUCAGAAAAUAGAAAAGAAAACAAAAUAGAAAAGAACCUUACCUCGGCUUACCUGGCAUCCCAUCUGCUCCGGCCCAGCUGACUGGCCGAUGCCAGUCGUCCCUUUCCUCUCGCCAGGAGGACAGGGGCGUGUGUUCGCGGUGCGCGCACGCGCAUCGCCAGCUCCUGCUUGGCGCUGCUGCUGGAGGCUGCUACGAGUGCCACGCGACCCCCGAGGCCUCUCUCACUCGCUCUCAUUCUCCCUCCUCCCCUGGAUCCCUCUCACUCGACCUGCCCGAGCGGAGGUCGUCGCCGCCGCUCGCUGCCCGUGCAGCCACCGCCUUCCCCUCACCCUCUCUUCGUGUCUGAGUGCUCCGCCUUGUCGCCUACAUCGUCCUCGACGAGCCAAGCGACCAGGGAUGCACUGCAUCACCGCCACCAUCAUCGUCUUCACCUUUGGCUGCCCGAGAUCGCCGUCGUUGUUCCGGCCGCACCAGUGGAUCCCCGAGCUCACGCACGACGCCGUCGAGACCGCUGUGAACUUUCCUCCGUUUCCCCUCCUUCCCUAUGCUUGAUUUCGUGCCGUAGCCCAGCUAACCGUCAAACCCGCGAGCACCUUGCUGCUGUCCAUGGUGCCACCAUGACCAGAGCCCGAGCCAGCCGCUCUCGCGCGCGUCACCGUGAUCCUGGUGACGCUAGGAGGCCGUAGAGGCCCUCCGCAGCCCCUGCCAUGCCCUGCAGCCACAUCCCGCUUGGAGCCGUGCUCCGGCCGCCGCUGCGAGCUCCGCUCCGGUGAGCUCCGCUCCGGCGAGCUCCGUCCUCCCCAGCUCCUCCCACAUGCUCCACUGGAUGCGGACAAUGACGGGCUACACGCCGGUGGUGUCCGCGCGUCCAGCCGCCGCUCGUAGCGCAAGUCCGGCGAGUUUUGGUUGUCGCCGGCCGAACUCCGCCGACUGCUGACGUGGCCUCUAAUUAGGCACUAAUUACUCCUAGAGACACUGACAGUGGGCCCCGACGCCCUCUAAUUUUUAGUUAGGCUAAUUAACCCCCUGUUAACUAACCAUGUCACUGACAUGUGGACCCCACACGUCAGGUUUGACCUGGUCAGCGCUAUUGACCUGCUGAUGCAGACAUGACGCAGUGCUAACACAAUAAAUGAUUUUCUGGAUUAUUUCUAUUUUGGAAAUUCCAUAAAAUUAGCUAAACUCCAAAAAAUCAUAGAAAUUCAACCGUAGCUCAGAUUGAAAUAAUUUAUAUAUGAAAAAUUAACAGAAAAAUGCAAUCUAUCCAUUUGUACCAUUUUCGUGCAUGACAAACCAACUUAUACCUGCUGUAUAGGUGAAAACACAUGAAUGGCAUUUAUAAGAGUUUAUUUUGGAGAUGCAUUUGAACCUUUGGUUCAAAUGGACUUCAACCAAAUGAAUUCUAGUUGCAUUAGCUCAAACAACAUCACAUCUUCAUGCCAUGUUCAUGCAUCAUAUUGUUGAAUAUGCUUGUGUUUUGAUUGUCGACACCGUUCCUUCUCGAUAGGUCCUGCUCCGGAGACCGAUCCAGAGUACCUGUCAGAGGAACAAUGCCCCCCUGUUGAUCUACCAGGCAUGCAAACCCCCUUGUCCAUUCCAAUACAAUCCUACUCUCUCGCUCCUACUCUCUUUUAUCGCAUUACAACAACAAUGAUUCAACUACUACUUUAUGUUGCGGUAGUUGAACCCAUUCCUCUGCAUGACCUGUCAUUGCCACCGUAAAUAGUUGAAACCCACUAGCAUGUGUAGGAGUUUAUUGAGCCAUGUUGUGUUCCUACCAUGCAUUGCCUGCUAUUGCUUAGAGUAUGUCAGGUCUGAUUCAUUGGGAAUGAAUUGGAGUACAGUGCUAUGUUCUGAUGUUGAGAGUUAAGUGUGUGAACACGAUUUGGUAAAGGUAGCGGUGAGAGGCCAUGUAGGAGUACAUGGUGGGUUGUCUCACUAGAACCGUCCCUAAGAACUGAGUUCUGUGUAUGUUUACCAAUGACUAGAUACUACCACACAUUGGGUUCCGGUAACUCGACCCCUCUCGACUUAUUAACCGACUUGGUCUCUGUCCAGGACUCGCAACUAGUUUCUGGUGUUUGUAGGCAGUGUUAUUCUUCUACCAAGUGGCACCCGGCAGGGUGGGCUUGGGAUAGACUAGGCACAGGUGGCACGGUGUACCAAGUGGCACCCGGAUGGUGGGCUUGGGAACCCUUCUCACAUCGUUUGGGGCCGUGAGCGAAACCUCGGUCGGAUCUCCUUGCGGAUGGAACCCGAAUAGGCGAUAAACCUGGACUAGAGUCUUGCGUGGUUAGUCAGGUCGUGGCCGACACCCUCGCCAGGCUUCCGCUUGAAGGUUGCCGAGGUACAUGACAUGUACAUGACGGUAAGUGGCGAUAGCGUGUGUGAAGAAGUACACCCCUGCAGGGUUAUCAUGAUCUAUUCGAAUAGUCGGGUCCACGGUUAUGGACUUCUUGGAUGCUUACGUGGUACAUAGACAACUUAAAGUGGAUACUCUAAGAUGCUCAAGACAAGUGUGAGUGCUAUGGAUGGCCUUCUCGUAGGGAGACGGGAAUGAAUCCAUACUAGUGUAUUGAUGUGGUGAUUAGUGGACUCGUGUGCGUUUUCUUACCUCAAAGAAGUUACUCGUAGUCGUAGAACAGGAUAGCCACGGAGUCAAAGCUGGCUUGCUGCAACUAAACCCCACAUUGCCUUCUUGAUACUAAUGCAUGCAUGAUAGGAUCUGAUGUAAGUGUUGCUGAGUACCUUUGAACUCACGUUUGCUUAAUUUAUGUUUUGCAGAUGAGACAGCUGUCUCACUAGUAGUUCCGCUUGGACUUCGAUGAGUAGCUUAUUACCUCAGCUACGAUCUUGUACCCUUGGGAGGGUCUUGUAGAUAGUCAGGCUUCUCAGCCUUUUUCUUUUGUAGUUGUCUGUACUCAGACAUGUAAUGCUUCUGUUGCUUGUAUGCUCUGAAUGAUGGGUCAUGAGACCCCUGUUUGUAUUAAAUGCUAUGUGGCCCUUCUGGGCCUUUGUCUAUAUGAGUUUGAGUUAUGUUGUGAUGCCAUGUUGUACAUCACAUACUUGCAUGUUGUGCGUACGUGUGACGUGUAUUGCUAUGUGUGGGAUCCGACAACCUAGUUGUCUAUCCUUGGUAGCCUCUCUUAUGGGGAAAUGUAGUCUGGUGCUUCCACUGAGCCAUGGUAGUCCACUACAACCCGGUUCACCGGAGUCCUGCUAACCCAGCACUACUGCUUCAGAAUAGUUAGACUGGCCGACAUGUGAUUCACAUCGUUCCUGUGUCUGUCCCUUCGGGGAAAUGUCACUCGGUGAUUUCCGGAGUCCUGCUAGCCUACUACAGCCCAGAUUCCCGGAGUCCUGUUAGCCCAGUUGCUACAGCCCGGAUUCACACGCUGAUGACCGACAUGCUCGAUGUUGUUUCAUGUAUGCCUGUCCCAGUAACUUAGUGCCACUUUGGGUGCACGACUAGUCAUGUCGGCCCGGGUUCUCUGUCAUAUGGAUGCUAGCGACACUAUCAUAUACAUGAGCCAAAAGGCGCAAAUGGUCCCGGGCCAGGUAAGGCGACACCCAUGGGAAUACCGUGCAUGAGUCCCCAAAGUGAUAUGACGUGUUGCAUGCUAGAUCGGUGUGACUUAGAAUCGGGGUCCUGACUGCUUUGGUAUUAGAGCCUGACUGCCUGUGGGAUUACCAAGCCAAACUGGUUAAAGUUGAGUCUAGAAAUUCUUUAGUUAUAUAAGGGAAUUGAUUGUGGAAGGGAACGUAAGGCUCUUUUUACUCCUUAUACCUCAUGCCUUCUGAUCUGAGUCAUCCUAUCUUUCCUACGCGGUUAAGGAACUAGGCUUUCUCUUCCGUCUAUCAGGAUCACGUGUUACUACUCCAUAGUCUCUUAGGAUUGAUUGAUCAGAGUCAUAUUCCAGUUUUUGAGUACUUCUGGUGUAGUCUGUUUAGUACUAUCACAGAACCUUGAGUGAUAAUGUUGAGUAUGGUACUACCCCAUCGUUUGCAGGAUGUCUCAUUUUGAGCAUUUUACCGAUGUUAUGCUGCCGGAAUUGUCCUAGGAGUUCAAGAGAUAGUAUUUUCCUUGUACUAUAUUCUACAUCCUUAUGAUGAUGCUGAAUCCAUCCUUGUUUCCUUGGUUGGUACUUCAGGAUGUCGUCAGUUAACCGAAGUUCUGUUGCUCGUAGCCGGAACCACGAAGAUGGUAGGGAUAAGGAUCCUCCCGACCAGCCUUCAUUGGCAGAGUUCAUGUUAGAGAUGGAGAAGAACAAGCGAGAGUCUAACCGCUUGUUAGCACGUAUUGAAGAGAACACCUCCCAUCAGUACAAAGAGUCCGCGUCCAUUCAUGACUUCAUUGGCCUGAAACCAACUACCUUCCAUCAUUCCAUUGAGCCACUUGAUGCCGAUGACUAGCUCCGUAGUGUCACUAUCAAGCUGCGUUCUGCGAACGUAGCUGAAGGUGACAAGGUCACCUAUGUUGCAUAUCAUCUGGAAGGUCCUGCUAGUAUUUGGUGGCAGAACUAUGAGGCUAUGCUUCCAGCUGGCCAGAUACCCACAUGGAGAGAUUUCACUGAGGCUUUUCACGAACAUCACAUUCCUCAGGCUCUCAUUGACCGCAAGAGAGAAGAGUUCUGUAGUUUCACACAUGAUAAGAUGGUUGUUGAUGCUUACAGUAGAGAGUUUGAGAACCUCGCCCGCUAUGCUACAGAGGAGGUGUCCACAGACGCCAAGAAGCAGGCUAGGUUACGGAACGGUCUCAACCCCAAGUUGUGUUGUGAUCUUCACUUGCACCAUUGCAAUAUAUUCUAGGCUCUUGUGAACAAGGCUAUUAAUGCAGAGACAACUUAGCUCACUUACGAGGAGUCUCAUAAGCACACCCGUGAUUUGGGUUCUUCCUCCGGUUCUAGUUCUUAGAAGCGCCGAAUUUGGGUUCCGAACUCCACUCUUCCACCCGUUGUUCACCGAGGCCAUCUUAUGUGGUACCUCCCCCAGUUAAAUUGUAUGCUCUACCCAUGCCUAUUGGUAGACCGCUUGUCAAUGCGAGUCCAUGUCCUACUUUAGGGACUUGCUUCACAUGUGGAGAGCCAGGACACUAUGCACAUGACUGCUCUCAAGCCAAGUAUGCUCCACCCCAGCUCGAGGAGUCUGUUCUUCGUGGUAAGCCAUCACGCAAGAUGAUCAGUGUCAAGUCAGCUUCCACUAAACGUGGACAUGUGAAUCACGUCUUAGCUAAAGACGCUCAUGAUGAUCCAGAUGUCGUUCUUGGUACACUCAUUGUCAACUGCCAUCCAACAUCAAUUUUGUUCGACAUUGGAGCAUCUCACUCCUUCAUUUCUAAAAGCUAUGCUAACUUGCACAACAUUUCAUUUUGUGAUAUGCCCUCUCCACUAGUCAUCAAACUCCUGGAUCCAAAUGGCAAACUUCUAGUGUAAGCCAUGGUAAUGAAAUCCUUGUUGACAGACUUGUAUUCCUUGCAUCACUUGUAGCCCUCAAGUCUACAGAUAUUAACAUCAUCUUGGGUAUGGACUGGAUGAAAGCCCAUUAUGCCAAGAUUGAUUGUUUCACCAGGUCUGUUCAGCUUACACAUCCAUCUGGCAAGUUAGUCACUGUCUCCACUAGAGUUGCAAAGCGUCAGCUCUACUCUCUUAAUGCCAGCCCACUUCCAGACCUUGAGGAUAUCCCGGUAGUCCGUGACUUUCCGGAUGUCUUUCCUGAGGAACUGGCAGGUAUUCCACCUGACAGAGAUGUAGAGUUUGUCAUAGAUCUUAUCCCAGGAACCUCCCCAAUUUCCAGGAGACCUUACAAGAUGGCACCCUUAGAGCUAGCUGAGCUUAAGAUACAGCUUGAUGAGUCCUUCAAAAAGGGUUUCGUCCAUCCUAGUUCUUCUCCCUGGGCUUGCCCCGUCCUCUUCAUCAAGAAGAAGGAUGGUACGGACCGAAUGGUUGUAGAUUAUCAUCCCGUUAAUUUGGUCACGAUAAAGAACAAGUAUUCGCUCCCUAGGAUCAACGACCUAUAUGAUCAACUCGCUGGAUCCUCAGUCUUUUCAAAGAUGGAUUUGAGGUUAGGCUACCACCAAAUCAAGAUCAGAAAUGGGGACAUUCCUAAGACGAAUUUUGUCACUCAUUAUGGCCAGUACGAGUACACCGUCAUGUACUUUGGUCUAACCAAUGCUCCAGCUACAUUCUCUCGCUUCAUGAACUCGAUCUUCAUGGAGUAUUGAGAUAAGUUCGUCAUGGUUUACCUCGAUGAUAUUCUUAUUUACUCGAAGAACGAGGAAGAGCAUGCCGAACAUCUUAGACUUGUGUUAGAGAAACUCAGAGAGCACUGCCUUUAUGCCAAGUUCUCCAAGUGCGAAUUUUGGUUGCCAGAAGUGACCUACCUAGGCCACAUGAUAUCUGGUAAGGGCAUUGCUAUCAAUCCCAAGAGAGUUCAGGCCUUUCUUGAUUGGACUCUGCCUGAAAUGGUUAAGCAAGUUAGGAGUUUCCUUGGCCUAGCCAGUUAUUGUCGACGCUUCAUUGAGAACUUCUCCAAAGUGGCCAAACCUCUCACGGAACUUCUCAAGAAAGAUAAAAAGUUUGAGUGGUCCCCAUAGUGUGAGCACAGUUUUUAGGAUCUGAAAACAUGCUUGACUUCUGCUCACAUACUUAUGUCACCGGAUUUCACUAAGGACUUUAUUAUCUAUUGUGAUGCCUCACGACAGGGACUAGGUAGCAUUCUUAUGCAAGAUCGCCAUGUGAUUGCCUAUGCAUCUCGAUAGUUGCAUCCACAUGAGGAGAAUUAUACUACACAUGAUCUAGAGCUUGCGGCCGUAGUCUAUGCUCUUAAGACCUAGCGACAUUACCUUCUUUGUAAGCGUUGCGAGAUUUACAUCGAUCACCAGAGUCUCAAGUAUAUCUUCACCCAACCAGAUUUGAACCUUAGACAAAGACGUUGGUUGGAGUUGAUCUCAGAUUACGACUUAGGGAUCACUUACACUCCCGGUAAGGCCAAUGUCAUGGCUGACACACUAAGUCGUAAGUCCUAUUGCAAGAAUCUCAUGUUGCAGGAGGGCCAACCACUUCUCCAUGAGGAAUUCUGUAAGCUUAACCUUCACAUUGCUCCUCGUGGAUUCCUUUCUACCUUGGUGGCGAAAUCAUAUCAUAGAAGCCUAGAAGCAUGAUACGGGGAUUACCCGGAUCAAGAGAAACAUUGCCAGGGGCAUUGCUGAUAGUUUCUCUAUAGAUGAUCGAGGUGUUGUUUUCUUCAGGAAUCGCCUAGUGGUCCCCAAGAAGCAGCAUCUUUGGCAACUAAUCCUUAAGGAGGCCCAUGAAUCUCCUCUCACAAUUCAUCUCGGUAGUACUAAGAUGUAUCUUGACCUACGCCAGAGGUUCUGGUGGACUAGGAUGAAGAGAGAAAUUGCUCAGUUCAUUUCUAACUGCGACGUUUGUCGUCAUGUUAAGGCAGAGCAUCAAAGGCCUGCUGGCACCCUUCAGCCUUUAGAUAUUCAUGAGUGGAAAUGGGAUAAGGUUGGUAUGGACUUCAUCACCGGCUUUCCCAGGACCAAGAGAGGGAAUAAUGCUAUCUUCGUAGUCAUUGAUCGCCUUUCCAAUGUGGCUCACUUCCUACCUGUUCAAGAGAGUAUCACUGCUAGUCAGCUCGCUGACUUAUAUAUUUGUCGAAUAGUGUCACUUCAUGGUGUUCCACUAGAGAUCAAUUCAGACCGUGGUAGUCUUUUCACUUCUCAUUUCUGGGAGAGUUUCCAAACUGCCAUGGGCACCCAUCUUUCCUUUAGUAUCGCUUUCCACCCUCAAUCAAGUGGUCAGGUGGAAAGGGUCAACCAAAUUCUUGAAGACAUGCUUAGGGCUUGUGUUAUCUCAUUCGGUAUGGAUUGGGAGAAGUGUCUUCCCUUCGCCGAGUUUGCUUAUAACAAUAGCUACCAAUCCAGCCUCAAGAAAGCUCCUUUUGAGGUUCUCUAUGGAUGAAGAUGUCGAACACCUUUGAACUGGUCAGAAACCGGUGAAAGACAAUUCUUUGGACCGGAUAUGAUCCAUGAGGCAGAAGAACAAGUUCGUGUCAUUCGUGCGAAUUUGAAAAUAGCCCAAUCUCGUCAAAAGAGCCAGUAUGACCGCCGUCAUAAGGAAGUGGCUUAUGAAGUUGGCGACAAGGCUUACCUUUGGGUUAGUCCUUUGAAGGGUACCCAUGGUUUCGGUAUCAAGGGCAAGUUGGCUCCUCGUUACAUUGGUCCUUUUAGCAUUCUCGCUAAACGAGGAGAGGUUGCCUACCAGUUGGAACUACCCCCACAUCUUUCCCGAGUGCAUGAUGUCUUCCACGUCUCUCAACUCAGGCAUUGCUUCUCAGAUCCCAUCCGCGGAGUGGACCACGAAAUGCUUGAUCUCCAAGAUAACCUCACAUAUCGAGAGUACCCUGUUUGCAUCCCUGAUCAAGCAGAGCGUGUCACUCGAUGUCAGAACAUCAAGUUUCUCAAGGUUCAGUGGUCUCAUCAUUCCAAGAGAGAAGCUACCUAGGAGCAAGAAGAUCGUCUUCGACUUGAGUACCCCACUUUCUUUCCGCCGACUCCUGAAUCUCGGGACGAGAUUCUUUCGAGUGGGGGCGAGUUGUCACAUCCCUAGUUUUGGUAUGACCUAGGCUAGCCUUAUUGUGAGCAUCAUGUUUAAAUUUAAUUUGAAUUUUAAAUGGGAUUUUGUGAAACCCUCGGAAAUCAUUUGUGGAAAUGACCCAGAUAAAAAUUGCUCCAAAAAGGUCCAAGAAAAUGUUCAUGUUGCUCUCUGAAAAUAUUGGUCAGAGGUAAAAUUCAAACCAAUAUUAUUAGUAGCUCAUAAAUAUUUAUUUUGGCCAUUUGGAAUUAAUGCAAUAAUUAUUUGCGUUGGAUAUAUAUAUGUUAUAUAUUUUAUAUAUGUCCAAAUUUUUUGAAAUUUGGUGAGGGGCUUUGAAAUAAUCCCUUAGGUCCCUGCAAAAAUUGUUAGAAGAAAAUAAAAUGAUUUAGUAUUAUUAUUAAAUCAAAAAACAAAUGUCAGAAAAUAGAAAAGAAAACAAAAUAGAAAAGAACCUUACCUGGGCUUACCUGGCGUCCCAUCUGCUGUAGCCCAGUUGACUGGCCGACGCCAGUCGUCCCUCUCCUCUCGCCAGGAGGACAGGGGUGUGUGUCCGCGGCGCGCGUGCACGCGCAUCGCUAGCUCCUGCUUGCUGCUGCUGCUGGAGGCCGCUACGAGCGCCACGCGACCCCCCAGGCCUCUCUCACUCUCUCUCAUUCUCCCUUCUCCCCUGGAUCCCUCUCUCUCGACCCGACCGAGCGGAGCUUGUCGCCGCCGCUCGUUGCCCGCGCAGCCACCACCUUCCCCUCGCCCUCUCUUCGUGUCCGGGUGCUCCGCCUCGUCGCCUACAUCGUCCUCGACAAGCCAAGUGACCAGGGACGCGCUGCAUCGCCGCCACCAUUGUCGUCUUCACCUCCGUCCGCCCGAGAUCGCCUUCGUCAUUCCGGCCGCACCAGUGCAUCCCCGAGCUCGCACACGAUGCCGUCGAGACCGCUGUGAGCUCUCCUCCAUUUCCCCUCCUUCCCCGUGUUCGAUUUCGUGUCGUAGCCCUGCUAACCGUCGAUCCCGCGAGCACCUCGCCGCCGUCCAUGGCGCCACCGUGACAAGAGCCCGAGCCAGCCGCUCCCGCGCGCGUCACCGUGCUCCUGGUGAAGCCAGGAGGCCGUAGAGGCCCUCCGCAGCCCCUGCCGUGCCCUGCAGCCACAUCCCGCUCGGAGCCGUGCUCCCCAGCUCCGGCCUCCCCAGCUCCUCCCACAUGCUCCACUGGACGCGGACGAGGACGGGCUACGCCCCGGUGGUCUCCGCGCGUCCAGCCGCCGCUCGUAGCGCUAGUCCGGCGAGUUGCCGUCGCGGUAUUGGUCGUCGCCGGCCGAACUCCGGCGACGGCUGACGUGGCCUCUAAUUAGGCACUAAUUACCCCUAGAGACACUGACAGUGGGCCCCGGCGCCCCCUAAUUUUUAGUUAGGCUAAUUAACCCCAUGUUAACUAACCAUGUCACUGACGUGUGGACCCCACACGUCAGGUUUAACCUGGUCAGCGCUGUUGACCUUCUGACGCACGCAUGACGCAGUGCUGACGCAAUAAAUGAUUUUCUAGAUUAUUUCUAUUUUGGAAAUUCCAGAAAAUUAGCUAAACUCCAAAAAUUCAUAGGAAUUCAAUCGUAGCUCAAAUUGAAAUAAUUUAUAUAUGAAAAGUUAUCAGAAAAAUGCAAUCUAUCCAUCUGUACUGUUUUCAUGCAUGACAAACCAACUUAUACAUGCUGUAUAGGUGAAAACACAUGAAUGGCAUUUAUAAGAGUUUAUUUUGGAGAUGCAUUUGAACCUUUGGUUCAAAUGGACUUCAACCAAAUGAAUGCUAGUUGCAUUAGCUCAAACAACAUCACAUCUUCAUGCCAUGUUCAUGCAUCAUAUUGCUGCAUAUGCUUGUGUUUUGAUUGUCGACACCGUUCCUUCUCGAUAGGUCCUGCUCCGGAGUCCGAUCCAGAGUACCUGUCAGAGGAGCAGUGCCCCCUGUUGAUCUACUAGGCAAGCAAACCCCCUUGUUCAUUCCGAUACAAUCCUACUCUCUCGCUCCUGCUCUCUUUUAUCGCAUUAGGACAACAAUGAUUCAACUGCUACUUUAUGCUGCGGUAGUUGAACCCAUUCCUCUGCAUGACCUGUCAUUGCCACAGUAAAUAGUUGAAACCCACUAGCAUGUGUAGGAGUUGAUUGAGCCAUGUUGUGUUCCUACCAUGCAUUGCCUGCUAUUGCUUAGAGUAUGUCAGGUCUAAUUCAUUGGGAAUGAAUUGGAGUACAGUGUUAUGUUUUGAUGUUGAGAGUUAAGUGUGUGAACACGAUUUGGUAAAGGUAGUGGUGAGAGGCCAUGUAGGAGUACAUGGUGGGUUGUCUCACUGGAACCGUCCCUAAGAACUGAGUUCUGUGUAUGUUGUCCAAUGACUAGAUAUUACCACACAUUGGGUUCUUGUAACUUGACCCCUCUCGACUUAUUAACCGACUUGGUCUCUGUCCAGGAGUCGCAACUAGUUUCUGGUGUUUGUAGGCAGUGUUAUUCUUCUACCUAGUGGCACCCGGCAGGGUGGGCUUGGGACAGACUAGGCACAGGUAGCACGGUGUACCAAGUGGCACCCGGAUGGUGGGCUUGGGAACCCUGCUCACAUCGUUUGGGGCCGUGAGCAAAUCCUCGUCCGGAUCUCCUUGCGGAUGGAACCCGAAUAUGCGAUAAACCUGGACUAGAGUCUUGCGUGGUUAGUCAGGUCGUGGCCGACACCCUCGCCAGGCUUCUGCUUGAAGGUUGCUGAGGUACAUGACAUGUACAUGGCGGUAAGUGGCGAGAGCGUAUGUGAAGAAGUACACCCCUGCAGGGUUAUCAUGAUCUAUUUGAAUAGCCGGGUCCGCGGCUAUGGACUUCUUGGAUGCUUACGUGGUACAUAGACAACUUAAAGUGGAUACUCUAAGAUGCUCAAGACAAGUGUGAGUGCUAUGGAUGUCCUUCUCGUAGGGAGACGGGAAUGAAUCCAUACUAGUGUAUUGAUGUGGUGAUUAGUGGACUCGUGUGCGUUUUCUUACCUCAAAGAAGUUACUCGUAGUCGUAGAACAGGAUAGCCACUGAGUCAAAGCUGACUUGCUGCAACUAAACCCCACAUUGCCUUAUUGAUACUAAUGCAUGUAUGAUAUGAUCUGAUGUAAGUCUUGCUGAGUACCUUUGUACUCACGUUUGCUUAAUUUAUGUUUUGCAAAUGAGACAGCUGUCUCACUAGUAGUUCCGCUUGGACUUCGACGAGUAGCUUAUUACCUCAGCUACGAUCUUGUACCCUUGGGAGGGUCUUGUAGAUAGUCAGGCUUCUCAGCCUUUUUCUUUUAUAGUUGUCUGUACUCAGACAUUUAAUGCUUCCGUUGCUUGUAUGCUCUGAAUGAUGGGUCAUGAGACCCCUAUUUGUAUUAAAUGCUAUGUGGCCCUUUUGGGCCUUUAUCUAUAUGAGUUUGAGUUAUGUUGUGAUGCCAUGUUGUACAUCACAUACUUGCAUGUUGUGCGUACGUGUGACGUGUAUUGCGAUGUGUGGGAUCCGACAACCUAGUUGUCUAUCCUUGGUAGCCUCUCUUAUGGGGAAAUGUAGUCUGGUGCUUCCACUGAGCCAUGGUAGUCCGCUACAGCCCGGUUCACCGGAGUCCUGCUAGCCCAGCACUACUGCUUCAAAAUACUUAGACUGGCCGGCAUGUGAUUCACAUCGUUCCUGUGUCUGUCCCUUCGGAGAAAUGUCACUCGGUGAUUUCCGAAGUCCCGCUAGCCUGCUACAGCCCAGAUUCCCGGAAUCCUAUUAGCCCAGUUGCUAUAGCCCGGAUUCACACGCUGAUGACCGACAUGCUCGAUGUUGUUUCAUGUAUGCCUGUCCCAGUAAGUUAGUGCCACUUUGGGUGCAUGACUAGUCAUGUCGGCCCGGUUUCCCUGUCAUAUGGAUGCUAGCGACACUAUCAUAUAUGUGAGCCAAAAGGCGCAAACGGUCCUGGGCCAGGUAAGGCGACACCCAUGGGAAUACCGUGCAUGAGGUCGCAAAGUGAUAUGACGUGUUACAUGCUAGAUUGGUGUGACUUAGAAUCGGGGUCCUGACAUUAGUUUCUUUUGUUGAGCGUUCAUAUACUUAUAGCUCUAGUGCAUCCAUUGCAUGGCAAUCCGUACUCACUUACAUUGAUAUCUAUUGAUGGGCAUCUCGAUAGCCCGUUGAUACGCCUAGUUGAUGUGAGACUAUCUUCUCCUUUUUUGUCUUCUCCACAACCACCUUUCUAGUCCACAUAUAGUGCUAUAUCCAUGGCUCAUGCUCAUAUAUUGCAUGAAGAUUGAAAAAGUUUGAGAACAUCGAAAGUAUGAAACAAUUUCUUGGCUUGUCAUAGGGGUUGUGCAUGAUUUAAAUAUUUUGUGUGGUGAAGAUAGAGCAUAGCCAGACUAUAUGAUUUUGUAGGGAUAACUUUCUUUGGCCAAGUUAUUUUGAGAAGACAUAAUUGCUUAGUUAGUAUGCUUGAAGUAUUAUUAUUUUUAUGUCAAUAUUAAAAUUUUAUCUUGAAUCUUUCGGAUCUGAACAUUCAUGCCACAAUAAAGAAAAAUUACAUUGAGAAAUAUGUUAGAAAGCAUUCCACAUCAAAAAUUCUUCUUUUAUCAUUUACCUACUCGAGGACGAGCAUGAAUUAAGCUCGGGGAUGCUUGAUACGUCUCCAAUGUAUCUAUAAUUUUUGAUUGCUCCAUGCUAUUAUAUUAUCUAUUUUGGAUGUUAAUGGGCUUUAUUUUACAUUUUUAUAUCAUAUUUGGGACUAACCUACUAACCGGAGGCCCAGCCCAAAUUGCUAUUUUUUUGCCUAUUUUAGGGUUUCGAAGAAAAGGAAUAUCAAAUGGAGUCCAAACAGAAUGAAACCUUCGGGAACGUGAUUUUCUCAACAAACGUGAUCCAGGAGAAUUGGAGUGGGCGUCAAGAAACAAUCGAGGAGGCCACGAGGCAGGGGGCGUGCCUACCCCCUGGGCGCACCCUCCACCCUCGUGGGCCCCUCGUUGCUCCACCAACCUACUUCUUCCUCCUAUAUAAGUCCAUGUACCCCCCAAACAUCCAGGAGCACCACGAAAACCUAAUUCCACCACCACAACCUUAUGUACCCAAGAGAUCCCAUCUUGAGGCCUUUUCCGGAGCUCCACCGGAGGGGGCAUUGAUCACGGAGGGCCUCUACAUCAACUCCAUGGCCUCUCCGGUGAUGUGUGAGUAGUUUACUUCAGACCUUCGGGUCCAUAGUUAUUAGCUAGAUGGCUUCUUCUCUCUCUUUGGAUCUCAAUAAAAAGUUCUCCUCGAUCUUCUUGGAGAUCUAUUCGAUGUAAUCUUCUUUUGCGGUGUAUUUGUCGAGAUCCGAUGAAUUGUGGGUUUAUGAUCAAGUUUAUCUAUGAACAAUAUUUGAAUCUCCUCUGAAUUCUUUUAUGUAUGAUUGGUUUAUCUUUGCAAGUCUCUUCGAAUUAUCAGUUUGGUUUGGCCUACUAGAUUGAUCUUUCUUGCAAUGGGAGAAGUGCUUAGCUUUGGGUUCAAUCUUGCGGUGUCCUUUUCCAGUGACAGCAGUGGUAGCAAGGCACGUAUUGUAUUGUUGCCAUCAAGGAUAAAAAAGAUGGGGUUUAUAUCAUAUUGCAUGAGUUUAUCCCUCUACAUCAUGUCAUCUUACUUAAAUCAUUACUCUGUUCUUAUGAACUUAAUACUCUAGAUGCAUGGUGGAUAGCGGUCGAUGUGUGGAGUAAUAGUAGUAGAUGCAGAAUCGUUUCGUCUACUUGUCACGGACGUGAUGCCUAUAUACAUGAUCAUGCUAGAUAUUAUCAUAACUAUGCUCAAUUCUAUCAAUUGGUCGACAGUAAUUCGUUUACCCAUCGUAAUACUUAUGCUCUUGAGAGAAGCCACUAGUGAAACCUAUGGCCCCCAGGUCUAUCUUCCAUCAUAUUAAUCUUCCAACACUUAGUUAUUUCUAUUGCCGUUUAUUUUACUUUGCAUCUUUAUUUCUCUUUAUCAUAAAAAUAGCAAAAAUAUUAUCUUAUCAUAUCUAUCAGAUCUCACUCUCGUAAGUGACCGUGAAGGGAUUCACAACCCCUUUAUCGCGUUGGUUGCGAGGUUCUUAUUUGUUUGUGUAGGUGCGUGGGACUCGAGCAUGAUCUCCUACUGGAUUGAUACCUUGGUUCUCAAAAACUGAGGGAAAUACUUACACUACUUUACUGCAUCACCCUUUCCUCUUCAAGGGAAAACCAACGCAGUGCUCAAGAGGUAGCACGGCCUUGGUAUGUGAGGCCGCCUCCUGGGUACCCGCUGCCCUUGUACGCUCUCGCCAACGAUUCCGGAGGGAGGAGCGGUGAGCGGCACUGCCCGCGCCAAAGCCGUGGGCGCUGUGCUGCGGUGGCGCACGUCGUCGCCCUAGGGGUCCAUGCCGCGGACUCUUCGCGCCAGUUCGUGUUGUGGGCGGCGAUGCCCCCGAGCACCUGGAUAUGCCUCCCGCCGUUCUUCGCCGCCGAGAUGCCAUCGAUGGGCCUUCGCGAACUUUGGCUGUAGCAUGUCGACUACGAUGCCCCAGCGACUGGAGCGGAGAUUGGAACCGUUGCCUCCUGGCAGAUCUUCAUGACCCGAGGCUGGGGUGAGAUUGCCCGAGUCUGUCGUGCAGAGGGCGCCCUCGCGAUGCAUUUCGAGUACGACGACGCCUCCAUGCUGUUCUUCAAGGUCUUCGACGAGGAAGGCCGCCGCCUGGAGUGCUGCCCGGAUGGAGGUCGCCAGGAUGAUGUUGGGGCGGGCGCGGGGCCCGCCACCGGUCUCGACUGCAGCUCCUCCAGCGACAGUGGCGACUCCUGGUGGUCCAAGGACUCUCCUGAGCUCUUGGAGUCUCUGGAGAUGAGCGACGACAGCUACGUGCCCCCGAGCUCUUGCCGAGCCCGGAGCAGGGCCGCGGUGUCCAGCCGCCGCUGCCGCUGAUCUGGAUGGGGUUGGCGCCGACCUCACGUGACCCACUGUUGAAGAUGGCGUCGGCGACACGUGGUGCGCGUAGAUAGAACCCCCUAGGAAUUCCUUCCCUUUUGUUCCCUGUGAGGAAUCAAGAAACGGACCCCGUGGGGGCGUGUAAAGCGUCUGUAAUGCCUUUUGUCAAUAUAGCCCUUAUUAUGGAGAUUUGUGUGCGCAUAUCCUGCCGAGGCUCGGCCUCCCCUUUCCAAUCCUACGGUAGCUUGGUGCUCUACGCUGACAGGUCCCGAUCCCCAGGCAGGCUGCAGUCGUCGCUGGUAUGCCAGGUCGUGUGCCGUGGUCAAGGCCAGGAGGUGAGCGGCCCGAGGUCCAGUAAGAGCUCCUGAGGUGCGAUGCUCAAGAGGUCCCCCUUAGCGUGCAAGCAGGUGCUUAGGACGGGAAAGGAAGAAAGCGUUACCGCAGCAGGGCAGCGAAGGGAGUGAGCGAGGGUCUCGUGCCGCAAACGACUGGUGGAUCCAGAGCGACAACUUAUCUUUGGCUGUCUGGGGUCUGCUCCUCGAGUCGUGCCGGACUCGCACGCCGGUCGCUGUAGCGUGGCUUGGUCUGGCCCGUGCAGGCCUGCCCUCCCCUCCAUGUCCUUCUUGGUGCUCUGCGUCCUCAGGUACCGGCCCUCGAGCGAGCUCAGCCGUCGCUGGUAUGCCAGGUCGCAUGCUGUGCUCAAGGCCAGGGGGUGAGGGUUGGAGAGCCAGUAAGAGCUCCUGAGGCGCGAUGCUCAGGAGCCCCCCUUUUAACGCGCAAGCGAAUCGCAUGAGAGAAGAGAGAGAGUCCACGGUACCGCCUGCUGUGGCCCUCAUGAAGUUCCUACAAGUUAGCGCAAGGAAGGGCACCGGUCGCCGUGGUGAUUGCUGGUUUGCUUCUGGCGCGUGAGAGGGGACUCCCUACUGCGAAGAGCCCUCGAGGCGUGUACAGCCCCGCCCUGACGCGUGGCUUGCACGACAGGGCUAGACGAGGUGUGUCUGGACACUCGUGAGCCGGCGCAGGACUCAUGAGGCCCUUCCGCAAGGUGGGUUGCACCUGGUCUUGAUUCUUGUUCGCUAUCUUGGUCCUGUGAGGUGGUUAGACAACCUGCGUCGAGCGAAUCUCCUGAGGUCAUCGCGUGAAAAAGCCAAGCACCAAUGGCCCCAGGAGGCGACGUGAACGGGGCCAGCCCGCCAGACAGAGCUCAGCCACUGGAUUUGUCGAUGCUGUAGGGACGGGCCCGAGCACAGACGCCGUGCUUAAAUUACUCACGCGAAGGGUCCUGAAGAAAGACGGCCGGCGCGCGGCUCCCAUGGUGGGUGAAAAUCAAGCAGUCGAUAGUCAUAGAUAGAUUAAGCAUGGAAAGCAACCUAGCUUAGGUAAAUGCAGGGAAGAUGCAUGCCACUCGGUCCGGCCCGAGCGGCUUGGGGAUGAUGCAGCUCGAGGGGCGCCCCCAACAGGGUAAGCUAAAGGAAUAAAAGGAAAGAUACAUGCCACAGGGACGGACCCAUGCGGCCUGGGGAUGAUGCUGCCCUGGGGGCGCUCCCAGCUGAAUGAACUUGGGAAAAUGUCAACUGGUUCUGUUGAUGAAGCAGAGUUGGGGUAGCUGAAGGCGUGCGAUGAAGGGGCUGCCCCUCAUGAGCCACCAGGGCCUUGAGCCUCGGGAGGCUCUGGGGGUCCAUGGGGUUCCCCGAGGAUCGUCUUCAUCUCUGUUAGCACAGCAUGGUGCCUGGCCUCCUGAGACACCAGGAUGCUCUGCAGGUUGUGUUGAUAGGCGACCGCCACGCUCGGCAGGCCGAAGGGCAUGCGAACGUAGCUGUGAGGUGGGCCCUCGUAGCGUCCCACGCGCGAAGGCCAGAGAAGCUCCUAAGAGGCUACCCGAUUGAGCCCUGGAACAUCGAUGCAGACGCACAGCCCGGCAUCCUCGCUUGGAUGGGGAGCUGUCCCUGGUGAGAGGCGACCGCCGCACAUGGCACAUGCGUCUUGUAGUUCCUGAGCGGUCUUAGCGAUGAACUCCUGAGCAGUGGGCACUGCUUGCCCUGUGUUCUCCUAAGGGAAACGUGCCGCGAAGCACGCCUCCAAGUGGUGCCCAAGCGCCUCCCUCAUGAUGUUGGCGAAGUCUAAGGCCCUCCAGAAGAGAGCCCCCGAGCCCUGCCCGAGAGGGGCGCUGGGCGCGCCUUCCUAUGCGAUGGAUGGAGGCGCCCCAGGCGCGGGCGCCGAUCUUGAUGAGGCGCCGCUUGCCUGAGGCCCUGCUUGGCGCAACUGCUUGUUCUUGGAGGUGGCCUCAUGAGGGCGCUUGUCCUGACUGUCGGGGUCAUCGAUUGCUGCAGCUUGGAAGGCAUGCUUGAGGGAGCACACCGCGUUUCUUUCUUCGCACAGUACUAUGAUGAUUCCACCACUUCCCGGCAUCUUGAGGACAUUGUAGCCAUGAUGGGUCACCGCCAUGAACUUGGCCAGGGCUAGAUACCCGAGGAUGGCGUUGUAUGGCAGGUGGAUGUAGGCGACGUCGAAGUCGAUGAGUUCGGUGCGGUAGUUGUUGCGUUCUCCGAAGGUAACGGGGAGGCGAACCUGCCCGAUCGGGGUAGUAGAGCCGUCGGUUACUCCUGAGAAAGGCUUGGUAGGCUGAAGCUGGUCAUAUGGCACUUGGAGGUUGUCGAACGUGGCGAUGGGCAGGACAUUGAGGCUUGUGCCGCCGUUGAUGAGGGUCUUGGUAAUUUGCACGUUGCUGAUGACUGGCGAACAGAGCAUUGGGAGGACGCCUGCAGUAGCCGCGCACUUGAGCUGAUCUGCCAAACUGAACAUGAUGGGGCACCUGGACCAUCUGAGUGGGCGUGUGGCCUCGAGCUUGGGGAGAACUGCAUUCACUUCACGGGCAAAUUGUUUGAAGAUACGCUGCGAGGCUGGGGCUUGAGCUCCGCCCAAGAUGCAGGCGAUAGCGCGUGGUUCCUGGAAGCCCCUAGCCCCCUCAUCUUGAUGGUGGUCGUCGUUCCUUCUGGGUGGUGGCGGUAGUGGAGGAAGGCCUGCAUUGCCUUGAGGAUGAGCCUCACGAGGCUGGUCCCUCCAGGCGCCCUUGCGACGCUGAUCCUGCCAGUGGUCCUCAUGAGGCCGGUCGUGCCACUCCUUGUCGGUGGAAACGACACCUAUGGGAUCACUAGGAUCCCUUCUACGGUCGGCGGGUGCAGGGUCGUGAAAAAAUCAGGUUUAGGAGCAAGCACACAGGUCGUUUACCCAGGUUCGGGCCGCGAGGACGCGUAAAACCCUAGUCAUGCUUUGGUGGAUGUAUUGAGUGUUCUUGAGCUUCUUGAACUAGCUACGGUGGAUGUGCCGUCCCAAAAAGCUGAAUCCCUCUCCUGGUCGCCUCGGGCCUCCUUUUCUAGGAAAAGGGGCUGCCAUAGUGGCACACAGGAGGUGGAAAGGCCUUAAGUGCACGAGCUUAUCACACAACAUUACGGGACAAAGAGCAUUAAAUGCGCUACGUAGGUGUCCAUUAGCUUUAUCGACAAUGGGAACAAGGCACGUCCCGUCCGUCGCCGCUCCGCCUCGCUUCGAUACGUGCCCAGGCUGGAGAUGCAUGUAGCGCCAUGUAGGCAGGCUGGGAGCUGAGGUGGCGCGGUGGUAGGGCCUUCAUGAAGAUCUGCAUGCCGCCACGUAGGCGCUUGCUGAGCUGGCCUGGCAGCUGGUAGCUGCAUGUUGCUACGCAGGUGCCUUCCCAGCUGGUUGGGCUGGCAGCUUCAUGCGAAUGGCGGCGGAGUCUUGGCUUGUGCGGGACUGGCAGUGGCCCUGCUGACGCCCUCGUCAAGGGUCUUGCCGGGGGCUCGACAAGGGUCUUGCCGUGGCAUCUCUAUCAUCCCCGACAAGGGUCUUGCCGGGGGUCUUGUGGAUUGCCUCGGCUAGGAUCCUGCCAAGGGUCGUCAUCUUCUAGUCCUCAUCUGAACUCAUAUAUUUAUGAGCUUGAUGAAGAUUUGCAUGCCACCACAGAGGUGUCUCCUGAGCCUUGGUUCUAACGCAGUUGGUUAGGUUGGAGCCGGUGGGCUCAAGGGUGGUUCACUCCGCUGGCAUCGGGCAAGNNNNNNNNNNNNNNNNNNNNNNNNNNNNNNNNNNNNNNNNNNNNNNNNNNNNNNNNNNNNNNNNNNNNNNNNNNNNNNNNNNNNNNNNNNNNNNNNNNNNNNNNNNNNNNNNNNNNNNNNNNNNNNNNNNNNNNNNNNNNNNNNNNNNNNNNNNNNNNNNNNNNNNNNNNNNNNNNNNNNNNNNNNNNNNNNNNNNNNNNNNNNNNNNNNNNNNNNNNNNNNNNNNNNNNNNNNNNNNNNNNNNNNNNNNNNNNNNNNNNNGUCCACCUUGCCCUCUUGCCCUCCUGCGCUUCCGGUCUUGGCGUCGCCUUGGUCACCUCGUGCUUCGGCUUCUCUCCGGCUUCCCUCUGCCCUGCUAAGUGUGGCCGUGGCGCGUGGCUUUGACUGCCCGUGCACAAGUAAAGGGGUCAAAAGGAGAACCCCUACUUUUGUACACUGACAGGAGCCCCCGGGCCUGGGCCACACAUAAGCGCAACAUGUUGUUGGGCUAGGCCCAGAACGGUGCGCGGGCAGGUUGGGCGGAUUUUACCGUAGUACCUUCCCGUCCGUUGCGCUUCCCCACGACCCGCGUUGAAAGCGCGACGUGGAGGGUCGUGUGUGAUGUGGGGGUCAUGUGUGGGGCGGUUCCUACACGCAUGCGUCACAUCGUGGUAAAGAGGCGGCUCACACCUUCCCCAUAAAAGGAGGGAGGUGUAGAGGCACGACCCAUUUACUCGGGUGGACUCGGGUCGUGGCCUUCAAGUCGCCCACCCCCCCACGGUCAUGGGGUGGGGAGCGGCCGCUUCGCCUGCCCCUUCAAUGCUGCUUGCUCGCCAUGUUUCCCCCAUGCAUGUGGCAGGAGGUGGAGGCGGGAAACCGGGCCGUUGCUGAUUGGGGCAGCGGGCCGGUCCGGAUUGGUCGAGUGGGGCGGCCAAGCCCCGACUCCNNNNNNNNNNNNNNNNNNNNNNNNNNNNNNNNNNNNNNNNNNNNNNNNNNNNNNNNNNNNNNNNNNNNNNNNNNNNNNNNNNNNNNNNNNNNNNNNNNNNNNNNNNNNNNNNNNNNNNNNNNNNNNNNNNNNNNNNNNNNNNNNNNNNNNNNNNNNNNNNNNNNNNNNNNNNNNNNNNNNNNNNNNNNNNNNNNNNNNNNNNNNNNNNNNNNNNNNNNNNNNNNNNNNNNNNNNNNNNNNNNNNNNNNNNNNNNNNNNNNNNNNNNNNNNNNNNNNNNNNNNNNNNNNNNNNNNNNNNNNNNNNNNNNNNNCUUCCUUCCAUCCACCAUGGCGAGAGGAAGAGCCGGCCCUUCGAGGGUGGCGAGAAGGGUCGCUGCUCGCUAGCGCGUUCCUCCUUCCCAAGAGCUCGUGGCGACGGAACUGGCCACGAGAGGAAGGGGAAGGGGCGAGGUCGAGGUCGUCGUGGCGCUCGGGGGAGAGGAGGAUGGGGCGGCGCAUCGGCCUCUCCUCCGCCAGCGAUGCCUCCCCCGAUGGAGCACCACGUCGGGGACCAGCCCCACGAGUUCUUCAUCAGGCUGUGCUGGCCACCACGUCGCCGCCUCCGUCUCCCUACUACCUUUGCCUGGGAGAUGGAGCUCGAUCCACCCCAGGCCCUCUGGUUGCACAUGAAGGGCUGCGGGAACGGCGGCACACAGGUCGACGUCGACUUCCCUGCCCCUCACGUCAUGUACCUCCGCCGCGGAUGGAAGACGUUCACAGCAACCAUAGCCUAACGGCAGGGCUUGUCCUCUACUUCAAGUUAACGGAGGGCAGCCUGCUCUCCGUCAAGUUCUUUGGAGAUCUCGGAACUCGCUUGAAGUGCUGCGUGGAGAGCUCCUCCGAUGACGAAGAUUCUUCCUCGAGCGGGAGUGACGAGGAGCACAAUGACAGCGACGGCGAGGGAGUUGAGCGGCAGGAUGCCGACUCCGACUGACCGCGCCGCCCAUCCCUCGGCCAUGCGCCUUGCCGAGGGCCAUCCUCGCCAAGCUCUCCAUCAGGGUGCUCCCCGUCGUCUCCUUGGGUGGCUGGCGUAGGAGGGCCAAAGAGGGCGAAGAAGGCGGGUGGCGGCCGUCAAGUCGGAGUAUGCGGGCACCGAUGCCUUCGUCGCGUAUUGCCAGCCCGCUGCCUCAUCUUCCAGCUCCCCUCCCGGCACCGGGACGUUCUCUUGGCGCCUUCUGCUCCUCGCACCUCACCUAGGCGCUCUUUUCGCCCUCCUGCCCUCUUGUUCCACCUUCUAAGGAGAGGGACAAGAAAGGGAUCACGCGCAUCUUAUCUUUUUUAGUCUGUAAGCCUGCGGGCACUUGUUAAUUUCAAGACUUGUUAUUCCCUUGCUCAUGUUUUUUAAUUCCGUACGAACUGUACAUGUAAGGGAUGUUUUUAAUGAAAAGGGUGCUUGCUGGGUUCUUUGUGCGCGAGCGAGGCCCAUGCCAAGGAUGAAUCCUUGUUAUUUUAAAUAUAAACAUGUCGCCCGGCAAUAGGCCUUGCCGUCUCCCCACUUCGGUCGACCAUUCUCAAGCUCUUGGCGGAGGCAGGGGUGAAGUAGAGUUAGGACCCUCGUCCAUCUCCUCGCCACUGCGACUACUACCAAAUUCCGACCCAGGAGGUAGCUCUUGGGUACAAGAAAGGGGGAGCACGGUGGUUUCAAGGACAUAAACGAGGUUAAACAUGUCCCAGUUCUAUACGGAAACACACAACAGGGGGAUGAAAGACUUAUCUGAAUCCGCAGCCCCCGGCAACCUUGGCUUGCCGUGGUCGGAUCCUUGUAUCUUCAGCCCCCAGCAGUCUUGGCUCGCCGGGGUCGGAGCACCGGUUCGUUCUCUUUUUCCCAAGCGGCUCAGCAGAAGUGUCUGCGUGCCUUAUGAACCAAAGAGAACAGAAAGACGCAAACUCGACCUCUAGGCUCGGGGUUAGUCGCCGCUAAGCACUAUCAACCCUAACCGAGGGAAAGACUUGACCUAGCAUGCAUGCUAUAACUUAGGGCACCAGCGCUUCAUUUAUUUAUGCUCGGGGUCUGCGCCUGGCUUUGUACAGAGGGUUACAUGCCUUGCCGGCAAGGCUCGUACAAAAGGUGGUUCACCGGGAGGCCCGGCAACCAUGCCUUAUGGGUAAAACUUGCGAAGAUGUUCGACGUUCCAGGAAUUGCUUACUGGGACAGCAUCUUCGGUCUCCAGGCGGACUGCGACAGGCCUGGUGACUCAUAUUACCCGAUAAGGGCCUUCCCACUUUGGCGUCAACUAGUUGGGAUUUUUGGCCUACUAAACGUGUCGAAGAACAAGGUCGCCUUCCUUAAAGCUUCGGGCACGGACCUUACGGCUUUGGUAGCGGCGCAAGGCUUGCUGCUAGCGUGCUGCUCUCACAGCCGCCCGAAGACGAUCUUGCUCAAGGAGCAUUGCAUCGUCUUGCCGCAAUCCCUCUUGCUCAAACUCGUCAUAAGAGAGCACUCGAGGUGACCCGUAUAUGAGUUCCGUGGGGAGAACUGCUCCUGCCCCAUAUACCAGGACAAAGGGUGUCUGGCCGGUGGCUCGAUUUGGCGUUGUUCUGAUCGACCAAAGAAUCGCCGACAACUCAUCAAUCCAGCGCCUUCCGCUCUUGUGUAGCCUGUCAAAAGUCUUUGUUCUCAGGCCUCGCAGUACUUCAUCAUUUGCCCUCUCCGCCUAGCCGUUGCUCCAUGGGUGUGCCACGGAAGCAAAACAGACCUUGCUGCCGAGGUCUCGGAUGUACUGCAUGAAGGUGUGGCUUGUGAACUGCGUGCCAUUGUUGGUUAUGACUCUGUUUGGCACACCAAAACGGCAGACUAGUCCCUUGAAGAACUUGACGGCUGAUUGUGCUGUCACCUUCCUCACUGCUUCCACUUCCGGCCACUUUGUGAACUUGUCGAUUACAAGGUACAAGUACUCAAAGCCCCCGAAAGCACAGGGGAAGGGGCCUAGUAUGUCGAUCCCCCAGAAUGAAAACAGUCAGGAGAGAGGAAUUGUUUGAAGGGCUUGAGCUGGUUGAUGAAGCUUCUUUGAAUGGAAUUGGCACGCUUCACACCUAGUUACUAGUGCUGUCGCAUCCUGGAGGGCGGUGGGCCAGAAGAAGCCUUACCGGAAUGCCUGGACGGCAAGGGACCUCGACCCUAUGUGAGAGCCACAUAUGCGUCCAUGUAUCUCUGCCAACAGCUCCAGUCCUUCCUCCCGGGGGAUGCACUUCAAUUUUACAUCGUUCGAUCUUUUUCUGUAUAGGACGUCAUCGACGAACUGGUACAAGGCAGACCGACGGGCUACUUUUUCCGCUUCUUCCGGCUCCUCAGGAAGUUCCUCUGUGUGGAGGAAACAAACGGUAUGCUGUGCCCAUGCCGGAGCCUAGGGAUCGACGGCAAGGACCAAAGGCAUCUCUUCCACCAUGGGGGCAGCCGUCUCUACGGCUAGGGCUUGGCGCCCUGCCGGAGCCAGCUGCCCCUUGGCAGGCUCGGAAUCCGCGGCAACACUCUUGCCGGCGGCCCCUGGGGGCUUGGCGGGAAAGUACUUGCCGGGGACCGAUUUCCUCCUCUUGUUCUGGUCCGUUGAUGGUUCGAUGGAUGGUUGAGUGAACCGAAGCAAAAAGGUACCUGGUUCCACAGGUAGCUUAAAUGCAACACACUUUGAUAGGUAGUCAGCAAUGUCGUUCUCCGCUCGGGGAACGUGCUCCGCUUGAAUACCGUCGAAGCGCUCCUAUAGCUACCUCACCUCAUCUACAUAGGCCUCCAUCAACGGACUCUGGUAGUCUUUGUUGACCUGUCUGACGACAAGCUGCGAAUCACCCAUUACGAUGAGCUUCCUCACCCCGAGGUCUGCCGCGAUCCUGAGACCGGCGAGCAGCCCCUCAUACUCAGCAGUGUUGUUUGUGGACAUCUCCUUGGGAAAGUGCAUCUGGAUCACAUACUUGAGGUGCUCUCUGGUGGGCGCGACAAGCAGCACACCGGCACCGGCGCCUUGCAGCGAGAAAGCCCUGUCAAAGUACAUGAUCUAGUCGGGACUUGCCUCCUUGCCGGGGAGAGCGGUCUCUUGGAUUUCCUCAUCGGGCGUUGAGGUCCAUUCUGCAAUGAACUCUGCCAAGACUCUGCUCUGGAUUGUUGAAGUACUUUCAAACUUCAACCCAAAGCUUGACAACUCCAAGGCCCACUCCACAAUCCUUCCUGUUGCAUCUAGGUUGUGCAGUAUCCAUUGCAAUGGGAGGCGGGUGACGACAGUGAUCUCGUGGGCUUGGAAGUAAUGAUGCAGCAUCCUCGAGGCCAUAAGGAGGCCGAAGAGCAAUUUCUGCACACCGGAGUACCUUGACCUGGCCCCCUACAAGAGGGAGCUGACAAAGUAAACUGGGUGCCGCAUCAUCUUCUUCUUUUGCACCACUUCACUUGGCUGCGAGGGCCCUGCCCCGAUGGCGUCGGACACUGCUGGGGGCCUUGCUAUGCCGACGCUAGGCCCUGCCAGGGGAAUCUCUGACUUGCCAUCCGCCGGUCCUGCCAUGGCCACUGCCUGUUCUUUGACCUCCCUCUGCGCCACUAGUGCGGCGCUGACCACUUGAUUCGUUGCCGCCAGAUACAACAGCAACGGCUCUUGUGGUUUAGGCGCAACAGUAUUGGCGUAGAGGAAAGGUAUUUCUUCAGAUCAUGCAACGCUGCCUCGGCCUCUGGGGUCCACUCCAUUGGGCAUGCCUUCUUCAAGAUUUUGUAAAAGGGAAGGGCAUGUUCAUCGGACUUGGAGAUGAACCUGCUCAUGGCGGCAACACAGCCAGUGAGCCGGCGCACAUCCUUGAUCCGCUUGGGUGCCUCAAUCUGCUCAAUAGCCUUGAUCUUGUCUGGGUUUGCCUCGAUCCCACGCUGCGACACAUAGAACUCGAGAAGUUUUCCUGACGGGAUGCCAAAGAUACACUUCUCAGGGUUCAGCUUGAUGUUGAUCUUGCGUAGGUUGGCAAACGUCUCUCCUAGGUCUUGUACAAGGGUCACCUUGUCCUUGGUUUUGACCACUAUGUCAUCCAUAUAUGCCUCCAUAUUUCUAUGUAGCUGGGGCUCAAAACCAAUCUGGACCGCCCUUGUGAAUGUCGAGCUAGCACUCUUCAACCCGAAAGGCAUCCGUAAAAAGCAAUACGUACCACAUGGGGUGAUGAAGGCUGUCUUCUCUUGCCAUGAAGAUCUAGUGGUAGCCUGAGUAGGCGUCGAGGAAUGACAACAGAUCACACACGGCCAAGGAGUCAACAAUCUGGUCGAUGCGCGGCAACAGGAAGGGGUCCUUAGGACAAGCCUUAUUGACAUCCGUGUAGUCAAUACACAGCCUCCACUUCCCAUUUGCCUUGCAGACCACCACCGGAUUGUCCAACCACGUCGGAUGAGCACUACUCUCACCAAACCUGCCGCUUCAAAUUUCCUGAUCUCCUCUGUGAUGAACUCCUGUCGUUCCAAAGCUUGCUUCCUGACCUUCUGCUUGACAGGCCGCGCAUGGGGACAGACAACAAGGUGGUGCUCAAUCACUUCCCUGGGAACGCCGGGGAUAUCGGAUGCUUGCCACGCAAACACAUCGACAUUUGCCCGCAGGAAAGUGAUGAGCGCGCCUUCCUUUUUGCUAUCGAGGGUGGAGCUUAUGGUGAAAGCCUCUCCCGUGCCAUCCUCCUUGACGGACACCCUCUUGGUCUCUGGUGGUGCAGCUCUGGAUUUCUUGAUCUUGCCGGUAGAGCUCUCGGGCACGUCCCUCGAUGGUAGCACAGCAUUCCGAAGAGGUGCGCUUGCCGGAGUGUGUGCGAGAGGUCUUGCCGGUCUUCUUCUUCCCUCCCGGGGCCUCAACGGCAGGAGCAGGUGCCUUGGCGGCAGCUGCUGCAACUGUUUAAUUGAGUUGGUUAGCACAGAUCAGCGCAUCCUUCUUGUCGGAGGGGACGGUGAUGAUGGUCAUUGGCCCAGGCAUCUUCAGCGUAUUGUAGGCGUAGUGCACCGCCGCCAUGAACUUGGCUAGUGCCGGGCGGCCGUGGAUCCCGUUGUAGGACAAGGGGAUCUCAGCCACAUCGAAGACGAUCCUCUCUGUCAUGUAGUUCAACUCACCUUCAAACAUCACGGGCAAUGUGACCUUCCCCUUCGGCUGGCUCCUUCCCGGACUGACCCCUUGAAACGUACCCGUUUCCUCAAGGUCUCCAUCAGGAAUUUGCAGCCUUUUGAUCACGAUGGGCAAGAUCAAGUUCAGGCCGGCCCCACCAUUAACCAGCAUCUUAUUCACCUUGAGGUUGCGCAUCGUUGGUGAGACCAACAAUGGCAAAUACCCGACCGCAGUAGUGCGGUCAUGGUGGUCCUCGGCAUCAAAGAUGAGGGGCAUGCUGGACCACUUCAGUGGCUUUUGAGCGUCAAACGAUGGCUCCCCUGCUGUAACCUCACACGCCCACUGCUUGAGCUGGCGGUGAGAAGUGUGGAGCGAGGCGCCACGCACAUGGCCUCCGUAGCCUUCUGGAACUCAUGCUCACUGGACUCGGCAUCCUCAUCAUGAGCAUCAUCUUCCUGCUUCUUGUCGCGGCCCCGGGCGGGCCUCUCUUGCUGGUUACCCUUGCCGCGGCGACCCCCUUGGCCGCCACGCUCCUUGCUGGAUCCUUCGGCACCAUCCCGACCCUUCUCCUUGUCCCGCCUCUCAUAUUCAGCUUUUUGCUUUUCAGCAAGCAGCUCAACUUGUAGACAGUUCUGGAGGUCGUGGCCCUUGGUGCGGUGGAUCUUGCAGUACUGCUUGUAGGAGCCCCCUGGCUUGUCGGCAGCCGCCAAGGCCCGGUAAGUGGCGCAACCGGCAAUAUCCUUGCCGGGGUCGUCUGCCUUGGCCUUCAUGGCGGCGUUGGUGUCGCCAGAUCCCUCGACUGCAACACGGUCUUGUCCUUGCAUUUCCUGUUGCGACGCCGACCCUUCUUCAUCGGGGCGGCGGUGUCUUCGUCGGUAGAGUCGGUUUCCGCACCGGCGUCUUCGCCGGGGUACUUCCUUCCCUCUUCAGCCCGGGCACAUCUAUCGGCCAGAACGUAAAGUUCAUCCACGUCCUUGACCUUGUUCAUUGCGAGCUCUUCACGCAUCUUGCGGUUACGCACAUUCUGAUGGAAUGCGCUGCUCACGGUGGCUGGAUGAACAUCUGGGAUGUUGUAUUGCACUCAGCUGCACCUCUGUAUGUACUUGCGCAGAUUUUUGCCUUCCUUCUGGGGAAUAAUAUGCAAAUCACUCGCCUGGCCAUGAGCUUGGUGACCUCCAGUCAAGGCACCAACGAACUCGUGGCACCGAUCUGACCAAGAAAAAUUGAAUCCAACGGCAAGUGCAUCAACCAAGACAUGACAUUGGGUUUCAGGGCCAACGGAAAGUAAUUGGCAAGCACCUUGUCGUCACGAGCUCCAGUGGCUUGCAUCGUGAUGGUGUAGAUGUCGAGGAACUCUGACGGUUGGGUCUUGCCGUCAUACUUCUCGCCAACAUCGGGCUUGAACGUGCGGUGGGACGACCACUGGAACUGCCGUAGCUCACGGGUAAAGGCUGGGUAACCCACCUCGUAAGGUAGGCCGCCGGAGCCUCCCGAUGCUGGGUGGUCCAUAGCGGGCCCCGCUCGCCUGUCUUACUGGUGGCGCGUAUCGCGCCGGCGCUCGAUGGUGGUUCGAGCGUCUUCAUGGGCUCGUUCCUGAAGAACCUGGCGUUGGUCGCGGCGGGUCCAUGGGUCGGACGUGCUAUGGAAAUGUCAUCACAAGUGUCAUCACGACGGACCGACAUCUGCGGUGGUUGGCGUGGAGGAGGAGAGUGCACCAUGGCCGCGGCGCCACCGGCCCCUCCACCACCGGCAUGCAGUGGCUCGAUGUAGCGCCGGCCUGAGGGCCCCACCGGCCGUGUCUCAUCUUUGUUGGAGAUGCCGACGAGGCUCCGGAUAGUGGCUCUCCACUCGUCGAGCUUCUCCGCGGCGGGAGGGAAGUCGAGGAGCAGCUACGCGCGCGCCAGGGCUUCUGCUGGCGUGGGUGGCGGCGAAAGCUGCAUGGACCGCGACGCGCUUCGACUUCUAACCACGUUAGAAGGAGCUUGGUGACGACCCAGCGGCUGUGCGCCAUCCUCGCCAGCACUUCGGCGGGCAUGCUGGCCUCCUUCGUCGCACGGAUGACACAGAGGACUCUUGCCACGACGGCGUCCAGGGUCACCGGUGUGGUGACGCUACUCGUCGCGCACAACAUGGGAAGAGCGCGCAGUGCGCGCCGGAGUGGGUGUCUUGGAGGUCGCCGGGCCGCCCGCGGGUGGUACGGCGAUGCCCCCGGAGGGUCCCGCGCCAUCUGCUAGCGGCCCAGCUCCGUCUCUGGAUUUCGCGGCGCGUGGCCCGUCGACUUGCGCACGAACGAUGCCGCUCGCCAGGCUCUGAUGCUCGCGGGUCGCGCCUCGAGUUCUGUCCGCGACCGGCCCGCUGCUCGCCCGCACUGGUACGGGCCGCCCGGCCCCCGAUGAACUGCUACCCCUUGAGCACUGCAUUGGUUUUCCCUUGAAGAGGAAAGGGUGAUGCAACAAAGUAGCAUAAGUAUUUCCCCUCAGUUUUUGAGAACCAAGGUAUCAAUCCAGUAGGAGGCCACGCACGAGUCCCUCGCACCUACACAAACAAAUAAAAUCCUCGCAACCAACGCAAUAAAGGGGUUGUCAGUCCCUUCACGGUCACUUACGAAAGUGAGAUCUGCUAGAUAUGAUAAGAUAAUAUUUUUGGUAUUUUUAUGAUAAAUAUGCAAAGUAAAGAAAGCAAAAUAAACGGAAAAGGAAAUAGCUUGUUGAUGGAAGAUUAAUAUGAUGGAAAAUAGACCCGGGGGCCAUAGGUUUCACUAGUGGCUUCUCUCGAGAGCAUAAGUAUUAUGGUGGGUAAACAAAUUACUGUUGAGCAAUUGACAGAAUUGAGCAUAGUUAUGAGUAGGUAUGAUCAUGUAUAUAGUCAUCACGUCCGAGACAAGUAGACCGACUCCUGCCUGCAUCUACUACUAUUACUCCACACAUCAACCCUAUCCAACAUGCAUCUAGAGUAUUAAGUUCAAGAGAACAGAGUAACGCUUUAAGCAAGAUGACAUGAUGUAGAGGGAUAAACUCAUGCAAUAUGAUAUAAACCCCAUGUUAUUAUCCUCGAUGGCAACAAUACAAUACGUGCCUUGCUGCCCCUACUGUCACUUGGAAAGGACACCACAAGAUUGAACCCAAAGCUAAGCACUUCUCCCAUUGCAAGAAAGAUCAAUCUAGUAGGCCAAACCAAACUGAUAAUUCGAAGAGACUUGCAAAGAUAACCAAUCAUACAUAAAAGAAUUCAGAGAAGAUUCAAAUAUUUUUCAUAGAUAAACUGGAUCAUAAACCCACAAUUCAUCGAUCUCAACAAACACACCACAAAAAGAAGAUUACAUCGAAUAUAUCUCCACAAGAGAGGGGGAGAACAUUGUAUUUAGAUCCAAAAAGAGAGAAGAAGCCAUCUAGCUAAUAACUAUGGACCCGUAGGUCUGAGGUAAACUACUCACACUUUAUCGGAGGGGCUAUGGUGUUGAUGUAGAAGCCCUCCGUGAUCGAUGCCCCCUCCGGCGGAGCUCCAGAAAAGGCCCCAAGAUGGGAUCUCAUGGAUACAGAAAGUAAUGGCGGUGGAAUUAGGGUUUUGGCUCCGUAUCUGGUAGUUUAGGGUACGUAGGUAUAUAUAGGAGGAAGAAGUACGUCGAUGGAGCAACGUGAGUGGGGGGGGGGGGUAGGCGCGCCCCCCUACCUCGUGCCUUCCUAUUUGCUUUCUUGACGUAGGGUCCAAGUCCUCUGGACCGUGUUCGUUCCAAAAAUCACGUUCCGAAAGGUUUCAUUCCGUUUGGACUGCGUUUGAUAUUCUUUUUCUGCGAAACUCUGAAAUAGGCAAAAAAACAGCAAUUCUGGGUUGGGCCUCCGGUUAAUAGGUAGUCCCAAAAAUAAUAUAAAAGUGUAUAAUAAAGCCCAAUAAUGUCCAAAACAAGAUAUAAUACAACAUGGAACAAUAAAAAAUUAUAGAUACGUUGGAGACGUAUCAAGCAUCCCCAAGCUUAAUUCCUACUCGUCCUCGAGUAGGUAAAUGAUAAAAACAGAAUUUUUGAUGUGGAAGGCUACUUGUCAUAAUUUCAAUGUAAUUCUCUUAAUUGUGGUAUGAAUAUUCAGAUCCAAAAGAUUCAAGACAAAAGUUUAAUAUUGACAUAGAAAUAAUAAUACUUCAAGCAUACUAACUAAGCAAUUAUGUCUCUUCAAAAUAACAUGGCCAAAGAAAGUUAUCCCUACAAAAUUAUAUAGUCUGGCUAUGCUCCUUCUUCAGCACACAAAGUAUUUAAAUCAUGCACAACCCCGAUGACAAGCCAAGUAAUUGUUUCAUACUUUUGGUGUUCUCAAAAUUUUUCAAUCUUCACGCAAUUCAUGAGCGUGAGCCAUGGACAUAGCACUAUAUGUGGAAUAGAAUGGUGGUUGUGGAUAAGACAAAAAGGGAGAAGGUAGUCUCACAUCAACUAGGCGUAUUAACGGACUAUGGAGAUGCCAAUUAAUAGAUAUCAAUGUGAGUGAGUAGGGAUUGCCAUGCAACGAAUGCACUAGAGCUAUAAGUAUAUGAAAGCUCAACAAAAGAAACUAAGUGAGUGUGCAUCCAACUCACUUGCUCACGAAGACCUAGGGCAUUUUGAGGAAGCCCAUCAUUGGAAUAUACAAGCCAAGUUCUAUAAUGAAAAAUUCCUACUAGUAUAUGAAAGUGAUAACAUAGGAGACUCUCUAUCAUGAAGAUCAUGGGGCUACUUUGAAGCACAAGUGUGGUAAAAGGAUAGUAGCAUUGUCCCUUCUAUCUUUUUCUCUCAUUUUUUAUUUAUUUGGGCCUUUUCUCCUUUUUUUAUGGCCUCUUUUUUUAGUCCGGAGUCUCAUCCCGACUUGUGGGGGAAUCAUAGUCUCCAUCAUCCUUUCCUGACUUGGGACAAUGCUCUAAAAAUGAUGAUCAUCACACUUUUUAUUUACUUACAACUCAACAAUUACAACUCAAUACUUAGAACAAAAUAAGACUCUAUGUGAAUGCCUCCAGCGGUGUACCUGGAUAUGCAAUGAAUCAAGAGUGACAUGUAUGAAAGAAUUAUGAAUGGUGGCUUUGCCACAAAUACAAUGUCAACUACAUGAUCAUGCAAAACAAUAUGACAAUGAUGGAGCAUGUCAUAAUAAACGGAACAGUGGUAAGUUGCAUGGAAAUAUAUCUUGGAAUGGCUAUGGAAAGCCAUGAUAGGUAGGUAUGGUGGCUGUUUUGAGGAAGGUAUAUGGUGGGUGUAUGAUACCGGCGAGAAGUGCGCGUCAUUAGAGAGGCUAGCAAUGGUGGAAUAAAGAAAGUGCGUAUGAUCCAUGGACUCAACAUUAGUCAUAAAGAACUCAUAUACUUAUUGCAAAAAUCUAUUAGUUAUCGAAGCAAAGUAUUACGCGCAUGCUCCUAGGGGGAUAGAUUGGUAGGAAAAGACCAUCGCCCGUCCCCGACCGCCACUCAUAAGGAAGACAAUCAAUAAAUAAAUCAUGCUCCGACUUCACCACAUAACGGUUCACCAUACGUGCAUGCUACGGUAAUCACAAACUUCAACACAAGUAUUUCUCAAAUUCACAACUACUCAACUAGCAUGACUUUAAUAUCACCAUAUCCAUGUCUCAAAACAAUUAUCAAGUAUCAAACUUCUCAUAGUAUUCAACAAACUCAUAAGAAUUUUUUUAUUAAUCUUGAAUGCCUAACAUAAUUAAAGCAAAUUACCAUGCUGUUUUGUAGGACUCCCAAAAUAAUCUAAGUGAAGCAUGAGAGAACAAUAGUUUCUAUAAAACAAAUCCACCACCGUGCUCUAAAAGAUAUAAGUGAAGCACUAGAGCAAAAACUAUAUAACUCAAAAGAUAUAAGUGAAGCACAUAGAGUAUUCUCACAAUUUCCGAAUCAUGUGUGUCUUUCUCAAAAGGUGUGUACAGCAAGGAUGAUUGUGGAAAACUAACAAAUAAAGACUCAAAUAAUACAAGACGCUCCAAGCAAAACACAUAUCAUGUGGUAAAUAAAAAUAUAGCUCCAAGUAAAGUUACCGAUGUAAGUAGACGAAAAAGGGGAUGCCUUCCAGGGCAUCCCCAAGCUUUGGCUUUUAGGUGUCCUUAUAUUAUAUUGGGGUGCCAUGGGCAUCCCCAAGAUUAGGCUCUUGCCACUCCUUGUUCCAUAAUCCAUCAAAUCUUUCACUCAAAACAUGAAAACUUCACAACACAAAACUAAAAGUAAAAAAUCUCGUGAGCCCCGUUAGCGAAAGAAAAAAAAACAGCACUUCAAGGUACUGUAAUGAACUCAUUAUUUAUUUAUAUUGGUGUUAAACCUACUGUAUUCCAACUUCUCUAUGGUUUAUAAACUAUUUUACUAGCCAUAGAUUCAUCAAAAUAAGCAAACAACACACGAAAAACAGAAUCUGUCGAAAACAGAACAGUCUGUAGUAAUCUGUAGCUAACACAAGUUCUGGAUCCCCAAAAAUUCUAAAAUAAAUUUCUGUACGUGUGGAAUUUAUCUAUUAAUCAUCUGCAAAAAUAGUUAACUAAAUAGCACUUUCCAAUUAAAAAUGGCAGCAAUUCUCGUGAGCGCUAAAGUUUCUGUUUUUUACAGCAAGAUUAAAAAGACUUUCCCUGAGUCUUCCCAACGGUUCUACUUGGCACAAAUACUAAUUAAACACAAAAAACACAAGAAAAACAGAGGCUAGAUAAAUUAUUUAUUACUAAACAGGAGCAAAAAGCAAGGAAUAAAAAUAAAAUUGGGUUGCCUCCCAGCAGGCGCUAUCAUUUAACGCCCCUAGUUAGGCAUAAAAGCGAAGAUAGAUCUAGGUAUUGCCUUCUUUGGUAGGCAAUCCAUAAGUGGCUCUCAUAAUAGAUUCAUAUGGUAAUUUAAUUUUCUUUCUAGGGAAGUGUUCCAUGCAUUUCCUUAACAGAAAUUGGAAUCUAAUGUUCCCUUCCUUCAUAUCAAUAAUUGCACCAAUUGUUCUAAGGAAAGGUCUACCAAGAAUAAUAGGACAUGAAGGAUUGCAAUCUAUAUCAAGAACAAUAAAAUAUACGGGCACCUAAUUCCUAUUUACAAAAACAAGAACAUCAUUAAUUCUUCCCAUAGGUUUCUUAAUAGUUGAAUCCGCAAGGUGCAAGUUUAAAGAGCAAUCAUCAAAAUCAUGGAAACCUAGCAAAUCACACAAAGUCUUUGGAAUCGUGGAAACACUAGCACCCAAAUCACACAAAGCAUAGCAUUCAUGAUCUUUAAUUUUAAUUUCAAUAGUAGGUUCCCACUCAUCAUAAAGUUUUCUAGGGAUAGAAACUUCCAACUCAAGUUUUUCUUCAUAAGAUUGCAUCAAAGCAUCAACGAUAUGUUUGGUAAAGGAUUUAUUUUGACUAUAAGCAUGAGGAGAAUUUAGCACGGAUUGCAACAAGGAAAUACAAUCUAUCAAAGAGCAAUUAUCAUAAUUAAAUUCCUUGAGAUCCAAAAUAGUGGGUUCAUUGAUAUUUAAAGUUUUGACUUCUUCAAUCCCACUUUUAACAAUUUUAGCAUCAAGAUCUAAAGACUCUGAAUUUUUGGAACGUCUUCUAGGUAAAGGUGGAUCAUAUUUAGUCCCAUCAUUAUCAAGAUUCAUAUUGCAAAACAAAGAUUUAAUAGGGGACACGUUAAUAACUUUUAGAUCUUCAUCUUUAUUAUCAUGGAAAUUUUCCGGCUUAGCGGGUGUCGGUGUCAAAACCGGCGGAUCUCGGGUAGGGGGUCCCGAACUGUGCGUCUAGGCCGGAUGGUAACAGGAGGCAAGGGACACGAAGUUUUACCCAGGUUCGGGUCCUCUCGAUGGAGGUAAAACCCUACGUCCCGCUUGAUUAAUAUUGAUGAUAUGGGUAGUACAAGAGUAGAUCUACCACGAGAUCGUAGAGGCUAAACCCUAGAAGCUAGCCUAUGGUAUGAUUGUUGUUAUGUAUGUUGUCCUACGGACUAAAACCCUCCGGUUUAUAUAGACACCGGGGUGGGUUAGGGUUACACAAAGUCGGUUACAAUGGUAGGAGAUCUGCAUAUCCGUAUCGCCAAGCUUGCCUUCCACGCCAAGGAAAGUCCCUUCCGGACACGAGACGAAGUCUUCAAUCUUGUAUCUUCAUAGUCUAGGAGUCCGGCUGAAGGUAUAGUCCGGGCAUCCGGACACCCCCUAAUCCAGGACUCCCUUAGUAGCCCCUAAACCAGGCUUCAAUGACGACGAGUCCGGCGCGCAGAUUGUCUUCGGCAUUGCAAGGCGGGUUCCUCCUCCAAGUACUUCAUAGAAGAUUUUGAACACAAAGAUAGUGUCUGGCUCUGCAAAAUAAGUUUCCACAUAUUGCCAUAGAGAGAAUAAUAUUUACACAAAUCUAAUCUGCUGACGUAUUCUGUAGCGUGACACACCACGGCCAAGCCUUUAUCCGAGUCAUUUCAUUAUCCCACCUCAGCGCAUCAUGCGAGGCGGUUUCCUUGGCACGUCUUGUUAAAGCAGAGAUCGUGUCCCCUUAUUCCGGGAUUCUCAUCAAUACGGGCGUGGGUAACCCAACCGCGCCAUUGAUUAUGUUACUUGGAGAUAAGCGAGUUUUACCAGGCUGGUGGGGACACGUAGUUGCGUCCACCCAUAUAAGGGGAUAAGGAUCCACCUUUUCACCUACGCCUUCUUCCUCCCUUGCUUAUCCAUUAUCACACACUCGAGCUGCAGCGCCCAAGUCCGCAUUCCCCACCUCAACCUUCUCCAGCCAUGUCCGGAGCGGGAGGCAAGUGGAUGGUCUCCUCCGUCAUGUAGGGACACAUCAAAAAACUGAGGAAGGCCGGAUACUUGUCUAUCGACAUUGCGUACCGGCUUCUCGAAAAGGGGCAGCUCAUCCCCACCCCUAGGCCCCAUGAGAGGGUGGUGUUCCUCCCCCAUUUCCUCCGCGGACUGGGCUUCCCUCUUCACCCAUUUGUCCGGGGGCUCAUGUUAUACUAUGGCCUGGAUUUCCACGAUCUGGCCCCGAACUUUGUCCUCAACAUCUCGGCGUUUAUCGUCGUGUGCGAGGCUUUCCUCCGCAUCCGCCCCCAUUUCGGCCUAUGGCUCAAGACUUUCAAUGUCAAGCCGAAGGUGGUGCGCAGCAACCAGGUGGAGUGCGGAGGCGCCAUGGUGGGCAAGAUGGCCAACGUCUUAUGGUUCGGGGGCUCCUUUGUGGAGACCCUGAAGGGGUGGCAAUCAGGGUGGUUUUACAUCACCGAGCCGCGCGACCCCGAAUGGGUCGCAGCCCCUGAGUUUCGAUCCGGACCCCCUACGCGGCUCACCUCCUAGAAGGAGACGGGCCUGUCGUGGGGUAAAAAAGGAGAGCUGACCGGACUCCAAACAUGCGUCCAAACCCUGGUGGACAAGAAGCUCAAACUUGUCAACGUAGUCCAGGUUAUGCUCAUCCGCCUGAUUCUCCCGUGUCAACAACGGGCUUUCAACCUGUGGGAGUUCGACCCGGCGCGGCAGCAAACUCUGAUCAGGCUCUUCGACACAAUGUACAAAGAUGCCUGGAAGGUGCUUUUCAAGGGCGCCGAGGCCCCCGCAUCCGCUACCGAGGAUCGCGGAUUCAGUACGCAGCAUCACGCUCAUGCGGUAAGCUGUUUUUUCCUUUUAUAGGGUAUCCGUUUUUCAUAGUUUGAUUCCAUGCGGGAUCUAAGCUCCCUUACCUUUGACAGGACUGGCAGGUGACGUUCGGACAGAUCAACUGUCCGGCUCCUUUGCCCGAAGGCCCAGCGAACACUCACUUGGUGAAGCUGCUAGUUCCGGCACCCUAUGUGGUGCCGGAGAAGAAGGUCGCGAAAAAGGCCACGGGGACUCUAAAGAGUGCCCGGCGCCAGGAGGUGUCGGAUCCAUCAUCCGACGGUUCCGAGGCACAUUCCUCCCGUGAAGACGAGGAGGAAGAAGAAGAGACCUCUCCCCCUCCAGCGGGGGAAGAGAAGAAAAGGAAGGCCGCCCUCUUUGGGGAGGCCGGAGGGUCCAAGAAGGGGAAAACCCUUCCUCCGGACUACUCUACCAAUGCCAAUGACGGCGGAGAGGAGUGGCCGCCCAGGGCCAAGCCCCUGACAAAAUCGUAAAUAUCCGGAUACCAGAGUCAUUCAUAGUAUUCGCUCAUUGCACAGCUUUCCCUUAUGUCGAAUAUGUUUAUGCAGCCCACCCAAAGACCGGCUCGACGCGUCGUUGAGAGGCUCACUGGACUCGUCGGAUGUGAACUCGCUUCCGACGGCUUCCUCCCCCCGCCCUACGGACGACACCAAAGUGUUGUCCCAACAGGUUCCAAGCCGGGAGGAGGUGGUCCUGGAGGCGCCGCAAAGCGACCUCCCGGACUCCAGGAGUAAAUGGGAUGAAACCCCCCAGGGCUCCAAGUCCAGCUCUAGGCCGGACACCGCUCCGGAACCUUCAAAGGUUCCAGAGUCCGGCGGGGGACCUCCUUCCAAGAGGAGCAAGCCCACCGUGUUGGUGACCCCCGUCCAACCGGAGGCGCCUGACAAUCUGUUGGAGGCGCUCCAAGGCGCCUCCAUCGACGAGGAGCACCGCACCAUUAUGAGUGCGGUGGUCCAGAAGGUUCAGUCCGCCAAGAGCGGACUGACUGAAGCUUGUACUAGCCUUUUAACAGGCUUUGAGGUAAGUAAAGAAUGUGUAAAUAAUAUUACCGCAUAGACAGUAGCCCCUGAUGCUCUGUUUGGUGUUCGAGAAGAAAAGCCGAAUAGAGGAUCAAAUAAAAUUCGCAGGAGUCUAACAAAAAGGAGUCAAUAUGUGUAUGCAGGCUUCUCUGCUUGCGUCCGCCACACUGACUGCGGAAGUGGACACGCUAAAGCAGAACCUCGAGCGGUCCGAGCAAGAGCUCGGGCGUGCCAAGAAGCAGCUCGAGGACAAUGAAGGUAAGAAAUACCUUGUUUAAAUAUAUAUAAAAAGGUGCAAUUGCAAAAAAUGACAGGAUUAUUGUGGCUAUUGUAGGGGCCACAUCUGAGGUGGCGACCCUUAAGCAAGCGCUGGUCGAGGCCGAGAAGAGGGCGGCCACGGAGCGCACCGAGCGGGAGAAGUAUGAGGCCGAGGUUGGCAAGGUACGGCAAGAGCUCCAGGCUCUCAUGGAAAAACAUGAGAGUUUGGAGCUUGACUCAAAGACGCGAGCGUCCGAGCUCACGGUGGCUAUUGAAAAUGCCAAGUCUGCCAAGGCCGAAUCCUAGAAGACCCUCUAGGAGUUGGAUGAGGUGAAGAAGAUAGCGGCAGGUAAGGCAUUCUUUAUGAAAAGCAAACACAUAAACAUGAGUUACUUGUUACUUACCCGAAUCCGGAGCUCUCCAGGAGCGUUCGUAGAUCUUCCCCGGAGUGUGUCCAAUGCCGCCGCAUUCUAUCGAGCCGAGGAGGGCAGCUCGACAGAGAAGGUGUUCUGGUCUUAGUAUGCUGAGGCCGGACACCCCGUGCCCCUGAGCGACCAGCUGAAGCAACUGGUCGAGCUCCACAAGGCGGCCGAACAGGCCAUGAAGGGCCUCAUAGUUCGGCUGUGGCCUGGAGGGGCUCUGCCUGGGAGCUAUUUCGGGCUGGUGCGGCGGCAGGUGGAGGCCUGUCCAAGGCUCGAAGUCAGCAAGCGCUCCGUCUGCAUUGAAGGUGCCCGUAGGGCCCUUGCCCGUGCUAAGGUGCACUGGGGCAAGCUGGAUGCUAAGAAGCUUGUGAAGGAUGGGCCACCGCCGGGGAAAGAGCAUCGCAAGCCCGAGAAUUAUUAUAAGGAUGUUCUGAAGGGUGUCUGCCUUGUGGCGGAUGAAUGUUCCAGGUAUGUAAUUUUUGAGUGAAACUUGCUCGUUUUGUCCUGUGCGCUGAAAACUUGUUCAUAUGCGCUAAGCAAUGCUGUUGGAAUUUAAAAUAUUACCUUCUGUGCGGCUGUUUAUCAAUUCUGAGAGAUGGCAAGUCGUCGGCUUCUGCCCCCGUGCCGCUAGUGCUGGGGUGUUCAGGGAUAAACCUGAGCGCUCUUUUUCCCAUGUUUGGGUCCUUCAAGGGAGGCGCUCAGCCCAACGAACAAGGUAAUCGGACUAUAAUGCGUGAACACUCUCACUUAGCCAUAGAAUUCUAUAAUUUUAAAUUUCGGCGAAGCCCCUGGUAUUCGGAAAACCGAGUUCGGGGCGCUAUCCACACCUUGGCCGGACAGAGCCGGAUCCUCACUCUAAGCGGCAUAAGUCUUUAGGGACUCGAAAAAUCUCUCGAACAACGACCAGCUCUCGCUUCAUCAUGACAGUCAGUUUUAGCUUUCUCCACUGAGGUGCUCGACCCAGCUCAACUGGGGCACAAUCGCAGUGGUUCUCCUAGUGCUACCUUAGCCGAUAUAGCGGAACGUAAGGCACCAAAACAUAGGAGCCGGGCAAACCCAACUAUUGACCCAAGACAUGAUUCGGAGCCGAUGCAUAUAAUGCUAUAAGUUCGGGGAGCCGCACUUGUUAAAGUGUUCGGACUUCUCACACCAUAUUGAGGGGUACUAAAGCCCCUGGCGUAUUUUGGUCGUACCAAAGUGUACAGAUGCAACAUGUCGUUAAGGAACAUAUAUUAAAAAAGAGUAAUGCAAAAAUAGACAAAAGCAAUUCAUUGUUUAUUAAAGAGGGCUGCGAUCAAAGCAGAACGAUAUAAAUAAUGCAAUAAGCAAAAGGUUGGACUAUUUAACGUGUCCAUUCUAGGGGCAGGCUGUGGAAUAGUAUGCGAAACAGGUAUACUGCUCGUGAUAGAGACCACCUGGGAGUUCCGUAAUGCGGUGUGGCUUGUCUGCUUCCCUGGUUCUUGCAUCGUUUGUUCGGCAAUGGAACUGCCGAACGGGCCUUCCGAAGAGUGGAGUCCUGAAAGUAAGAGAGAAUUAAAAAAUCGGCAGCCCCUGGUGCGGUUUAAGCCGUGUUUCGGGCGUGCCGUGAUGGUGCCCCUCCCUCCUGUACCCAUGGUAUUUCUAGAGUGUAGUUAUGUACGUGAAGUACUGGUAUCGCAUUUUUGUGAGGGCUGGGGUUGGGGCCGCAUUGCUACACCUGCUCGGGUCGUGCCAGGCGGUCUUAUUGUAGGUUACUCCGGGCGCGCUUGACGGUGUCCGGUCGUUUAAUGGCCGGACUGGAGAACUGCCUGGAGAGGCUGCUUUGUACUUCUGCUGCAAGGGCCGCCGUGUGCUCCUCCGUUUGGAGGGAGCGUUCGGUGUUUCCAUUGACCGUAAUUACUCCUCAAGGGCCUGGCAUUUUGAGCUUAAGGUAUGCGUAGUGCGGUACCGCAUUGAACUUGGCGAAUGCGGUUCGCCCGAGCAGUGCGUGAUAGCCACUACGGAAUGGGACUAUGUCGAAGAUUAACUCCUCGCUUCGGAAAUUAUCCAGAGAUCCGAAGACCACUUCAAGUUUGACUGAGCCUGUACAGUUGGCCUCUACACCUGGUAUUAUGCCUUUAAAGGUCGUUUUGGUGGGCUUAAUCCUCGAGGGAUCUAUGCCCAGUUUCCGCACUGUAUCCUGGUAAAGCAGGUUCAGGCUGCUGCCGCCGUCCAUAAGGACUCUAGUGAGAUGAAAUCCAUCAAUAAUUGGGUCUAGAACCAAUGCGGCGAAUCCGCCAUGACGGAUGCUAGUGGGAUGGUCCCUCCGAUCGAAGGUGAUCGGGCAGGAGGACCAUGGGUUGAACUUUGGGGCGACUGGCUCUACUGCGUAUACGUCCCUUAACGCGCGCUUCCCGCUCCCUUUUGGGGACGUGGGUUGCGUAUAUCAUGUUCACCGUCCGCACUUGUGGGGGAAAACCCUUCUGUUCACUGUUGUUCAGCGACCGGGGCUCCUCGUCGUCAUCGCUAUGCAACCCCUUGUCUUCAUUUUCGGUGUUUAACUUGCCUGCCUGCUUGAACACCCAACAAUCCCUGUUGGUGUGAUUGGCCGGCUUUUCAGGGGUGCCAUGUAUCCGGCACAAGCGGUCGAGUAUUCAGUCCAAACUGGACGGGCCCCUAGGGUUCCUUUUGAAUGGCUUUUUCCACUGACCGGAUUUAGAGCCUCUGAAUCCGGCAUUAACUAUCGUAUCCUCAGCAUUGUCGCCGUUAAUGCGGCGCUUCUGCUUGUUGCGAUGCGACCUGCCACUACUGUCCCUGGUAUCCGAAUUACCAGGGUUCUUGGUCAUAUUGUUGCUACGAGCAAGCCGGCUGUCUUCUCCUGCGCAAAAGCGGGUCAUGAGUGUCGUGAGUGCUGCCAUAGACUUUGGCUUUUCCUAUCCAAGGUGCCGGGCAAGCCACUCGUCACGGAUAUUGUGCUUGAAGGCUGCUAGGGCCUCAGCGUCCGGACAGUCGACUAUUUGAUUUUUAUUUGUUAGGAACCGUGUCCAGAAUUGCCUGGCCGAUUCCUCUGGCUACUGAAUUACGUGACUUAGGUCAUCGGCAUCUGGGGGUCGCACAUAAGUGCCCUGGAAAUUGUCGAGGAAUGCGGCUUCCAGGUCCUCCCAACAACUGAUUGAUCCUGUUGGCAAGCUGUUAAGCCAAUGCCAAGCUGGUCCUUUAAGCUUGAGUGGGAGGUAUUUGAUGGCGUGGAAAUCAUCGUCGCGGGCCAUGUGGAUAUGAAGGAGAUAAUCCUCGAUCCAUACCGCAGGAUCUGUUGUGCCAUCAUAUGAUUCGAUAUUUACGGGUUUGAAACCUUCGGGGAUUUGAUGAUCCAUUAUUUCAUCUGUGAAGCAUAGUGGGUGUGCGGUGCCUCUAUACUGGGCUAUGUCAUGACGUAGCUCCAAUGAGCUUUGUCUACUGUGCUCGGCCCUGCCGAAUUUGUGGCCGGCGUGACGGUUACCAUCUCGAGCCGUGGGGCUCCCACGCGAUCCGUGGAUCGAUCUUGUUUCCCUUGCCUUGUCCUCCAACAUAUCUCGUAAGUCCGGCGCAUAUUCCCGUGCCUUGGUACGGGGUGCGGCUUGAGUGGAGGGCCGAGAGGCCUCUCUGUCGCGGCCACGAGGUGGCUGGUCGGCCGCAUCAAGUGCUUCCUCCUCUAAUCGGGGUAGCAACCUGCGCUUUGGGUAGCUCUUGGAGGGGCAUUCGAGUUUAUGCUCUUCGGCCGCAAGGACUUCAGUCCAUCUGUCGACUAGCAAAUCUUGAUCAGCUCUAAGCUGUUGCUGUUUUUUCUUGAGGCUUCUUGUCGUGGCCAUAAGCCUGCGUUGAAAAUGCUGUUGCUCGACGGGAUCCUCUGGCACGACGAAUUCGUCAUCGUCGAGGCUUGCCUCGUCUUCGUAGGGAGGCAUAUAAUUAUCGUCCUCAAUCUCUCUGUCUGCUGCUCUCUCAUGAGGGCUAGUUUCUCCAUCCUCCUGUGCUAAAUCUUGCUGGAGGGGGUUUUCUUCGGCACUUUCCAGAGUAUUAUUAUCUCCCAUGCUGGAAUCACCGUAUUUGUUUUGGCGGGAUUUUGAGUGGCGCCGCUGACGCCGGCGCUUAGGCUGUUUCUUGGAGGGGUCAUCCUCCGUUGUUCCAUCGGAUAUCCUUCUUUUGGGGUGUCCACCAUGUAGAUGUCAUAUGACGAGGUGGCUUUCCAGGGCCUGAUAGGCGCUGGUUCUUCAUCGUGUCCUUCAUCGGCGUCCAUACCGUUGAUGUCUUCGGAGUCGAAGUCGAGCAUGUCGGUUAAGUCGUCAAUAGUGGCUACAAAGUGGGUGGUGGGUGGGCUUUGAAUUUCUUCAUUGUCCGAAUCCCAACCUUGCUGACCGUAGUCCGCCUAGGGCUCUCCUGAUAAAGAGAGAGACUUUAGUGUCUUUAGAAUAUCGCCGAAAGGCGAGUGCUGAAAGAUGUCCGCGGCAGUAAACUCCAUAAUCGGUGCCCAAUCGGAUUCGAUCGGCAGGGGCGUGGAGGGUUCGGGGUCCGGAGAGGAGUCCGGCUCCUUGGAGUCAUGAGUCUCGCAGAGUGCGGGGCUGGUGUUCGGCUCGAUCGCCGUUGGGAUCGCAGCCCUAAGGCAGCGUCCAACCACCCAUCCUCGAUCGGCGCAGUUGGCUCCGAAUUAAGGGUCUAAGCCGAUGCGGGUGUGGCCUCCAGGGCACUGUUCAGCGGCAGAGCUAGAUCAUGCUCGUCGUGACAGUGCGGCGCGCUCGGCAGUGGCUCGAAUCCGUCGAAGAUCAAGUCCCCGUGGAUGUUAGCCGUGUAGUUUAAACUUCCAAAUCUGACCUGACGGCCAGGGGCAUAGCUUUCGAUCUGCUCCAGAUGGCCAAGUGAAUUGGCCCGCAGUGCGAAGCCGCCGAAGACGAAGAUCUAUCCAGGGAGGAAGGUCUCACCCUGGACUGCAUCGCCAUUGAUGAUCGUAGGAGCCAUCAAGCCUGACGUCGACGACACAGAGGAACUCUCAAUGAAAGCACCAAUGUCGGUGUCAAAACCGGUGGAUCUCGGGUAGGGGGUCCCGAACUGUGCGUCUAGGCCAGAUGGUAACAUGAGGCAAGGGACACGAAGUUUUACCCAGGUUCGGGCCCUCCCGAUGGAGGUAAAACCCUACGUCCUGCUUGAUUAAUAUUGAUGAUAUGGGCAGUACAAGAGUAGAUCUACCAUGAGAUCGGAGAGGCUAAACCCUAGAAGCUAGCCUAUGGUAUGAUUGUUGUUGUGUAUGUUGUCCUACGGACUAAAACCCUCCGGUUUAUAUAGACACCGGAGAGGGUUAGGGUUACACAAAGUCGGUUACAAUGGUAGGAGAUCUGCAUAUCCGUAUCGCCAAGCUUGCCUUCCACGCCAUGGAAAGUCCCUUCCGGACACGGGACGAAGUCUUCAAUCUUGUAUCUUCAUAGUCCAGGAGUCCGGCUGAAGGUAUAGUCCGGCCAUCCGGACACCCCCUAAUCCAGGACUCCCUCAGCGGGCAUCUUAUUAACUAAGGUGUCCUUCUUAUCCGAGACUUCAGCUAUUAACUUCUCAAGGUGAGAAAUCUGAGAUUUCAAACCAUCAAAUUCUUUAGUCAUAUCAUCGAGCUCUUUAUUCAUAAAACCCAUAAAGCUUUUGUGUUCCGUAAGCUCGUUUCUAAAGAAAUUAUUAUGCUCAAAUUGUAAGACCAUAAAACUCCUGGCGUUGCUUUCGAUCUCUUCUAACCUUUUAAGGUGAUGAUCACCAAAUCUAGGUAGAGCCAUCGUGACAAGCAAGCAAUCCAACACACAAGCAAACAAGAGACGGGCAAAAGGAGGAAAAUAGAGAAAGAGAAGGGGGACGGAGAGAGAGGGCGAAUAAAAUGACAAGGGUGAAGUGGGGGAGAGGAAAACGAGAGGCAAAUGGCUAAUAAUGUAAUGCGGGAGAUAAGGGUUUGUUAUGGGUACUUGGUAUGUUGACUUUUGUGUAGACUCCCCGGCAACGGCGCCAGAAAUCCUUCUUGCUACCUCUUGAGCACUGCGUUGGUUUUCCCUUGAAGAGGAAAGGGUGAUGCAGCAAAGUAGCAUAAGUAUCUCCCUCAGUUUUUGAGAACCAAGGUAUCUAUCCAGUAGGAGGCCACGCACAAGUCCCUCGCACCUACACAAACAAAUAAAAUCCUCGCAACCAACACAAUAAAGGGGUUGUCAGUCCCUUCACAGUCACUUACGAAAGUGAGAUCUGAUAGAUAUGAUCAGAUAAUAUUUUUGGUAUUUUUAUGAUAAAUAUGCAAAGUAAAGAAAGCAAAAUAAACGGAAAAGGAAAUAGCUUGUUGAUGGAAGAUUAAUAUGAUGGAAAAUAGACCCGGGGGCCAAAGGUUUCACUAGUGGCUUCUCUCAAGAGCAUAAGUAUUACGGUGGGUAAACAAAUUACUGUUGAGCAAUUGACAGAAUUAAGCAUAGUUAUGAGAAUAUCUAGGUAUGAUCAUGUAUAUAGGCAUCACGUCCGAGACAAGUAGACCGUCUCCUGCCUGCAUCUACUACUAUUACUCCACACAUCGACCGCUAUCCAGCAUGCAUCUAGAGUAUUAAGUUUAAGAGAACAGAGUAACACUUUAAGCAAGAUGACAUGAUGUAGAGGGAUAAACUCAUGCAAUAUGAUAUAAACCCCAUCUUGUUAUCCUCGAUGGCAACAAUACAAUAUGUGCCUUGCUGCCCCUACUGUCACUGGGAAAGGACGCCGCAAGAUUGAACCCAAAGCUAAGCACUUCUCCCAUUGCAAGAAAUAUCAAUCUAGUAGGCCAAACCAAACUGAUAAUUCGAAGACACUUGCAAAGGUAACCAAUCAUACAUAAAAGAAUUCAGAUAAGAUUCUAAUAUUGUCCAUAGAUAAAAUUGAUCAUAAACCCACAAUUCAUCGGUCUCAACAAACACACCGCAAAAAUAAGAUUAAAUCGAAUAUAUCUCCAUAAGAGAGGGGGAGAACUUUGUAUUGAGAUCCAAAAAGAGAGAAGAAGCAAUCUAGCUAAUAACUAUGGACCCGAAGGUCUGAAAUAAACUACUCACACUUCAUCGGAGAGGCUAUGGUGUUGAUGUAGAAGCCCUCUGUGAUCGAUGCCCCCUCCGGCGGAGCUCCGAAAAAGGCCCCAAGGUGGGAUCUCACGGAUACAGAAAGUUACGGCGGUUGAAUUAGGGUUUUGGCUCCAUAUCUGGUAGUUUGGGGGUACGUAGGUAUAUAUAGGAGGAAGAAGUACGUCGGUGGAGCAACAUGGGGCGCCCUACCUCGUGCCUUCCUGAUUGCUUUCUUGACGUAGGGUCCAAGUCCUAUGGAUCAUGUUCGUUCCAAAAAUCACGUUCCCGAUGGUUUCAUUCCGUUUGGACUCCGUUUGAUAUUCUUUUUCUGCAAAACUCUGAAAUAGGCAAAAACAACAAUUCUGGGCUGGGCCUCCAGUUAAUAGGUUAGUCCGAAAAAUAAUAUAAAAGUGUAUAAUAAAGCCCAAUAAUGUCCAAAACAGGAUAUAAUAUAGCAUGGAACAAUAAAAAAUUAUAGAUACGUUGGAGACGUAUCACGAACCGACCGCCGUGGCCGCCUUUUUCUUGGGAGCCAUGGCGACGAAGAACCGCUAGGCUAACUGCUAGACCAGAUUCUCACAACUGUGUUCCCCUACCUGGCACGCCAAAGAUGUCGGUGGAAAUGACACCUAUGGGAUCACUAGGAUCCCUUCUACGGUCGGUGGGCGCGGGGUCGUGAGAAGAGCAGGUUUAGGAGCAAGCACACGGGUCGUUUACCCAGGUUCGGGCCGCGAGGACGCAUAAAACCCUAGUCCUGCUUUGGUGGAUGUAUUGAGUGUUCUUGAGCUUCUUGAACUAGCUACGGUGGGUGUGCCGUCCCAAAAAGACGAACCCCUCUCCUGGUCGCCUUGGCCUCCUUUUAUAGGAAAAGGGGCUGCCACAGUGGCACACAGGAGGUGGAAAGGCCUACAGUGCGCGAGCUUAUCGCACGGCAUUACGAGACAAAGCGCAUUAAAUGCGCUACGUAGGUGUCCAUUUGCUUUAUCGGGGACGGGAACAAGGCCCGUCCCGUCCGUCGCCGCUCUGCCUCGCUUCGACACGCGCCCAGGCCGGCGAUGCAUGCAGCGCCUUGUAGGCAGGCAGGCAGCUGAGGUGGCGCGGCGGUAGAGCCUUCAUGAAGAUCUACAUGCCGCCACGCAGGCGCUUGCUGAGUUGGCCUGGAAGCUAGAAGCUGCAUGUUGCCACGUAGGUGCCUGCCCAACUAGUUGGGUUGGCAGCUGCAUGCGAAUGGCGGCGGACUCUUGGCUGGUGCGAGCCUGGCAGUGGCCCUGCUGAUGCCCUCGGCAAGAGUCUUGCUGGGGGCUCGGCAAGGGUCUUGCCGUGGUGUCGCUAUAAUCCCCGACAAGGGUCUUGCCGGGGGUCUUGUGGAUUGCCUCGGCUAGGAUCCUGCCGAGGGCCGCCGUCUUCUAGUCCUCAUCUGAACUCAUAUAUUUACGAGCUUGACGAAGAUUUGCAUGCCACCACAGAGGCUUCUCCCGAGCCUUAGUUCCAACGCAGUUGGUUAGGUUGGAGCUGGUGGGCUCAAGGGUCAUUCACCCCGCUAGCAUCGGGCAAGUUGCCCCGGCAAGGCUCUUUCCGGGGCUGCGGGGGGGGGGGCUCGGCAAGGAUCUUGCCGAGGGAGUCCACCUCGCCCUAUUGCCCUCCUGCGCUUCCGGUCUUGGCGUCGCCUUGGUCGCCUCAUGCUUCGGCUUCUCUCCGGCUUCCCUCCUCUGCCCUGCUAAGUGUGGCCGCGGCGUGUGGCUCAGACUUCCCGUGCACAAGUAAAGGGGUCAAAAGGAGAACCCCUACUUUUGUACACCGACACUCCUGGCGCGGGCCACGGUCGUCCCAGCGUCCGCCACCACGUCCUCCUCCUCAGCCAUAGCCCCGGUCACUACACUCGGGGCGUCAACCGAAGCGUCCUUCUCGGAUGGCUCUGAGCUCUUGAUAGUAGCUGGUGUUGUGGGUAUGCGGGUUGUGGAAGGCGCAGAAUGGUCGGCUGCCCUUGGAUGACCCAGGCUGGUCUCUGCCGCGCUUGGUUUCUGGCUCCGCCGCGAGCACGGCUGCUCCCUUGCGCUUCACGUCCUUGGCCUUGGUCUUCUUCUCCUCCGGGUCUGCAGUAGGGAGUUCGAGGAGGGAGAGGCGCCCCUCCUCAGCUCUCGCACACUUGGUCGCGAUGUUGAACAACUCCAAGGUCGUGCACACCUCCUCGUGGAUGGCGAGCUCCUCCUUCAUCUUGACGUCGCGGACGCUGUCGGAGAACGCUGAGAUGAUGGCCUUGUCGGUCACCUUGGGGAUCUUGAUUCACGCGUUGUUGAAGCGCUGAAUGUACUUCUGCAGGGUCUCUCCUUGUUGUUGCUUGAUGCGGCGCAGGUCGCUCGUGACCGGGGGGCGGUCACGAGCGCCCUGGAAGUUGGCGAUGAAGCGGUUGCACAUCUCGCCCCAGGAGGAAAUUGAGCCUGGAGGCAGGUUCAGGAGCCAGGAGCAGGGGCCAUCCUUGAGAGCCAUGGGAAACCAGUUCGCCAUGACUUCCUCAUCGCCGUUUGGCCGCCUCGAUGCUCAGCUCGUAGAGCUGCAGGAACUCCGCGGGGUCAGGGGUGCCGUCGUAGCAAGGAGGCAGAUCUGGCUUGAACUUGCCCGGCCAGGCGACGCUGCGUAGCUCGGGGGUGAAGGCGCAGCAGCCGGCCAUGGUCACCGGGGCCCGCCUUGGAGGUGGAACUUGGCCUUGGCGCCCGUGCGCUGCUACGGCUAGUGGCGCGGGGACUUGCCACAGCAAACGAUCCUGGCGCGGCGGAGCAAGGAGUGGCGGAGCGUUUGCUUGCGGUCGAGGGACUUCUUGACAGCUUCUUUCUUCAUGCGCGGGCGCCGGACGUGGUGGGUCGCACCGUGGAGCCGCGUGCCUUGGCACUAGGGCACCGUCUUGGGGCAAAGGUGGUGGAGGUGCUUCGGGAGCUGCGUCGCCCGUGGCUGGCGGAGGGCAAGGCAGAGAGUGGGACGGCGCAGGGGAGCCCCCUGCGGCGUGGACAAGCUCGGUGAUGCGGUCAAGCCAGUCCUCAUAGAGGUCAUCGACUGGGCGGUAGCGCAGGAGCUCGUGCGCCAUGAGGAGCGCGGCCCAUGCGUUCGUGGGAACGCAGCGAGCAUGAGACGACGAACCAGCGAGAGUUAGCGAUGGAGUGGAGGUGCGGCCGUCCUGCUGCACCGAGGGGUGGAGCGAGGAUGCUUUCUGCUCGUUCCCCGCCGGGCCGGUGGCGGCGUUGGCGGCAGGAGACGGAGAGCGAUGGGGUGGCCUACCGACAGGGGCCGUCUGAGCGACGCGGGUGGCGAGGGAAGCCCGGCCCUCGGCACGGGCGCGACGUGCGUCCGCCAUGGAGACGAUGGAGCGACAUGAUGCAAAGCGGCAGGAAAGAAGCUUCGACGCACCCCUACCUGGCGCUCCAAAUGUCGGAUCACGGGUUCCGGCAAAACCCUUAAGGUUCGAACACUUGGUGCGCGCGAAGAUCUCCCCUCCUACCGAUCCGCGCCCUAACUUAGCCUAGAUCUCACGAACUAACUCAACAAACUCACAACACAAAGGACAUAAGAUUUAUACUGGUUCGGGCCACCAUUGUGGUGUAAUACCCUACUCCAGUGUGGUGGUGGUGGAUUGCCUCUUGGGCUGAAGACGAAGAGUACAAGGGGAAGAACAGCCUCCCAAGGUUGAGGUGUUCUUGUGCUUGGUGAACUUCUGUGGCUGAGGAUGAUCUUGAUGAUCCGUCCCCGCCUAUGGUGGCGGCUAGUCCUAUUUAUAGAGGCCCUAGUCCUCUCCCCAAAUAUUGAGUGGGAAGGGAGCCAACAACGACCAAUUUGAAAGGGGACAACUAGUACAAGGUAUCCUGACAAAAGGUGGUCUUCGCCUGCCAAAGGUUCUGGCGGUGACGCCGUCCUGGGCUCCAUGGUGACCUCCGUCUUGCCGUCCUUCUGGUCUUGGUCUCGUUGCACCAAUAUGGAAACCUUUGCUUGAUGCCUCGGUACUCCGCGCCUGCGCUUGCGCCCCUUAGCACUAAAGAGGAAACAAGGACGCUACACGCGCUGGCGCCCGCCUAGUCUCGAUUGUCAUGGCUUACGUCACGACAACCUUGCGAGGCUUGCCCGACCUUGAACUCUCCUCCCCUCACGAGCCAGCCUGGUGAGGCCACUCCUGAGGAGGUCUUGUGUCGUCCACCUUGCGAGGCUUGGCCCCUCGCGAGGGUCUUCAUUCCUUGUUGAUGAAGAUGGGCCAUACAGGCCUGCCAGCAAAGCCACGUCAUGGGUCGCAGGCAGGCAAGUCUGAGGACCCCCGUAAAUUUCAGCCCAAUCAAAGUUACGGAUCUCCGGGAAUUUAAGAAAUGGUGAAAGGGCAGAAUCAGGGAAUGCAGAAACAGAGAGAGAUAGAGAGACAAAUCCAAUCUCGGAGGGGCUCUCGCCCCUCCGCCGUCAUGGAGGCCAUGGACCAGAGGGUAAACCCUUCUCCCAUCUAGGGAGAAGGUCAAGGAAGAAGAAGAAGAAGAAGAAGAAGGGGGGCUCUCUCCCCCUCUCUCCCGGUGGCGCCGGAACGCCGCCAGGGCCAUCAUCAUGUGACGGCGAUCUACACCAACACCUCCGUCAUCUUCACCAACAUCUUCAUCACCUUCCCCCAUCUAUCUACAGCGGUCCACUCUCCCGCAACCCGCUGUACCCUCUACUUGAACAUGGUGCUUUAUGCUUCAUAUUAUUAUCCAAUGAUGUGUUGCCAUCCUAUGAUGUCUGAGUAGAUUUUCGUUGUCCUAUCGGUAAUUGGUUGUCGGCGUUCUGGUUACGGGGUGGCCAAAAGGGCCCAGGGUGCGCCUGACCCCCUGGGGCGCGCCCCCCUGCCUCGUGGCCCCCUCGGGCGUCGUCUGGCGUUGAUUCUUCUCCCCAAAAAUAACAUAUAUUCCAAAAAAGUCUCUGCCAGUUUUUAUCCUGUUUGGACUCUGUUUGAUAUGGAUUUACUGCGAAACAAAAAACACGCAACAAACUGGAACUGGCACUGGGCACUGGAUCAAUAUGUUAGUCCCAAAAAAUAGUAUAAAAACUUGCCAAAAGUAUAUGAAAGUUGUAUAAUAUUGGCAUGGAACAAUCAAAAAUUAUAGAUACGACGGAGACGUAUCGACAUCCCCAAGCUUAAUUCCUGCUCGUCCUCGAGUAGGUAAAUGAUAAAAAAGAUAAUUUUUGAUGUGGAAUGCUACCUAGCAUAAUCUUGAUAAUGUAAUCUAAUCAUGGCAUGAAUAUUAAGACAUGAGUGAUUCAAGGCAAUAGUCUAUCAUUUGACAUUAAGACAAUAAUACUUCAAGCAUACUAAUAAAUCAAUCAUGUCUUUUUAAAAUAACAAGGCCAAAGAAAGUUAUCCCUACAAAAUCAUAUGGUCUGGCUAUGCUCCAUCUUCACCACACAAAAUAUUCAAAUCAUGCACAACCCCAAUGACAAGCCAAGCAAUUUUUUCAUAAUUUUGACAUUCUCAAACCUUUUCAACUUUCACGCAAUACAUAAGCGUGAGCCAUGGGCACAACGAUAUGGGUGGAAUAGAAUAUGAUGGUGGAGUUUAUGUGGAGAAUACAAAAAAGGAGAAAGUCUCACAUCAACGUGGUGAAUCAACGGGCUAUGGACAUGCAAUUGAUGUCAAUGUGAGGAGUAGGGAUUGCCAUGCAACGGAUGCACUAGAGCUAUAAGUAUAUGAAAUCUCAAACUGAAACUGAGUGGGUGUGCAUCCAACUUGCUUGCUCAUGAAGACCUCGGGCAUUUGAGGAAGCCCAUCAUCGGAAUAUACAAGCCAAGUUCUAUAAUGAAAUUCCCACUAGUAUAUGAAAGUGAUAACUCAAUGAGACUCUCUAUAUGAAGAACAUGGUGCUACUUUGAAGCACAAGUGUAGUAAAAGGAUAGUAACAUUGUCCCUUCUCUCUUUUUCUCUCAUUUUUUUGUUUUGUUUUUUUGGUGGGCUUCUUUGGCCUCUUUUUUUUAUUUGGGCUUCUUUGGCCUCUUUUGUUUUGAUAACCUCACACGGGACAAUGUUCUAAUAGUGAUGAUCAUUACACUUUUAUUUACUUACAACUCACUAUUACAACUCGAUACUAGAACAAAGAUAUGACUCUAUAUGAAUGCCUCCAGCGGUGUAUCGGGAUGUGCAAUGAUCUAGCGUAGCAAUGACAUCAAAAAUGAACAAGCCAUGAAAACAUCAUGCUAGCUAUCUUACGAUCAUGCAAAGCAAUAUGACAAUGAUGCUUAAGUCAUGUAUAUGAUGAUGUUGGAAGUUGCAUGGCAAUAUAUCUCGGAAUGGCUAUGGAAAUGCCAUGAUAGGUAGGUAUGGUGGCUGUUUUGAGGAAGAUAUAAUGAGGCUUAUGUGUGAUAGAGCGUAUCGUAUCACGGGGUUUUGAUCGACCGACGAAGUUUGCACCAACUCUCGAGGUGAGAAAGGGAAAUGCACGAUACCGAAGAGGCUAGCAAUGAUGGAAGGGCGAGAGUGCGUAUAAUCCAUGGACUCAACAUUAGUCAUAAAGAACUCACAUACUUAUUGCAAAAAUCUAUUAGUCAUCGAAACAAAGUACUACACGCAUGCUCCUAGGGGGAUAGAUUGGUAGGAAAAGACCAUUGCUCGUCCCCGAUCGCCACUCAUAAGGAAGACAAUCAAUAAAUACCUCAUGCUCCGACUUCAUCACACAACGGUUCACCAUACGUGCAUGCUACGGGAAUCACAAACUUCAACACAAGUAUUUCUACAAUCCACAACUACCCACUAGCAUGACUCUAAUAUCACCAUCUUUAUAUCGCAAAACUAUUGCAAGGAAUGAAACAUAUCAUAUUCAGUGAUCUACAAGUUUUAUGUAGGAUUUUAUGACUAACCAUGUGAAUGACCAGUUUCUGUCAUCUCUCUAAAUAGAUAUAAGUGAAGCAAGAGAGUUUAAUUCUUUCUACAAAACAUAUGCCCACACUCUAAAAAAUAUAAGGGAAGCAAAAGAGCAUUCUAAAAAUGGCAGUUUUCUAUGUGAAGAGAAACAGGCAAUCCAAACUUCAAAUGAUAUAAGUGAAGCACAUGAAGCAUUCUAUAAAGUCAUACUCAAAAGAUAUAAGUGAAGUGCAAUGAGCAUUCUAUAAAUCAACCAAGGACAAUUUAAUACCAGCAUGGUGCAUAAAAUAAAAGUGAAAACUAAAUGCAAAAGACGCUCCAAGAUUGUACAUAUCGCAUGAACGAAAGGAAUCUGAAAACAUACCGAUACUUGUUGAAGAAAGAUGGGAUGCCUUCCGGGGCAUCCCCAAGCUUAGACGCUGGAGUCUCCUUGAAUAUUUACUUGGGGUGCCUUGGGAAUCCCCAAGCUUGAGCUAUUAUCUCUCCUCCUUAUCCUCAUAUCGAGACCUCCUCGAUCUUCGAACACUUCAUCCACACAAAACUCAACAGAAAGCUCGGUAAGAUCCGUUAGUAUAAUAAAGCAAAUCACUACUGUAAGUACUAUUGCAAACCAAUUCAUAUUUUGUUUUUGCAUUUUAGCUACUGUAAUAUAACUUUUUCAUGGCUUAAUCCACUGAUAUAAAUUGAUAGUUUCAUCAAAACAAGCAAACUAAGCAUCAAAAACAAAAUCUCUCUUAAACACGACAGUCUGUAGUAAUCUGAACAUUAACCAUACCUCUGGUGCUGCAACAAUUCUACCAAAAUUAGGACAAAUAAACAAUUUGUAAAGAAAGACAGUGCAAAAAGUUUCAGAACCGUUUGAUGUUCCAGUAAAAAAUGUAAAAUCACGCACUACAGCCGAAGUUUCUGUCCUGCACCGUACAAACCAACAAGCAAAGUAAACAUCCUAAAGGCAAAUCUUGGCACAUUAUUUUUAUUUUUAAACCUUAUAAAAGCACACAACAGAAAUAAAUGACUCUCUAAAACUUCUGGGUUGUCUCCCUGGCAGCACUUUCUUUAAAGCCCUUAAGCUAGGCAUAUAGUGCUCAAGUAAUGGAUCCACCCGGAUCCCAGGGUAUAUCAAAGCCAAUUUGAAUCAACAAUGAUUUGUAAUUUAGUGGUGAGCACAAAGUAACAUAUAUCAUGUAAUAACGAAGUCUAACUCUCUUCCUAUGCAUCGGCAUGUCAUAAAAGAACAAUUCAUGCACAUCAAGUAAAGGCCAAUACAUAGCAUAAGCAGUUUCUUGCAAUUUUUUCGUGUUGGAAACAUAAAGAGGCAGAGAUGUAGUUCCUCUCCCAUAAUAAUUGCAAGUUGGAAACAUAAACAUAAAGGAGCAGCAAGCACAUGCAUAUUAUAUCUAUCAAAAUCAUCAUGCGUAAUAGUAAAACGCAACCCAUCAAUAUAAUCCUUAACAAGAGCAAACUUCUCCGAUAUAGUGUAGUUGGGAGAAUUCAAAGAGAUAAUAGGACUAUCAUGUGUGGGUACAAUAGCAACAAUUUCAUGUUUAACAUAAGGAACUAUGGCAAGUUCAUCUCCAUAAGCAUAAUUCAUAUUAGCAUCUUGGCCACAAGCAUAGCAAGCAUCAUCAAAAAUGGAUAUUUCAAAAGAAUCAACGGGAUCAUAACAAUCAUCAUAGCAAUCAUCCUUUGGUAAGCACGAAGGGAAAUUAAACAAUGUAUGAGUUGAAGAGUUACUCUCAUUAGAAGGUGGGCACGGGUGAUCAAUCCGCUCUUCCUCCUUUGGUUCUUCGCUCUCCUCCUCACCUUUUUCAUCCAAUGAGCUCACAAUGUCAUUACUUUCUUCUUCCAUAGACUCCUGCAAAAUAUUAGUCUCUUCUUGGACACCGAAGGAGUCCUCAAUAUAUGUUUUAACAUAGGCAUUAGAAGCAUAAUUAUCAUAACAAUAUUUAAGUAUGGCAAAAUUUUCAGAUUUGAAAAGAGUAGCAUCAUACUUUUCAAUCAAAGAAGCAAUUUCAUAAGCACCCUUAAAAGCAACAAAUUCUUCAAUUUUUUGAACAUCAUAGUAAUUAUAAACACCCUUAGUAUACAAAGAUACGAUUCCAUUAUCAGUAAACUCACAUUGGUAGGGAAGGUGUUUCUUAGGGUUUUCAGAACAACAAAUAACAUCGUAUAUUUCACAUAAAUUCCAAGCAUAGCACUGCAAACGAUGAAUUUGAUCCAGUAAAAGUUCCCCUUUUUGAGAUAAGCGGUGUCGCACAUAACAAGCAUGCUCAUCUAAAGAUUUUCCCUCAACUAAGCUAGUUGGGGUUUCAGCACGAGCACAAAGGGAUCGAAGAUGAUCCAAGUAAAAAGCUUUAGGAGUGUGAUAGAUUUUGAGUGGUUCUUCAACAAUUGGUGUAGCAGGUACAACUAAUUUUUUUUGGUAUUUUGUGUUCCCUACCCAUAACUAAAGAUAUAAAACAACUUAUAACAAAAAAUAAAAAUUACUUAGUGAUAAAGCAAACACGCACACACAAGAAUAUUCACCCCACGCUAUGGCUCCCCGACAACGUCGCCAGAAAAAGGUCUUGAUAACCCACAAGUAUAGGGGAUCAAUUGUUGCCUCUUUCGAUAAGUAAGAGUGUCGAACCCAAUGAGGAGCUAAAGGUAGAACAAAUAUUACCUCAAGUUUUAUCGACCACCGAUACAACUCUACGCACGCUUAACGUUCGCUUUACCUAGAACAACUAUGAAACUAGAAGUACUUUGUAGGUGUUGUUGGAUAGGUUUGCAAGAUAAUAAAGAGCGUGUAAAUAAAAAGUAGGGGCUGUUUAGAUAAAGAAACAAUAAAGUUAGUAUAACGAGUUUGGAAAAGUGGUGGUAGGAGUUGCGAAAUUGUCCCUAAGCAAUUGACUACUUUACUAGACCGACAACAAGUUUUAUGUGGGAGAGGCCACUGCUAGCAUGUCAUCCCUGACUUGGAAUUCUAUGCACUUAUGAUUGGAACUAUUAGCAAGCAUCCACAACUACUAACGUUCAUUAAGGUAAAACCCAACCAUAGCAUUAAGAUAUAUUGGUCCCCCUUCAAUCCCGUAUGCAUCAAUUUCUAUGCUAGGUUGAAGCUUCUGUCACUCUUGCCCUCCAAUACAUAGUCUUAUCAACAUACAACUAACCCUAUGGUGUGAUCCACGCGCGCGCUCAUAUGAUGGGCACCAAAGUACAGCAACAUAACCACAAGCAAAUCUCUCCGGGUUCACCGUCGCAACGUUUUUACAAAAACGUCCCUUCUAUUUUUGCUAUUCAACCCGCACUCCCUUUUUAAGUGGAUAUAUGAGAAAACGUUUCACUCUUACUAAAGUAAUCCUGCACUCUUUAGUAUUCAACCCACGAUCCUUUCAUUAGCUGGCUAUAAUAAACGCACAACAUCCUCUCUGGCCGCUUCCUCUCCAGCCGCGACCGCCGCCGCCGCUGAUCUUCUUCUCCGGCCAUCCGCCGACCUCCUGUUCUCCUUCCCCUCCCAACCCGCACCCUCCUCAAUCUCCAACCUCCUACACCCGUAUCGUGCUUCUCUGCUUUGGAUCGAGUUGGCCGGAUCGACCCCAUGGCCGAUGCCAAGGUCGCCAGUCCAUCGUCCUGCUCCACUCGUGUGCGCCCUCGACGUCGACGCCCUCUAAUACUCUUUGCCGCAGCCGCCGCCGUCGGCCUCUGUCACCACGCGCCCCCUUUGAGCACACUGGAUGCAAUCUCACAUGGUGCCGUCGUCCGCACUGUCUAACACCACCUACAGACACAAAAUGGCGGAUCAAGGUGCAAUAAUUUUGAUCUGGCAAGAUACAUGCUACCCACUCAUCUCCCAGUGUUGGCGUUGGUAAGCAUCAGAAUCACUAUGUACUGGUACUAAUUAAACUAUAUCUUUCCAGGUGUUUAAUGAAAUGCCCAACCACACCAAAAACGCGAAUUUAGUUCUGCAUGGUGGAAUCAACGAGGUAGCAUGACCUUCAGCCUUCUACAAGAGGUCAACUUAGUUCAAAUCAUUUAGCUAUGUGCAGUACUAUUGCCAAUCGUCUAUUUAGAUGCCUUUUACAUCAAAAUGGUGAUUUUAUAUGUACUAUUUUUGUAUGUGGUUACGAUUAUGGAUAAGAUUAGAAAACAUGCAGUUCAAAUCGCCAUCAAGCGCAUCAGUCCUUUGAAUGUUAAGCACAUCAAAUGUUUUCAGUUCAUGCAUAAGUUACAAUCAAGCCAGAGACAUUAUGUGUUCUAUUUUUUAGAUCAGAAUCCUAGACGUGGCCAGUUUAUAACAUUCUCCCAGUACCUCUGUUCUGCAUAUGUUUCUCAAACUAAUUCUGCCAUUGAUUAGGAGUGACAUCACCAUGACAUUUCCAAGCUUUGUCUUCCAUGCUCGGGUCGAUGAUACCUGAAAUUCUUAGUUCUUUUGAAUCGAAACAGUAGAAGAUAAGCUUGUGGUGACUUUGUGAAUUUUUGGCAUUGGACCGUUUGAAACUUUAGAUUGGCAGAGAGCUAGAGACCCUGCUACUCUAAAGGAUGUUAAAUUUGAGAACACAAAUUAUUGUUGUUAAAUAAUCUUUGCUUCUUCAUUUGGAAAAGUUAGCAUUGUUGGGAGUUUGAUGUUGCAGUUGGCCUUGGCAGUGGCGAGCUGGGAACCGGCGAGGUAGGCGACAUCGUUGACGACGGCCGUCAUGGCCUCCACCUGUGCCCUCUUGCAGGUGGACUGCUGGUCAUUGAUGUGGCAAGUCGGGCUCUUGCAGCAAAAUCUACGAUAUUCUCUGGAUGAGCUGCAGGUAGGCCAGGCUGUUCACGAGGAUCCAACAACGACCACCAAGGUAUGCCUCCUCUCUUUGCCCUUGGGCUGGCAUCUCUGAUCAGGUUGUAAUCUGAUGGUGCUGUGUUGCUCUGCUUUGAUUUGGGAAUUCCUAUGGGAUCUAUUUUUGAUUGGCCAAAGAUGGUUUAUUUGCUGCCGUUUGGUUUAACAUGAUGCUAUAAUGCGCUAUGGAGAGAUAUGUUAUUCCAGUACAAGUGGCCGGUCAGCUAAUUUGAGGAUUUUUUGCCUUUUGUUCUUUAGGCCUAUAGUGUGUGGUUUCAGUCCGACAGUUAAAACUUGCAUUGGCUUGUUAAACUUCAUGUGACCGGAUCAGUAGGGGAGGAUGAUCACAUAUGGAAAAUACUACUCCAUGGUACUAAAAUCUGUUAUAGGUGUAGGAAGUCAAUGCUAGGACCUCCUGGGAUGUGCUCAUGCAUGCUUGGUCUGAACCUUUUCUUUUCAAUCAAUUGAUGAACCGAUGACAUCAGAUUAUGUCGUAUGUAUACUCCACUACGUAUGGAUAGCCCGCUCGUCGUAUCUCGACAGAGUGAAAACAACUUUGAUCGAUGGAGAUGGAUUUCUUUCCUGUUGGUGUAAUUGUAUGUUCAGGUGGUUCUUUCAGGUCCAUUUUCUCUCUAGCUUCUUGAUGUUUUCCUUCUCUGGUGUAAUUUAGUUGCCAUUUGUAAUAGUAAAACUUUCAUGUCAAAUAUCACUUGAAGAUUUUCUAUGCCAAUUGACAUGUCAUUUAUUUUCUAAUUAACCUAUUGUUGAUGGUGUCUGAUCUCCUUUCUGACAUAUUCCAAGAAUAAGUUCUCAUGUUCAUUAAAUGCAAUUCGGUUGAUUAUUUUGAAUUAUUGCAUUAGGUUAAUAGGAUUUAAUUGUACUUAAAUUUUAUUUUGCACAGGUACACAAACAACAAUGUAACAACUCUAGAAAUCUACAUCUUAAUGCUGCCCUAUUUUUGGGGAUUCAAAUCUCCAGGCUGGAAUCAACAGGCCCACAUAAUCUUCAGUCUUCCACAAUUAUGUUUUGCUUCAUGUUCUAUGAUCAGGCUGUAAUCUGCUGGUGCGGUGCUGCCCUGCUUUGAUUUGGGGGUUCAUCUGGGAUCUAAUUUUGACCGAACAAAGCUGGUGGCUGAUGGAUGGUGUCACCUGAUGGCACUGUGCUACAGAGAGAGAUGUUUUUCCAGCAAUAGAAGUGGCCAGUUAGUUAAGUUGAAGAUUUGUGCCAUCUCUUCUUCAGGCCUGUAGCUUCUGGUUUCAGUCAAAUAGUUAAAGUCGCAUUGUCUUGCAACAGUGAGUGACUGCUGGGUUAACUAUUUGUGGUUUCAGUCGGAUAGUUAAAGUUGCAUUUUCAGUCGGACACAGGCUUGUUGUUUUGCCUGCUUUUUUCUUGACGCGCACUCUCAUCGUUCGUCAUCAUGCAAUGUUGAAGUUAUUCAUGCGGUGGGGUGGAUGAAAGUUAGUACGAGACUAGCACUUUGGUUGUCCCUGUUUGGUGAUAAAAAGCUUUGACUGAAUAUUGAAUCAAUAAUGUUUCUUUUCAGCAAUCCUUCUGCUAUUGCCACUGCUUCCUUUCAUCAAGAUAUCUGUCCAUGCAUAUCUUCUUGAUGAACAAACAUAAAGCCUUGGAUGCCCAUAAAUAUGUUAGGUACUCACCUCCGCUUACUAAACAUAUAUGUACUUAUGUUUUUUUAAUAUGCUUCAACUCCAGCUAACAAUCUACUAAUAAGAAAGCGGUCCCAACCGAUUUUAUGCAUUCAAAAAGCAUUCUAACGUUAUCAAACGAAUUAGAGGACCAAGUGUAGGUUUCAUGUACGUGUGAAUCAACCUCAAAUUGUACGUAGUCAUAUGAUCAGAAUUGGAAAAGAAAAAAGGGUGUACAGUAAAGCUAGUGUUACUUGAGAACUUAAUGAUGCCUUUGUAUUGUUCGAUGCAAAGAAUUUCAUUUUUAAGAAAAGGCUAGGACAUCUAUUGUUGUUUGUAUCUUAGUGUUACAAUGUAAAUCAUAUGUGGUAGUAAAUAUGUUAACCAGGGCGCAAGUAUGUGAUUCAUGUUGUAUUGUACUUAAAUCAGUUUUUAUAAGUCCACAGAACUAACUACACGCUUCAUUUGGUUUUGUGUUUUUUCUUCUUUUUUUCUUUGUCACAGUGCUCAAUGCGAGUUUCAAUAUGAGCCAUCUCGAGUCUGAAGUCCAAACCAUGCAACCUCUUUCGGACUAUGAAGAUAUGAGCCGUUGGGCUUCCUUUCAAUCGGUUGGUGCCUCAAGAAGGCUCAAAUAGGGUGGAAGACUGAUUUGAGCUUCGGUUUUGUUGGCAAAUCGAGGGGAGGAGAAAUCAAAGUCAUGGAGAAAAAAUUCGACCCUAGAUCCCGUGGCCUCGAGUUGUGUGCAUGUGUGGUGCGACAAAUUGGCGCCCAUUUGGCGGCGAUUAGACACUAAGUGGUCAUGCGGGGACAUGUGAGGGACCCAUCCUACCUUAGUGGUAAAAGUCCAUGACACUCGGUGGAACAAGUCCAUGACAUUUGAUGUCAAUUGCGAGAGGUAGUAUGAUGGACGAAUGUAUAGGGUAUAGUUCAGAUCUUGAGCUAUGGUUACUAUUGGGCUAGGAGCUUGUGUUAUUUUUUUUCCGUUGCAACGCACGGGCAUUUUUCCUAGUUAAACCAAUCAUAGCAAUUCACCAAUUACCGAUAGGACAACGAAAAUCUACUCAGACAUCAUAGGAUGGCAACAUACAUCAUUGGAUAAUAAUAUGAAGCAUAAAGCACCAUGUUAAAGUAGAGGGUACAUCGGGUUGCGGGAGAGUGGAGCGUUGUAGAUAGAUGGGGGAAGGUGAUGAAGAUGUUGGUGAAGAUGACAGAGGUGUUGGUGUAGAUCGCCGUCACACGAUGAUGGCCCCAACGGCGUUCCGGCGCCACCGGGAGAGAGGGGGAGAGAGCCCCCUUCUUCUUAUUGUUCCUUGACCUUCUACCUAUAUGGGAGAAGGGUUUCCCCUCUGGUCCAUGGCCUCCAUGGUGGCGGAGGGGCGAGAGUCCCUCCGAGAUUGGACCUGUCUCUCUAUCUCUCUCUAUUUCUGCGUUCCCUGAUUCUGCCCUUUCACUGUUUCUUAAAUUCCCGGAGAUCCGUAACUCCGAUUGGGCUGAAAUUUUAACACCAUCUCUAUCCGGAUAUUAGCUUUCUUGCGGCAGAAGAAGGGCAUCAACCGCCUUAUGGGGUGGCCACGAGGGCCCAGGGCGCGCCUGACCCCUGGGGCGUGCCCCCCUUCCUCGUGGCCCCCUCGGGCAUCGUCUCGCGUUGAUUCUUCUUCCCAAAAAUCACAUAUAUUCCAAAAAAAUCUCCAUCAUUUUUUAUCCCAUUUGGACUCCGUUUGAUAUGGAUUUGCUGUGAAACAAAAAACAUGCAACAAACAGGAACUGGCACUCGACACUGGAUCAAUAUGUUAGUCCCAAAAAAUAGUAUAAAAAGUUACCAAAAGUAUAUGAAAGUUGUAUAAUUUGGCAUGAAACAAUCAAAAAUUAUAGAUACGACGGAGACGUAUCAUGUCCUUUGUCAAUGACAGCAGGGGCAGCAAGGCACGUAUUGUAUUGUUGCCAUCAAGGAUAAAAAGAUGGGGUUCAUAUCAUAUUGCUUGAGUUUAUCCCUCUACAUGAUGUCAUCUUGCCUAAUGCGUUACUCUGUUCUUAUGAACUUUAUACUCUAGAUGCAUGCUAGAUAGCGGUCAAUGUGUGGAGUAAUAGUAGUAGAUGCAGAAUCGUUUCUGUCUACUUGUCGCGGACGUGAUGCCUAUAUACAUGAUAAUGCUUAGAUAUUCUCAUAACUAUGCGUUUUUCUAUCAAUUGCUCGACAAUAAUUUGUUCACCCACCGUAGAAUUUGCUAUCUUGAGAGAAGCCACUAGUGAAACCUAUGGCCCCCGGGUCUAUCUUCCAUCAUAUUAUUUUUCUAUCAACUUGCUAUUUCUAUCGUUGUUUAUUUUGCAAUCUUUAUUUUCCAAUCUAUACAAUAAAAAUACCAAAAAUAUUUAUCUUAUUAUCUCUAUCAGAUCUCACUUUCGUAUGAAGGGAUUGACAAGCCCUUUAUCGUGUUGGUUGCGAGGUUCUUGUUUGUUUGUGCAGGUACUAGGGACUUGCAUGUUACCUCCUACUGGAUUGAUACAUUGGUUCGCAAAAACUGAGGGUAAUACUUACGCUACUUUGCUGCAUCACCCUUUCCUCUUCAAGGGAAAACCAACGCAUGCUCAAGAGGUAGCAAGAAGGAUUUCUAGCACCGUUGCUGGGGAGGUUGCACCAAGUCAAGUCAAGAUUGGAUCUCCCAUCAACAAGCCAUUUCCGGCGCCGUUACCGGGGAGAUCUACGCACAAGUCGAGACAAACCAAGUACCCAUCACAAACUCUUAUCCCUCGCAUUACAUUAUUUGCCAUUUGCCUCUCGUUUUCCUCUCCCCCACUUCACCCUUGCCGUUUUAUUCGCCCUCUUUUCCGUUCGCCUCUUUUCCGUUCGCCUCUUUUUGCUUGCUUCCUGUGUGCUUGUGUGUUGGAUUGUUUAUCACGAUGGCUCAAGACAAUACUAAAUUGUGUGAAUUUUCCAAUACCAACAACAAUGACAACAAUGAUUUUCUAAGCACUCCGAUUGCUCCUCUUAUCGAUGCUGAAUCUUGUGAAAUUAAUCCUGCUUUGCUGAACCUUGUUAUGAAAGAUCCGUUUUCUGGCCUUCCUAGUGAAGAUGCCGCUACCCAUCUAAACAGCUUUGUUAAUUUGCGUGAUAUGCAAAAGAAGAAAGAUGUGGAUAAUGAUAUUGUUAAAUUGAAGCUAUUUCCGUUUUCGCUUAGAGAUCAUGCUAAAACUUGGUGUUCGUCCUUGCCUAAAAAUAGUAUUGAUUCAUGGAAUAAGUGCAAAGAUGCUUUUAUCUCUAAAUAUUUUCCUCCCGCUAAGAUCAUCUCUCUUAGAAAUGAUAUAAUGAAUUUUAAGCAACUUGAUCAUGAGCAUGUUGCACAAGCUUGGGAGAGGAUGAAAUUAAUGAUACGUAAUUGCCCUACACAUGGUUUGAAUUUAUGGAUGAUCAUACAAAAAUUUUAUGCUGGAUUGAAUUUUGCUUCUAGAAAUCUUUUAGAUUCGGCCGCGGGAGGCACUUUUAUGGAAAUCACCUUAGGAGAAGCUACUAAUCUCCUAGAUAAUAUUAUGGUUAAUUAUUCUCAAUGGCACACCGAAAGAUCUACUAGUAAAAAGGUUCAUGCAAUAGAAGAGAUUAAUGUUCUAAGCGGAAAGAUGGAUGAACUUAUGAAAUUGUUUGCUAAUAAGAGUGUUUCUUCUGAUCCUAAUGAUAUGCCUUUGUCUACUUUGUUUGAGAAUAAUAAUGAAUCUAUGGAUGUGAAUUUUGUUGGUAGGAACAAUUUUGGUAACAACGCGUAUAGAGGAAACUUUAAUCCUAGGCUGUUUCCUAGUAAUUCCUCUAAUAAUUAUGGUAAUUCCUACAACAACUCUUAUGGAAAUUUUAAUAAGAUGCCCUCUGAUUUUGAGACUAGUGUUAAAGAAUUUAUGAUUUUGCAAAAGAAUUUCAAUGCUUUGCUUGAAGAAAAAUUGCCUAAGAUUGAUGAGUUGGCUUGGAACGUGGAUAGAAUUUCUGUUGAUGUUGAUUAUUUGAAACUUAGAUCUAUUCCACCGAAGCAUGAUAUCAAUGAGUCUCUCAAAUCUAUGAUAAUUUCCAUUGACGAGUGCAAAGAAAGAACCGCUAGGAUGCGUGCUAAAAAGAUUGCUUUAUAAAAACGUGUUCUUCUAUUUUCACGAUAAUAAGGAUGAAGAUCUAAAGUGAUUGAUGUGUCUCCUAUUAAAUCUUUGUUUUGCAAUAUGAAUCUUGAUAAUGAUGGGACUGGAGAUGAGUCAACUUUAGUUAAAAGGCGUCCCCAUGAUUUAGAGUUUUUAGAUCUUGAUCAGAAUUGGUAAAAGUGGGAUUGAAGAGGUCAAAACUUUACAUAGCAAUGAACCCACUAUUUUGGAUUUCAAGGAAUUUAAUUAUGAUAAUUGCUCUUUGAUAGACUGUAUUUCCUUGUUGCAAUCCGUGCUAAAUUCUCCUCAACUUAUGAUCAAAAUAAAGCUUUUACCAAACAUAUCAUUGAUGCCUUAAUGCAAUCCUAUGAAGAAAAGCUUGAAUUAGAAGUUUCUAUCCCUAGAAAACUUUAUGAUGAGUGGCAACCUACUAUUAAAAUUAAAAUUAGAGAUCAUGAAUGCUAUGUUUUAUGUGAUUUGGGUGCUAGUGUUUCCACGAUUCCAAAAACUUUGUGUGUUGUGUUAGGUUUCCGUGAAUUUGAUGAUGGUUCUUUAAAUUUGCAUCUUGCGAAUUCCACCGUUAAGAAACCUAUGGGAAGGAUUAAUGAUAUUCUUAUUGUUGCAAAUAGUAAUUAUGUUCCCGUAGAUUUCAUAGUUCUUGAUAUAGAUUGCAAUCCUACAUGUCCUAUUAUUCUUGGUAGACCUUUCCUUACAACGAUUGGUGCAAUUAUUGAUAUGAAAGAAGGAAAUAUUAGAUUCCAAUUUCCGUUAAGGAAAGGCAUGGAACACUUUCCUAUGAAUAAUAUUAAAUUACCUUAUGAAUCUAUUAUGAGAGCCACUUAUGGAUUGCAUACCAAAGAUGAUAAUACCUAGAUCUAUUCUUGUUUUUAUGCCUAGCUAGGGGCGUUAAACGAUAGCGCUUGUUGGGAGGCAACCCAAUUUUAUUUUUGUUUAUUAUUUUUUGUUCCUGUUUAAUAAUAAAUAAUUCAUAUAGAUUCUGUUUAUAUGUGGUUUUAUGUUUUUAAUUAGUGUUUGUGCCAAGUAGAACCGUUGGGAAAACUUGGGGGAAGUCUUGGCGAUCUUGCUGUAAAAAACAGAAACUUUAGCGCUCACGAGAUUAGCUGCCAUUUUUUACUGGAGAGUGAGAUUAGGUUGAUUCUUUUUUAAGUUGAUUAAUAAACAAAUUCCUCAUGUCCACCAAUUUAUUUAAGAAUUUUUGGGGUUACAUAAGUAUUCGAAACCUACAGAUUACUAUAGACUAUUCUGUUUUUGACAGAUUCUGUUUUUCGUGUGUUGUUUGCUUAUUUUGAUGAAUCUAUGGCUAGUAUCAGGGGGUAUGAACCAUAGAGAAGUUAGAAUAAAGUAGGUUUAACAUCAAUAUAAAUAAAUAAUGAGUUCAUUACAGUACCUUGAAGUGGUGGUUUGCUUUCUUAUACUAACGGAGCUCAUGAGAUUUUCUGUUGAGUUUUGUGUUGUGAAGUUUUCAAGUUUUGGGUAAAGAUUUGAUGGAUUUUGGAAUAAGGAGCGGCAAGAGCCUAAGCUUGGGGAUGCCCAAGGCACCCCAAGGUAAAAUUCAAGGACAACCAAAAGCCUAAUCUUGGGAAUGCCCCGGAAGGCAUCCCCUCUUUCGUCUUCGUCUAUCGGUAACUUUACUUUAGGCUAUAUUUUUAUUCACCACAUGAUAUGUGUUUUGCUUGGAGCGUCUUGUAUGAUUUGAGUCUUUGAUUUUUAGUUUACCAUAAUAAUCCUUGCUGUACACACCUUUUGGAGAGACACACAUGAAUCGGAAUUUAUUAGAAUACUCUAUGUGCUUCACUUAUAUCUUUUGAGCUAGAUAAUUUUGCUCUAGUGCUUCACUUAUAUCUUUUAGAGCACGGUGGUGGUUUAUUUUAUAGAAAUUAUUGAUCUCUCAUGCUUCACAUAUAUUUUUUUGAGAGUCUUUUAGAAUAGCAUGGUAAUUUGCUUUGGCUAUAAAAUUAGUCCUAAUAUGAUAGGCAUCCAAGAUGGGUAUAAUAAAAACUUUCAUAAAAAGUGCAUUGAAUACUAUGAGAAGUUUGAUACUUGAUAAUUGUUUCGAGAUAUGAAGAUGGUGAUAUUAGAGUCAUGCUAGUUGAGUAGUUGUGAAUUUGAGAAAUACUUGUUCUAAAGUUUGUGAUUCCCAUAGCAUGCACAUAUGGUGAACCAUUAUGUGAUGAAGUCAGAGCAUGAUUUAUUUAUUGAUUGUCUUCCUUAUGGGUGGCGGUCGGGGACGAGCGAUGGUCUUUUCCUACCAAUCUAUCCCCCUAGGAGAAUGCGUGUAGUACUUAGUUUCGAUAACUAAUAGAAUUUUGCAAUAAGUAUGUGAGUUCUUUAUGACUAAUGUUGAGUCCAUGGAUUAUACCCACUCUCACCCUUCCACCAUUGCUAGCCUCUCUAGUACCGCGCAACUUUCGCCGGUACCAUACACCCACCAUAUACCUUCCUCAAAACAGCCACCAUACCAACCUAUUAUGGCAUUUCCAUAUCCAUUCCAAGACAUAUUUGCAUGCAACUUGCCACCGUUCCGUUUGUUACGACACGUUACAUCAUUGUUAUAUUGCUUUGCAUGAUCAUGUAGUUGACAUCGUAUUUGUGCCAAAGCCACCUUUAUAAUUAUUUCACACAUGUCACUCUUGAUUCAUUGCAUAUCCCGGUACACCAUCAGAGGCAUUCACAUAGAGUCAUAUUUUGUUCUAGUAUCGAGUUGUAAUUUUUGAGUUGUAAGUAAAUAAAAGUGUGAUGAUCAUCAUUAUUAGAGCAUUGUCCCAAGUGAGGAAAGGAUGAUGGAGACUAUGAUUCCCCCACAAGUCAGGAUGAGACUCCAGACGAAAAGAAAAAAGGAAACAAAAAGAGGCCAUAAAAAGGAGGAAAAUGCCCAAAUAAAAAGAUGAGAGAAAAAGAGAGAAGGGAUAAUGUUACUAUCCUUUUAUGACGCUUGUGCUCCAUCGAUGUAAUUCUUUUUUGCGGUGUGUUUGUCGAGAUCCGGUGAGUUGUGGGUUUAUGAUCAAGAUUAUCCAUGAAAAAUAUUUGAUUCUUCUCUGAAUUCUUUUAUGCAUGAUUUAAUAUCUUUGCAAGUCUCUUUGAAUUAUCAGUUUGGUUUGCCCUACUAGAUUGAUCUUUCUUGCAAUGGUAGAAGUGCUCAGCUUUGGGUUCAAUCUUGCGAUGUCCUUUCCCAGUGACAGCAGGAGCAAUAAGGCACGUAUUGUAUUGUUGCCAUCAAGGAUUAAAAGGUGGGGUUUAUAUCAUGUUGCUUGAGUUUAUCCCUCUACAUCAUGUCAUCUUGCCUAAUGCGUUACUCUGUUCUUAUGAACUUAAUACUCUAGAUGCAUGCUAGAUAGCGGUCGAUGUGUGGAGUAAUAGUAGUAGAUGUAGAAUCAUUUCAGUCUACUUGUCGCGGACGUGAUGCCUAUAUACAUGAUCAUGCCUAGAUAUUCUCAAAACUAUGCGUUUUUCUAUCAAUUGCUCGACAGUAAUUUGUUCACCCACUGUAGGAUUUGCUAUCUUGAGAGAAGCCACUAGUGAAACCUAUGGCCUCCGGGUCUAUCUUCCAUCAUAUUAUUUUCCUAUCUACAUGCUAUUUCUAUCGUUGUUUAUUUUUCAAUCUUUAUUUUCCAAUCUAUACAAUAAAAAUACCCAAAAUAUUUAUCUUACUAUCUCUAUCAGAUCUCACUUUCAUAAGUGACCGUGAAGGGAUUGACAACCCCUUUUAUCGUGUUGGUUGCAAGGUUCUUGUUAGUUUGUGCAGGUACUAGGGACUUGCGUGUUACCUCCUACUGGAUUGAUACCUUGGUUCUCAAAAACUGAGGGAAAUACUUACGCUACUUUGUUGCAUCACCCUUUCCUCUUCAAGGGAAAACCAAUGCAUGCUCAAGAGGUAGCAAUCACCAUGACUCUUGUAUAAGGUAUAGGACAAAAAUAAAAGGUAGGCCCUUCGUAGAGGGAACCAGAGGUUGUCAUGAGCCUUUAUGGUUGGAUGCACCAAAUCUUAAUGCAAAAGAACGUCACUUUAUAUUGCCACUUGUGAUAGGGACCUUUAUUAUGCAGUAUGUCGCUUUUAUUUCUUCCAUGUCACAAGCUCAUAUAAAGCUUAUUUUCUCUACACUAAUAGAUCAUACAUAUUUAGAGAGAAAUUUUUAUUGCUUGCAACAAUGACAACUUACUUGAAGGAUCUUACUCAAUCCAUAGGUAGAUAUGGUGGACUCUCAUGGCAAAACUGGGUUUAAGGAUAUUCAGAAGCACAUGUAGUAUCUCUACUUGGUGCAAAGAAUUUGGCUAGCAUGAGGGGGAAAGGCAAGCUCAACAUGUUGGAUGACCCAUGACAAUAUAAUUUAUUUCGGAUAUAAUAAAAUAUAACCCAUUACGUUGUCUUCCUUGUCCAACAUCAACUUUUUAACAUGUCAUAUUUUAAUGAGUGCUCACAAUCAUAAAAGAUGUCCAAGAUAGUAUAUUUAUAUGUGAAAACCUCACUUUCUUUAUUACUUCCUAUUAAUUGCAACGAUGACCAAAACUAUGUUUGUCAAUUCUCAACAACUUUUAUUCAUCAUACUCUUUAUAUGUGAAGUCAUUACUCUCCAUAAGAUCAAUAUGAUCUCUUUAUUUCUUUUUAUUCUUUCUUUUAUUAUUUGUAUUCCCUCAAGAUCAUAGCAAGAUAACCAAGCCCUUGACUCAAAACUAAUCUUUACUAUAUAUAGCUCACGGAUUCGAUUACAUAGAUAAGGAUCAACGAAAAAACUCAAAGCUAGAUCAUACUAAAUUUUAUUCUACUAGAUCAAGAUAUAACCAAAAUGGUCGAACUAAGAAAAAGGUAAAGAUAGAAGUGUGAUGGUGAUAUGAUACCGGAGCACCUCCCCCAAGCUUGGCAGUUGCGAAGGGGAGUGCCCAUACCCGAUACUCAGUUCUCCUUUGGUGGUGAAGAAGAUGGUGGUGAUGAUGAAGUUGUUGAUGAAGUCGUGUCACACAUCGAGCGUAGGAGAUUCUCCAAUUUGCGAAUAAUGCCCUUGAGUGCAGUGAUGUAUUCUUGCAACAAAAUAUUUUCACGAGUGAGAUACUUGUUUUGCACCCGAACUAUUUCAAUCAUCUCGAAAGCUUCUAUUUCAGUAGGGGUAAGAUGGUUAUAGUAAGGUUGAAGGAUGUCUUCUUCUUCUUCUAUUGCAGGAGCUUGAUCCUCUGUGGCCUCCUUGAUCAUAUCACCCUUGUUUAUCCCAAGUUCUUCUCUCUUCAUCUCUAUCUUCAUUAGCCAAGCAUCGUUGCCUGCGUCAUUGGAUGAGGGGGCCGACAUGAUGCCUGGCCUUGAAAACUCUAGCAGAAAACAACUCAAAACAAAAAUAGGAGAUAUUUGCAUGGUACGAUGGUCAAAACCUUCGGGGGAUUAUAUAAUGAUUUUUUACCGACCAAAAGAAGUAUCAUGCAAGAAAUCAGAGUUCGGAGGGAACACGAGGUGCCCAUAAGGCAGGGGGAGCGCCCAGGGGGGUAGGGCGCGCCCUCCACCCUCGUGGAUGCCUCGUGUCCUUUCCGGACUACUUCUUAUUUUCCUAUUUUCUUAAAUAUUCCAAAACGGAGAAAAAUUUCCAUUAGAACUGUUUUGGAGUCGGUUUACUUACCGUACCACAUACCUAUUCCUUUUCGGAGUCUGAAACAUUCUCGAAAGUGUCCCUUAUGUACUACUCCGGGGUUACGGUGUUAAUAACAUUGGUUUCAACAUUUAUGGGAUUACCUGAGAUAUAAUGCUUAAUUCUUUGGCCUUUCACCACCUUCGGAUUUGUGCCUUCAAAGUUUGAUUUUUAUGGCACCGGAACGAUAGACCUCCUCGAUAAUGUAAGGACCUUCCCAUUUAGAGAGGAGUUUUCCUGCAAAAAAUCUUAAACAAGAGUUGUAUAAUAGAACAUAAUCACCUACAUUAAACUCACACUUUUGUAUCCUUUUGGCAUGCCAUCUUUUAACCUUUUCUUUAAACAGUUUGGCAUUCUCAUAGGCCUGGGUUCUCCACUCAUCAAGUGAGCUAAUGUCAAAUAACCUCUUCUCACCAGCAAGUUUGAAAUCAUAAUUGAGCCCUUUAAUGGCCCAAUAUGCCUUAUGUUCUCGUUCAAGAGGUAAGUGACAUGCUUUUUCAUAAACCAUUUUAUAGGGAGACAUAACCAUAGGAUUUUUAUAUGCAGUUCUAUAGGCCCAUAAUGCAUCAUCAAGUUUCUUGGACCAAUUCUUUCUAGACCUAUUAAUAGUCUUUUGCAAAAUUAAUUUAAGCUCUCUAUUACUCAGUUCUACUUGACCACUAGACUGUGGGUGGUAUGGAGAUGCAAUUCUAUGAUUAACAUCAUACUUAGCAAGCAUUUUACAAAAGGCACCAUGAAUAAAAUGUGAACCACCAUCAGUCAUUAAGCAUCUAGGGACUCCAAACCUCAGAAAAAUAACUUCUUUAAGCAUCUUAAUAGAGGUGUUAUGAUCAUCACUACUAGUUGGAAUAGCUUCUACCCACUUAGUAACAUAAUCAAUAGCAACUAAAAUAUGUGUAUACCCAUUAGAGGAAGGAAAGAGUCCCAUAUAAUUGAAGCCCCAAACAUCAAAUGGUUCAAUAACAAGUGAAUAGUGCAUAGGCAUUUCUUGACGUCUACUAAUAUUACAAUUCUUUGACAUUCAUCACAGGACAAGACAAACUUACAGGAAUCUUUGAAAAUAGUAGGCCAAUAAAAACCGGAUUGCAAUACCUUAUGUGUAGUUCUAUCUCCGGCGUGGUGUCCACCAUAAGCCUCGGAGUGACACUUGCGUAGGAUUUGUUCCUGUUCAUGCUCAGGUAAACAACGUCUAAUAACACCAUCUACUCCUUCUUUAUAAAGGUGUGGGUCAUCCCAGAAGUAAUGUCUUAAAUCAUAGAAAACCUUUUUCAUUUGCUCAUAUGUGAGACUAGGUGCUAUAAAUUUAGCAACAAUGUAAUUAGCAUAAUCAGCAUACCAUGGAGCAGCAUGAGAAUCAUUUAUGAUAGCUAAUUGUUCAUCAGGAAAGCUAUCAUCUAUAGGUAGUGGGUCAUCAAGAACAUUCUCUAACCUAGAUAAGUUGUCUGCAACGGGGUUCUCAGCUCCCUUUCUUUCAAUAAUAUGCAAAUCAAAUUCUUCUAGCAAGAGAACCCAUCUAAUAAGUCUAGGUUUAGCAUCUUUAUUUUCCAUAAGAUAUUUAAUAGCAGCAUGAUCAGUGUGAGCAGUUACUUUAGAAUCAACAAUAUAAGGUCUGAACUUAUCACAAGCAAAUACAACUGCUAAAAAUUCUUUUUCAGUAGUAGCAUAAUUUCUCUGGCCACUGUCUAGAGUUUUACAAGCAUAUUGAAUAACAUUUAAUUUCUUAUCAACUCUUUGUCCUACGACAGCACCUACAGCAUAAUCACUAGCAUCACACAUAAUUUCAAAGGGUAAAUUCCAAUCAGGUGGCUGAACAAUAGGUGUGGAAAUCAAGGCUUUCUUAAGUAUUUCAAAUGCUUCUACACAAUCAUCAUCAAAGACAAAAGGAACAUCUUUUUGUAAGAGAUUAGUUAGAGGCCUAGAAAUUUUUGAGAAGUCUUUAAUGAACCUCCUAUAAAACCUGGCAUGAGAAAGGAAACUUAUUAUACCUUUAAUGUCCUUAGGACACGACAUCUUUUCAAUAGCAUCAACUUUAGCUUUAUCAACUUCAAUACCUCUUUCAGAAAUUUCAUGCCCCAAGACAAUAGCUUCAUUAACCAUAAAGUGGCACUUCUCCCAAUUCAAGACAAGAUUAGUUUCUUCACAUCUCUGCAAAACUCGAUCAAGGUUCCUUAAGCAAUCAUCAAAAGAAGUUCCAUGCACAGAGAAAUCAUCCAUGAAAACCUCAACAAUCUUUUCACAAAAUUCAGAGAAUAUAGCAGUCAUACAUCUUUGAAAGGUAGCAGGUGCAUUAGAUAAACCAAAAGGCAUACGUCUAUAAGCAAAGGUACCGAAAGGGCAAGUAAAAUUGGUCUUUUCCUGAUCCUCUUUCGAUAGAGGUAUUUGAGAGGAACCAGAAUAACCGUCUAGAAAGCAAAAAUGCGUAUGUUCGGAUAAUCUUUCUAGCAUUUGAUCAAUAAAAGGUAAAGGGUAAUGAUCCUUUCUAGUAGCUUUAUUUAAUUUGCAGAAAUCAAUUACCAUUCUAUAACCUGUAACAAUUCUUUGUGGGAUCAAUUCAUCUUUAUCAUUAGGAACAACAGUAAUACAUCCCUUCUUAGGGACACAAUGGACAGGACUUACCCACUGACUAUCAGCAACAAGAUAAAUUAUACCUGCCUCCAGAAGCUUUAGUAUUUCAUUUCUUACCACUUCUUUCAUCUUAGGAUUUAACCAUCAUAAGUGAUCAACAACCGGUUUAGCGUCUUUCUUCAAUUUUAUUUUGUGUUGGCAUAAAGUGGGACUAAUGCCCUUAAGAUCAUCAAGAGUAUAUCCAAUAGCAGCAUGGUGCUUCUUCAGAGUUUUCAAUAAUUUCUCUUCUUCCUGCUCUGAAAGGUUAGCACUAAUAAUAAUAGGAUAUAUCUUCUUUUCAUAAAGAUAAGCAUAUUUAAGAGUAUCGGGUAAUGGUUUAAGCACAAACACGGGAUCACCCUUGGGUGGAGGAGGAUCCCCUAGAAUUUCAAUAGGCAAGUUGUGUUUCAAAAUAGGUCCCUGUUUAAAGAAUACUUCAUCUAUUUCCCUUCUUUCAUUCAUAAACAUAUCAUUUUCAUGGUCUAGCAAAUAUUGUUCUCAAGGAUCAUUAGGAGGCACGGCAAUAGAAGCAAUACCCAAUAAUUUCAUCUUCACUAGGCAAUUCUUUAUCAUGGGGUUGUCUACAAAAUUUAGCAAAAUUAAAAUCAUGAGACAUACCCCCUAAACCAACAGUAACAAUACCCUUUUUUGCAAUCUAUCCUAGCAUUAACAGUAUUCAAGAAGGGUGUAACAAAUAUAAUGGGACAAAAGUCACCUUGUGGGGAACCAAGAACAAGAAAAUCAGUAGGAUAUUUAACUUUCCCACACAAGACUUCAACAUCUCUAACAAUCCCAACUGGUGAAAUAGUAUCUCUAUUGGCAAGCUUAAUUGUAACAUCAAUAUCUUCUAUCUCAGUAGGUGCAAUAUCAUGCAUAAUUUCUUUGUAUAAGGAAUGAGGUAUUGCACUCGCACUAGAACCCAUGUCACAUAAGCCAUGAUAACAAUGAUCUCCUAUUUUAACAGAAACAACAUGCAUGCCUAUAACAGGUCUAUGUUUAUCUUUAGUAUUGGGUAUAGCAAUUCUAGCAGCUUCAUCACAAAAGUAAAUAACAUUCCCAUCAAUAUUAUCGACCAAGAGAUCUUUAACCAUAGCAAUACUAGGUUCAACUUUAAUUUGCUCAGGGGGUGUAGGUGUUCAAGCAUUACUCUUAUGAACCACAGUUGAAGUUUAGCAUGAUCCUUUAUUCUAACAGGGAAAGGUGGUUUCUCAAUAUAAGCGGUAGGAACAAUAGGAUGAACAUUAUAGGUGAUAGUCUUUUCUUCAACUUUAAUAGGUUCAACUACUUUUACUUCAAUGGGAGGAUGAUAUUUAAACAACUUCUCCUUAGGGAGAUCAACAUGAGUAGCAAAUGAUUCACAGAAAGAAGCUACUAUCUCAGAGUCAAGUCCAUAUUUAGUGCUAAAUUCACGAAAAGCAUCGGUAUCCAUAAAAGAUUUAACACAAUCAAACUUAGGUGUUAUACUGACUCCUUACCUUCGUCGAGUUCCCAAUCUUCAGAGUUUCAUUUAAUUCUUUCUAAUAAAUCCCAUUUGAAUUCAAUAGUCUUCAUCAUAAAAGAACCAAUAUAAGAAGUAUCGAGAAUGGAGCGAUUAUUGAGAGAAUGCCGAGCAUAAAAAUUUUGAAUAAUAUUUUUUCUUGAGAGCUCAUAAUUGGGGCAUGAAUAUAACAUUGACUUAAGCCUCCCCAAGCUUGAGCGAUACUUUCUCCUUCAAGAGGCCAAUAUAUAUAUAUAUAUAUAUAUAUAUAUAUAUAUAUAUAUAUAUAUAUAAUUACGAUCACGAUAAACCAGAUGCAUAGGAUAAAACUUCUGAUGAAAUUCCAAUUUCAAUCGGUUGUAGUUCCAUGAUCCAAUAUCAUCACAUAGCCUAAACCAUGUCAAUGCCUUUCCCUUCAAAGGUAAAGGGAAGACCUUCUUCUUGAUAACAUCCUCGGGCAUACCUGCUGUGACGUCCGGAUAUUUAAGCUACAUUAAUUCCCUGUUAAUGAUGCCACGUUGCCGCUGUUACAGUUGUUAAUCUUGCGUUAGUUCAAAACGAUUCAAAUUCAAAUUUGUGUCAAAGGCAAACCACAAAAGGUUUUAAAUAUUGAAACUAAAAUGUUCGGUUUGUGCCAAAUAAUGCAUAGGUAAUUAUGGUGGAGAAACCAAUUUUUUGUAAAGUGUUAAAUGCCCUAAACUAGUUAAAAAAGUGGCUGAAAUAAUGAUUUAAUAGCUUUUUAAAUUAUAACAAUAUUAAACUAAUUUACUUUAGGUCCAAACUAAGUUUGGAAGUGGCCUAUAUUAAUGAUACUAAUUUGGGUGCUAAAUUGGUAUUUUAUAAAACUAAAAUAAAUAAAACUAGAAAGAAAAUAGAAAAUGUAAAAAGAAAAACAAAAACAAAACAAAUAAAGAAAAGAACCUCCCCCCAACUGGGCCUUGGCCCAGGUAACCCCCAGGCUGGCCCAACCGAGCCACUCCUCCCCCCUGCUUAACCGCACCAUAGGGUCAAACCCUAACCUCCACGACCCCACAUCCCCAACCCCCUCUCCCUCUCGCACGAUCCCCCGCCCCCACUUCUCUCCCUAGCGCCCACGACCGUUCUGGGCACCACGUCGGCCCCGGCGUCGCCCGUCGCCCGCCUCCACCGACCCCGCCUCUCCUGCGCCGGUGCUGACCAGCGCCUCCCAUCGCCGCUGCUGCCCCGCAUCGCCCGAGCGGCGACGACCUUUCCCGAUGCCCCACCACCUCCACGCCGGUCCACCCCAGGCCUCGCCGCCCCCUCCUCAGCAAUGUGGGUGAGGCGAGCUCUCCCCCCUCGCGAACUCCUCUACUCGCCGUCAUGUUCGCCGUGCCGCGCUCGCCCCGCUCCCCACGUGCCUGCCCAUGCCCCGCAGCGCCUUGGCCGCACUCACGUGCCGCCUAGCACGCGCGUGCUUGCGGUGCCCGGUGAUAUGUCUCCGUCAUAUCUACUUUUCCAAACACUUUUGCCCUCGUUCUGGACUCUAACUUGCAUGAUUUGAAUGGAACUAACCCGGACUGAUGAUGUUUUCAGUAGAAUUGCCAUGGUGUUAUUUAUGUGCAGAAACAAAAGUUCUUGGAAUGACCUGAAACUUCACGGAACAUCUUUUCGGAAAUAAUAAAAAAUCCUUGCAAAAGAUGAAGACCAUGGGGCCCACCACCUGUCCAUGAGGGUGGGGGGCGCGCCUGCCCCCCUAGGGCGCGCCCCUACCUCAUGGGCCCCCUGGAGCUCCUCCAACCACAACCCCAACUCUAUAUAUUUGGUUUCGGGGAGAAAAAAUCAGAGAGAAGAAAUCAUCGCAUUUUACGAUACAGAGCCGCCGCCAAGCCCUAUAACCUCUUGGGAGGGCUGAUCUGGAGUCCGUUCAGGGCUCCGGAGAGGGGAAUCCGUCGCCAUCGUCAUCAUCAACCAUCCUCCAUCACCAAUUUCAUGAUGCUCACCGCCGUGUGUGAGUAAUUCCAUCGUAGGCUUGCAGGACGGUGAUGGGUUGGAUGAGAUUUAUCAUGUAAUCGAGUUAGUUUUGUUAGGGUUUGAUCCCUAGUAUCCACUAUGUUCUGAGAUUGAUGUUGCUAUGACUUUGCUAUGCUUAAUGCUUGUCACUAGGGCCCGAGUGCCAUGAUUUCAGAUCUGAACCUAUUAUGUUUUCAUCAAUAUAUGAGAGUUCUUGAUCCUAUCUUGCAAGUCUAUAGUCACCUAUUAUGUGUUAUGAUCCGUUAACCCCGAAGUGACAAUAAUCGGGAUACUUAUCGGUGAUGACCAUAGUUUGAGGAGUUCAUGUAUUCACUAUGUGCUAAUGCUUUGCUCUGGUACUCUAUUAAAAGGAGGCCUUAAUAUCCCUUAGUUUCCAAUAGGACCCCGCUGCCACGGGAGGGUAGGACAAAAGAUGUCAUGCAAGUUCUUUUCCAUAAGCACGUAUGACUAUAUUCGGAAUACAUGCCUACAUUACAUUGAUGAAUUAGAGCUAGUUUUGUGUCACCCUAGGUUAUGACUGUUACAUGAUAAACCGCAUCCGGCAUAAUUCUCCAUCACUGAUCCAUUGCCUACGAGCUUUCCAUAUAUUGUUCUUUGCUUAUUUACUUUUCCGUUGCUAUUGCUAUCAUCACUACAAAAUACCAAAAACAUUACUUUUACUACCGUUACCUUUUGCUACCGUUAUCACUACUAUCAUAUUACUUUGCUACUAAACACUUUGCUGCAGAUAUUAAGUUUCUAGGUGUGGUUGAAUUGACAACUCAGUUGCUAAUACUUGACAAUAUUCAUUGGCUCCCCUUGUGUUGAAUCAAUAAAUUUGGGUUGAAUACUCUACCCUCGAAAACUGUUGUGAUCCCCUAUACUUGUGGGUUAUCAAGACUAUUUUCUGGCGCCGUUGCCGGGAAGCAUAGCUCUAUUCUUUGAGUCACUUGGGAUUUGUAUCUGCUUAUCAUUAUGAAGAACUUGAGAGAUCAAAAAACCAAGAUUUGUCCCUCAACUACGAGGGGAGGUAAGGAACUGCCAUGUAGCUCUGCAAUUGAUUCACCUUCUGUUUUGAGUAAGCUUGCGACACCUAAACCUGCUUCUGCUACUCGUUCUGAUAUGUCGCAUGUUAUUGAUGAUGCCACUUCUGCUAUGCAUGAUACUUAUGAUGAAACUACUUCUAUGCUUGAUACUACUGUGCCACUUGGUGAAUUUCUUGAUGAACAACUUGCUAGGGUUAGAGAGAAUGAAAAUAUUGAAUCUGAUAAUACUUAUGAAAGUGAUGAUGAAGACUUGCCCAUUAUUCCUAAGGGUUAUGUUUUUGAUAAAGAAGCUUCUUUAGCUAUUUUAGCUUGCAAAGAUAGAUACAAACUCAAGAGGUUAUUAGCUAAAUGGAAGCAGCAAUCUCUUAAUGCUAGAAUGAAACCUGGCCCUUCUUUUGCUACUUCACCUAUCUGUGUUACCGGUAAGGAUUAUGAAUUCCUGUUGAUCCUGAUAUAAUUACUUUAGUUGAAUAUGAUCCUUUUCAUGGCUAUGAAUCUGAAACUAUUGUGCCACAUCUUACUAAAUUAAAUGAUAUAGCCACCCUGUUCACUAAUGAUGAGAGAACUCGUUACUUUUAUAUCCUUAAAAUAUUUCCGUUCUCAUUAAAGGGUGGUGCUAAGAUAUGGUUCAAUUCUCUUGAUCCUGGUUGUGCGUAGUCCCAGGAUAUGAUUUAUUACUUCUCUGCUAAAUAUUUCCCUGCUCAUAAGAAACAAGCUGCUUUAAGGGAUAUAUAUAAUUUUGUGCAAAUUGAAGAAGAGAAUCUCCCACAAGCUUGGAGGAGGCUUCUCAAGUUACUUUAUGCUUUGCCUGAUCAUCCUCUUAAGAAAAAUGAAAUACUUGAUAUCUUUUAUAAUGGACUAACCGAUGCUUCCAGAGAUUACCUGGAUAGUUGUGUUGGUUCUGUUUUCAGGGAAAGAACACCGAAUGAAGCUAAAAUUCUAUUGAAUAAUAUGUUGACAAAUGAAAACAAUUGGACACCUCCUGAGCCUAUUCCUAAACCAACUCCGAAGAAGAGAGGUAUUCUAUUUCUCAGUCCUGAAGAUAUGCAAGAGGCAAAGAAAUCUAUGAAAGAAAAAGGUAUUAAAGCUGAAGAUGUGAAGAAUUUACCUCCUAUUGAAGAAAUACAUGGUCUUAAUUUACCGCCUGUUGAAGAAACAUAUGACCUUAAUCCAUCACCUAUUGAAGAAACUCAUGGUCUUGAUAACCCGACACAUGUAGUAGAGGUAAAUUCUCUCUAUAGAUAUGAUAAAGCUGAAAUCCCAUUUACUAAGUUUGCUAGCCCAUGCUUAGAUGAGUUUGAUAAAUUUAUGGAUAAGCAAGAAUACUUUAAUGCUUAUUUUGGUAGACAAUUGAAAUACAAUUCAAAUAUGCUUGAGCACUUGGGUGAUUAUAUGGCUAAUGUCAAAGGUGAACUUAAACUUAUUAGUAAACAUGCUUCUAUGGUUACCACUCAAGUAGAACAAGUACUUAAGGCUCAAAAUGAUUUGCUCAAUGAAUUGAAUAGUAAGAACUGGUAAAAUGACUCAGGAACCUCUGUAUCCUGAAAGCCACCCUAAGAGAAUUGAGCAAGAUUCUCACAGAAAUAAUAUAGAUGCACCUAGUCCUUCUAAAAGGAAGAAAAAUAAAAAUGAUAGGACUUUGCAUGCUCCUACUGAACCUGUUAUUGAUACACCUGAGAAUCCAAAUGAUAUUUCUAUCUCUGAUGCUGAAACACAAUCUGGUAAUGAACCUGAAACUAGUGAUAAUGUUAAUUAUAAUGUUCAUGAUGAUGCUCAACCUAGUAAUGAUAAUGAUAUAGAAAUUGAACCUGAUGUUGAUCUUGAUAACCCACAAUCAAAGAAUCAACGCUAUGAUAAGAAAUACUUUGUUGCUAGGAAACACGGAAAGGAAAGAGAGCCUUGGGUUCAGAAACCCAUGCCUUUUCCUCCAAAACCAUCCAAGAAAAAGGAUGAUGAGGAUUUUGAGCACUUUGCUGAAAUGAUUAGACCUAUCUUUUUGCGUAUGCGAUUAACUGAUAUGCUCAAAAUGAAUCCUUAUGCUAAGUAUAUGAAAGAUAUUGUUACAAAUAAAAGGAAGAUACCGGAAUCUGAAAUUUCCACCAUGCUUGCUAAUUAUACUUUUAAGGGUGGAAUACCAAAGAAACUUGGAGGUCCAGGAGUACCCACUAUACCAUGCUCUAUUAAAAGAAACUAUGUUAAAACUGCUUUAUGUGAUCUUGGAGCCGGUGUUAGUGUUAUGCCUCUCUCUUUAUAUCGUAGACUUGAUUUGAAUAAGUUGACACCUACUGAAAUAUCUUUGCAAAUGGCAGAUAAAUCAACUGCUAUACCUGUCGGUAUUUAUGAGGAUGUGCCUGUUGUAGUUGCAAACGUUACUAUUUUAACAGACUUUGUUAUUGUUGAUACUCCCGAGGACGAUAGUAUGUCUAUUAUUCUUGGAAGACCCUUUUUGAAUACUGCAGGGGCUAUUAUUGAUUGCACUAAAGGCAAUGUCACUUUUCAUGUUAAUGGUAAUGAGCAUACGGUACACUUUCCGAGGAAACAACGUCAAGUUCAUAGUAUCAACUCUAUUGGAAAAAUUCCAUCGAUUAUUUUUGGAGGUUUUGAAUUUCCUCUUCCUACUGGUAAGAAGAAAUAUGAUAUUCUUAUUGUUGGGGAUGUGCAUAUCCCCGUUGAGGUAACAUAGUGUUAUUCGAAAUUUCUCCGGUUCUAUGUUAUUUGGAAUGAGUUCGUUAACAAGACUUGAUCAACCUUGUUAGUGGAUUCCUUUUGAUGAGCAUGAGAUGGAUGAAACUAGAAGGCACAACCUUCUGUACCCUCCUUUUACUUUCUGUUAUUUAUAUUAAAUAAAAUAAAAAUAGUAUUUUUCCGUCUGUUAUCUGAUUUAGCCAUGCCACAUAAAAAUACCCCGAAAAUAAAAGUUCUCCAAAUGCCCUGAAAUUUAAAUAUGAUUUUUUCUGGAAUAUUUGAGAAUAUUUGGCAUUGAGAACACAGCAGGAGGAGCUGGCACCUGGCCACGAGGGUCAGGGGCGCGCCCUACCCCCUGGGCGCGCCCCCUGCCUCGUGGGCCCACGGUGGCCCUCAUCCACUUAUCCUUUCACCCACACACUCCUUCCUCCCACAAACACGAAUAUCCAGCUCAAACCCGAGUCCAAGCUCAUUUUGCUGCCAUUUUCGAUCUCCUUGCUCAAAGCACCUCUCACAAAACUGCUUGGGGAGAUUGUUCCUUGGUAUGUGACUCCUCCAUUGGUCCAAUUAGUUUUUUUCUAGUGCUUUAUUCAUUGCAAAUUUGUGCUGCCUAGGUGACCAUGUUCUUGAGCUUGCAUGUCAAAUUUAUGUGGUUCCAAGUAGUUUUUAUGCAUGAUAUAGGCUCUAGGCACUUGUAUGAGUAGUUGCUAUCAAUACUAUUGAGUUUGGUUCACUUUUAUUUUGAAGUUACUAAAAAUUUAAGAAAUUUUUCAGAGGAAGAAAUAUGCUUAGGAAAAUGUUCCAAGGUGGUUCUUCAAGGAAGCAAGGACCCAGGCUUGCAAUGCGUGAUGCUGAUGAAGAACCACCAGGAGACGCUCCAGUGCGUCCUUGUGAAUGGCCUUCUGAGAACUUUAUGGAUCAAGUGGGAAUUUAGGAAGAAUUUAACGCAUAUUUGCGUAACGCGGAUCUUGUGAGCUUCGAGGAAGAGAAGUGCAGCCAGUAUCACUAUCUCACUAGUUCCUUUGUGAGGAGGUUUGAAUUUUCAUCUUCACGUAAUUCUCCAACUGUCCUGUUUGAUCUUUAUGAAAAUUCUUACACUAUGGACUUAGAGGAUUUUACCACUACUUGCAAACUUCCAUAAUGGGGUAGUGUCAGGGAACCUCGCAAAUAUGAAUUUAGAGAUUUUCUUGCUAGUAUAACUAUGGGGGAAUCUAGAGAUAUAACACAAGCCACCAUAGGGAGCAUUCACUUUCCUGCUAUACAUUAUUUUGCUCUCUUCAUAGGUAGAUGCAUUAAUGGUAAAGAUGAAGCAUGUCAUAUGUGUGUUCCUGACCUCAGUAUUCUUAGGAGUGCUGUGUUAGGAGACAAAUCCUAUAAUUUGGGAGCCAUUGUUGCACGUAGGUUGCAUAAUAAUAGAUUUAAUGGAGAUUUCUUUGGUGAAUUUAUGCAACCCGCAUAGCUAAUUUUCUUGGUAUAGCCAUACAUGAAGAUGAUAUUGAAUUACCUCCUGCUUACCUAGACUUUAAUGCUAUAUAUGGUUCACCACCAGUUUGUCGAGAGGAAUGAAUCACCUCUCCAGUAUCGACUAAUCUUUGACAGACGGCGUGAUGUCCGUAUUACUCCUGCCUUCUUUGAUUAUCAGGCAAAAGGAAGAUAUGUUAUUACCAGAAAGGAGGCACAUGAGUACGAGAGGAGAGCGGAGGUCGCUCGUCGCCACGCUGCAGCUCAGGAGGCGAUAGCCGCUGCAUCGUAGUUCGACCCCAACUACUAUUAUGGAUAUCCGCCAGGCCAGCCGUGGCCAUAGACCAACUUAGGCCAAAAGCCUAAGCUUGGGGGAGUACGUAUUUCUCACCAACAUUAUAUUCAUGUUCACACACUCAUUGCUAGAUGUCAGUGCUCAUACUUUUUCAUUGUAUCAUCCAUGCUAGUUUAUUCCCUUUUUAUGUUUUCUUCUUGUGUGUUUAAUAAACAUUAAGAAAAACCAAAAAAAUAGUUGUAGCUUUUAAUUAGUUUACUUUCCAUGCUUGUAGUAGUAAUUAAAAAGAAAACCCAGAAAGAUUUCAUGUUCUUCUUUUGCUUGUUGGGAGCUUUCCCGUGUAAAUAGUUUUAUUUCUUUUCUUUUCUUUGGGGGUCGAUAGGAGAAGACCAUGAUUAAAUUGUUGAGGUGGCUCAUAUAUGCAUUAUUGUUGAUCUGACAAAAGAGCCCAUAUUGCCUUGUCUUCUCUUGUUUAUUGAAUGCUUGCAGAUUCUAGCUUAGUCCAAUGCACGUGCACUAUUAUUAUUAUUCACACUAUUCGGUCGUGCAAGUGAAAGGCAAUUAUGACGAUAUAUGAUGGACUGAUUGAGAUGAGAAAAGCUGGUAUGAACUCGACCUCUUUUGUUUUUGUAAAUAUGAUUAGUUCAUCAUUCCUGAUUCAGCCUAUUAUGAAUAAACAUGUUUACAAUGACAACUAGAGAACAUAGUUCUUGUGCCAUGCUUGAUUAGCUAGGAGCUUAUAAUGGUUUACCUUGCGUGCCAACAUGCUAUUAAAAUGGUUGUGAUGUGGUAUGAUAGGGUGGUAUCCUCCUCUGAAUGAUUUAAGUGAUUUGACUUGGCGCAUUGGUAACCCACAAGUAUAGGGGAUCGCAACAGUUUUCGAGGGUAGAGUAUUGAACCCAAAUUUAUUGAUUCGACACAAGGGGAGCCAAAGAAUAUUCUCAAGUAUUAGCAGCUGAGUUAUCAAUUCAACCACACCUGGAAACUUAAUAUCUGCAGCAAAGUAUUUAGUAGCAAAGUAAUAUGAUAGUAGUGGUAACGGUAGCAAAAGGUAAUGAUAGCAAAGCUAAUGUUUUUGGUAUUUUGUAGUGAUGAUAGAAAUAGCAACAGAAAAGUAAAUAAGCGAAGAACAAUAUAUGGAAACCUCGUAGGCAAUGGAUCGGUGAUGGAGAAUUAUGUCGGAUACGGUUCAUCAUGUAAUAGUCAUAACCUAGGAUGACACAGAACUAGCUCUAGUUCAUCAAUGUAAUGUAGGCAUGUAUUCCGAAUAUAGUCAUACGUGCUUAUGGAAAAGAACUUGCAUGACAUCUUUUGUCCUUCCCUCCUGUGGCAGCGGGGUCCUAGCAGAAACUAAGGGAUAUUAAGGCCUCCUUUUAAUAGAGUACCAGAGCAAAGCAUUAGCACAUAGUGAAUACAUGAACUCCUCAAACUAUGGUCAUCACCGAUAAGUAUCCCGAUUAUUGUCACUUCGGGGUUAACGGAUCAUAACACAUAAUAGGUGACUAUAGACUUGCAAGAUAGGAUCAAGAGCUCUCAUAUAUUGAUGAAAACAUAAUAGGUUUAGAUCUGAAAUCAUGGCACUCGGGCCCUAGUGACAAGCAUUAAGCAUAGCAAAGUCAUAGCAACAUCAAUCUCAGGACAUACACUACAAAAAAAUACACUUCUGUGAUGAUACGUGUUUGUCACAGUAGGUCGCAUUUUCUGUCAUGCAUGUACAUCCAUGAUGAUUUUAUGACAGAAUCAAGAUAGUCAUACAUGUGCUGUCGUAGAAGUGUUCCAUGACAUUACCAAAAUUAUCAUCACGAAGUGUCCACUUCCAUGACGAUAAAUCGCGCGUCACAGAAGUGCUUUCGUCAAGGGUGACCGACACAUGGCACCCACCGUAACGGAACUCCGUUAAGCUAUCGGGUUGGGUUUUGGAUCCGAUAACCCGUUAACAGCCCCGACCAAUGAGGAUUUUCCACGUGUAAAAUCAUCAUUGGCUGGAGGGAACACGUGUCGGCUCAUCGCUGGGACAGAUGUCAUUCACUCAUUGGACAGAAGGCGCCUAUGAUACGUCGACAAGUGGCACGGCCCAACAGAGGCCCAUUCCUGUGAAAAGGCCGGCCCGUUUGACUUGGUCAAAAGGUGGCGGGCCGGCCCAUGGAAAGCCUGUUAACGGCCUAUUCGCAUAUAGCUCAUUUAUAGCCCGCUAACCCAAGGCCUGUUACGCCCUAUUCGAAUUAGGCCCAGUAGCGUCAUUUGGGCCAUCCAAUAUGAUUCCAUCCCAUUUUCACUUCUGGCCCAUGUAUGGCCCAUGACGUCUUUUGGUCCAUAUGAGGCCUUAUGUAACUCUUGGCCUAUUAAUGGCCCGUGGUGAAACUGGCCCGUAAUGAACAGUGUAUCACUUUACACCCAUUAACGGCCCGUGGUGAAACUGGACCGUAAAGAAUAGUGUAUCACUUUAUACCCAUUAACGGCACGUUAUUCUGUUGGGCCGUUUCCAGCCCAUGUUAUCUUUCGGCCUUCUCAGAGCUCAUUUAUUCUUGGGCUAUUUUCCAGCAUUCAUUUACUUACGGUCGUUACUGUCAUUUUCUGCUUGUAGGCCAAAUUCAGCCCGUGGUUACAGUCAGCCCGUUUGUGGUCCGUUAAUACGCUGGGCCAUUUUCAUAGCGUCAUCAAAUACAGCCUAUUAAUGAUGGCCCGUUAUGGUCGGCCCAUGAACGGACGAUUCCAAAUCUAGCCCGUUUACAGCCAGAAUGCGGUCUAUUUGGCCCAUGUUUGGCCAAUCGAUCAUGCGACCCGUAUAACGCCCAUUGAUGAUAUGGCCCGUAGAAGGCCCAUUGUUUCUACGGCCCAUAGAAGGCCCAUUGUUUCUACGGCCCAUAGAAGGCCCACUGUUUCUACGGCCCGUAGAAGGCCCACUGUUUAUACGGCCCGUAGAAGGCCCACUGUUUCUACGGCCCGUAGGAGGCCCAGUGUCACUACAGUAAAUAUUAGCCCAUGGUUAUUGUGGCCUAGUUUUAAAAAAUAGGUUAUUGCAGCCACUAGCAAACCGUAGAAAAAGAACUGCAUUGACUACAAGCAAACAAAUAAACAAGACAACAAGGAAAUAAAUAAGCAAGCAACUUACACUAGGCUAUCACGGCUAUUACACAUAUUACAUCCACCGGGCAUCAAAGUUCGCCACCGGUGCAAAUAUAGGGAACACAACAUCAUAUAAACGCCGUAGCAAAACAAGUCCGGAACUGAAACCACUUCAGAAGAGCUCAAGAAACAAUAUCCUGGGUACCCAUAAUGCUGACAAGAUGCUUAGCAAGCUUAUUAACUUUCUCUUGUUUGGCGCUUAAGUCCUCCAGCGCUUGCUAUUGCACCAGAAAGUAUGCAUCUGAAUUAUGCAGGGACUUCCUUAGUCCUUCGGCUUCUUGUCGCAUAACAUCUGAUCGAUGUCUUUCAAAUUGAAGUUGAGACUCAAGAAGCUGAACUGAUUCAGGCAACGAGUUUGAAGAGCUGGUGCCAGCAGUGGUAGCCAGUAACUCGAACACUACAUCAAGACAGGACUUUGGGGUGGUCUCAGUGUCUUCAAUAUAGUUUUUAUCAGCUUUCUUGGAGACCAACAGGGAUGUCUCACUAUCUUGAACCUUAUCUGCAUUACUUCCUUUACCAUUGCAUAACAGGGUACUCUUCUCCAAUAUUUUAUUCGUGUUCUAAAAGAGAAACAAACAAACACAUCUCAGGUUUACAAUGUAGUAUAUGAAACUCAUUUUGGUAAACUAGUUCAGUUGUAAGGUGGACAGGAUAACAGCAUGAAACAAACAUAUAUCUAUGUAGUAUGGUCAAUGUAUGGUCUAUAUCAUUCUAGUUUAUGUUGCCAAAUCAAGAUAGAUACAGUUCGAAUCAUAUCUAUUUAAGACAAAGCAGCAUAGACAAAAUAUAAGUGUGGGAAACUACACUGCAAUAACAACACUUGUAAUGUGCAUGGCAUCAGAACAUAACUGUCUAUUCAAUUGAAAUUGAAAUCAACAUAGAGCAAGUUACAACAGCAAAUAGCCAAACACGCUGAAGAAACAGGUUUAAAACAUACCUGUUACACCAUUGGAGUUUCAAUUGCAUCCUUCAAAUUUGAAAUUAGUUGGUAUCAGUAAAUACAGUGAUGCAAGAGCAAAGUAGUAUGAACCAUAGCUACGAAACCUGACCUGAGAACAAUUCUUCUUCUGCUUUAAGCGUUGACUUCGGGUUCGGAGUGGUGGUCCUCGUGAUUUGGGCACUGCAGUUGCCUUACUAAUUGCUUGUGUUUGGGUGCUCUAUGGUGGAGACGGUGCUAUGUCAAUGGGAACUGCGUGUCUAUCUGCUCGGGUUAGGGUUAGAAGCAGUGGUGAAGCCACGCUAUAACUGUGUAGUCGCUUGACUACACAGGAUUUUCCUAUUGAACUAGCAAUAUUUGGAAUUUAACUACAUAGGCCCAUGUAUUCUCUUAUUCCCUGCUUCUGUAACAAUUAGUUGGGCCACUAGUGGGCCAUAUAGCAAGAAGAAAGUCCAAAAUCCCUUAACUGGUCGCACUGUAUCCCCAAAUUACGUGAUCUCCUUGCCUCCCUUCCCACAUGCCUCUCCAAUGAUUGGACGGCCGUCGCAGCGCAUCGUCUCCAGACUUGCCAUCCAGGCGCCGGUGAUCUUUGGCUAGACUCUGGACAUGAGACGCGAGGAACAACCACCUUGGGCCGUCCGGCGAGCCACGAGCGGCGCACCCGCGGCUGCACACAAAUUGUCUGUCUGAAACUCUGAAUCAAUCAAUCAAUACUAUUGUACUAGUCUGCACUCUGUAUCUGAUCCAACACAAGGCAAGGCCCUCCACUUUUCUACUUCUACUAGUUUGUUUUAUUUGCAAAAACAGCAAUACAGUUCAUUAUUUUCCACUUUUUCUCUCACUAGCAAUAUUAGGAUUUAGGAUGUAGGAGAUUAUUUUGAUUAAGAAUGAGAAUUGCAUAUUUCCCUUUCUUAGUAAUAGAUUUAUUUUGUCAGGUCUUUGGUUUGAUAAAUGGAUAAAUUUGUGAGAUAAGAUGUUUUUAAUUUCUAUUUAUGAUCUAAAAAUUAUUAGUAAAGUUUGACAUCACAGGGUUUUGAUCCUGGCACCGCCACUGGUUAGAAGGGGUGUAGCUGGUUCUCUGUCCAACUAGGUAGGGGUACAAUCUGCAUGAGUGUGGGUUAUGUGUGGUGGGGCUGGUUCUUGGGCAAGUACAAACGUGGUUCUAUCUACAUCUACAGGUAGCAUGAUCUUUUCUGAAGACCGUGUUUUUACUCCCAUAGAUACUGCCAUCACUCCCUCCAAUUGAAAUGGCUGAUAAACAAGAAAAGUAAUUGAAUGUACAGACAUUGUAAGAUAGACAGGUGCAAUGGAUAGUAGGGAAGAAAAUAGGGCGUGCAAUAAUUCACAUUUAUGUUGUCUAAGCAAACAGAAUAGCAGGACAUAAUUUCACAUAUAUGAUGGCUAAUUAAACAGGAUAGCAUGACACAAUUUCACAUGUAUGAUGGCUAACUAAACAGGAUAGAAUGACAUACUUCAAAAUAUGAUGACUAUGUAAACAGGACGACAUGAUAUAACUAUACGAUGUGUCUAUUAAAGUGGUUGGCAUGCCAUAAAUCACAAACAUGCCGUCGAUGGAAACAUGAUGGCAUGAUACAAUUCACGGAUAGAAUGGCAUAAUUUAAAAUAUGAUGACUAUGUAAACAGGAUGAGAUGACAUAACUAUAUUAUGUCUUUAGAAAAUGGGUUGGCAUGCCAUAAUUCAGAUACAUGUUGUCUAUGUAAACAUCAUGGCAUGACAUAAUUCAAAUAUAUGAUUUAUAUACUAAGGAAGUGAGCAGAGGGCAACCGCAUAUAUGAUGUGUCAACUAAGGAUAUGGCAUUCAAUAUUGUGUAUAUGAUGUAAAAACUAAGCAUUGCAAUACAACAUAUGCAUUAUAUGAGUAAUAUAACCCUGCCAAGUAUGAGCAUACACCUCAGGGGGAUAAUAGGACUGGUCAUCUGCCUCUGAAUCCUCCUCUGAAGAGCUAUCUGUAACCAGCAAGAUAUCUGCUUCAGCAGGUAGCAUUGUCUGCUCUUAAGACCUUGUUUUCACUCCAGAUUUCUCCAUCACCAAUUCAAAUGGCUGAUGCACAGGAAGAGCUAUUGAAUAUACAAACAUUGUCGAGAAAAGCAAUGAGAAAUACAAAAAAGGACGGCAUGAUAUAAUUCACAUAUAUGACACUUGCCUAAACAGCAUGGCAUUGCAUAAUUCACAUACAUAAUGCCUUGCAACAAGAUAACAUUGCAUAAUUCACAUAUAUAAUGUCUUGCAAAAAGAUGGCAUUGCAUAAUUCACAUAUAUGGUAAUUAGACACUAAACUGGUGGCAUUCACACAAAGCAUGUGUAAACUAAGAAAAUGACAUAGCAAUGCAAGAUACCAUACGCACGAUAUGAGCAACAUAACCCUGCCAAGUUAGGGCAUGCACCUCAUGGGGGAAAUAUGACUGGUCAUCUGACUCUGAAUCCUCCUCUGAGGAGCUAUCAGUAACCAGCAAGACAUGCGCUUUGUCAGAUAGCAUUGUCUGCUCUGAAAACCUUGUUUCCACUCUAGAUUUUUCCAUGAAGUAAUUGAAUGUACUAAAAUUGUUGACAAAUUUAACACGUAAUAAGAAAAUGAUGGCAUGAUAUAAUUCACAUAUAAGAUGACUGGAUAACCAGGGUGGCAUUGCAAAAUUCACAUAUAUGAUGCCUGGCUAGACAAGAUGGCAUUGCAUGAUUCACAUAUACGAUAAAGAAACUAAACAGAUGGCAUUGACACAAAGCAUGUCUAAACUAAGCAGAUGACAUCUUUAAUGUAUACAGUAAGCAAUGCAAGGCACCAUAUGCAUGAUAUUACCAACAUCGACAUGCCAAGUUAGAACGAAGACCUCAUGGGGUAAAUAGGAGUGGUCUUCUCCUUUUGAAUCCCCCUCAGAACAGUUAUCUUCCUCUUGAUUACGAUCCAAAAUGGGUGGAGGGGGGCUGCCUUUGCGCCCACCAUGGAACGACGUAUGCAUGAAAUUUUAUUGCCACGCAAGGCUCGUCUCUUUUGCUCUACAUAAUCAGUUUCAUUGUGUACAAUAACUGGCAUGCAUAGGAAUAAAACAUAGUGAGAUUAUGUAAGGAGUGCAUGCACAAAUCCAGAGUGAUGGUAGCAAACUAUGGAUAGACCCAAAACCAAUCAUAGCAGACAGAUAAUAGCUUUAGUUAAAAAAUAUAGACAAUGGCUCCUUUAAUGUUUGUUUGCACCCAACAUGAAACUCAUAGUAGACACCAGAGAUUAACCAGAUAGUAGACAGAUAGUACUGAUUGCUGCCCCAAUAUGUACCCCACAACCAUUUAAAAACUCAAGUUUCAGCAUUAGUUUGGACCUGACUUGGAGUCUAAUAGGUCAACACGACGAUAAUGUAGCAUGUCAUCAUAUUAAGCGAUGCAUAACGUAAGCAGACAUGGAAGAGUGCGACCUCUCUUGCGGACCCAUGUAGUCCUCAAGGUCGUCUGCUCAGUUGAUGAUGGUAAUGCAGUUGCCAUGGCUGCUGACGGCGGGGAAGAAGAUCUGAGGCGGCGAAAGACAGUCUGGAGAGCCGAUCCCUACUGUGGUGAACCCUUCCGUCAUUGGAGCAGCUCAGCUGGGGUGGAACACAGCGCCGCAGGAGCAGGACAAACCACACAAGGUUUUCUUUGACACAUAUCUGUAACAGAAGUAAUUGAGUAAGGGCUUGUUUGAAUUUGAGGAUUCUAACAAUGCAGGGAUAGGAAAUAGACAUGAAUAGGAUAGGAAUGCAUGUGCAAAACAGAGAAUUAAAAACACAUGAUUUCUGCCAAUCUAGGUGUUUGAUUCACAACAAUUGGAAGAUCACAGGAUGCAAAAAAGCAUGGUGAGAUUAAGUCAAACCACAAGAAAAUGUGCGGUUAUAAUGCUAUUAUGCUACUAUCUCUUAGUAUUGUGCUUGAUGAAUAGGAAUAUGAAAAGGAGGAGAAGUGGAAAUUAGAAUUCCUACGGUUUUUCUUUCAAGGAGACACUAAAGGAACAAAUCCUACAGUUUUCCUUUGCUCCAUUCCUUUGCACCAAAUUCAUGAAAAGUAGUACCAUAGGAAACUUUCCAAUUCCGAUGUUUUUCAUUCACUUUUCCUUUCAAGCACUGGCGAUUCUAUUAGGCAGGCUUGAGCAAGGAAAAUCCUACACUAAAAAAUGUUUUUGUGCUACUUCUAUUACUUUGGACCCGGGCCACUGCCAUACUAGCUCAACUCCCAGGCCCAUCGACAAAUGCACAGCUCAAACGCGCAGAGAUAUAUAAUGAUGGUGUUCAAGAGAGUCCAUCACGGAUAGCUAAGUUGCCUACUACCUCACUGCUUGUCAUAUAGUAGGAUAAAAUAAUCGUAUUUCCCGUUACUACGAGUGCUCAGUGGACAAUAUAUAUAACAUGUAGAGUAAAAAAGAGAUGCAACAAGUGUACAAUCUCUUUGGCGAAGCCAUGUCGAUCUCAGUGUGAUUGGGUUGGCCGGUGAGGAUACUCCGGCUGACUUGGCUAUCGGAGGAGGGGAAGAAGAUCUUAGGCGUCUGGAGAUGGAGCCCGAGGUACUGCUCCGCUGUGAUGGAGGGUUUCGUCGUUGGAGCAGCUCCGGUGAGUUGUACGACGCCGAGGCUGAAGCAGGACAAGAGAGACAACAAACAACGUUAACCUGAGUGGAAUUCUAAUAGCAUCUCCAAUACAUGACGUAAAAUACAUAACCACAAAGUGCUAGAUGUAAAAUACAUCAGCCGCUCAUCUCUGAACUUAACUGUCGAAACUGAAUUUAACUGUCGAAACUGAACUUAACUGUCAAAACUGAACGCACUAGCAAGGUGAGGCUACAUGUCGGUCGACUGACUUUUUCAUCUCUAGUCAGUUGAUUUUGCAGCCGUUGGGUACGAAAUCAAGGGCCUGCGGUUCAUCUUCAACCUCCACCGCCCUGAGCCGCCAGCCACCACCGACCAAACAGCAGCCCCCCGCCGCGCGCGACCGGCAGUGCACCGCCCCGCCCGCCCCAAAAACACUCCCCACCGCCGGUCCGCCGCCGCCCCGGCCAUCCCUCUAGGCCCCCCGUGCCGAGCUUNNNNNNNNNNNNNNNNNNNNNNNNNNNNNNNNNNNNNNNNNNNNNNNNNNNNNNNNNNNNNNNNNNNNNNNNNNNNNNNNNNNNNNNNNNNNNNNNNNNNNNNNNNNNNNNNNNNNNNNNNNNNNNNNNNNNNNNNNNNNNNNNNNNNNNNNNNNNNNNNNNNNNNNNNNNNNNNNNNNNNNNNNNNNNNNNNNNNNNNNNNNNNNNNNNNNNNNNNNNNNNNNNNNNNNNNNNNNNNNNNNNNNNNNNNNNNNNNNNNNNNNNNNNNNNNNNNNNNNNNNNNNNNNNNNNNNNNNNNNNNNNNNNNNNNNNNNNNNNNNNNNNNNNNNNNNNNNNNNNNNNNNNNNNNNNNNNNNNNNNNNNNNNNNNNCCCGCUGCGGCUGGUUCUUCCUUCACCCCGGCGAGCCCCCCCCCCUACCCCCUGAAAAUCGACUGACCCAAAAGUCGAUUCAGUCGACUGAAGUGUAGCUAAAUCGGAGCAGCAUCACAAGCAAGAGCAAGGGCGAGAGCAGCAACGCAAGCAAGAGCAAUAGUAAGAACAGACCAGGCAGGGGACCGAGAGCAAGAGCAGAGCAGCGGCGCGAGCGAGAGCUAAAGCAGCAGCAGCUCCUACUGAUGUGGACGUCGCCGCCGAGGGAGCGACGCCAUGGAGGAAGUGGCCGGCGACGCCGCCGUGGAUGGAGCCGUGCCGUGUCGGCUCGGGACCGAGCACCGGCAGCACUGUUGUUGGUGUCAAAACCGGCAGAUCUCGGGUAGGGGGUCCCGAACUGUGCGUCUAGGCCGGAUGGUAACAGGAGGCAAGGGACACGAAGUUUUACCCAGGUUCGGGCCCUCUCGAUGGAGGUAAAACCCUACGUCCUGCUUGAUUAAUAUUUAUGAUAUGGGUAUUACAAGAGUUGAUCUACCACGAGAUCAGAGAGGCUAAACCCUAGAAGCUAGCCUAUGGUAUGAUUGUUGAUGUGUAUAUGAUCUAUCGACUAGCCUGGCCCUGGUUUAUAUAAUGCACCAGAGGCCUAGGUUAACAAGAGUCCUAGCCGAAUACGCCGGUGGGGAGAAGUCCUUGUCUUGAUCGCCAAGUCUUGUGGAAUCUUCCUUGUAUGCGGCAGUUGUCCGAACUGGCCCAUGAGUAUACGGCCACAGGGGUCCUCGGCCCAAUCUAUCAGAUCGGGAGAUGACGUGUUGAGCACCCCCUAGUCCAGGACACCGUCAGUAGCCCCCUGAACCGGUCUUCAAGUUAGGGACGCUCCUCGAUUCUUCCGAACCGUUCUUCAUCAUCGGUUGACGGUCUUGAAAACUGGUUCAACAAAUCUUCUCAUCUUCGAUCUUGAGGAUCAUCGAAAUGCAUUCGACGAGUUUAUACGCCGGGUAUCCGAGGAGCCCCUUUAAGUUUCCGGCCUAUAUCAAUGCCUUAUUAUUUUUAUGCCACACCUCGGGUUUGAAGUUGUUCCCAGGAGGCAGUGUCUUCUUGCGUCCGAGCUCUAACGUCGUACUGUAUUCGAGGUAUCUUUUGCAGCCGAGCACCAAUGCCGGACCGCUUCCCAUCUCUAACGCCGGAAUGUAUCCGAGCUCCAACGCCGGACUAUGUAUCCGAGCUCCAACACCGGACUAUAUCCGAGGUGUCAUAUCACCUUGGUUCAAAAAAGUUUGAAGGAGUUUAGCCGAGCUUAACGCCGGAAAUGCCCUCUACGGAGCCAGCCACUAGCGCCCGAGCUUUAUGCCGGAUUGCUUCCGAGGUGGUGCACCACCCCGACUGUGGGCCGAUUUUUUGUUAAUAUUUUUUAUUAUUGCAAUUUAUUCUCUGCCGAGAUAUGUAGCCAGUAGCCCUCAAGGUGUGUAUUGGUCUAAAACCCGAGAUGCACAUGAAGGAUGACAUAAGACCGCUGAUCCCAGUAGCCGCUGAGACUCAGGUCGAUUUGCAAAAUCGGCCUAAGGAUCAAGUCCUAACUCGGCAGAAUACUUCGGGACAAUAAAAGUGGCGUGCUUGGUCCUCGAGACUCAAGUUGGGUGCGGCCGACCAACCUGAGGAUCAAAAUCUCCUCAGAAACUAUAUUGCACAUAAAAUUUUCUGCAUUGGACAAGCAAUGCAGUAGCCCCCGAGACACUGGUCGGGUGGCAACACUAGAUCAGGGGAUCAAUGUGCCCCUUUAAUAUUUGUAAAUAAUAAGCCCGAAGCCCAGUAGCCCCCGAGCCUUAAUGCGGGCACGGGUGGCCAAAUUAAGGAUCAAUAUCCAUAGUAAAAUCACAAAUUAUGUGUGAUGACUCUAUGUAUCCAAGUACUUUAUGUCAUUAAUGCUCGGAUCCGCAUUGUACAAAACUUUGUUGACCGACCAUUGGCUUCCACCUCCUCGGCCAGUAGCCGAGGAGUGUUUGUCCUACUUUAUAAAGCCUUUAUAAGGGCAAAGAUUUACAACAAACAAGGCAAUCUGGCCAUACAGUUUUAUAAACAAAGGUACGCAGAGAGUUAUAUCACUGUUUAACAGAAGAAAUGUCUUCCAAAGAAAAUAGUCCCGCUAUCGGUUCCUUUCUUUGGGUUGUCAUGCUAAGCAUGAUCAUUAAACCUCAGCUCUAAUGUAAGAGCAAAAUAUUGAGGAUUUAGUUUGGGAGGCCAGUUAAUAGCCCCGGUAGUGUUCGGCGACAGUCGGGGCCAAGCCGUAAACACUUCAGCCAAUGUUAUGAAUGGCCCAUCAUUUAACAUAGUCAUCGGAUCGCUGACCAGUUUACUCUUAUUGUGAAAGUCAGUUUUCGGCUUUCUCCACUGAGGUGCUUAACCAUGUGAGCUGGAAGCACAAUCGCAGUGGUUCUCCCUUUGCACGCCUAGCCGAACAAAACAGAACGUAGGAAGCAAGUGCAGGAGCCGGGCAACCCAACUAUUGACCGAAGACACAAUUCGAAACCAAUGUAUAUAUAGCAAUAUCUGAGAAUGUUUUUGCCGAAUACCUAAAGGUGUCUGGCGUUGCACUGCGAGACUAAUGCUGGAAUAGCACAAAUAGUUUAAAAGUGCCAAAAAGCUUGGAAACCCAAGAAACGUCAGUAAAAACAUGACGUCCGAACAAUAUCAAGUGUUUGGUGCCAAUUCGAAAGUUGGUCUUAGAAAAAAGAAGUGCUUCUGUUGUGCUUUAACAUGAUACAUCCUAUCUCAAGACUUCGACCGGGUCAGCCUAUGGCUUCAACCUCCUACCUUGAGGGCGGAGUACUUCUCAUCAGGCCAGUUUAGAAAACUAAACUCUAGCGACUUUGAGAGAGAAAUUAGGCUCCCCGGCUAGUGACCGCACACUCGUGUCGAAAAAAGGAGUGAUAAAUAAUAAUAAAACUUUGCAACAACUAAGAAGAAGAACACUUAUUAUAAAACGGCUCAAAUAAACUUAAGAGCCCCCAAGUGACUUGGGUAGAAGAAUGAUUGCAUGUACCGAAGUACUUAUAUCAUAUCUAUGUUCAACCGAACUUUAAACGCGUCUUAACCGACCGUCAGCUUCUCCCUCUUAGGUCAAGGACCGAAAAGUGUUAUGUACUCCAUCGGUCGAGAAUAUCGACGGUGUUUCCAAUAACCAGGCAAUCAGGCCAUAAGGCUGUAACAGACAAAGCGCGCUCAGGGAACUUAUGCUAUAUUACCGUGAAGUGUAAGAAGCCUCUUCGAAGAAAAUAGUACCCCCACCGAUACCUUUCUUCGGUGCUCAUUGUUAUUAUGAGACUUGUGCAAUAGAUUUUUUGUACUCAUGAGUUCCGUUGUGUGCCGACCAUCAUUGAAAACUAUAAGAGCGCUAGCUUUCGGCUUCACCCAGUCUGAGGUCUGGCUCGAUUGACCCGAUCAUGACAAUCGCAGAGGUGCUCCCUUUACUCCCUAGCCGAACAAUCGGGAACGUAGGGGUAAACACAGGAGCGAGGCAACCCAGCUUGCAAAUCGCUUAAGUCAAUAUGGUGCAUAUUGUGGCGUAAUACACGAACAAGGAACGAAGCCGUACAAGUAUAAUCAUAUGCAACAGGAAAAGCUUCAUAAAGGAAGCCCCCAAGUAAACGGGGUAUUUGAAUUUAUGCGUCACAAACAAAGUUUGGACAAGGCAAAUUUUUUACAAGCAACUUUUUUCCAAAAAAGUAUAAUGCUUGGUCGAACCGAGCACAAGUUAGAAAUUAAAGCUUUGAGCAUGAAAGCGACUUAGCUGGUUAAUGUGUUCGGUAUUGAUGACGCGGUCCGAGCUUGAUGCGGGGCAAGGUUCCAUCCCCCAAGCUGGUCCUGAGGUGGCGGAGCGGAGAGCCCGACACGCCGAAGUGGUGACAUAGCAUGGUCAAUGCAGACUGGCAGAGUGAUGCCGAAGUCCCUGGAUCAUUUUCCUGUGCACAAAAAAUAGUGCAAACCAGAGAUAAUAGUAAUAAUGAUAAUUAAAAAGAUGUUGCAUAAUAAAUAAUUUAUGCAAAGUGAGUAAUAAAAGAAAUAUGGCCUGGCGCCGAAGUCAAUGUCGAUACAGGGCAUCGGCGUGAUGCGGUAAAGGCAUGGCAAAGCCUGAAUCCACAAGUCGGUCCAAGUUCCGGAUGCGGCGUUCGCCGGACUAUGUACGGAGACUGGCCAAACCACCAUGCGACCUCGUUAAUGCGGCCAUCAUUUGAUAGACCUGUGUACAUAUGAUGGACGAACCAGAGUAAUAAUUCCUUGAGAAAAAUGAACCCAAACAAGCAAAAAAUACUGGGAUUAAUAGCACCUGGUUUACUUGUUGUAGCAAUCCAAAGGAAGGCGAUUCCCAAAAUUGGGACUCGCUCCGCACACCCAUUGCCUGAUGGGCGAUAAAACGACGGCAUGGCAAUGCUGGUAAAGGUUGGCUCGCCAAGGCAAAGCCCUCGAUCCAGCUAACGUGACGGAGCUGGUCGGCUAGUGAUGCCGAAGUGUCUGGAGUAGGUUGAUGAAGAGAUGGUGAAGCCCCCGGUCCAGCCGAGAUGUCGAAGCCUCGAUGUCAGCCGAUGAGUCGAAGUAGGUCGGCGUGAUGGACACCAGCUUGAAGAAGCAAUAGUGCGGCCCUGUCGAUGCAGGUUGUGACGUGGUCGAUGCCGGCUUGAUGAAGCGACCGUGCGGCGAUGCCGGUAUGCCCGCUCCGUGUAAUCCGUGGGGCGGCGAUGUUGGUGAUGACUUACCCUUCGCGAUGCCGGACUCUUGUUCGGCUUGCCGAGAUGAUGAUCCGAAGAAGUUGAGCUCGGCUCAACAAAGUGACGCCGUGUCUAGCGCAGGUCGGCAGCCGUGGAGUAAUAUUGCCGGACUGGUUUGGCACCAGCAUGAUGUUGAAGAUCAUGUUGAAAAGAUAUUAAAGUUAGCAGGAUGUGUUCGGCAACAAAACACAAUACCCCAUACAAAACAUCCUUCAAAAGGGAUGUCCGAAAUCCUGUUCAUAAAAAAGAUGAACCCGGGUCGGAUUCAUUUUCGCACAGAAAACAGAUCCGAAAAGUGAUGCACUAAUGGGAAGGUUUCCGGAGUUUGGACGGUCGGCUCGAGCUGAAAUUUUAAGAGGUGGUAGAUAUAGGAAUUCCACAGCCGAUCAACGGUUGGAUCUUCCAAAGGACGUCCGAGCUAGAAGCUCGACACCACACCCUAAACGCAUCCAAAUUCCCGUCCAGAUUUGACAGGGCUCCGGUAUAUCGUGGAUUGCCAGAGAUUCCUCCAUCGGAACUCGACGAAAUUUUCCAGGGUUGUCGUAGACUCAAUUCCGCACAAUUCCACCAAAGGGAUCGUCAAAGCGAUGCUCUAAGAGGUGGUGGCAGCGGAUACAAGUUCGCUGUUUGGAAAAACAGCACGGUCGCUUGAGGGCAAUGUUGACGCUGAGCCCUCGAGCUCCAUAGAUGAUUCCUCCAUGAUUUUGAUAGAGAUCGGAGUUGAUGUUUGAUGAAGGCCCUCGUUCGAACAUGGUGAUCCGAACAUGGGGCGCAAUUCUUGGUCGAACCAAGGUGACCAAUCGAGCUGGUGACGAAGAUGCCAAAGUCGCAGUUGAUCUGCAGGCGAGCCAUCGAUCCUUUUGUCGAUCACACAGCGGAACUCUCAAUGAAAGCACCAAUGUCGGUGUCAAAACCGGCAGAUCUCGAGUAGGGGGUCCCGAACUGUGCGUCUAGGCCGGAUGGUAACAGGAGGCAAGGGACACGAAGUUUUACCCAGGUUCGGGCCCUCUCGAUGGAGGUAAAACCCUACGUCCUGCUUGAUUAAUAUUGAUGAUAUGGGUAUUACAAGAGUUGAUCUACCAUGAGAUCAGAGAGGCUAAACCCUAGAAGUUAGCCUAUGGUAUGAUUGUUGAUGUGUAUAUGAUCUAUCGACUAGCCUGGCCCUGGUUUAUAUAAUGCACCAGAGGCGUAGGUUAACAAGAGUCCUAGCUGAAUACGUCGGUGGGGAGAAGUCCUUGUCUUGAUCGCCAAGUCUUGUGGAAUCUUCAUUGUAUGCGGCAAUUGUCCGUACUGGCCCAUGAGUAUACGGCCACGGGGAUCCUCGGCCCAAUCUAUCAGAUCGGGAGAUGACGUGUUGAGUACCCCCUAGUCCAGGACACCGUCAACCGUGAGAUCGAAUCAAGAAGAAAAUGUGGUGAUCAGUGUACAACCUCUUUGGUGGCGCCGAUUAGGCCGCAGCUUCAUCCGAGGAAACAGUGAUGAUGAUGCUCUUUCGGUGGUGCAGGUGAAGACGGUGGUGUGGGAAUGGAGGUGGUGCGAAAGACGAGGGGAACGUCGGGGCAGCUCCUUGGAGGUGGAGGACGGGGUGGCUGAACCGGCGGGACAAUGAGAUCGACGACGGAUCCUCAUCUGGUAUGGUGGAUGAGGGCCGUCGAGGUGUUGCUGUGGACGAUGUCGUCGGGAAGAGGCUCCGGCUGGGUGGCGGACGGAGCAGGGUGUGGGGUUUCGUCGCGGGUUUUUGCGGCCUCGGUGUACGAAUGGGUGGGCGGAUGGGAUGGCAGUGGGGAACCAUGGCUUAGAGACGCGCUUGUCCGAAAUGUGGGAUAAGUUACGAAAGUACCGCCAGUGAUUUGAGGCGGUUCUUUCGGUUCAGGGGUACCACGGGCAUUUUGCGUGUCGGGAUUUCACAGGAGGUGGGAGUUUUCGCACGCGUUGUAAUUUCGGAAUAGCAAGGCGCGGGUUGAGAUGGAGGGAGUUGUCGGAGCACAACGAGACAAAGAUAUAUCUUAAAUAUUUCGGGCUAACAAGGCGUGGGUUGAAGAGGUGGGAGUUUCGCAGCACGAUACACAGAGACACUAGCUUGAAUUUUCGUCAUAACAAGGCGCGACUUGAAAUUUCAGAAGAACAAGCUUAACAUGUACCCAAAAAAAGACAAUUUGCACCUCAACACGCACAACACACACACAAACACCAUUUAAACUAGAGUAAGGUACACGUGCAUUGCACGCAUGAGAUUUGGCAACAAAAUUAUGAAUAAAUACCACAUUAUAGCAUGCAAGCUUUGAGUCAUAUAUGCAUGAUGUAGAUGUUCGUUUAAUUCUUAUAGUUCAUUUCAUUCAAAAUCAUCUAGUUUUUAUAAGAAAGCUAAUCUAUUUUAAGAUUCAUGGAAUUGUGCAUCGUAAGACAUAAAGUAAAAACAACUAAUGGAAAAUCAUGUAGUAAAACAUUUGGGCAAUUCUGAUAUGGAAGAUUCUAGAACAAAUAAGAAGUGCUUGUGUUUUGAUGUUUGUGCAUUAUGCUUAAGUUCAACCAUGGAGUCUUCUAGAUUAUACAUGUGGCGAAAUCUGGUGGAAUCUAGAUGAUAUCCAAUGGCCAGUAGUGCUCAAAUUUGCCAUUUUUGGACCAUCGGAUUCGCCUCAUCCAACGACCAUCUUUCAAAGUUAAAGUUACCUGCACACAAUAUAAAAAAACAUUAUAUAUAUAGGGGUAUAGAUAUAGAUAUGUGAUGCGAAAGCCGCCCAUCAUCUCCCAUUAGAAUAGUGUGACCAUGCAUGGAUGCGACGUGGCCAAAAUGAUGCCUGCCAUCGGUAUCUCAAAUUCAAAUCAGUCUGACCUUAUUCAAUGUGUAUACAUUACAACAUGCUCGUUUCCAACCCACACCGCGCAGAUCUCCGUUAUAUUCAUGCAUGCAUGGGUUUCAAACAUCAGGAUCUCUUAUUCAAACAUUUGAAUUCAACUUUACAUUGAUUAUGACCUCACCUAUUCUUUUACACCCACACAGUAGUCUUGUCUUUAUGAUUGUAUCACUAACUUUCUCUCGUGCAUGCAUGCACACACACUACCAGUCGGCAUUAUCCAUCGCCAUGCAUGCAAUCUUUUUCUUCAGGUCGGUCUCCCAUGAAGGCACACACCCACACACAUCCCCCUCUCCAUCAUACCGGGCAUUCUUUAUCUCUCACGCGUGCAUGCGCAACGAUCGAUGUUCCUCUAUGUAUGUGUGUAUAUAGCUAGGUCUUUCAUAGUUUUUCACACAAACCGAUCAAUCGAUAUAUCCAGUGAGGUCUCACCCUCUUUCCCACAUCCACAUCGAUCAAUCUAUACCUCUCUAUAUAGGAUUAACAUAUAUAGCUAAUACACCCACAUUAAUUAUAUAUCCAACGUCCCCCUCUCAUCAUCCAUGCCUUCCGCUUCAUCUCUCAGACGCAUGCACAAUCGCGAAGACAGGGGGCAGUAAGGGCCCUGCCCCCCUCCCCCCUAACAUCACUAUAUAUCGAGGCUAAUAUGAAUGUGAUCAUUAGACAAUUGCUGCUAAAAUGGUUUAAGUUCAUGAAUUGACCCUCCUCGUAAAGGAUUAGAAAUGCUUGGCCCCCUAGCUCAUUUAUUUUUCAUGGCUCUGCCACUGCGCGCAACAGCGCAUGUGUUUGCCCCCUCUCUCUAAAUAUCGAUCUCGCACUUGUGCAUUCCUUCAUAUUCUCCCUCCACUCGACCCCUCGCACCAUCUUCUAGCCCCCCACCGGAUUUUGCCACAUGUACAAUCUAGCAGACUCCAUGGUUGAACUUAAGCAUAAUGCACAAACCUCAAAACAAAAGUGGUUCUCUUUUGUUCUAGAAUCUUCCGUAUCAUAACUGCCCAAACUUUUUUUCUAGUUGAAUUGCCAUUAUUUGUUUUUACUUUAUGCUUUACAACACAAUUCCAUGAAUCAUAAAAUAGAUUAAGGGCUUCUUUGAUUCAAAGGAUUCUCAAAGGAAUUUUGGAGGAUUCUAAUCAUUAGGAAUUUUUCCUAUCUUGGUUGUUUGAUUCGUAGGAUUGUAAACCGUAGGAAUUUUUCCAUAUGAUUCAUUUGCACUAGAUUUCAUAGGAAACAUCCCAUCCACUCAAACCUCUUUGAAAGAAUUCUGCAUUUUUUUCUAUGCACAAUCAAACACUCGUACAAUCCUGUAGGAUUCAAGACGACGUUCCACUAUAAUCCCAUGUUUUUUCCUAUUCCCGCGUUCUUAGCUUUUUUAUAAAAACUAAUUGAUUUUGAAUGAGAUGAACUACAAGUAUUAAACGAAGGGCUACAUCAGGCAUAUAUGACUCAGAGCUUACAUGCUAUAGUGUGGUAUUUAUUCAUAAUUUGGUUGCAAAAUCUGAUGCGUGCAAUGCAUGUGUACCUUACUAGUACUUCGAGUAUGUGCAAAACACGUAAAUUAGAAUACCAAUGGCACUCUACACGGUGUCUCUCUUACAGUUCAUGAAGCCAUGUGGCACAUGUGGAGGCAUUGUCGCGACCUCCUUGUGUGGAUUGAUCACAGUGACGUGCUGCUGGUUCCAAAAGAAUGUACUCGUCCUCCCUGAGCCAUACUGGCGGUACAUGCACGAAGCGAAGAUGUACACGCAUGCCACGCAUGCACUCAUUCCCUCGCACGCACACGCGGGUACACGGGCAGACGCAAUUUUGUACCAAGAUCCACCCCAUGUGAUAAUUUGACGCGUGUAAAGUCGUUCACUUCAUUGAUGGCCAAUUAAUAUAGCGCAUGCAAAUUGAGUGGACGUGAGGGCGGAAGAAAGACAUUAUUACUCCACUGCGCGCAUGCGAGUAGUUAAAUCGUGGGUUGCUAGUAGUACUUCCAUUGGUCUCCUUCGUAUUUUGUGCCAAUUUUUGACAGUAACAUAAUAUUUACGCAUUUGAGCAGUGUAGUACUUGAAAUUUAUGUUCCGCUAAACUCAUCAGGAGCGUUUCAGGACUCGAAACCAAAACCAUCAAUUAAUCUUUACCUUGUUCCCAUCACAUUCGAAAGCCUGCUCACACCUACUAGUACGUACCAAACCUGAACGUGUUCCCACUAUGUAGGUAUUAGUUCUAGUGCUAGUACUUAGGUUAUAAAAAGGGGAACUACCUAACUGAAAAUUACUCCACCUUUCCUCCUCAUAAGUGCUUCUUCUUCGUCCAUCGUUGCCAUGGCCGGUGAGCAGAGCUCUAGGUCAAGAACUACUCGUAACAAGGGAGAGGCAACCAAGGCUACGGAAAAAAGAGGGCGCUCCGCCACACAGAGACAUCGAAAGAUCUCUCACGGGCAGGCGAUGGCUCCCAGGAGCGCCCUAGCCGCGGAGGCGAACAUGCCGAGCCGGCGGAGCUGGAGUCGUUAUCCCUCGACGGCAUGCCCGAUCAGCUCAAUAAGCACCUCAAUAAGCAGAAGGAGUUCAUCCAAGGCUUGAUGGAGUUGCUGAAGGAGAGCCUCGACGACAUGCCCGCUGAGCUCAAUCAGUAAGGGGAGUUGACCGCCGGCUUGGUAAUGCUGCUGAAGAAGAGCAUUGCCUCGAAGAAGAAGGUGACCGGCGAAAUCCUGUGACUUCAAGAGGACAAGGCGAAGAUCUGCCACGAGAUUGACCUGUUGAAGGAGAAGAACGCCGGCUGGAAGAAGCUACAUGAGAAUAGUAAUUCCUCGAUGAAGAUGUUGCAGGCCCUCAUCAUGGAACAGAAGGAGGAGUUGGCGAAGCUCCGCAUCGAGCACCCGGCUGCAGUCAAGGUACGUAAUGCGGCCGUGGAACAGAUGAUGAAGGCUCGCGUCGAGAAAUCCCGCGUCAUGGACAAAAUGAAGAAGAUGGCGGAGGAGACGCACAAGGAGAUGGAGGUCGUGGAGGCAAUGAAGAAGCUGUUACGACUCCGCGGCGAAUUAGAUCAUUUGGGGUGAUAAUCUUCCUUCUUCUUUUGCUCCUGUGUUUCCUCUUUUGCUUCGGGUGUUUCGCCGCACGUGUCACGUUCUCUGCGAGGCAUGAAUAGAACAAUGGUUUUUUUAGGGAAUGAAUAGAACAAUGCUAACAAUGAGAUGACUAGCAAAUUAGAUCAUUUUUAUCGCCAUAUGGCACUGGGCUGCCGUGUUUCGUGCUCCUCCGUCGCAGUACUACUCCAGUGGAAAACUUGAGUAUACCACACGGUUCUUUGCUCCUCCUCGAUCAGGUCGUCGGCGCAUUUAUACGAGCAGUCAAAUCACAAGGCCCUGCCUUCCAGCAGUAAUGAGCCGUCAAAUCACAAAGGCCCUCGCCUCUCAUGAAAUCGACCAAGCUAGACUGCCCCGCCCUCUAGCCUUUUAAAAAAUGUAUACUUUUGUACAGCAGUAGUAUCGAUGGAUUGCGCCAUGGAGCAAAACUUGAAAUUAAAAAAAAGGUGGUACAUAUAGAGAGCGCUCGUCGCCAAAUUAUGCAUAUAGUACUAUUAAAAAGGCUAGUCACAAUAAUGUUGUCCAACACAACCCACCCCUCAAAUAAAACUAAGAGGGUGCUUGGAUACAUUUUAGUCCCAUGACUAAAAGUAGUGGGACUAAAACAUGCUAGCCUCACCCAUGCUUGGAUCCAAAUACUAAAAAGGCUAAAAUCAAGUUAAUGAGCAUUUAUUAUCCUCCAAACCCUCCAAUCCAGAACUCGCCUGUGUUAAAGGAGAGGAGUUAAAUGAGUAGAGAGAGGACUAAUCCACAUUUUAGUAGGGGUACCCCUGACUAAAAAAAAUUAGUCUCAAGACUAGUUUUAGCCCCUCUUUAGUCAGGGGUGCUUGGAACUUUAGCCUCUUAAAGAGACUAUUUUUAGUCAGACUAAAAUAAGUCCCUUGGAUCCAAGCAUCCUCUAAGCAUCCUGGAAUUCUUUGACAAAACUAAGCACCCUGAAAUUCUUUGACAACUAAACUGCUGGCUAUAUGAUGUUGGCCAUAUAUAUUGUACAUAUAUAAUGUGAAGAAACGAAUGGUAGUACUAUACCAACUAAAAGAUGAAAUGUAAGAAAUACUAGUAUGUACGUACUGAAGAGUUAAAGUAACGAGAAGAAACAUAACAUAGUUCUGUUAGGGGCUCAGCACAACACACCCCUCAAAUUAAAUUAAGCACACCUAAAAUUAAACUUUGCAACUAUUCCGGUAGACACUGCAUUAGAACCACCAUGAGCAACGACACUGCCACCUUACUCAGAGUCCUCGUCCACGUCCUGGACUUCGUCCUUGCCCCUCUUCCUCUUGGCUGACACUUCAUUGCUUGAACCGCACACUUGGCUGUUGCUCUUCAUCCAAGCCUUGUAGAUAUUGAAGCAAAGGUAGCCAUCCAUUGCAGCGUAGUGGAUGUGGUCUAUAUCUAGUACAUUCCGCUGCCAUGCAUGACGAUGAAACGUUUAUGGAGGUUUCUCCAGUUUACCAUACGAAGGAUGAACCAUGGCUCCUGCCAGGGUCAACAUUGAAGGCUGACAAGAGGACACCAGUCAAUUCUUCUGGAGGUCGAAGGUGUUGCCUACGACAAGGCCUAUCCGACGCAGGACUUCUUUGUCGUUACUAAAGUCUACAGUAACAAAUUUGACUAGGUUGCUCUCGAGGAAGUCCUUAAAAUCAUGGCACUCAACGUCGCCAUGGUAUAUGUGGUAGACCAAGCAUAAGUCAUGCUCGCAAACCUGGAUCACAGUGGACUUCUUCCUCUCUUCAUCCUUUAGAUCCUUCUCUGGUCCCAGGACUGUGGUGUACUCAACAUCUAGCCCAGCGACCCACUCAUCAUCUGAGUCUUCGGACAUGCGCUUGAAGUGAGAAAGCCAUCCUUUCACCGUCGCGGAAGAACGGGUGUAGAUGACGUCGAACUCAUCGCCGGUGAUGGUUCUAACCUUGUACUCACCGCCGAUCGUGGAGAUUUGGGACGCCAUGGAUUUGGGAGGAGGGUUAGGAUUAGUGGAACUGCCGUAAUGUGAAUGGACGGGACGACUAGGAGCGAACCGCCGUAGUAUUGAAGGACGUGCGGGGACGAGUAGGAGUGGCAUUAAUUAAUUGAAUCGUCUCGCCUCCCUCCGCAUGCAGCCGCAUGCAAGCCUCACGCGCACAUCCCUAGUGCAUGCUACGGCUGGGUAUUUAUUUCUCCCAAUCAGCGUACGCAACGAGCAGCGGAAUCAGUGUAAUAUGUGGUGAUUUAAUUAUAGCGGGACUAAUAAAAAUGGGACUAAUAUGUGGUGAUUUAAUUAUCUUCUCCUCUUAAACCACCGCCGCUCCUCUCAUGUUCCAAUCUAAAUGCAGCGCCGUUCUUCUCCUCUUCCAUUUCAAAACCACCGCCCCUCCUCUCCUGUUCCAGUCCAAAACCAGUGUCGCUCCUCUCCCGUUCUAAUCCAAAACCAGCGCUGCUCCUCUCCUCUUCCAUUCAAAAAUCACCGCCGGCGAGUGAAGGUGAUGUGGAGAAGUAGAUCGAUGGAGGAGUACAACCGAUACGUGAGGAUCGCAGACGGCGACCCUGUGAAGCUAACUAGGAUGUUGGAGAUACAGUCUUGGUUUGACAACAAGGACCAACUAGCAGCGACGGCGACAUCCAUGGCCAAAUAUCUACAACAGAGCGAAAAGGCGGCGAUACUCCCGGAGGGAGUCGCGCCGGAGUACAUAGAGCUGCUCCUCUGGGCCAUGGAGCAAACAGAUUCACCGAAUCCGAUCGUGAGGGAGCGGUGGUGGGAGUAUCGAUCCCAGAUGGAGCAUCCACCAGAGAUUGAAUGAUCGAGCAUCUACAGGGUGCCGUUUGUGAGGGUGUCCUGCCAGAGCGAGCCGGUGGAAUCUUCGUCGACCGAACCCAACUACAAGAGGAGAAAAGCAGUUGGCCCGAUGACGCUUCCCCUCCAUCGUCUCCCUCGCCGUUCACAUCGUCUCACGGGGUGGCUGUCUACGCCGAGGAAUAGGAGGGGGCUGCNNNNNNNNNNNNNNNNNNNNNNNNNNNNNNNNNNNNNNNNNNNNNNNNNNNNNNNNNNNNNNNNNNNNNNNNNNNNNNNNNNNNNNNNNNNNNNNNNNNNNNNNNNNNNNNNNNNNNNNNNNNNNNNNNNNNNNNNNNNNNNNNNNNNNNNNNNNNNNNNNNNNNNNNNNNNNNNNNNNNNNNNNNNNNNNNNNNNNNNNNNNNNNNNNNNNNNNNNNNNNNNNNNNNNNNNNNNNNNNNNNNNNNNNNNNNNNNNNNNNNNNNNNNNNNNNNNNNNNNNNNNNNNNNNNNNNNNNNNNNNNNNNNNNNNNNNNNNNNNNNNNNNNNNNNNCAGGUUGUGAAUUGUCAGGAGGAUCUUAGGGUUGUCAGUAUUUGCAGGUUGUGAAUUGUGUUUUGUGUUGUGUAUUUUGAGAGUACUUUCAUAUAUGAAUGUCUUUUGAUUUCACAUUUGCAGUGUUGAGCAUAUGAAGUAUUUUAUGAAUUCUAGAGAUCUAUUUUUAGCACUUAAAAAAAUGUAGUUUUAUAGGAGUAUAAAAGUGCAGACAAUGUGAUUCUCGGAGAAGAAACUCCAAGUUUCAGUUUCAGAUAACAAACUGCAACUUUCAGAGGCAGAGCAUUUAUAUUAACACGGCCUUUUCAAACAGGGUUAACAUCAUGUUGGAAGUUUUAUUCAUGGUCGAAAAUGGAACUACCAGCCAGUUAACAUCAUGCUGAUCAACAUUCAUGCAUAGCACAUGUUCAUAUGAUGCACAGUCAAAAUGCCCACACAAUGUCGAGUGUGCGAAACACAGAGAAAACGAGGGACGAAGUUUUGGCAAGUGUUGGACGUGGUUUUGGGAUGCCCCGUCUAGGCUUUCAUUUUUAACAUGCGCAGCCCACGACCUCGGAUGGGAGAUCCAUAGGCCUGUUUGUAUUUUCUUAGGGUCGUCAUGUAUCGACCGGCCUAUGGACCUCCCAUCCGGGGUUUUACUUUUGGCAGCCCAAUUUAUGUAUUUUUUGAAGAAAACAUAGAGGUCUGUUCUAUUUUUCUAUAUAAGAAUAGGAACGCCAGGUCCAACUUAUGUUUCCCUUCUAACUAUAUUAUAUAUAUUUAAAUUAUUUUAUAUGUUAUUAUAUAUUAUUUUUAUUGUCAUCAUAUAUUUAACAGAUACUUACAUACGUAAGAAAACAAUAUCCCACAUCUUAUUAACUUAUAAAAAUAAUUUCUUAACAAAUAAAAUCCUGGAUUGUUUUGGCACGAAAAUCCUAGUGAUUAUGUACAAAAGCUUGGUAAGAUUUAAGGACGAAUGUAAUAAUAUCACUUAUUAUUAAAUAUAUUUAUAACAAAAUGCUCAGCCCCUUUUUAUUUUCUGAUAACAUUGCUGGCCCAACCCAACAUUAUAAUUAGAAUCAGCCCAGCAAAAUCGUGUAUUUCGAGAAAGUGCAAAUGGCCUGUAAUUUUUUAGGAAAUAAAAUAAAUGGGCUGCAUGGACGCUACAUUAUUUGUUCACCCAGCCCAGCUAAUGGUUGUAAUUCAAAAAAAGGAUCAAAUUGACUGUAAAUUCUACCGCGCAAAAAAGACUGUAAAUUCUGAAAAAAUGGGUUGAAUACGUGCCACAUUUUUGGAGGCUGAAAUGUGGGCCAAUAGGUCGAAGCCAACGCAAGUCGUUGUCAAUUUAGUCAACAAAUGAUUCUGACAUGUUAGCUGUUGGAUUUACAUCCAACGACCGGCAUCCAUCUUCAAUCUCUCGUCUUUUUCCUCCAGCGCCGCCGGGACCACCUCCCGCCUCCUACUGCUAGCAGCUCUGCUUAGCAUGCUUUGCUAUGAAGCGCUACUUCAUCGUUGGCCAGGCCAUCCCUCCACCCCUCCACACCUCCUGUUCUUCUCCACCGACUGUCGAACCACACCGCACUAGAACCAGUUAACCCUCGUACACCUCUCCGUCUGUGACUCUACUCCCGUGUCUUCCCAUCUCCGGCUCGUUGCUGUUCGGGGCCUCGCCGUAUCCACCACCUUGGAUGCACUCGGUGCGGCGUGGUCAACGUGGUCAACGAAUGACACCAACGGAAGUAGACUGUGCGUGGAGAGGCUGACAGCUAGGUCCACGGCCGCACACAAGGAAAUGCCUCCUUAUUACGCGCAAAAUAAUGAUUCCUCCACCUGACAUCUGGGACCCACCGGAAGGGCCUCUGUAUUUUGCGAAAAUAACGUGCCCCCCGCUGACAUGUCGGACCCACCAGCUAUCUUCGCACGCAAAGAAGUGCCUCCUUAUUACGCACAAAUAAAUGAAUAUUCCCCCUGCCAGCUGGAACCCAGCAUAGUGGGAGGCUGACUUGUGGGCCUACCAAGUUAACGGGGACGGAAGGCUUUGUCAACUUAGUCAAUAUGAACGAUUCUAGCUCCUAUUACUGUACGAUGUUCAUCCAAUGGUCGUAGUGCUUCUUCGACCUCUGGUCUUCUUGCUCCAGCCGCCCAAACCAGCGUCGGUCGUGCCACGUGCACCUGCCUCCCGUGGCCGGCUGUGAUACCAUGGAGGCCUCACCGCCCCCUACUACUCCCACCGCUAGCCAGGCCAUCCCUCUACUCACCCACACCCCCUGUUAUUCUGUGGCGACAGCAGCCUCACACUGCAGCCGAACCAGUGAACCCUCGUACUCUUCUUCACGUGGGCAUCCACUGUUCCGUCUUCCCCGGCUCCGAGUCGUCCCCUUCCUAGUCCUCGCCAUCAUCCACCGCCGUGGUCGGCGCGGCAUGGUCAACGUGGUCAAGGAACGACUUCCAUCGGACAUGGACUGUACGUGGAGAGGCUGACAGCUGGGUCCACGGCCGCAGCAAGGAAGUGCCUCCUUAUUACGCGCAAAAUAAUGAUUCCUCCACCUGACAGCGGGGACCCACCGGACGGGCCACCGUAUUUCGCAAAAAAACGUUUCCCCCUAACUGCUGGGACCCACCAGCUACAUCUUCGCACGCAAGGAAGUGCGUCCGGGCAAAAAAAACGAUUUUCCCCCCUGACUGCUGGGACCUACCAGCUACAUCUUCGCACGCAAGGAAGUGCGUCCGGGCAAAAAAAAUGAUUCGCCCCCCUGACUGCUGGGACCCACCAGCUACAUGUUCGCACGCAAGGAAGUGCCUGACAGUCGAGACCCACCUGGUUGAAGCGUACAUAGCGUUGUCAUUCUGGUCGCGAACGUGUACAUACAUAUAUACUGGUGGAUGUAGAGGUGCGCACGUGUCGUAGUAGAGGCGUGUACGUGUCGUAGUAGAGGCGUGCACGUAGCAUGUGCACGUACGUACAGUGGCCAUGGUGCAAGAAAGAAAAUAUGGCCACGUAUGUGUACAUACGGACGGGGUCUCGAACGCCUACUCGCGCAUACGUACGGCCAGGGCUCAUGUACAUGGCUGGGUCGGAACGAAGAAACAGCGUCGUCGUCGUGUUCAUGGGGAGGCAACGGAAUGCAUCGUGUUCAUUGGGAGGCAGCGGAAUGCGUCGUGUUCAUGGGGAGGCAACGGAAUGCUCGUGUUCAUCGAGAGGCAACGGAACGCGUGGGAGCCAACCGGCUGGGUUGGAACGGAAUGCCUGGUCGUGUUCAUCGGGAAGGCUUGGACGGAACAGGCGAUGGAAAUGAGGCCUGGCGUACCGCAAAACGGAGGAAACGAACCUCCUACGUUCGGAACGGGGUCUUGUUGAUCGGGAAGGGUGUGGCGUAUCGCAAAACGGAGGAAACGGACCUCCUACGGUUGAAACAGGGGUCCUAUUGAUCAGGAGGGGUGUGGCGUACCGCAAAACGGACGAAACGGACCUUCUACGGUCGAAACGGGGGUCCUGUUGAUCGGGAGGGGUGUGGCGUACCGCAAAACGGGACUCCACGGGAUACUGUUCAUCUCCACCGUCGACCUCCUCCAGCCUCCACGGGCUACCGUCGACCUCCUCUAGCCCCCACGGGCUCCUGUUCAUCUAGCCUCCACAGCACGCUACUCCACCGGCUACUGUUCAACCACCCCUCCACGGGCACCCCUCUACCGUCUACUGUUCAUCAAGCCCUCCACACCACGGGGUCCUGUUCAUCCAGAGGCAACGCCACCGCUCACUGUUCAUCCACCCCCCCCCCCAAUGCUCACUGUUCAUCCAAUAGAUCGGCUUCAGUUAGCAGCAGUAGCGAAGGAAUCACUCGAUCGGGUUCAGUUAACAGCCAUCGAUCGAUCGCUCGGGUUCAAUAACGCGUAGCCUGUAGUGCAAUCGCUCAGGUUCAGUUAGAGCCCAAUGCCUCGCUCGGGUUCAGUUAGAGCCAACACCUCGCACACGCACGCGUAUGUGUAUGAGAGAAAUGCGCAUCGCUCGGCCCCCGACCUCCCACCGUAACCGGGAACUCCCCGAAAUUUUCCUCCCCCUCGCUUCUACCAUGGUUUUUUCCGUCAUGGACGGCCCAAAGAAUGUCAUGCAGCAGCGUCUCUGGCCCGCCCAGGACGAAAAGCCCAUUUUCUGUCAUGAUUUUUUGUCAUAGAAGUAGGAGCCCACCACAUCUAUGAUGAUACCGGGUUUUUUCACAAUUAUCGUCAUAGAAGUGUCAUAUGUAUGACAAAAAAAAUUGUUCGGCCCAAAAUGUCACGGAUGUGUCUUCUUUUGUAGUGAUAGUGGAUACUAGGGAUCAAACCCUAACAAAACUAACUCGAUUACAUGAUAGAUCCCAUCCAUCCCAUAACCGUCCUGCAAGCCUACGAUGGAAUUACUCACGCACGGUGGUGAGCAUCAUGAAAUUGGUGACGGAGGAUGGUUGAUGAUGACGAUGGUGACGCAUUCCCCUCUCCGGAGCCCCGAACGGACUCCAGAUCAGCCCUCCCGAGAGGUUUUAGGGCUUGGAGGCGGCUCCGUAUUGUAAAACGCGAUGAUUUCUUCUCUCUGAAUUUUUUCUCCCCGAAAGCAAAUAUAUAGAGUUGGGGUUGAGGUCGGAGGAGCUCCAGGGGGUCCACGAGGUAGGGGGGCGCGCGCCCCACCCUCGUGGACAGGUGGUGGGCCCCCUGACCUUCAUCUUUUGCAAGGAUUUUUUAUAUUUUCCGAAUAGAUGUUCCGUGAAGUUUCAGGUCAUUUCGAGAACUUUUGUUUCUGCACAUAAAUAACACCAUAGCAAUUCUACUAAAAACAGCGUCAGUCCGGGUUAGUUCCAUUCAAAUCAUGCAAGUUAGAGUCCAAAACAAGGACAAAAGUGUUUGGAAAAGUAGAUACGACGGAGACGUGUCAACUCCCCAAAGCUUAAACCUUUGCUUGUCCUCAAGCAAUUCAGUUGAUAAACUGAAAGUGAUAAAGAAAAACUUUUCCAAACUCUGUUUGCUCUUGUUGUUGUAAAUAUGUAAAGCCAGCAUUCAAGUUUUCAACAAAGAUUAUGACUAACCACAUUCACAAUAACGCUUAGGUCUCAAGUUUACUCAUAUCAAUGGCAUAAUCAACUAGCGAGCAAUAAUAAUAAAUCUCGGAUGACAGCACUUUCUCAAAACAAUCAUAAUAUGAUAUGACAAGAUGGUAUCUCGCUAGCCCUUUCUGAGACCGCAAAACAUAAAUGCAGAGCACCUUUAAAGAUCAAGGACUGACUAGACAUCGUAAUUCAUGGUAAAAGAGAUCCAGUCAAGUCAUACUCAAUGUAAACUAAUAGUAAUGAAUGCAAAUGAUAGCGGUGCUCUCCAACUGGUGCUUUUUAAUAAGAGGAUGAUGACUUAGCAUAAAAGUAAAUAGAUAGGCCCUUCGCAGAGGGAAACAGGGAUUUGUAGAGGUGCCAGAGCUCGGUUUUGAAAUAGAGGUGAAUAAUAUUUUGAGUGGUAUACUUUCAUUGUCAACAUAACAACCAAGAGAUGGCAAUAUCUUCCAUGCUACACACAUUAUAGUCGGUUCCGAAACAGAAUGGUAAAGUUUAUACUCCCCCUUCCACCAACAAGCAUCAAUCCAUGGCUUGCUCGAAACAACGAGUGCCUCCAACAAACAAGAGUCCCAGGGGGAGUUUUGUUUGCAAUUAUUUUGAUUUGAUUUGCAUAAAGCAUGGGACUGGGCAUCCCGGUGACCAGCCACUUUCUCGUGAGUGAGGAGCGGAGUCCACUCCUCUUGAGAAUAACCCACCUAAAAUGGAAGAUACGGACAACCCUAGUUGAUACAUGAGCUAUUCGAGCAUACAAAACAGGAUAUUUAUUUGAAGGUUUAGAGUUUGGCACAUACAAAUUUACUUGGAACGGUAGGUAGAUACCGUAUAUAGGUAGGUAUGGUGGACUCAUACGGAAUAACUUUGGGGUUUAAGGGAUUGGAUGCACAAGCAGUAUUCCCGCUUAGUACAGGUGAAGGCUAGCAAAAGACUGGGAAGCGACCAGCUAGAGAGCGACAACAGUCAUGAACAUGCAUUAAAAUUAAUCAACAUCGAAUGCAAGCAUGAGUAGGAUAUAAUCCACCAUGAACAUAAAUAUCAUGAAGGCUAUGUUGAUUUUGUUUCAACUACAUGCAUGAACAUGCGCCAAGUCAAGUCACUUAAAUCAUUCAGAGGAGGAUACCACCCUAUCAUACCACAUCACAACCAUUUUAAUAGCAUGUUGGCAUGCAAGGUAAACCAUUAUAACUCAUAGCUAAUCAAGCAUGGCACAAGAAACUAUGAUCUCUAGUUGUCAUUGCAAACAUGUUUAUUCAUAAUAGGCUGAAUCAAGAACGAUGAACUAAUCAUAUUUACAAAAACAAAAGAGGUCGAGUUCAUACCAGCUUUUCUCAUCUCAGUCAGUCCAUCAUAUAUCGUCAUAAUUGCCUUUCACUUGCACGACCGAACAAUGUGAAUAACAAUAAUAGUGUGUGUGCAUUGGACUAAGCUGGAAUCUGCAAGCAUUCGAUAAACAGGAGAAGAGAAUGCAAUAUGGGCUCUUUUGUCAGAUCAACAAUAAUGCAUAUAAGAGCUACUUCAACAAUUUAAUUAUGAUAUUCUCCCAUCGACCCCCAAAGAAAAGAAAAGAAAUAAAACUAUUUACAUGGGAAAGCUCCCAACAAGCAAAAGAAGAACAGGAAAUCUUUUUGGGUUUUCUUUUUAAUUACUACUACAAGCAUGGAAAGUAAACUAAUUAAAAGCUACAGCUAAUUUUUUUGGGUUUUUCUUAAGGUUUAUUAAACACACAAGAAGAAAGCAUAAAAAGGGAAUAAACUAGCAUGGAUGAUACAAUGAAAAAGUAUGAGCACUGACAUCUAGCAAUGAGUGUGUGAACAUGAAUAUAAUGUCGGUGGGAAAUACGUACUCCCCCAAGCUUAGGCUUUUGGCCUAAGUUGGUCUAUGGCCACGGCUGGCCUGGCGGAUAUCCAUAAUAAUAGUCGGGCUCGUACUGCGAUGCAGCGGCUAUCGCCUCCUGAGCUGCAGCGUGGCGACGAGCGGCCUCCGCUCUCCUCUCGUACUCAUCUGCCUCCUCUCUGGUAAUAACAUAUCUACCUUUUGCCUGAUAAUCAAAGAAGGCAGGAGCAGGGAGAGUAAUAUGGACAACACGCCGUCUGUCAAAGAUUAGUCGAUACUGGAGAGGUGAUUCAUUCCUCUCGACAAAUUGGUGGUGAACCAUAGCAUUAAAGUCUAGGUAAGCAGGAGGUAAUUCAAUAUCAUCUUCACGUAUGGCUAUACCAAGAAAAUUAGCUAUGCGGGUUGCAUAAAUUCCACCAAAGAAAUCUCCAUUAAAUCUAUUCAGAUGCAACCUACGUGCAACAAUGGCUCCCAAAUUAUAAGAUUUAUCUCCUAACACCGCGCUCCUAAGAAUACUGAGGUCAGGAACACACAUAUGACAUGCUUCAUCUUUACCAUUUAUGCAUCUACCUAUGAAGAGAGCGAAAUAAUGUAUAGCAGGAAAAUGUAUGCUCCCUAUGGUAGCUUCUGUUAUAUCUCUAGAUUCCCCCACAGUUAUACUAGCAAGAAAAUCUCUAAAUUCAGAUUUGCGAGGAUCCCUGACACUACCCCAUUGUGGAAGUUUGCAAGCAGUGGUAAAAUCCUCUAAGUCCAUAGUAUAAGAUUUUUCAUAAAGAUCAAACAGGACAGUUGGAGAAUUAUGUGAAGAUGAAAAUUCAAACCUCCUCACAAAGGAACUAGUGAGAUGGUGAUACUGGCUGCAUUUCUCUUCCUCGAAGCUCACAAGAUCAGCGUUACGCAAAUAUGCGUUAAAUUCUUCUUUAAUUCCUGCUCGAUCCAUAAAGUUUUCCGAAGGCCAUUCACAAGGACGCACUGGAGCAUUUCUUGGUGGCUCUUCAUCAGCAUCACGCAUUGCAAGCCUGGGUCCUUGCUUCCUUGAAGAACCACCUUGGAACAUUUUCCUAAGCAUAUUUCUUCCUCUGAAAAAUUCUGAAAAUUUUUAGUAACUUCAAAAUAAAAGUAAACCAAACUCAAUAAUAUUGAUAGAAACUACUCAUACAAGUGCCUAGAGCAUAUAUCAUGCAUCAAAACUACUUCGAACCGUAUAAAUUUGACAUGCAAGCUCAAGAACAUGGUCACCUAGGCAGCACAAAUUUGCAAUGAAUAAAGCACUAUAACAAAAACUAAUUGGACCAAUGGAGGAGUCACAUACUGAUAUGGACGUUGAUGCUAGUGAUGUCGAGGGAUCAAUAGAGCGAAAUAUCUACGCUCCUAAUUAUUUUCAGUUGAGUGAAGAUGGCUCGGUGGUCAAAUCAUUGAACAAUCAUUCUUGUUUUGUUCUGAGCGCAUGCAAUUACGGUGUAUUUCUUGAUUUGGUCCCGGGAGAUAAGAAACGAACUGAGUUAUAUGGUAAUGGAAAACUACAACGUGAGUACUACUUGCAUGGAUCUCAUCGGUCCUUGAGCCGUGCAUACUCAGGCCACAAGGUUGUACGUAUGGAUGAGUUUACAAGGGAAUAUUCUAAUCGGAGAUAUAGAGGCGUUGUACGCUGGUUUAAAAGGAAAUCAAUGCAAUUUAGAUUUUUAUAUUUAUUCUUGCCAGGCAAAGAGACGUAUCAGGGAGGAACAUGUAGAAGAUGCAGCGCAUGGAGUCUUCUUUCCUUAAAGGAAAUUGGAUGGGGUCCACCUGCCAUGCAAUCAGAGAAGACGCACGAACCUACAACAGAAUUAGUUUCCUUUUAUGUUUAGCCGUGAGAGAUAUCAAUUGAUGAAUAGUUCGGUUUGUUGCUCAAGUUAGAUGGAUUGGCUAAUAUAUAAAGCCAUGAUAUGCGUUCAUUGUAAAGCAGGUUAUUUGAUAAAAUAGACACGAUGUGUUUUCAAGGGUAUACACCCGUAUCAAGUCUUAGAGGGAUCUUUAGAAAACCUCUGUGUUGCGAUUUCUUUGUAGAAAUUAUUUUUGCGCGUGAGUAUCAUCGUCGAGAUUGAUUUUCUCGUGCUGGGCCGUAAGGUUCAAACCCUCUAUUUCGUGCAUAUCGCGUGCGCGGGUGAGAGGCUACUGCUGCUGAAGGUGGAGUGUCGUGAAAGGUCGGGCCGCAACAACGGAUCGGAUCUCGCCUCGAGGUUCGGUCUUUAUCACAUACCAAGGAACAAUCUCCCCAAGCAGUUUUGUGAGAGGUGCUUUGAGCAAGGAGAUCAAAAUGGGAGCAAAAUGAGCUUGGACUCGGGUUUGAGCUAGAUAUUCGUGUUUGUGGGAGGAAGAAGGAGUGUGUGGGUGAAAGGAUAAGUGGAGGAGGGCCACCAUGGGGCCACGAGGCAGGGGCGCGCCCAGGGGGGUAGUUCUCGGAAUGACCUGAAACUUCACGGAACAUCUUUUUCGGAAAUAAUAAAAAAUCCUUGCAAAAGAUGAAGACCAGGGGGCCCACCACCUGUCCACGAGGGUGGGGGCGCGCCUGCCCCCCUAGGGCGCGCCCCCCUACCUCGUGGGCCCCCUGGAGCUCCUCCGACCUCAACCCCAACUCUAUAUAUUUGGUUUUGGGGAGAAAAAAUCAGAGAGAAGAAAUCAUCGCGUUUUACGAUACGGGGCCGCCGCCAAGCCCUAAAACCUCUCGGGAGGGCUGAUCUAGAGUCUGUUUGGGGCUCCGAAGAGGGGAAUCCGUCGCCAUCGUCAUCAUCAACCAUCCUCCAUCACCAAUUUCAUGAUGCUCACCAUCGUGCGUGAGUAAUUACAUCGUAGGCUUGAUGGACGGUGAUGGGUUGGAUGAGAUUUAUCAUGUAAUCGAGUUAGUUUUGUUAGGGUUUGAUCCCUAGUAUCCACUAUGUUCUGAGAUUGAUGUUUCUAUGACUUUGCUAUGCUUAAUUCUUGUCACUAGGGCCCGAGUGCCAUGAUUUCACAUCUCAACCUAUUAUGUUUUCAUCAAUAUAUGAGAGUUCUUGAUCCUAUCUUGCAAGUCUAUAGUCACCUAUUAUGUGUUAUGAUCCGUUAACCCCGAAGUGACAAUAAUCGGGAUACUUACUGGUGAUGACCAUAGUUUGAGGAGUUCAUGUGUUCACUAUGUGCUAAUGCUUUGUUCCGGUACUCUAUUAAAAGGAGGCCUUAAUAUCCCUUAGUUUCCAAUAGGACCCCGCUGCCACGGGAGGGUAGGACAAAAGAUGUCAUGCAAGUUCUUUUCCAUAAGCACGUAUGACUAUAUUUGGAAUACAUGCCUACAUUACAUUGAUGAAUUGUAGCUAGUUCUGUGUCACCCUAGGUUAUGACUGUUACAUGAUGAACCACAUCCGGCAUAAUUCUCCAUCACUGAUCCAUUGCCUACGAGCUUUCCAUAUAUUGUUCUUUGCUUAUUUACUUUUUCGUUGCUAUUGCUAUCAUCACUACAAAAUACCAAAAACAUUACUUUUACUACUGUUACCUUUUGCUAUCGUUAUCACUACUAUCAUAUUACUUUGCUACUAAACACUUUGCUGCAAAUAUUAAGUUUCCAGGUGUGGUUGAAUUGACAACUCAGCUGCUAAUACUUGAGAAUAUUCUUUGGCUCCCCUUGUGUCGAAUCAUUAAAUUUGGGUUGAAUACUCUACCCUCAAAACUGUUGCGAUCCCCUAUACUUGUGGGUUAUCACCCGGUCACCCGCUCCCGUGCCCGCAGCUGCUACCGUUGUCGUUGCCUGCUGCCACUCCCACCGCUGCCGCCGCCUUCCACUGGCCCCGCCUGUGCCGGCUCCAGCCGCCAUUGCUCCCGCGGCUUCCCGAAGCCCCUCCGCCCGUGCCGGCUCCAGCCGCCGCUGCUCCACUGGCCAACUGCCGGCACCCCACAUCUGUGUGUUCGUGCGUGAGCACCGGCACAUAGUGGCUGGCACGUGCCACCGACACGUGGGCCCUAGUAGAUUAGAUUAGGAACUAAUUUGAAUAGUCUCUUUAGCUCACCGCUAAUAGACACUAAUAGUAGGGCCCCACCUACUAAUUAGGACAAAUUAAACUAAAAUAAAACCCUGUUAAAUAGUCUGAGUCAAUGACAUGUGGGCCCCACUGACCAUAUCGACCAGUUGACCAGUCAACAUUGACUGGUCAACUGCUGACCGUACAUACUGAUUCAGCCCCCUGGACCCCACUGAUCAUACACAUCGACUAGCCAAUACCCUAGUAACAAAAGUAUUUAGGGAUUUAAAUUCUAAUUGAAUAAUUCCAAAAAUUAAAAAAUGAUUUAAAACUUUGAAAACUAAUAGAAAAUAAACCGUAAAUUGGAUGAAAAUACUUUGUACAUGAACGUUUCUCAGAACGAUGAGAUGAAUCCAAAUACGCAGUCCGUUCGUUCACCACACGUCCCUAGCAUAGCGAACCUGCAACCGUCCCCCUCCGGUCCGUUUGUCCAAAAACGUGAAACACCAGGAAUACUUUCCCGGAUGUUUCCCCCCUUUGCCAGUAUCACCUAUCCCUGCGUUAGAUCACCCCUGGCACCGCGUAUUGCCUUUUUAUAUUUUGUGAUGCUUUGUUUGCUCCGUAUUUACUGUUUCUCCCUCCUCUUCUUCUUCGUUAGACCCGAGACCGGCGCUGAUGCCACUGAGUAUGACUACAUCACCGACAACCCUUCUUCCUGUACAACAGAGCUUCCAGGCAAGCCCCCCCCCCUUGAUCAACCCGAUAUCGCCUAUUCUUCUCUCUACUGCUUGCAUUAGAAUAGUGUAGCAUGUUAUUGUUUUUGGUUAAUCCUAUUCUGUUGCAUAGCCUGUCAUUGUUGCUACAGUUGUUGAUACCUUACAUGCAAUCCUGAAUGCUUAGUAUAGGAUGCUAGUUUAUCAUCAGUGACCCUACAUUCUUGUCCGUCUGCCAUGCUAUACUAUCGGGCCGUGAUCACGGGUAUAUACUAUAUAUCUUAUACAUGAUACAUGUGAUGACUAAAGACGGGUCGGCUCAUAGAGUACCCGCGAGUGAUUCACGGAUUGGGGGCUGAAAGGACCUUUGUCCCGACGGCCCUCUGGGUGGAUCUUUGUGGCAGAGCGACAGGGCAGGUUGAGACCACCUAGGAGAGAGGGUGGGCCUGGCACUGGUCGGCGUAUGCGGUUACAUCAAUUAACACGCUUAACGAGAUCUUGGUAUUUGAUCUGAGUCUGACCACUGGCCUAUACGCACUAACCAACUACGCGGGAACAAUUAUGGGCACUCGACGUUGUGGUAUCAGCCGAAGCCUUCUUGAUGUCAGCGACUAAGCAGCGCGCGCCGGAUUGGACCGUAGGCCUGCGCUUGAAUUAAGGGGGCUAGGUCUGCUUCAGGACGCGUACGCAAUGUGCAGGUGUGCAAUGGGCGAUGGGCCCAGACCCCUGCGCACAUAGGAUUUAGACCGGUGUGCUGACCUCUCUGUUGUGCCUAGGUGGGGUUGUGAUGUGUUGAUCUUCUGAGGCUAGGCAUGACCCAGGAAAGUUUGUCCGGCCAAAGGAGAUCGAGCAUGUUGGGUUAUGUGGUGCACCCCUUCAGGGAAGUUUAUCUAUUCGAAUAGUCGUGUCCCUCGGUAAAAGGACGACCCGGAGUUGUACCUUAACCUUAUGACAACUAGAACUGGAUACUUAAUAAAACACACCCUUUCAAGUGCCAGAUACAACCCGGUGAUCGCUCUCUAACAGGGCGACGAGGAGAGGAUCGCCGGGUAGGAUUAUGCUAUACGAUGAUACUUGGUGAACUUACCAUCUACUCUCUUCUACUGCUUCAAGAUGGAGGCUGUUAGAAGCGUAGUCUUCGAUAGGACUAGCUAUCCCCCUCUUAUUCUGGCAUUCUACAGUUCAGUCCACAGAUACUACCCAUUUCAUUGAUACCAAUGCAUAUGUAGUGUAGAUCCUUGCUUGCGAGUACUUUGGAUGAGUACUCACGGUUGCUUUGCUCCCCCUUUUUCUACCUGGUUGUUGCAACCAGAUGAUGGAGUCCAGGAGCCAGAGGAUCCUGAGGAUGAUUCUAUGUGGAGUUCGACUUCGAGGAGUAGUUAGGAGGUCCCAGGAAGGAGGCCUCGCCUUUUUGACCGUUGCUACUUUUGUGCUAGCCUUAUUAAGGCAAUCUUGUUUAACUUAUGUCUGUACUCAGAUAUUGUUGCUUCCGCUGACUCUUGUGUCUUCGAGCAUUUGUAUUCGAGCCUUCGAGGGCCCUGUCUUGUAAUAUAAAGCUUGUAUUAUUUUAUUUGUGUCUAGAGUUGUGUUGUGAUAUCUUCCCAUGACUCCCUAAUCGUACACAUUUGAGUGUAUGAUUAGUGUACGGUAAAAUCGGGGGCGUCACACCUGCAAGCUUAAAUAAUCCACAAACUUCAUCCACAUAGAUUAGGUGCAUAUCGGGAUGUAAUGUUCCAUCUCUUGUAAAAGGAUUAGCUAGCAGUUUCUCUAUCAUACCCGAAGGAAUUUCAAAGUAAACAUUUUCAGUAGGUUCGGUAGGUUGAGGAGCAACUCUUUGCUCUACUGGUCAGGGUGAAGAUACCCCGAACAAGCCCCUCAAAUGAUUGUUUUCCAUAGUAACAAGUGACAGUAAAUUUCAGCACACUAUAUAAAUUUUUCCUUACCAAAUUCCACUUACCAAAGGCGCUUCACUCCCCGGCAACAGCGCCAGAAAAGAGUCUUCAUGACCCACAAGUAUAGGGGAUCUAUCAUAGUCCUUUCAAUAAGUAAGAGUGUCGAACCCAACGAGGAGCAGAAGGAAAUGACAAGUAGUUUCCAGUAAGGUAUUCUCUACAAGCACUAAAAUUAUCUGUAACAGAUAGUUUUGUGAUAAGGUAAUUUGGAACGGGUAACAAGUAACAAAAGUAAGCAAGGUGCAGCAAGGUGGCCCAAUCCUUUUUGUAGCAAAUGACAAGCCUGGAAAAACUCUUAUAUAAAGUAAAGCGCUCCCGAGGACAGAUGGGAAUUAUCGUCAAGCUAGUUUUCAUCAUGCUCAUAUGAUUCGCGUUUGUUACUUUGAUAAUUUGAUAUGUGGGUGGACCGGUGCUUGGGUACUUCCCUUCCUUGGACAAGCAUCCCACUUAUGAUUAACCCCCUUCGCAAGCAUCCACAACUCCAAAAGAAGAAUUAAAGUAAACCUAACCAUAGCAUGAAAGAUAUGGAUCCAAAUCAGCCCCUUAUGAAGCAAUGCAUAAACUAGGGUUUAAGCUUCUGUCACUCUAGCAACCCAUCAUCUACUUAUUACUUCCCAAUGCCUUCCCCUAGGCCCAAACAAUGGUUAAGUUUCAUGUAGUCGACGUUCACAUAACACCACUAGAGGAAAGACAACAUACAUCUCAUCAAAAUAUCGAACGAAUACCAAAUUGACAUGACUACUUAUAGCAAGACUUCUCCCAUGUCCUCGGGAACAAAUGUAACUACUCACAAAUCACUUUCAUGUUCAUAAUCAGAGGGGUAUUAAUAUGCAUAAAGGAUCUGAACAUAUAAUCUUCCACUGGAUAAACCAACUAGCAUCAACUACAAGGAGUAAUCAACACUACUAGCAACCCACAGGUACCAAUCUGAGGUUUUGAGACAAAGAUCGGAUACAAGAGAUGAACUAGGGUUUGAGAGGAGAUGGUGCUGGUGAAGACGUUGAUGGAGAUUGACCCCCUUCCGAUGAGAGGAUCAAUGGUGAUGACGAUGGUGACGAUUUCCCCCUCCUGGAGGGAUGUUUCCCCGGCAGAACAGCUCCGCCGGAGCCCUAGAUUGGUUUCGCCAAGGUUCCGCCUUGAGAGGGUGGUGCUUCAUCCCGAAAGCUUCCUUCUGAUUUUUUCCAGGGCGAAAGACACCUUAUACCAGAAGAUGGGCAUCGGGGGGCUUCCAAGUGGCCCACGAGGGAGGGGACGCGCCCAGGGGGUAGGGCGCGCCCUCCACCCUCGUGGACGGUGGGUGGUCCCCUAUGGUGUUUCCUUUCCCAAUAUUUUUUAUAUAUUCCAAAACCGACUUUCGUGGACUUUUAGGACUUUUGGAGUUGUGAAGAAUAGUCUCUAAUAUUUGCUCCUUUUCCAGCCCGAAAUUCCAGCUGCCGGCAUUCUCGCUCUUCAUGUAAACCUUGUAAAAUAAGAGAGAAAAGGCAUAAGUAUUGUGACAUAAUGUGUAAUAACAGCCCAUAAUGCAAUAAAUAUCAAUAUAAAAGCAUGAUGCAAAAUGGACGUAUCACUAAGUUUAGGUCUUUCUUGAGCUAACCCAGGUAACUAAGCAUAUUAGAGCUAAUUUAGCAUUUUAGAGCUAACUUAGGGCUAACUUAGGUCAUUUUGGAGCUAACUUAGGUAAAAUUGAUCAUUUUGGAGCUACUUAGGCUUAUUAUGUCAUUUCAAGAAAAAUAAGCUAACUAUAUGUCAUAUAUGAGGUUACCAAGAUUGUUAUGCUAUUUCAAACCUAAGUAAGCUAAUUAUGCCAUUUUUACAUAAGUAAACCAAGUGUAUGUCAUUAUUGAGCAAACCUAGGUAACUAAGCAUAUUAGAGAUAACUUAGCAUAUUAGAGCUAACUUAGGUCAUUUUGGAGGAAACAAAGCAAAGUAUAGAUCAUUUUGGAGAUCUGACAUACCUGACAUAGUUCACUCCUCCUUCUCCUUCAUCAUUCUGAUGCGCUUAGAGCGGCGAGGCAGUGAGAUGUACUCUUCUACCACAAUUGGCAUGGUCAUGUCGCUCGGUUGUGGGAUCGCCGGCGCCACCACCAUCGCGAGGUCAUUGUCAGGCACCACCACCAUCGCGAGGCCAUCUUCAGGAAACACCAUCGCUAGGUCAUCCUCAUCCACCACCAUCUCUUGCCCAUCGUCAGCCACCACCAUCGCUUGUCCAUCGUCAGCCACCACCAUCGCGAGGUCAUCGUCAGAUAGAAUAGGCUGCACCUCCUCAUCCCCACUCUGCUCCUCUUCUUCCCUACUCCAUUCCGGAUCAUCCUCGCUGCUGCUUUUGCUGUAGCCAGACUCGGUGUUGCUUUUGUUGUAGCCAGAGUCGCUAUCGCUGCUCUGAUUGCCUGGCCAAAUGCAACAAAGUUUUUUAACAAUCAGUGUGAUACAAAGCCAAAUGGAUAGGAAGAAGAGGCAGAGCGUACUGGCAUCGCCGUCCUCCUAGUAGCGCAUGUGGCACAUAUCCGUGUUGAACACCUUCACGGUGAGCAUGGCGUCGCCGUCGUACCUGAAGACAAGGAAGUACCUGUGCCGCAGGUCAUAGGCACGGAAGAACUGCUCCCAGCCACGACACAGGUACAUGUGGUCGUUCUUGAUCACCACCUCCACGUCCCAAAGCCUGCGAAGCCCGCUGCCGGCCUAUCGCAGCUUCACAUUCUUUGGCCGAUGGCCGUCCAGCAUCUCCAUAAAAGUGUCAGGCGGCCUCUGCAACGUGGGUCAAGGAGUGAUGUAGGAAACAACAGAGUUAUGAUAAAGAGAUGGGUGAAGGGGAGAUAUCUCCUUUUAUAUACCUGCCUCUUGGAGGAAUUCUCAAGUAUGAUCGUGAAGAACUCGAAACCUUCCAAGUCAUACUCCGGUGUGGCAGAGCGCAGCCUGCGGUGGCGGCCUCCCCCCCCCCCAUCUCUGAUAAGCAGCAGAAGAGACCAAUUACUACCCUUACAACAUUAUCAUAUAACAUUACAGUAGCAGAAGUUUUGAGCAGAAGAUAAUCAACUACAAUUAAUUAAUUUGGUAUGUUAGUUAGCAAUAGUUGGAACAGAGCCAAGUUUUUAGACAUGAAAGAAAACUAAGAAAAAAAAGCAAUGCACUUGUGCUCAACAACAUCAACAACACUUAAUUAAUUUCAUAGGUUAGUUGGCAAUGGCAAUUGGCACCCUUCAAAACUAGGGAUUUUUUAGACAUGAAAGAAAACUGAAAAUGUUGAAAAACAGAGCAUAGUAAUAUAAAAAACAGAGCAUAUUUUAGGUGGCUCUAGGUUGACAUACUAGAGCUGAGCACAAUAUUUAUUAGCAGCAUGUUAUUCAAUAUAUUCUUGAUCAUCAAAUGAAAGAGUAUAUAUAUCGUCACCAUGCCUAUAUGGUUCAAUUUGUAAAUCAGCCAUAAACCCCCGCGGAACUACUCUCAUUGCACUACAUGGAAAUUUACUAGGUGACAUGGCAAAAAUUUCAGGAACAAAGCAGAUUUGACGUUGUGGUCCAUGGCAGUUUUCUACACGAACUGUUCUAAAUCAAGUGUGUUAUCCUCAUUUUUAUUCUAAGUGUGGCAGUGUUUACAUACAACAUGGCAAUUUCACACAAUCUCCUGUCGGCUACAUGAAACAGAAAUUAAACCUAAACUAAAUGUCAAUUUUUCAUCUUCUUCUUCCUCCUGUCGGCUAAACCUAAACAAAUAGAAAGUAAACCUAAACCUAAACACACACAGAGAGAAGAGGGAGGGUGGCGCACCUCGGUGUUGGAGACGGCCGGGGUCGGAGGCAGAGGUGGUUGGGCGUCCUUCUCGGGGGAGGGCCGGGCUGGGGGGUCGACGGUGACGACGUAGGAGGGGCCGGAGCUCGGGGCGGUGGUGGUCGACGACGGGACAACGACAGCGCGAUGAGAUGGCCGUGUUCGGUGACAGCAUUGGCGAGGCGAGGCAGAGGACUCGGGCGGCGACGCGCGGGGGUGAAGGAGGGGUGAGAAGGUGACAGCCAAGGCGAGGAGGAGGCGGUGAUGGGCGGGGCGGCGCCGGGGACAGCGGAUGGCGGCGGGGCACGUCAGGGCACAGCCCGAUCCAGAACUGGAUCUAGNNNNNNNNNNNNNNNNNNNNNNNNNNNNNNNNNNNNNNNNNNNNNNNNNNNNNNNNNNNNNNNNNNNNNNNNNNNNNNNNNNNNNNNNNNNNNNNNNNNNNNNNNNNNNNNNNNNNNNNNNNNNNNNNNNNNNNNNNNNNNNNNNNNNNNNNNNNNNNNNNNNNNNNNNNNNNNNNNNNNNNNNNNNNNNNNNNNNNNNNNNNNNNNNNNNNNNNNNNNNNNNNNNNNNNNNNNNNNNNNNNNNNNNNNNNNNNNNNNNNNNNNNNNNNNNNNNNNNNNNNNNNNNNNNNNNNNNNNNNNNNNNNNNNNNAGGUGAGGGCUGGGAGAGAGAGAGUGACGCCCUCGAUUCAAUCGUACACUAAUCAUACACGCAAAUGUGUACAAUCAAGAUCAAGGACUCACGGGACGAUAUCACAACACAACUCUAGACACAAAUUUAAAAUAAUACAAGCUUUAUAUUACAAGCCAGGGGCCUCGAGGGCUCGAAAACAUAAGCUCGAAGACACAAGAGUCAGCGGAAGCAACAAUAUAUGAGUACAGACAUAAGUUAGACAAGUUUGCCUUAAGAAGGCUAGCACAAAAGCAACAUCGAUCGAAAAGGCAAGGCCUCCUGCCUGGGAGCCUCCUAACUACUCCUAGUCGUCUGCGGUCUUCACGUAGUAGUAGGCAUCCUCCGGGUAGUAGUAGUCAUCAGUGGCGUCGGCUGGCUCCUGGGAUCCGUCAUCUGGUCGCAACAAUCGGGUAUGGGGGGAAAGGAAGUAGCAAAGCUUCCGUGAGUACUCAUCCAAAGUACUCGCAAGACUUACAUCAUAUCUAAACUAAGUAUGCCUCUGUAUCAAAGGAAUGGGUUGUAUCUGUGGACUAAACUGUAGAAUGCCAGAAGAGAAGGGGGAAAGCCUAGCCUAUCAAAGACUAGCAUCUUCUGGAAACCACCAUCUUGCAGCAACAGGACGGAGUAGAGUAGCAUAAAGUAAAGUAGCAGUAGUGUUAUCAACCUCGGCCAGAGAUCCUUUCUCGACUCCCUGAGAGAAAGAAAUCCCAGAGCCAUACUAUCCAUUUCUCAUGUCCAUUUCUCAUCACCAUCCAUUUUUCAUCACAAUCCAUUUCUCAUCUCAAGUAACCAAUUCUAGUUGUAUUGAUCGGGAUACAACUCCAAGUGUCUGUUACCGUAGGACAGGCUAUCGAUAGAUGUUUUCUUCCCUGCAGGGGUGCACCAACUUACCCACCACGCUCGAUUAACUCCGGCCGGACACACUUUCCUAGGUCAUGCCCGGCCUCGGCCAAACAAUACGCCGCAACCCGACCUAGGCUUAAUAGAGAGGCCAGCACGCCGGACUAAACCUAUGCCCCCAGGGGUCAUGGGCCAUCUCCCUAGGAACUCAUGCACGUUGCGUACGCGGCCGGUGAGCAGGCCUAGCUACCUCCUUCAACAAGGCAGGAGCUUACACAGUCCAACCCGGCGCGCGCCGCUUAGUCACUGACGUCUACUAAGCUUCGGCUGAUGUAUACGAUGCAGAACGCCCAUACUAUGCCCACGUGAUGGUUAGUGCUAUCAGGCCAGAGGCCCCUCGGAUCAAAUAUCCAAACCGUAGUGGAUUAGGAGCACGCGGUAACGAGCAGAGACUCACGAUCGAUGUGACCCCAUCGCCCCGUCUCAAGUACUUGCGGCAAGGGCUAAGAAUGCCCGGCCACGCCUCGUAAGUAUCUCGCGGGCACCUUCCAGGUCAACCCGACUCCACAUCACUAGCUAUUAAGCUCGCGCGGGUACCUCUCAGGACCGACCCGUCUUUAGUAACAUGGCUCAGUGCAAAGUCAUAGUAACCAUAGUAACUGUGUGUCUAACACCAAGGGGAAAACCCGAGGAAUCACCCCCGGUGAAUUCCACUCGAUGUUAUGAUCAAGGUGAACGUAAGAGGAUCCAUCCUCGAGGUUCACACUUGAGGGGUUGCACGACAGAGCCAUAAUGGAAGUAGUUAAGGAGGAAAUCACCCUCGAUGAUCACGACCGAAUAGCUACACUACAGAGAUCUCAUCAGGAGUGAUGUAUGAGGUUCACCCUCGGCACUCGAUAGUAACUCUGUAGUGUCGUACAACUAGGGGGGUGAUGUGCGGUGUCGGGGCCUGGACGUCGAUCACGUUGAUCGAGUCAUCGAACAUAAAGCGGGGCAACUGGGACAAGGUGGGGGUCACUGAUUGAUCACUAACCAACCUAUACUAAGCAGUUUAGGAUAAGCAGAUAAGUAUGGAAGCAGGUAACAAAAAUAUAGGCUAUGCAUCAGAGUAGGAUCAUACAGAAAGCAGUAGCAGUUCUAAUGCAAGCAUGAGAGGGAAAGAAAUGGGCGAUAUCAGAAUGCUCAAGGGGGGUUUGCUUGCCUGGUUGCUCUGGCAAGGAGGGGUCGUCGACGACGUACUCGAUCACAGGGGCGGCAUCGGUCUCGGGGUCUACCGGAGAGAAGAGGGGGAAGAAACCGUAAAUAUAAAGCAAGCAUAGCAUCACAAAGCAUAACAUGGCAAUAUGCUGAGCCAGGUGUGACCUAACGUAUGGCUACACGAUAAAGGUGAAGGGGAAAUUCAACCGGGAAUGAUUUCCCGGUUCCGGACCUGUGUCAUACACAUGACCCGAGAGGGAAUGUUCCAUGUUCAGCAUGCUAGGGGCAUGUGACAGAUGAACGGAUCGCGUAUUCGGAUUCGUCUCGUCGUUCUGAGCAACUUUCAUAUAUAAAGUUUUUCGAUCCGAGUUACGUUAAUUUUCUAUGAAUUAUUAAAGUUUUAGCGAUUUCCUGAAAUUAUUAUUAAAUAUUAAAUUUGACAGAAAUUGAAUAAUGACAUUAGCAUGAGGUCAAAGUGAUGUCAGCGGUCAACUUUGACCUGUUGACAAGUCAAACUGACAAAUGGGUCCUACUGUCAUAGAGACAGUUUAGUUAAACAAUAUUAGAUUAACUAAUCUAUCUAGUUAACCAGGUUAUUAAGCAUGUUAAUUAAGUUAAUUAAUUAUAUUGCUAAUUAAUUAUUAUUUUUACUUUUUAAUUUUAUUUUUCGUUCCUUUUGUUUACAAGGGCCGGCCCACAUGUCAUAGGAUACAACUAAAACUAAGUGUAAUAUAAAUUAGUCUAACAAAGGGACUUGUUUUAGCUGGGGAUUAGCCCCUAAGCUAGCAAGGGGCCGGCCACACACACGGCCGUGGCAAAAGCCAGCCACACACAGCACGUACGCACGCACAACACGCACAGUCACAACUCACGCACACACACACUGCGCUCUCACGCACCACGGCCAUGGCCUUUGCCGUGGCUAGCAUCAAGCAGAACAGAGGCAAGGCAGCGCAGAAGCACGCAAGGAGCAUCAGCAGUGCGGCGGCAGUACGCAGCAGCAGCGGCCAGCAGCAAAUGGAGCAGCAGCGCAGGCACGCACACGCAGUAGGGGCGGGCGAGCACGGGACAGCAGCAGCGACAACCGGCAACAACGAUAGUAGAAGAAGUAACAGGCGGCAGCGAACGCACGCACAUACGCGUACACGGGGGUUCGAGCUCGACGGAGAUGACGGCCUACGGCGUCCAAAUCGAAGGGCUAAAAGGGGGACCCGAGGGAGAAGCUCACCCCGGUUCUCGUGGACGAGGUUAGAAGGUCGGAGGCGGCCCGGAGCAGUGGCAACGACGACGAGUUGGUGACGUCCGCGGCGGAGAAGGGCUCGAUGGCGAGCACACGGACCGUCCCGGCUUGAGGUGGUCCCCGGAGCGGACGGAUCCGGCCGCGCCGGACCUCCUGGACAUGCUCCCGCACGCCGGAGAUGACGGUGGCCGCGGAUGACGGCGAGGUCGGCGGGGCAGAGGCGGACCGGUCAGGGCGCAGAAGGAGGAGGGGGCGCGAGGGAGAGAGAUCGAGGGGCUAAGGUUUCGGUGGGGUGUGGGGGUUCCCUUAUAGGUCAAAAGGAGGGGCUCGUGGCAGCCAUCCAUGGCCAUGGCGCCGUGGAUGAGCGCCACGCCCUCCUGGUCUCCUGUAGAGGAGGGAGAGGUGGAGGUGGGCUGGUUGUUUAGCUAGAUGGGCCAAAUGGCCCAGGGGAGGAGGGUUUCUCUUUUCUCUAUUUUUUGAUAUAUAUAUUUUCUGUUCCAAUGUUAGCUGUUGUUUUCUAUUUAAAAGUAAGACUAAAUGAGUUUUGUUAGAUUUGAGACUUGUCACAUAAAUCAAGUACAUUAUUUCUAGGAGUCACAAAAUGUUUGAGGCCAAAAGGAGAUGUUUAACCAUUUUUAGAAAUUGAAAAGGCCAAUUUUAAAUGCCGCUGGACCACUAAAUAAUUUCCAGGGGCACUUUGGGAAUCCAAAAGGGGUUGGUUCCAACAUGAAAAAUAUCCAGGGAUUAUUUGGCACACUUUGACCAUUUUAGUUUUCAUGUUUGGAAAAUUUGAAUUUUUUACUUUGAAUUUGAGUUUGAACAUGAACAGUGAUUUGGAUCAAGUGAGGAUUAGCAACAGUAGUGUGAUGACAUGGCACCAUCAACAGGGGAUUACUGUAGCAUGACAUCGGGGUGUUACAGAGAGAGAGAGGGGGGAGGGAGAUCACUUAGCGGGGUGGGGCCGGGGGGAAACGGCCACUUUCUUUGUCGUCUGCUGGCUGACGGCAAAUAAGCUUUGUCGCCCGCUAGCAGACGGCAAAGAAAGUGGCUGUUAGGUCGUCCUCAUAGUCCGCCACCCACCAUCUGCAAAGCUUCUAUGCAGUUAGCUAGCAGACGGCAAAUACCUUCUUUGACGUCUGCUCUUUCUUUGCCGACAACUUUAUUUAAGCUGAUGGCAAAGAACUUCUUUGCCGUCAGCUAGCAGACGGCAAAGAGCUGGCUGACAGCAAAGAUCCUGAUUCCAGUAGUGACUAGCAUGAAUGUAAUAUCACCAUAAUCAUAUCUCAAAACAAUCAUAAGGAAUCAAACUUCUCAUAGUAUUCAAUGCAUUUUAUAUGAAAGUUUUUAUUAUAUCCCUCUUGGAUGCCCAUCAUAUUAGGACUAAAUUCAUAACCUAAGCAAAUUACCAUGCUAUUUAGAGACUCUCAAAAUAAUAUAAGUGAAGCAUGAGAGUUCAUCAAUUUCUUCAAAAUAAAACUACCGUCGUGCUCUAAAAAUAUAUAAGUGAAGCACUAGAGCAAAUGACAAACUACUCCAAAGAUAUAAGUGAAGCACACUAAGUAGUUGAAUAAUUAUGCAACUAUGUGAAGACUCAUUCUCAUAAAUAAAAUUUCCAAUCUUAAGUACUUUAUUGAAACAGCAAACAAAACAAAAUAAAAUAAAAUUACAUUGCAAGGAUAGCACAUAUCAUGUGAAGAAGCAAAAACUUAUGUUAGAAAGGUGGGAUGCCAACCGGGGCAUCCCCAAGCUUAGAUGUUUGAGACUUCUUGAAAUAUUAAUUUGGGAUGCCUUGGGCAUGCCCAAGCUUGAGCUUUUGUGUCUCCUUAAUUCCUUUCAUAUCGCAGUUUUCGUAAAUCUCAAAAACUUCAUUCACACAAAACUCAACAAGAACUCGUGAGAUAAGUUACUAUAAAUCCAUGCAUAAACCUUAUCAUUCUCUACUGUAGAAAAUCACUAAAGUUAUUAUUUGAUAUUGCCUACUAAAUGCCUCUGCAUAUUUAAGAGUCCUAUAUUCAAAUAGAAUCAUUAAACAAACAAACAUAUGCAAACAAUGCAAACAUAACAGCAAUCUGUCUAAACAGGAUAGUCUGUAAAAAAUGCAAGAGGAAUCAUACUCCUUUAACUCCAAAAAUUCUGAAAAAUUACCACACUGUAGAAAAUUUGUUGUUACUAAUUUUAUAAAAAUUUCAAGAUUUUACCAUGUUCUAACUAUUCAUCAAUAUUCAAAACAUAACAACAAACUUUCUGUUUUUAAAACAGCAACAUAUAGACUUGCAAAAUAAGCAUGGUAAAGGCUGUACUUUACCUUUUUAUUGAACUAAAAGAUGCAAAACAUUAUUCUAAAUAACAGAAAGCAAAUUCUAAUAAAAUAAAAUGAUGCUCCAAGCAAAACUCACAUCAUGUGGUGAAUAAAAAUAUAACCUCAAAUAAAGUUACCGAUGAAUGAAGACGAAAGAGGGGAUGCCAUCCGAGGCAUCCCCAAGCUUAGUUGCUUGGGUAUUCCUUGAAUAUUACCUUGGGGUGCCUUGGGCAUCCCCAAGCUUAGGCUCUUGUCACUCCUUAUUCCGUAGUACAUCGAAACUUCACCCAAAACAUGAAAACUUCACAACACAAAACUCAACAGAAAAUCUCAUAAGCUCCGUUAGUAUAAGAAAAUAAAUCACCACUUUCGGUAAUAUUGUGAACUCAUUCUUUAUUUAUAUUGGUGUAAUAUCUACUGUAUUCCAACUUCUCUAUAGUUCAUACUCUCCAAUACUACUCAUAGAUUCAUCAAAAUAAGCAAACAACACAUAGAAAACAGAAUUUGUCAAAAACAGAACAAUCUAUAGAACUCUGGAUAUUUCAAAUACUUCUGUAGCUCCCAAAAUCCUGAGAAAUUAGGAAGUCCUAAGAAAUUUGUUUAUUAAUCUUCAGCAAAAAGAAUUAGUAUUUUAUCACGCUUCUACUAAAAAUACGAUUGUUUUCCUGAAUGCAAAGGUUUCUGUUUUUCAGCAAGGUCAAAUCAACUAUCACCACAAAGCCAUCCCAAAUGUCUUACUUGACACUUUAUUGAAACAAAAUCCAUAAAACAUGAUUACUACAGUAGCAUAAUCAUGUGAACACAUAAAAACAGUAGGGGUAAAUAUUGGGUUGUCUCCCAACAAGCGCUUUUCUUUAAUGCCUUUUAGCUAGGCAUGAUGAUUUCAAUGAUGCUCGCAUAAAAGAUAAGAAUUGAAACAUAAAGAGGGCAUCAUGAAGCAUAUGACUAGCACAUUUAAGUCUAAUCCACUUCCUAUGCAUACGUAUUUUGUGAGCAAACAAUUUAUGGGAGCAAUAAUCAAUUAGCAUAGGAAGGCAAAACAUGCAUAACUUCAAGAUUUUCAACACAUAGAGAGGAAACUUGAUAUUAUUGCAACUCCUACAAGCAUAUAUUCCUCCCUCAUAAUAAUUUUCAGUAGCAUCAUGAAUAAAUUCAACAAUAUAUCCAUCACAUAAAUCAUUCUUUUCAUGAUCUACAAGCAUAGAAAUUUUAUUACUCUCCACAUAAGCAAAUGUAUUUUCAUUCGGAAUGGUGGGAGUAUCAUAAGAAACUCGAAUACUAUAAAUUGUUUCCAUAUUAAAAGAAUAAUGUUCAGAAAAAGGGUAAUCAUAAUUAUGACAAGCUUUAUAAAUAUAAUCAUCACUACAUUUUAUAACAUAAGUGACAUCACAAUAAUCAUCAUAAGUAGCAACUUUGUUGUCAUCAUAAUCGAUUGAAACCUCUUCCAAGAUAGUGGAAUCAUUACUAAAUAAAGUCAUGGCUUCUCCAAAUCCACUUUCAUAAAUAUUGCAAUCAUCAUAAAUAGGAGGCAUACUAUCAUCAUAAUAAAUAUGCACAUCAAUACUUGGAGGACUAAAAAUAUCAUCUUCAUUAAACAUAGCAUCCCCAAGCUUGGGACAAACAUUAAUUGCAGCAAAUAAAUUCUCAAACAUGUCAUUUUCAUCAAACAUAGCAUCCCCAAGCUUGGGCCUUUGCAUAUCACAAGCAUAAUCACUCUCAUCAUUAAUAGUAUGAAUAGCACCAAUAGUAUAGCAAUUAUUAUCACAACUUUCUAAGUUGGUGCCAAAAAGAUUUUCAAGGUUAUAACAAGUAUCAUUACUUUCCCAACCAUAAUCAUCAUAAUGAGUAAUAGGCAUAACAAUAAUAGGAGCAACAUCAUCUGGAGGGAUACCUUUUUACCUUUGCUUCUCCAUCUUUUAUUUUUCUUCUUCACAUCAUGUGUGGGUUUUAUCACCCUUUUGGAGCUCCUUAUUUAUGAUAUUGGUUGAAUAAAAGGCUCGUCCUCAUUACUUGAUUCAUCAUAAGAAAAAACAGGAGGAUAUUGGGAAACCUCUUCCCCUUCAUUAGUAUUCUAUUCAUCUUCUGUUUAUUUUCUUAUGAUGAAUCAGGUAAUUUACCGCACAAUACAUAUAAAUUUCCUCUAUAUCAAAAUAAAGAAAUUUAUCAAGGUUAUAUUUUGGAAUGCCCUUAGUUAUACGUUUUAUUUCUUCAUAACCCAGAAGCAAACUAAGUUCAUUAUGAUGCGCAAGGGAAAUCAAGUCAUCACAACUUUUGGACACGAUUCGAUCAUGAAACAAUUUGCAUUGGAGAUUUAAGUGACCAUGUUCAUUGCAAAGUUCACAAGGAUGGCUAAACAUAUUAAAUUUUUAGCACAAACAUCUAGCCUCUCUUGCAACCAUUUAGUUUCUCAAUGCUUAUGCUUCUUGCAAAAUCUAUCUUCCCUUUUUGGUAUGUAACAACAAACUCUAUGCACUCCACAAAAAUUUACAUGCUUAUAAGAAACAUUUUUAUCAUGAAUAGUGCAAUCAUCAUUAGUACUAUGGAUAUUCAAAGAAUUCAUACUAACAACAUUGCAAUCAUGCUCAACAUUCAAAGAUUAUAUGUCAAACAUUUUAUUGCGUUCUUCCUCUAGCAAUUGAGCACAAUUAUCGGAAUCCUUAUUUUCACAAAAGACAUUAAAAAGAUGAAGCAUAUGAGGCAACCUCAAUUCCAUUUUUUGUAGUUCUCUUUUAUAGACUAAACUAGUGAUAAAACAAGAAACUAAAAGAUUCGACUGCAAGAUCUAAAGAUAUACCUUCAAGCAGUACUCCCCGGCAACAGCGCCAGAAAAGAGCUUGAUGUCUACUAUGCACCCUUCUUCUUGUAGACGUUGUUGGGCCUCCAAGUGCAGAGGUUUGUAGGACAGUAGAAAAUUUCUCUCAAGUGGAGACCUAAGGUUUAUCAAUCUGUGGGAGGCGUAGGAUGAAGAUGUUCUCUCUCAAACAACCCUGCAACCAAAUAACAAAGAGUCUCUUGUGUCCCCAACAAACCCAAUACAAUGGUAAAUUGAAUAGGUGCACUAGUUCGACGAAGAGAUGGUGAUACAAGUGCAAUAUGGAUGGUAGAUAUGGAUUUUUGUAAUCUGAAAAUAUAAAAACAGCAAGGUAGCAAGUAACAAAAGUGAGCGAAAACGGUAUUGCGAUGCUUGGAAACAAGGCCUAGGGUUCAUAAUUUCACUAGUGCAAGUUCUCUCAACAAUGAUAACAUAAUUAGAUCAUAUAAAAAUCCCUCAACAUGCAACAAAGAGUCACUAAUAGCGGAGAACAAACGAAGAGAUUAUUGUAGGGUACAAAACCACCUCAAAGUUAUUCUGUCUGAUCGAUCUAUUGAUCUAUUCUAUAAGUGUAGCAAAUAGCCCUAGAGUUCGUACUAAAAUAACACCUUAAGACACACAUCAACCAAAACCCUAAUGUCACCUAGAUACUCCAAUGUCACCACAAGUAUCCGCGGGUUUGAUUAUACGAUAUGCAUCACACAAUCUCAGAUUCAUCUAUUCAAACCAACACAAAGAACUUCAAAGAGUGCCCCAAAGUUUCUACCGGAGAGUCAAGACGAAAACGUGCACCAACCCCUAUGCAAAAGUUCACAAGGUCACAGAACCCGCAAGUUGAUCACCAAAACAUACUUCAAGUAGAUCACGUGAAUAUCCCAUUGUCACCACAGAUAAACACAUGCAAGACAUACAUCAAGUGUUCUCAAAUCCUUAAAGACUCAAUCUGAUAAGAUAACUUCAAAGGGAAAACUCAAUCAAUUACAAGAAGGUAGAGGGGGAAAACACCAUAUGAUUAAACUAUAAUAGCAAAGCUCGCGGUACAUCAAGAUCGUGUCAUAUCAAGAACACGAGAGAGAGAGAAAGAGAGAGAGAUCAAACACAUAGCUACUGGUACAUACCCUAAGCCUCGAGGGUGAACUACUCCCUCCACGUCAUGGAGACCGCCAGGAUGAUGAAGAUGGCCACCAGUGAUGAUUUCCCCCUCCGGCAGGGUGCCGGAACAGGGCCCCGAUUGGUUUUUGGUGGCUAUAGAGGCUUUUGGCGGCGGAACUUCCGAUCUAGGUUCUGUUCUGGAGGUUUGGGGAUAUAUAAGAGGUGUUGGCGUCGAGAACAAGUCAGGGGAGUCUACGAGGGGCCCACAAGUUCGGAGGGCGCGCCCUCCACCCUUGUGGAGGCCUCGUGGCUCUUCUGGCCCAACUCUUUUGCUUCGGGGGCUUCUUCUGGUCCAAAAACAAUCAUCGUGAAGUUUCAGGUCAAUUGGACUUCGUUUGAUAUUCCUUUCCUACGAAACUCAGUAACAAGGGAAAAAAUAGAAACUGACACUAGGCUCUAGGCUAAUAGGUUAGUCCCAAAAAUCAUAUAAAAUAGCAUAUAAAUGCAUAUAAAACAUCCAAGAUAGAUAAUAUAAUAGCAUGGAACAAUCAAAAAUUAUAGAUACACGUUGGAGACGUAUCAAGCAUCCCCAAACUUAAUUCCUGCUCGUCCUCGAGUAGGUAAAUGAUAAAAACAGGUUUUUUGAUGUGGAAUGCUACCUAACAUAUUUAUCCAUGUAAUUCUCUUUAUUGUGGCAUGAAUGUUCAGAUCCGUAAGAUUCAAAACAAAAUUUUAACAUUGACAUAAAAACAAUAAUACUUCAAGCAUACUAACAAAAUAAUUAUGUCUUCUCAAAAUAACAUGGCCAAAGAAAGCUUAUCCCUACAAAAUCAUAUAGUCUGGCUAUGCUCCAUCUUCAUCACACAAAACAUUUAAAUCAUGCAAAACCCCAAUGACAAGCCAAGCAAUUGUUUCAUACUUUUGAUGUUCUCAAACCUUUUCAAUUUUCACGCAAUACAUGAGUGUGAGCCAUGGACAUAGCACUAUAGGUUGGAGACGUAUCAGGCCACCAGGGAGCGACAAACUGAGGGGGCGCGCCGCACUCCCUCGGUGCACCCUCUGAGCUUGUGGGCUCCAUGGCAGGCCUUCGGUGCUCAUCUUCUGCUAUAUGAAGCCAUUUGCCCUAGAAACAAAUAAGAAGACUUUUGGCAUGAAGCGCCACCAUCUCAAGGCAAAACCUGGGCAGGAGCAAUUUUGCUCUCCGGCGGAGCGAUUCCGCCAGGGUAACUUCCCUCCUGGAGGGGGAAAUCGAAGCCAUCGACAUCACCAACGAUCCUCUCUUCAUGGAAGGACCAAUCUUCAUCAACAUCUUCACCAACACCAUCUCAUCUCAGACCCUAGUUCAUAUCUUGUAUUCAAUCUUUGUCCCCAAAUCUCAUAUUGGUACACGUGGGUUGCUAGUAGUGUUGAUUACAUCUUGUAGUUGAUGCAAGUUGGUUUAUUUGGUGGAAGAUUAAGUGUUCAGACCCUCAAGUAUAUUCAAUACACCUCUGAUCUUGAACAUGAAUAUGAUUUGUGAGUAGUUACUUUUGUUCUCGAGGACAUGGGAGAAGUCUUGUCAUAAGUAAUCAUGUGAUGUUGGUAUUUGUUUGAUAUUUUGAUUAUAUGUAUGUUGUUGCUUCCUUUAGUGGUGUCAUGUGAACGUCAACUACAUGACACUUCACCAUACUUGGGCCUAAGGGAAGACAUUGUGGAGUAAUAACUAGAUGAUGGGUUGCUAGAGUGGCCGAAGCUUAAACCCUAGUUUAUGCGUUAUUCAGUAAGGGGCUGAUUUGGAUCCAUAUGUUUCAUGUUAUGGUUAGAUUUUUCUUAAUUCUUAUUUCGUAGUUGCGGAUACUUGCGAGAAGGGGUAAUCAUAAGUGGGUUGAUUGUUCAAGUAAGAACAUCACCCAAGCACCGGUCCACCCACAUAUCAAAAUAUCAAAGUAGUAAACACGAAUCAACUAAACAUGAUGAACGUGACUAGAUGACAAUUCCCAUGUGUCCUCGAGAGCACUUUGCUUUACAUAAGAGAACGUUCCUGCUUGUCCUUUGCUAUAAAGGAUUGGGCCACCUUGCUGCACCUUAUUACCAUUGUUACUUGUUACUUGCUACGAAUUAUCCUACUACAAAACUAUAUGUUACCGUUACUUCCAGUGCUUGCAGAAAAUACCAUGCUGAAAACGGCUUAUCAUUUCCUUCUGCUCCUUGUUGCAUUCAACACUCUUACUUAUCGAAAGGACUACAAUUGAUCCCCUAUACUUGUGGAUCAUCAGUAUGCAUCAACACAAUGAGAUGAGACAUGCAACACAUACUAUACAACACCCAUUUUGUUCUUUUUUUAGCUGGAGAAGCUUUUCAUUUUGCAUCAUUAUUGGGGUCUACUCUAGUUACAUGAAAAACCGUGAACACACGUCAUGUUUAUUGGAUAGCUAAGGUGCAUGCAUGCCCAAGCACCAUGCAAGCUGCAGAGAGUUCUAUCACUGGCUAGCCGACAAUGCGUCGCCCCCCUCCAUCUGGCACAUUGUCGGCAGCUGUGCCACCGGAUGGUGCGCCUUUGCCACUUUUGGGCUGGCCGCUUGCUGCUCCACGCUAACAUGGUAUGGGGUGCCGUAGCCUUGUUGCUCUUGUCCUGAUUGUUGCCCUUGUCCUGGUUGGUGUCCUUGUCCUAACUGUUGCCCUUGUCCUGACUGUUGCUCUUGUCCUGGCUGCUGCAGAGAAGUUGGGUAGUAUCCUUGUUGCCCUUGUCCUAGUUGUUGUGCUUGUCCUAUUUGUUGGCCUUGUCCUGGUUGUUGCGCUUGUCCAGAAGUUGGGAAGUGCCCUUGUUGCCCUUGUCCUGGUUGUUGCCCUUGUCCUGGUUGCUGCGGAGAAGUUGGAUAGUACCCUUGUUGNNNNNNNNNNNNNNNNNNNNNNNNNNNNNNNNNNNNNNNNNNNNNNNNNNNNNNNNNNNNNNNNNNNNNNNNNNNNNNNNNNNNNNNNNNNNNNNNNNNNNNNNNNNNNNNNNNNNNNNNNNNNNNNNNNNNNNNNNNNNNNNNNNNNNNNNNNNNNNNNNNNNNNNNNNNNNNNNNNNNNNNNNNNNNNNNNNNNNNNNNNNNNNNNNNNNNNNNNNNNNNNNNNNNNNNNNNNNNNNNNNNNNNNNNNNNNNNNNNNNNNNNNNNNNNNNNNNNNNNNNNNNNNNNNNNNNNNNNNNNNNNNNNNNNNNNNNNNNNNNNNNNNNNNNNNNNNNNNNNNNNNNNNNNNNNNNNNNNNNNNNNNNNNNNNNNNNNNNNNNNNNNNNNNNNNNNNNNNNNNNNNNNNNNNNNNNNNNNNNNNNNNNNNNNNNNNNNNNNNUUGUUGACCUUGUACUGGUUGUUGCCAUUGUUCUGGCUGUUGCCCUUGUCCUGGCUGUUGCAGAUAAGUUGGAUAGUACCCUUGUUGCCCUUGUCCUGGUUGUUGCUCUUGUUCUGGCUGUUGCCCUUGUCCUGUUUGUUGCCCUUGUCCUGGUUGUUGCCUUUGUUCUCGCUGUCCUGUUUGUUUCCCUUGUCCUGGCUGCUGUAGAGAAUCUGGGUGGUGCCCUUGUUGCCCUUGUCCUGACUGCUGCAGAGAAGUUGGGUGGUGCCCUUGUUGCCCCUGCCCUGGCUGGUGCUGAGAAGCUGGGUAGUGCCCUUGUUGCCCUUGUACUGGCUGUUGCAGAGAAGUUGGGUAGUACC